UUUUACGAUAGACCAACAAUGAUCAACAGGUAGUGUAGUGGGGCCCACGUGCACGUCGGCCUGGCCCGCAAGCUCGGCUAGAAGGAGGUUCUCGGCCCAUCAGGUCGGCUUGGGGGCCCAGAGGGCGCGGUCUCCCCAAGCGGAUGGGCCGCGCGGGCUGCCGAGCCCAAGCACGCCUUAACUGAGUUAUGGAGCCCUAGGGAGAGUUCUGCUCCCAUAAGGACUCCCUGUUCUACUAGGAGACUACUACCUGUGACUCUAUAAAUACCACGCGUAGGAAAAACACAAGGUACGCUACUCAUAGCAUAAGCACUACUCUUUUAUUUACAAGUCUGUUCUGACUUGACCGUCGGAGUUGCUUCAGGGGACUCAGCCCCGCAGCUCAUUUCCGUGCAGGUCGAACGCUUGACCAGCUCGAUCCCCGAUCACGAGGCCAGUUCGGACCUUCACCUCGGCAGUCGCAUCAAUUGGCGCCGUCUGUGGGAACACGUUACUUUUCUUCAUGAAUCAUGCCGAAAACUAGGUCGCAAAGAAACGCUGUUGGAUCCAAGGGGAUGGAGCGAGGCGGCCCCCAAAACUCUCAUCGGGAUCCGACACCUGAAGAAGGAGGGGCGGGGCCCUCACGAAUUUCGCCCGAACAGCUGGUUCAAACGGUGGCAGCAAACCUGCCCACCUUCGAGGCGAUCAUGAACUACCUCAAAGAGCAGUCGGGAGGUCAGUCCGACAAGGAGCCUAAGGUCCAAGGAGCCGACCUGUCAGGGUCCCGAACUGGUAGUCCCAAUCACGGGGCCAAGCGGGCGCAUCGGGAACUCACGCGUGAGCAGGUCGAGGUCGUAGAGCCAUCUCACAAGAACUCCCGAACUGAACAUCCGGAGCCCGUCCGGAGGCUCUCCCCCCGGAGGGAGCGACAACAGGUACGGGACGAGCUGGACCUAAUGCUCGACCCGGAGGCGGACAGGUACAUUGCUUCCCCCUUUGCGCUUGACAUCGAGGAAUACCAACUGCCCGCGAAGUUCAAAAUUCCAACGAUGAAAUCUUACGACGCCACUAUGGAUCCGGAAGACCACCUGUUCGUGUUCAUGACGUAGAUGCGCUUACAAACGGCCGCGGAUGCGGUCAGGUGCAAGACCUUCCCGAUGUUCCUAGAAGGAAGGGCUCGGCAGUGGUUCCAGGGACUUCCCCCCAGAUCGAUCAGUUCUUUCACCCAGCUCGCGCGACUGUUCUCAGCACAGUUCGUUUCCUCACGAGCCUUCUCUAAAAGCACCGCUCACCUUCUGACCAUCCAACAAAGGGUCGAGGAAUCACUGCGUGAGUACAUGGUGCGGUUCAAUAACGAAUCCCUCCAGGUCCGCGACCGAGACGACAAGGUGGUCAUGGCUGCCUUCAUUAACGGGCUACGGAAGCAGAAGUUAUACACCGAGCUCGUGGAGAGACCGCCCAAGUCAGUUCGGGAGAUGCUGGAUCGAGCUCAUGAGAAGGCCAAUGCUGAGGAGGCCAAUCGCUUGAAGAGCGCUCAGGAGAGGCAGAGGGAUGACAAGCGCCGAAGGAUAACCGACCAAGGGGACGUGCGACGUGACCAAGGGCGGAAGAAUACCUAUGACCACCCGCCUAGAAGCCGGCCCUUAGGGGGGGACAAGCCUUGGACUUCCCUCACGGCCCCCCGAGCUCGGGUCCUUGCGGUGAUGGAGCAGGAAGGGCUUUCCCGACCUCCCCGACCCUUGGCCGGGGAUAGAGGCAGACGAGAUCAGGACCUGUACUGUGCAUAUCACAGGGAUGUGGGGCACGACACUGAGGACUGUCGUCACCUAAAGAAGGAGAUCGAAAAGCUGAUACGAAGAGGUCAUCUCGGGCAGUUCGUCCGUGACGGGCGAGCAGAUCAGAAGCCAGGGGGAUUCAAGCGAGAUCGGACGACCAGCUCGCACGACCGACCUCGAGGUCCCCGUGAUCGGACUCCGGAGCAGGGGGUUCAGAACCUAGCCGGGGUAAUCAACACCAUUGCAGGGGGACCUGCGGGGGGAGAUAGCCAUACGGCUCGGCGGAACAACCGGCCUCCCCCCAGCGGGGAGAGCUCGAACAAACGUUUAAAGAUGUACGAGGAGAUCAUCUAUGGGCCAGAGGACGCGGUACCUUUAGCCUCCAACAACCAUGAGGCGAUUGUGAUAGAAGUCAUCACGUGCAACUACAAAGUAAAGAAGGUAUACAUCGACAAUGGGAGCGCCAUCGAUGUGUUGUAUUACAAAACUUUCAAAGAGCUGCAGUUGGAGGAUAAACAGCUCAUUCCAGUUCGUACUCCUCUGAUAGGAUUUGCAGGUCCGCCCGUAAGACCAGAGGGAAUGAUAACUCUCAGGGUCACUGUGGGGGAAUCGCCGAAGUGCCGAACUAUUCCGGUGAAUUUUGCAGUGGUAAAGGAGCCGUCCUCCUACAACAUGAUACUAGGGCGUCCAACAUUAAACGCACUCUGAGCUGUCUGCUCGACCUUGCACCUCAGCAUGAAGUUUCCAACGCCUGAGGGGGUGGCCGAGGUGCUAGGAGACCCGGAGGUAGCACGAGCCUGCUAUAUCGCAACCCUCAAGGGUAAGGAGAAGCUGGUGGCGCAGACAGUCCUUCUGGAGCCCUGGGAGCCUACUGAGAAGGAGGAGAGGUUGGAGACGGACGAGAAUCUGGUUGAAUUGCCUAUCUGCACCGAGCGACCCGAUCGUGUGGUUAGGGCGGGAUCUGGACUAAACGAACUGACGCGGAGAGCCCUGGAGUCUCUCCUGGAGGAGUAUGCCGAGAUCUUUGCUUGGAGUGCUGAUGACAUGCCGGGAGUUCCUCCUGAACUGGCAGUUCACAAGUUGCAUGUGGAUCCAAGCAUCCGGCCAGUGAAGCAGAAGAAGAGAAACUUUGCACCUGAACGCAACGAGGUUGUCAAAGAAGAGGUAGGCAAGCUGUUGGAGGCCAGAAUGUGAAAGAGAUCUACUAUCCGACCUGGCUGGCCAACCCGGUGCUGGUCAAAAAGGAGGACAAGGCUUGGCGAAUGUACGUGGACUUCACCGACCUGAAUAAAGCUUGUCCGAAGGAUUGUUAUCCCCUCCCUCGCAUCGACCAGCUGGUAGACUCGACUGCUGGAUGCGAGAUCUUCUGUUUUCUGGAUGCCUUCAAAGGGUAUCAUCAGAUAGCCCUGGAUGAGAAGGAUCAGGAGAAGACUGCCUUCAUCACCGAGUACGGCACGUACUGUUAUACUACCAUGCCCUUUGGGUUAAAGAAUGCUGGCGCGACCUAUCAGCGGCUGGUCAACAAGAUGUUCAGAGGCCAGAUCGGCCGAAACAUGGAGGUAUAUGUGGAUGACAUGCUGGUGAAGAGCCGGACUCAGGAGCAGUUGAUCAGCGACCUCCGGGAGAUCUUUGGCGUCCUAAGGAGCUCGCGGAUGCGGCUAAACCCCAAGAAGUGCACUUUCGGGGUCAGGUCGGGCAAGUUCCUUGGGUAUAUGAUAUCUAAGGGCGGAGUAAGAGCUAAUCCCGACAAGGUAAAGGCUAUCAUGGAUAUGGCUCCUCCCCGAAGCAUAAAAGAGGUCCAACGGCUGGCGGGCAGGAUGGCGGCCCUAAACAGGUUUUUGUCCAAAUCUGCAGUUCGGGGUUCCCCUUUCUUCAAAGCUUUGCGAAGAGGGCCUCAGUUUGAAUGGACCCCCGAGUGUCAGCAAGCGUUUGACGAACUAAAAGCCCACAUCGCUCAGUUGCCAUCCUUGACCUCUCCCGCGCAAGGAGAAACCUUAUUCAUCUAUCUGGCAGUAGAGGAGGAGGCAAUCAGUGCGGUUCUAGUUCGGGAAGAGGGCAAAAUCCAGAAGCCCGUAUACUAUGUCAGCCGGGCUCUGCAGGGCGCGGAGCCAAGGUACACCUCGAUUGAGCGGUAUGUUUUGGCAUUAGUUCACGCGGCCCGGAAGCUCAGGUCGUAUUUCCAAACUCAUCCCGUGAUAGUAAUGACCGACCAGCCUCUCAAGCAAAUUCUUUCGAAACCCGAUGCCUCGGGAAGAAUGGUGAGGUGGGCUGUGGAGCUGUCCGAGUACGAUCUCAGCUACCAACCCCGCACGGCCAUUAAAGCCCAAGCAUUAGCAGAUUUCAUAGCCGAAGGAAUUUCCUUUGGGCAACAGGAAUCGCAUGCCGAGCAGUCCAGAGACGCAGCUAAGGCCGAGCAGGCCGGAGAGGCUGCCGAGGUCGCGCAGGCCACCAAGUUCGAGCUGACCCAAGACGCAGCUGAGGCCAGGCAGGCCGGAGAAGCUGCCGAGGUCACCAAGUUCGCUAAGACUUCCAAGGCCGAACAUACCAUAGACGCAGCUAAGGCCGAGCAGGCUAGUGAACCUGCCGAGGUCAUACAGGCCACAAUGGAAGCCACGGACGAUCUAAACGGAAACGCAGUGGAGGCCGAGCAGGUCAGAAAAGCUGUGAAAUACGAACAGGCCACCGGAAAGGUGGGUCAGUCCAUUCCAACCUGGACUCUGUUCGUGGACGGCUCGUCAAGCCAGGAAGGAUGCGGAGCAGGACUUCUCUUGACCAGCCCCAUGGGGGAUGAAUUAGCCUACGCCCUAAGGUUUGAUUUCAGGGCCUCCAACAACGAGUCCGAAUACGAGGCCCUGGUCGCGGGGAUGGUGAUAGCUCGAAAGUUGGGGGCCGAAUCAAUAGAAGUCUACAGCGAUUCGCAGCUGAUAGUAAACCAGGUAGGGGGAAGUUUUGAAGUCAAAGAGGAGCCACUAAAAAGGUACGUCGCAAAAGUGCAUGAGCUGAGAGCUCAGUUCAAACUGUUCACGCUCAAGCAGGUCCCGCGAAGCCAGAAUAAAAGGGCAGACGCACUGUCCAAGCUCGCCUCCACCUCAGUCGGCACAUUGAACAAAAAGGUCUUGGUGGAGGUCGUCAGGAGCCGGGCAUAUGAUCAGGUAGAUGCGGCCGUUAUUCAAGUAGUGAGCUCCUGGAUGGAUCCCCUCGUGCGAUACCUGGCCAAUGGAGAGCUCCCCUCAAGUCGGGUGGAAGCACGACGAAUCCUUCUCAAGUCGCGGGGGUACGAGCUCUCGAAUGGGGUACUCUACAAAAAAUCAUACCUGCGUCCAUGGUUGAGGUGCGUAACUCCGGAGGAGGGAGACUAUAUCCUGCGUGAGCUGCAUGAGGGUAUCUGCGGGAACCAUGUCGGACCAAGAGUUUUGGCCAAAAAAGGAAUGUUGUCUGGAUAUUACUGGCCCACUAUCUUCUUGGACUCAGCCGAACUGGUGGCUCGGUGCAAACCCUGCCAGCUGCACGCUCCGAUCCACCACGCCCCAACUCAGGAGAUGGUGCCUCUUCAGAGCCCUUGGCCUUUCUUCCAAUGGGGGAUAGACUUGCUGGGUCCGUUCCCUCGAGCUCCUGGGGGCUAUGAGCACGUGGUGGUGGCUGUGGACUACUUCACCAAGUGGGUGGAGGUCGAGCCCCUUACCACCAUUAGCAGCAGGUCGGUCCAAAAAUUUCUCUGGAGAAAUAUCGUUUGUCGAUUUGGUAUACCUCGGGUCCUGGUCUCAGACAAUGGGCGACAGUUCGCGGACAGUUCUCUCCAAGGCUGGUGCACGGAGCUCGGGAUCCGACAGCACUUCACCUCGGUAGGUCAUCCCCAAGCCAACGGGCAGGUCGAAAACGUUAACAGGACUGUCCUGCACGGUUUGAAGACGCGGAUGGAGUCCGCUCGAGCGGGGUGGCUGGACGAGCUGCCCACCAUCCUAUGGGCCUACCGAACCACUCCCCGAACUGCCACUCAGGAGACUCCUUUCGUUCUGACCUAUGGAACGGAGGCUGUGAUUCCUGCGGAGAUAGGUGUUCCUUCGAACAAGGUUCAGAACUUCAUAGCUCAGGACAAUGAAGAUGAGCUGCGUCUUAACCUGGAUUUGCUGGAAGGAAGGAGAGAAGAAGCGGCUAUACGCAUGGCUAAGUAUAAAGGACAGGUUGCGCGACAUUACAAUGCUAGGGUGAGGCCUCUAUCCUUCAAACCAGGGGACCUGGUCCUAAGGAAGAACAGCGUAAGUCGGUUUCGGGGCACGGGCAAGCUGAAUCCAAAUUGGGAAGGACCCUAUGUGGUGAAAGAAGCGGACCGAGCUGGAUACUGCAAGUUAACUCACCUAAGCGGAGAAGAGGUCCCGCGUACUUGGCACAAUUCCAACUUAAGGAUUUUCCGUUAAGCUCGCGCAUGACAGUUCGUUUCAAGGUCAAGACUUUGAUUAAUGUUAAUGUAUUUGGCUAGUAAGUUAUUUCAGCUUAUAGAAUAGCUCGUUUAGGUUGGCAUAGGGCCGAACUGGUAUGUCUUAUUAUGAGAAACCUUGCGAAUGCGAUUAAGUAUAAAGCAAGAGGAAGGCUUUUCAUUUCAUUCAAUAAAAACUGUACAAGGAAGAACAGAGCUCAUACAAAACGAAUUGCCUACUGACAGUUCGGGUCCUAUCCUAAGUCUUACUCUAGUUCUCCCCCUCCUCCUCCUCCUGCUCGGAUUCGGGGGUGGUCACUGGCAGCAGGGGGUCAGCGACCAGGUCGGUCAAUUUCCGUCCAUGAGUGUAACCCUCUACCAAGCGGUCGAUCUGCUCCACGGCCCGGGGAUUGUAGCUGGGAAAGUUUCCCAGGUCGAACCCGGGCAGACCUAGCCCUUGCACUUCCUUCAGGGCUUGGGAAUACCCAUGUUGCAGAACGGGGGUGUUUAAGAUAGCCAGAUCGCCCCUGAAGUCAUCCGACCUGAGGAAGGCCCGCACGCCCUCCUGGCCUCCCUCAGCCCUGGCCGCUUCCGCCUGAGCCGCCAGCUCGGCUGCCUUCUGCUGCUCCUCUUUCAGCUGGGAGGUCAGCUCGGAAUUUUUCUUCAGCUCUAGCUCGAAGUUUGUAUGGACCUGCGCGAGUUGCUUCUUCAGGCCUUCAGCUUCGGCCACAGCUGCUUCGUUCUGGCUGAGCAGUUUCUCGUUGGCCGCCUUUGUUUCAUUCAACAGGGGGAGCAGGCUUUCGUAGCGCUUGGCCAGUUCGGACCCAACCAGGUUCACCUGAGCCGUUCCCGUGUAGAAGUAGUUGAGGAGGUCGGAUGACUCCAUGGCCUUGGUCAAAUUGUAGUCCCGUGGGAGGAUGGCCCCGUGAGCGAGCUCCCGCGCCACCUCGGGGAACUGAGCCCGGUCAUUUAUGGAUAGCUUCCACUGGGGGCAGAAGUGCAUGGGGUGCUGGUGCGUCGUCAACCGAGUCUGGGGGUCGAAGAGCAGGGAGCUCUGGCGUUGCCACAGGUUAGGGGGAGCUUCAGCUCUGGCUUGCUCUUCGGCGGUGGUCACGCCGUAGUGGCCGCCUUGGGCAGGCUCAGGUGUUGACCUCUCCUCCCUAGCUGGGGACGAGGGCGUCUCCACCCUGGCUCUCUUAGCAGUUGUCUUCUUUUUCUUUUUCUUUCCAGCCUCAACCGCCUUGGAGGAUUGGGCGGGAGCUGGCUGAGGUAUGGGAGCUGGCACCGAGCUGGCUGGAAUGGCCGAGGGACUCUGAGUGGUAGCGCCUGGGUUGGUAGUACCACCGAUGGACAGAAGUGAGGAAAACCGCUUCACUGCACAAACAGAAGUCCAGGAGGUCAGCAGAUGCCCAUAUAUACAAAAAAAAAAAAAAAGAGGAAAAGACGGAAGGGCAGGAUAGUUACAGGUGUCCAGCUCGCCCGGGGUGAGUGGCCUGUCCUCUGGCGAGGGAUCCGAGGAGCUAGCUCGGAUCAACCCCGCCGCCCAAAGCUGGUCAUUGCUGAACUCUUUCACGUCCAGCUUCACGUCCGAGCUGAGUAGGCGGCUAAGCUCGGACACGGGGAGCAGGGAUGGAAGGGGAUCUGAGACUUGAGUCUCUGCUCUCCAAGUAAGGGGAGGAAAACCUAGGUUCUUCACGAAAAAGAACUGAGGCUUCCAGUCCUUGAUAGAGGAAGGUGCCCCCGUGAACAGCUCGCGGGUGGGGGUUUUUGCUCCACUUCGGCGGGCAAAGUAGAACCACCCAGGCACCUUCCCGCUGACCUUCAUCUGGAAGAAGGCACGGAACAGGUCGAGAGAAAAGGAAAUUUCGAGUGUUCGGCAAAGGAUGAAGAAGCCUAUGAUAGAGCGAACAGCGUUGGGGAUGACCUGGGUUAUGCGAAUACCCCAGAAGGUAAGAAUGAAGAAGAGGAAGUUGGGGAUGGGCAGACGGAGGCCAGCCAUUAGCUGGUCCCUGUAGAUCGCCACGAAACCAGUGGGAGGUCGGCUGGCAACCUCCCCUGGAUGCGCGGCCCUGGGCUCGAAUUGGGCUGGGAUUUCAUAUUUUUCCGCCAGCUCGUCAACAUCUUUUUGCUCCAAGGCUGGGGGAAUAGUGUCGACCUCUCCGAAGUCGCCACUUGGCCCCCUCGAGGUCCCCGCUGCCAUCUGACCCGGAGCUGCCUGAUCAGCUGCUCCGACUAGAGGCUGGGCAGGUCGCUCGGCUGGGCUCAUUACUCUAACAGGGGACAGGUUAGGAGAGGCUACUGGUCUCGGUCCAAAGGAAAUAGAAGGAGAAGAGCUAAAGGAAUCUAAAGAGCUGCUAUCUAAGAGUAUGGGGCUAGCUGCUCUAUGCCUAUGGGUUGAACUGGUGACGUCAGAACUAUCAGAACUGUAAGAAGACAUAAAAAGGAAAGGGGGACUUACUGGUGAAAGGAUGACCUAAGGAAUGCGCGGGCUGAUUCUGGGCUCCUAGGGCGGGGCGACCCGACGUGUUCUCGAAGAGAAAAGGAUGAAGCAGCGAGCUAGGGAUUGAAGGAGCGAACUGAGGAAAUGAGAGAAGGAGAGUGAAAAUGACGCUUGGAGGAUCCUAUUUAUAGGCAACGACAGCGCGGGAAAGCGAAGAGGCGCGCAUUUAUUCGAACAGUUUAUGGGGAACCGUUCCUAACCGCCCUAAUUAGCCGAGGCGACGGUUGAGGUGACAGGCGCGAACUGACGCGACGGUUGCUUGCGCCACUCUCUGACGGGGGGUCCCACAAUGAGCUGACACGACCUCCUGGAAUCCGGCCUAGAUUCACGCGCACGAUCGAUGACUCUAGACCUGAGGGGGGGCUAGUGUAGUGGGGCCCACGUGCACGUCGGCCUGGCCCGCAAGCUCGGCUAGAAGGAGGUUCUCGGCCCAUCAGGUCGGCUUGGGGGCCCAGAGGGCGCGGUCUCCCCAAGCGGAUGGGCCGCGCGGGCUGCCGAGCCCAAGCACGCAUUAACUGAGUUAUGGAGCCCUAGGGAGAGUUCUGCUCCCAUAAGGACUCCCUGUUCUACUAGGAGACUACUACCUGUGACUCUAUAAAUACCACGCGUAGGAAAAACACAAGGUACGCUACUCAUAGCAUAAGCACUACUCUUUUAUUUACAAGUCUGUUCUUCAGGGGACUCAGCCCCGCAGCUCAUUUCCGUGCAGGUCGGACGCUUGACCAGCUCGAUCCCCGAUCACGAGGCCAGUUCGGACCUUCACCUCGGCAGUCGCAUCAGGUAGUUUUCCUAAUCGAUAGGCUUCAUUUUCCAUCAUGAAAACUCUAGACACACACUGCGCCACUGGACCUGGACGAGUAGUGACCAAACACCAGCUUCCAUUGGUUGGAUUGAGCCCCUUCAAGGUGUUGAAAAAGUCCUCCCACAAUGCUUGAUCAUCAUUCCACACAUCAUCAAGGACUAGGAGAUAUCUUUUUCCCCCUGGGUUGUUCCCAAUUUUUUCAACGAUGACGUCCCUAAGAUCCACUUCAACCUUUUCUUUCGUCAAAUGCACUAAUAUGAGUUUGAAAAGCUCCUCUAUUGGAACUUUUUUCGAUACACAAACCCAAAUCUUUAUGUCAAAGUGUUCAUCAAUUUGCUUGUUGUUGUAUAUGGAUUUAGCCAAAGUUGUUUUGCCUAAACCUCCCAUACCAACUUUGGGAAGAACAGAAACAACCUUCUCAGACAGGCUCAACAAAAUCUUCACUAUCUCUGAUUCAUCAUCGGCUCUUCCAACCAUUGGAGCAACAACAGAGUCGGUCUGCCGACCUCUCGUGCCUCCAACAGCAGGAGCAGCAGGGAGGGCAGCAGGCACGACUGACUUACUUCCAGUCCAAAAUCACGGGCUUGUUGAUUUAUCUCCUUCAACUUCAGUUUGACGUCCCUGACCUUAGAAGCCAUUCUCCAACGAAAAGCAAUAUUAAUGUUAGAGAAGGAGAAGAAGCAGCAUACCUUGAGCUUGUGUCGGUUUCGGGACUCCACCUGGUGACGAAGAGAUUCAUAGUGGAGCUCAUCCAACACAUUCUGAGCAUCAUAAGCCACCUCCUCGAGACACUUCAACCAUUCAUGCACUACCCGGUCCUGGUUUUGUUGCUUUUCCUCAGCAUCAGACAAGCGAGCAUUGAUAAACCGAAGAGAUCGAGUCAUGCUGGCCAGAUCCUUCUUGAACCCAACUAACAUACCAAUCCUAUCAGAGGCAAGAGACAGUGCCGUUUCCAAUGUGACCUGAAUUGUGGCACCGAUAACAGGGUCGGCCAUUGGUGUUGCCUUGGAUUCAGUGUUGAGAACAAGAUGUUUUUUUUUUUUUAUGGAAAGUUUUUUGCAGCGAGGAACUGGUAAUCUUACCUAGGCUACUAUAAUUGGUUAUAAAGAACGGAGCGUUAAUAAUUAUUGCGCGUAGACCUGGAGUUCUUCUCUGGCAAAUUUGUAAGCUUUUGCAUGGGCGUGUUUACAGAGUAACUUUCUCAAUUAUUGUAGUUGUUGGGGCACAUGUUUUCUGAUUAAAUGCCGGGGCCUUCAGAAUUUUUGGUUGUGGACCAUAUUUGUUUUUGUCCACGAUCAAAUCGUAAAAAGGAGAGUGAGAUUCUGCUUUGGUUACAUGCAUGUCAUUGUUAUUUGUUAAUCCUUGGAAAAUGAAUUUAUGACAUAAUUUGGUCUGAAUGUUGUUCGGUUUUGGGAAGCAAUAAUAAUAAUGUUCUCUGUUUUCGCACUAGCUAUGAUGCAUUUUGCUUCUUGGCUUAGCAAUCAGGCUUGAGAUUUUAAAUUACCUUUUGUACUUCAGCGUUUCAAGUAUAUAACAUGAUCGGUAUGAAACCCUAGCCUUCUACUCCUCUCUUUAAAAUCUGAUAGUCUUUAAUUCAAAUCGAUAUUAAUCCUUUUUGUUAUAUUAUUUCUUAUUACUUUCCUUUUCUAGUUGAUUUUGGAUCCUUUUUUUUAUUACUUUUCUAAAUUUUUCUCCUCAAACUGGAUGUCUCUCAAUCUCUCUUGUGGGAAUUCAACAUACUUUAAGAUGAAUUUCAUUUUGUCAUUAUCAAGUUUGCACUUGAAGAAUUAAAGUUCAUAUGGGGCUAAGUCAUACUAAUUUCAUAUCUUUGACAUUUAUUUAUCACAAACCUCAAUUCUUCUUUCCUCUAGUGUUUCUUUUCUAUAUCAACUCUCCUUAAUCCCAUUAUUGUCUCACAGCAUAAUCCAGAAAGUGUCAGUAUAUAAGAAUUCUUUUGAAGUAAUUAUUACUAAUAUAUAGUUUCCGUUUCUUGUGGAAUGUUCUGAAUCUUUCCUAAAGCACCAUUUUCCAAUUUGAGUUCCAGAAUUGUUGCAAACUUUUUUGAUUUGCGCAUCACUUUGCAUGUAAGAAUUCAAAAUUUCACCACCAAUUAAAUAUAUAGUUUUCCUCGCAACUUGUCCCGUUUGGAUUGCUAUUUUUAGGAAUUUUUAGCUGUUGCUUGGCAUUUUCAAUUCACCUUUCUUUGUAGUGUAGUAGUUGCCGGGAUUCUUCAGCUGCCGUUGAUCCACAUGCCACAUGCUUGGGGGGCCAUCGGAUGUGGAAAUUUCCACCCAAGAAGGAAAAGAAACCGUGUUGAAUGAUGAAGAAAAGAAAAUGGCAAUCAUCAUUGACACUCUAAUAAUUGCCAUGGAGAAGUUUGCCUGGCAAUUUCACUUGGCUUUAUUGAUCAAUGCUUAGCUGGGUAUUUCAUCUUUUUCUGAUUGAAAGCUGGCUGGGGCCUUUGGCUGUGGAAAAUAUCUCAAUAGUUUGUCGGAGCUGUGGUUUGACCCAAGACUGACCCCCGCCACAAAAAAAAAAAAAAAAAAAAAAGCCUAUGUUCAACGAUCAAAAUGUAAAGGAGAAAGAGGAAAUGACAACCAUAGCUGGUGACUUUGCAACAUUAAUUGCCUCAGUCAUUAAUCCUUGGGAAAUAGACUAAAAACGUUAUUUUGUGGGGGAAAAACUUAAAAAAUAAUCCGUGGUUCACUUGUCAAAAACAUGAAGUGGAGUUAGCAAUCAGGUUUGGCAUGUAGCGACAUAAUUGGCCAAUGGUUGGGUGCUUUCUUAGCUUUUUACACUUGUGAAAUUGCCAAAACAGUCGCUCGUAAUUCCACAAGCUUUCUAGCACUUUAAAAAUUCAAACAUUUUGUUUCAAAAUGUCUUGUUUAUGUACAGCAUACAAAAUUUAAGUGGUGAAAGUUUAAGGCGUUUCUUUAUUACUAUAUUUUUUUGAAGUACAAUAUACAAUCAACUGGAGUUAGAAGUAAAAUAGACCUUUAGCUCACACUAUGAUUAUAAACUUUGACUGAAUUGGAUGUUUUGGGAAGAGGGAAAUGAGCGUGUUCUUGCAGAUUUCAAUUUUUACAAUUGAAUUAUUUGCCUAUGAUAUGAUCACAAGUUUAACUUAAAUGGAGUUGCGAUAAUAGAAGAUUCUCGAAAGAAGACUUCAAAAGGUGGAAAUUGAAAAUGAGUGGAAAUUAAUGAGGAAUUAACCAAUUAUUUGGAUUCCCAUUUUUGUAUCCGACUCUUUUAUAAUUAGUUUUUCUUAUAGUUUUUCUCGCUCCUAACAAAUUUAUCUAAAAAGAUAAAUUUGAAUUAUUUGUUCUUAUGGUUCCUCUCUCUUCUAACAAUAUGAUAAAUUUGUAUAAAUUUGUUUAUCCAUAUGGAUUAACUUAGUGUUAAAAAAUUUUUAACUGUUAGCUGAUAGAUUUAUCAAUAUUGCUGGAAAUUAAAUAUUUUUUGAUGUAGAAAACAAAUCGCAAAAUCUUUUGUACUUAGUUAGGUAGGAAAAUGUAACUAGGUUUAUGGUUAUUAUAAAAAUUGUAAUUAUCUAAAAAAUAUCCGUACACAAAAAGGUAGAAUAUCUAUUGAUUUUUUAAUAUGUGUUAUCAUAUUUGAUGAAUAUUAUUAUAUUAUAGUAAAACUAUGUAAAGAAGUUUUUAAAAAUUAGUAUGAUAGUUAAGUAUAAUUAUUCCAUUAAUUUUCUAAAAUUAAUAUGAAUGAACUUGUAAGAUCAUCAUUAAUUUUUUAUUUAAAUUAUUCAUGCUUGCACGAAUUCAGAAGAAAAUAAAAAAAUAAACCAUGCCAAGGCAAAUGCAAGAUGCUCGUUCAAAUUAAUGUUGUACACGUAUAGGAGUCACAAAACGGUUUGGUGCACUAGCAGACGAAAGGGGACAUCUAAAGUAUUAGGACAAGUUUUACAUUAAAGUGGGAGAUUUGUAACGCAAUUGAGCGAAAACAAAUGAGGUUGAGGAAAACUUUAUAUCAGUUGCAAUACAUUCAUAAAAGCUAUGGCACAUUCGUUAAAAUAAGAAAUAUUUAUUAAUUUGGUGCAGUGUAAUAGCAAACCAAGGAAAAAAAAUAUGAAUGAUCCGUGAGAGGGAAAGAUGUCAUUUGACUUAAAAUAAAAGUGUGAUUGGAUAGAGGUUUAGAUGAACAAAAAAAUUAGAUUAAUAUUGUAACACUUUUUGUGGCUUGAUAUAAUAUAUAUGAGAUAGAAUGAUGACUGGUAAAAUAAAAAAAAUGAUUCAGGUAAAUAUAAAUAAUUUUUUUCAUAUAUUUGCGUAAUGAUGAUAAUGACAGGGUGAAAACAAUGCAUGCAAAGACGAAGGUUGAUAAUAAUAAUGAUAACUAUGGUGAGAUAGAUAGCAAUUGCAAGUUGCACACCAUGCAAUUAGUGUUUUAGAUUAGGUAAAUUUGCACACCACUAUUGCAAAUAAUUCAGUCAAUAAGAGAUAGGAAAACAUAAUGCACGAAAUCCAACUUUUAGAAUUGUGUUAUAGUUUAAUGAUGACUAUGUGGUGUUUUUGUAGACAAAUAAACAGAAAAACAAAUAAAUAUACAAAUUUGAUAAAGAAAGGUGCACUUCUACAGGACCGAAACUAAUUGCUCUUAGGUCCCAUUUUGCUAUUUUUUAAAGUUUUUAUAGAGACUUUUUCGUUUGGAUUGCUAUUUUUUGAAAUUUUUAUAGAAAAAUGUAUUGUAGAAAUUUAAUAUCUAUGAGAUAAAAAAGUAAUUAAAAUAUGUGUUUAUGAAAAACAUUAAAAAUAUUCCGUAGUAGACUGCAAUCCUAGCAUGGCUUGCGAUUUGAUCAAUAUGAAAUAAAAAAGUAAUUAAGAAAUGUGUUCACAAAAAAUGUAAAAAAUUUGCCUUAGAAAACUACAAUCCAAACAAGUAGUCUUCUCCCCGUUCAAGAAACGCAAUGAAAAUAUUUGUUGAAUAAUUAAACUUAUCCUUUCAUAAGCCACUUAUACCGGGGGAGGUAUGGAGGGAGGCAAUGAAUAAAAAGUCUUGGGUUCGAUUCCUCCCACUUACACAAAGAAAAAAGUAUAAAAUAAAAUAAAAAAAAAAACCACUUAUACUAGCUAAGAGUAUUUUCUGGUCACGUCUCGUGUUAUAUAUUAUUAAUCCUAUCAUAUUAUCCAAAAGCAUUUGUUGGAAAUUGCAUUCUUAAUUUAGAUUAAAAAAAACAAUAAUGAAAUAUUUGUUGGAAACGAAGGAAAAGUGACGCAACCUUUCCAAUUUGUAAAUUCAAUUAGGCUUACAUGUAAAACUAUUAAAGUGUAUCAGCAUGAGAGAAUUUAGUGCUUCAUCUGACGCUUGUAAAAUAGACAAAUGAAGUUUUGAAAUUCUAGCACUUUUGGACCAAUACCUUUUUUUUAAGGCAAAACCAAUACCUUAGGUAACCACAAGAUCUCAUCUUGAUUUGCUGUUUUUCUUAUUAAAUGUUGAAUCUAGAAAAUCAUGUCUCAGAAAUAACUACAUAUACCUGGAAAAAAAAUUUAGUGCUAGGAUAAAUAUACUGCUAAGUUAUGGAAAUUCUCUUUUCCAUUUUAGCAAUUUGAUUCUUUGGACGCAUGAUUCUAUCUGUUAUAUUUGGCUUCAAAAUAUGUUACUUUAGAAUGGUGUUUGGAUGUGGAUACAUAAUCUGUAAUUAUUCUCACCUAUAUUUAUUUUCUAAAGGUCUGUCCACUUUAUUCGGAUUUCUUACCUAUUUCACUCACAAAUGCAGAGGUAGCCAUUGGCGUUUUACGGUGAAGAGAAGCCAAAAAAACUACCAACCCCUUUAUUGCUCUCUUUCAUCUUAUUUCUCCAUCUUUCAUCCUUCUUUUUCGUUGUGACCUACAAUUAGGACUGCAAACCACUCAAGCGCUAGCGAGCCAACUCAGUCAAAAGUUAAAUCGAGUUCAGGUAAUACUGAAUCCGAGUUGAGCUCAAUCCAACCAAGUUGAGCUACCGAAUUCAAGUCGAACAUAAAGAAAUUCAAUUCAUUAAUUGACGAGUUAGCUCGAAUAUAUAUAUAUUUAUAUAUAUUAUUUUAAUAUUGAUAUUACACAUAUAUCUGCCUAAUAUUUUUAUUAUUUACUAAGCAAAAAAUGAAUAUUUUAUUCUUUUUUAAAAGAAACAAAAUAAUUAUUUUUUAUUUUUUAAGGUCGAGCAAGCUCAAGCUUGAGUAUUCGAGUUUGAUUAGACUCGAAUUUGAAGUCGAGAAUGAACUCGAAUUUUACAUUGAAAACUCGUCGAGUUCGAAUUUGGUAAAACUGAGUCGAGCUUGACUUUAUUAAGCUAAAAGUGGACUCAACUAGUUCAUUUGUAACCCUACUUACAAUGCUUUGAUCACCAUUUUAGAAAGUUUAGUUGUGGGCCUUGGUGAACUGUUAACGGGGAUGCAAUUUGUUGACAUGCAAUUGGCUAAUCAUCCAAGUAUUGCUACUGCUCUAUACAGUUUUAACAAAGUGGCCGAAAUUGAUAAAAGGAAAAACUGUUACAGCAUUAGUGAUUUAUUGGUUGUAAACACUUGCCACAAGAAAAUGCAUUUGCUUAUCCGAACACUAUCCAUGAACCGUUCAGUAGGUGCUUGUCUUCAAUAAUUUCUGAAAGAUUAUAUAAUGUGUGAAUGUUUCAAAAAGACAAUACAAUAUGCAAAAACUAUUCACUGAUAGUUUCCAAAAGGAGUUUAAUUAAGCUUUACUUGUCGGUUUAUUGUUUGAGACUCUGACUUAGCAUCUAUAAAUGAAUGCAAUAACUGGUAGGGAAAAAAUCAUUCGAUUGUGAUGUAUUUUUUGAUUUUCUUGAAAUAAAAAAUGCAUAGGGAAAAAAAUAUUAGAGAUUUAUCCUUUGCAUGGAGUUCAUAUCGUUACUACUUUUGCUACGUGGAAUACCUUGUCUGAUGGAUGUCUGCUUGAAAUAUGCGUUAACCUUUAUGGCUUCCACAUAUUGUAUGUUUAUCCUAAUAAAUCAUCUUGUAUGGUGCUAAUAUUUCAAACAAGUUUUGGAAUUUUGCUGCAAGUUUAUCUUCUCAAAAGAUAAGUCAAUCGAUUUGAUUUGCGUCCAAAAAUGUGGGUGGAGUUUUGUUUCUAAAUAAAUACUCAGAUAAAACCAAUCCAAACAAACAUAUAUAUGCUUUGCUGAGGCCGACAGCUGUUUCUGAUUGACAAAUUUUAAAUGCUGGGGCAUUCAGUUGUGGAAAAAAACUCUCUGACCCAAGAGCACAAGAAACUGUUGUCUUUAAGGAUAAAAAUGUACCAAAAAAAUAAUAAUAAAUAAAAGGAAAAUGACAAUCUACUUUGGCUACAUUGUUCAGCCAAUUUCCAGUUCUUGAGAAAUAAAAUAGACGUUCAACGCCCAUUUUCUAAUUCGAUUCAGUUCUGUGACCCCUUUUUUUAAUUUUCUAUAAUUUGAGGUAUAUAUAUAUAUAUAUAUAUAUAUAUAUGUAUAUGCCAAUCAUAUCCCAAUGCCAUUUGGUAGCUUUGCUUGGUCACUAUUCAACGCUUCCCUAUAUUUGUUCUAUUGUUCCCGUCAUUCAGAAACAAGGGGACAAAUCCUUAUACUACUGUAUAAGAAUAAAUUGUGGUCAAAUAUGAUUUGAAUUUCAGCCAUAUGGAUAGGGACUUUUUGAAAAUAUGAAAUAUUGUGUAAUUUUUUAAAAUCUUUUGAUACAAUUGAGGGCAGCAUGUAUUUAGAUAUAUUUACCGAAAUACAGUCAUUUUGGUACAUUUAAAACUUUGAUUUAUGGGGACAUUUAGGUAUUUUUGGAAUAUAAAAUUAUUUUGCAACCAUUUUUGCAUCGAGUACAACUCAUAUAAACUUAUGUGUUGAUAUAAUUACUGAAAUGAUAUUAUUGACAUAUUUAAUUAAAGUGUGAUUUUUGUUGUACAAUUAACACAAAGAUAUAUUAACACAUUGUGCAAUUAAAACAUUGCUAUAAUUAGCCAUUAAAGGAUAUUUCUUUGUUUGAAAUAAUUUAUAUCUGCUCUUGGGCAAUUUUCAAUUAACAUCUAUAGGGGCUUUUUAAGAAUGAUAAAAUUGUAAAAGUAUUGAUAAAGUAAAAUGUACAAGUGUGUGCUGCAAUUAGAAUGUACUAUUAUUAGUUUUGUCAUAUUUGAUGACUAUUUCUUUUCGGAAUAUAUAAUUAUUUAUCCAAUAAAAAAUUCUCUCUAAUCACAAGCACCAAACAUCAGCACGAUGCACUGGCACUCCCUAGUAAUCACAACAAAGAGAGGAAGGCAACCGAAUUGAUCAAGAAAGUGGAGCGAUCGAUUACAAAUGAAUAAUGUCAUAUUGCCGCAUAUUACUACUGCCUUAUUACCAUUAGAUAGGCAAAAUAUUUGUACUUUUCAAUUUUCUAUUUGGAGGUAAGGUCUAAUAUCCCCUUCCUUUCUUUGUAACUUUUUCGAUGAUUUUAUUAAUAAAAUGGGUAUAUAACCCCACCCGCCAAAUAUAAUUGGCGGUUUUUUUUUUUGGUUAAAAAACUGUCAUACUGCAAUUAGUUGUUCCAAUCAUUGGGUGCAAUACUCUGCGUAGGGAUGUACGCGAACCGAGCUACUCGCGAGCUACAAUGACUUGGCUUGAUCGAGUUCAAGCCGAGUCUCGAAUUACCCGAAUAUACAUUCAAAUCGAAUUCGAGUCACGAUUUUGCAGCUCGUGACUUGACGAGCUACUCGUCAAGUAGUAUAAUUUAAAUAAUAUAUAUGUAUUAUAAUUAUAAAAUGACCGUUAUGAUUAUAAUUUAUACUGAAUUUACAAGCAGGGUACCGAGUCAAAAAGCUCAAUUACUCGACUCGAUAAGGUUUGACUCAAUCGUCGAACCUUAUCAAGUCGAGUCUCGAGCUUUUAAGGAUCUUCUUGAGUCAAGCUCGAGUUGAAAUUCUCCGACUCGAUCAAGUUCAAGCCGAGCUCGAGCAUAGUUAUUAUAGGCUGAAUCGAACUCGAGUGUAGCAGUACUCAACCUCAACUUGGCUCGAGUACAACCCUAGCUCCAUAUGAAGAAAUGGGUGUGUUACUAGAAGAAAGAAAAGAGACCUCAUGGAGUAGAGUUCACAUGGAGGUGCGACGUGUUAAAUUUAUUCACAGACAAAGGACCGCACGUGUCCCUAUUUUUAAAAUUCCUUUUUCAAUAAAUGAGCCUCAUGUAUUACGUUACGGGCAAAUGCAAACCCCAUAUUUUGCAAAAGAGCAGAGGGGCUCUUUUUUUUUCUUUUUUUGGUGCGUCACAGAGGUGCUCUUUUGCAAAAUAGAGAGCUGCAUUUGGUUUUCAAUUUUUUUAAAAAAAUUAACAUUUCCAAAACAAAUUUAAAAUUACCAAAAAAGGGUUUGGAUGCCGCAUGUAUGCAUGGUGCCAAUUGUGCCAAAAUCGACAUCCCUAAAUAAAGAAAAUUACCACUUUUUUCUCAUUUUGAUGAUUUUUUUUUUAGUUUUUUAACAGUAUUAUAAGAACUUACUCCAUAAUUUGCAGAUGUCACUGCAAUAUCUAAAUUAGAGAGGAAGUCCUUGCAAGUUCACACGUUUUCGGUGAAAACUCUGUGGUCCAUCAAGUCCGUACAUUUCAUUUAUAGGAGCCUGAAUUCCUUGGCGCGGGAUACAGAUGAACCUUCCCGUGUAAUAUUUUUUCAAUAUUUUAUAAUUCUAGGUGAACUAUUUAUACAUCCUUAUAAUAGAUGUGUGACGUUCUGUUAAUGUUCACGUGAGAUUCUAUGUAUAAUAAUUACGUUUCUAUCGUAAAAUUUUAUAAAUAAUUCACAUAGAGUUAUAUUCCGUUCAAAAAAUGUUACACCAUUUAUAACAUUUGUCAUACUCAUACCCCUAAUCUGAAUUCCGCAUGACACACUUAAUUUAGUUAGAAGUUAGAGCUUGAGGUGUUAAACAUUUCGCGACUUUGAUGAACAAGGUAUGCCAGCCCCACUCGACGGUAUGGGUAUCAAAAACUCUCACCGAACCGUGGACGAAAGGCCUUCUUUAUUCGGUAGCAAUAUGGUGGUUAUCUUAGAAUUUGGUGCAUUUCGAGCCCUUUUGAAUUGCUAUUUUCUGACAUUUUCGUAGAAAAAUAUAUUAUAGUAAUUUAAUAUACGUGAAGUAAAAAAGUGAUUAAAAAAAUGUAUUCAUAAAAAAUGUAAAAUUUUUUUGAAAAAAAAAUGGCAAUCCAAAUAAGGCUAAAUUUCUUCUUCUUUUUUUUUUUUUUUGCCCUUAACUAGAAUUCUCAGCCAACGUAUUUUAGGUGAUUUUCGAUAAAAGGUUUAUCCAGUUUAUGUAAGGACAGCAUCAUCCUCACCAGCACCAAUAAACAAAGAAAAGAAAGAACACAUACAUCUAUUGAAUUGUUGACGAAAUAAUAAACAGAAGGCGAGGUGCCCUAUGAGGCAAGGGAAAAUGAAGACGUGGACUACUCCAGUAGCAUUGAGCAGAGACAAAGUCGUAAGAAACGAAAAGGGAUAUAAUUUUUUCUUUUUUCUUUAUAAAUUUUUCAUUAAAUUUUCUUUAUUUCAUGGACUAUUAGAAAAUUGUGAGGAGGGUUUGGUGAAGCAGAGAAAUAAUUAGAAAGUGUUGGCUGGUCCAUGCACGCUAUUAGUCUUAGCAGUAGGGUCGUGGGCCGUUGGAAGAAGGGGGAGAAUGACAGGACAGCACACCGUGAGCUAGCUACUAGAUUGGACAGACUUUUUUUUUUCUUCUUUUUGUUUUUCGGGUAGUGGAGAGUGGCACAAGAAUUUUCUAAAAGAAUUUAAGAAGAUAUAUUCUAAAAGAAUUUUAACAGACACAAGAAAAUUUUCCAGAGAUACGGAUGCCCAAUUAUUUUAGUGGAGAUCUUUUCAUGAAAAUAUUUGUCUGACGAUCUUUUUUUUUAUUUAUCGCAAUAAUAAAAUUUUUAUAAUCUAAUUUAAUCUAAUCAAGAAGAAAGGAGAGGGAGAUUCGAUAUGAGUAGAGACUCCAUAAAAAAUGAUCAAUUAAAGUCAUCACACAUAAUAAUAAAUUGAUGGAAGGUAAAGAUUGAACUCUUUCACCUCCCACACUAUCAAGACUUAAGUCUUGUGUGGUGACCACCGGGCCGCCAAAGGCGCAGUGUUAUCACCUUGAGUCUUGUUCGGUUACAUUUCAUUUAUUUUCAUGGACCCGCCAGUGGGCAUGACAGUUGCCAUGAAACUUGGAUGCUAUUCUAUUAAUUGCCAUGGAAGUUGCUUGGGAUUUUGACUUGACCUUUCUUAAUUCGUGUUUUGCUGAUUGUUGGGGCCUUCAGUUGUGGAAAAAAUCACAGAAGGUUGUUGGAAUAGUGAUCUGACCCAAGAGGCACAAGAAACUGUUGUCCUUAAGGAUAAAAAUGUACCCAAAAUAAUAAUAAUAAAAAAAUAAAAGGAAAAUGACAAUCUACUUUGGCUACAUUGUUCAGCCCAUUUUCUAGUUGUUGAGAAAUGAAAUGAGAACAUUUAUUAUAUUUGGAAGUUUUCAAGCACAUCAAACUUAAAGGAAUUUAACAAGUCGUAACAAAACUAUACGGUUACUUCAAAUCCGUUUCUAAUGUUAUUGAGGAUAUUUGCGUAACAUCAAUGUUUCGGAUUUAUAUUAAAUAUAGAAUCUUACUGUAUUGAAUUUUCUUAUGAAACAGAGAUUUGGAUUAGGAAGACGGUACAUAAAUAUUAAUUUGUAAAGCACUGUCGAUCGAUUUGAUUCUGGUCCAAUACUUGGUUGACCAAGAAAAAUACAUAGCAGUUGGAUGCUCGGAUUCAACAUCUGCUUUUGAUACACACGCUUGCGGGGCCCUUGGAUGCAGAAAUUCCACCCAAGAAGGACAAGAAAUUGUGUGUUGAAUGAUGAAGAAAAGAAAAUGGCAAUCAUCAUUGAUCAUUGAAACUAAUAAAUCUCUUUUGACAAGAAUUUUCAUAAACAACACCUAAGUUAAACCCACAAGAUACAACUAAAAAGCUGACUUUUGGUUACACCCAUAAAACUUAAGUACUACUCACGCACACUCUUAACAAACAAUGUGGGAUGCAGAGAUAGGAACAGGGAGAGUCUCUACUAAGCACUAAGGAGCACUCAUUCACUCCGAUUUUUUACCUCUUCAACAGGUCUUUUUUUCUUUUGACAAGAAUUUUCAUAAACAACACCCAAGUUAACUCCACAAGAUACAACCAAAAGGCUGAUUUUUAGUUGCACCCAUAAAACUUAAGUACUACUCACACACAUACUCUCAACAAACGAUGUGGGACGCAGGAAUAGGAAUAGGGGAGCCUCUACUAAGCACUAAGGAGCACUCACUCACUCCGAUUUUUUACCUCUCCGAUUGAGACUAAUAAAUCUCACUCCUUAAUUCUUUGGACAUGAUCGUACAAUUAAUCAUGUCAUCUAAAUUGCUUAUAUUUAUUUGAAACAUUAUUUAAGUACUCCUUAUUUUGUUUGCUUUCUGCAGAGCAUUAUGCUAUGAAAUAAUUAUUGUAAUAUUUUUUAUAAUAUAAUAUAUAUGAAAUAAAAAAUAAUAAAAAAUAUAAAAAAUAAGUUAGAAAAAAUAUAUAUAAUACAAAUAAAAUAUUAUUUAAAAUAAUUGGGUAUUGAAACACCCCCGGAGUUCUCUAUUUCCAUGCUAGCUAUAUAUUUUCCCUUUUUGUCCAGUUCGGAAUAGCUAGAAAUUUACAGUGGGUGCUUUUGUUUGCUCUUCAACAACCGGAAAAAAUGCUGCGGUAGUGCAUCUUUGACAAACUUGCAUGCCAUUAUUGACUUGGCCUUUAUUGAUCAAUGGUUAGCUAGGUAUUUCAUCUUUUUCUGAUUGAAAGCUGGCUGGGGCCUUUGGUUGUGGAAAAUAUCUCAAUUGUUUGUCGGAGUUUUGGUUUGAUCCAAAUCCCCCCCACCCCCCGCGGCAGCCCAAAAAAAAAAAGCACGCCAGAAAAGAAAUGUUCAACGCUCAAAGUGUAAAAGAGAAAAGGAAAUAACAACCAUGGCUGGUGACUUUGCAGCAUUAAUUACCUCCGUCAUUAAUCCUAAUAGACUAAAAACGUUAUUUUGCAGGGGAAAAACUGAAAAAAUAACCGCUGGUUCACUUAUCAAAAACAUGGAGUGGAAUUAAUAAUCAGGUUUGGCAUGUAGCAACAUUAUUGGACAAGGAUUGAGUGCUUUCUUAGCAUUUAUGCUUGUGAAAUUGCCAAUAUAGUCACUUGCAGUUCCACAAGUUUUCUAGCACUUAAAAACUUUAGACAUUUUGUUAAUGCGCAAAUUAGGCAGUUUAUUUGUUAAUAUUUCCCCCUUUAUUUUGACCAAAUGUUGUGAUAAUUUGCUAGAUUCUACUUAUAUUUGAAUUUUUGUGUGAUUUCUAGGAACUUCAAGUCAAUUGAGGCAGAAAAGGAGAAAUUGAAGCCUAAUUGAGGAAAUUCCAUUAAGAAAAUCUUGAUACAAGUUUCUUAGUUGAUACUUGAAAACCGCUACAUCAGGGAUGAUGGGGUGUGGAAACCACCCAGGAGUAUUCAUCUACAAUGCCCUGUUCGGUUGAUGAUUGUUACUGCAUCAAGUUAGCAAGCAUUUUGGGCUUUUGCUUUUGGUUAGUUUACGGCAAAGAACAGUACAAUUGAUGCAGCAGAACGUCCGCAUCCCAUUGAGCUUCAAUUGCACACGAGGCCCAUUUUUGGAAAAAAAAGAAGAAAGAAACGCUAAAGAAGCCCUGGGGGGACGCGAGGUAAAACAGGACCUCUGGUUCAACUGAAGAGGAUAAAAGAGGAGAAAACGGAAGGGCAAAAAAAGGGGAGGACUUUGAAAAUCAACGCAGGCCAUUCUGUUCCGUCCCGUUUUUCCUUCCUUUUCCCAAUUUAUUUUCCUUUUUCAAUUAAGAACUCGAGUAGUACUUUUGGCUGCAAUUCAACUAUGAGGAGUGGCUAAUUUCUUCAUCUAGUCAGAGGUUAAAUCGAAGCUUGGGUUCGACAAAACUAUGAGAUCGAAUUGAUUUGCCUAUGUUCUUUAAUUUGCAAGUAUUUAUAUAUUUCCUGUUCACUUAUGCAUAUGAUUAUUUCUUGCAAUUAAAUACUUGAUCACUGUUUAAUUGUGUGAGUAAUUAACAGCCAUCUAAGAGUGCUCAAUCCGUAAUUGUUGGAUAAUUUUAGUGCAUGUGGCAAUUGACAUGAUUCAAUUGUAGUAGAAACUUUUGAGUUGUUGUUGCGGAAAUAUAUGAUAUAGCCUAAAUAAAUCGAGCGUGUGUGUUUGUUGGUUAUAAUUGGUGGCCAGUCUAAUGAUUAAUGCUGUCAAUAGGUUAAAUCCUAAGAGCGUGUUUAGGACUGCUUAAUUGGCUAGGGCAAUAACCACAGAGCUUGUUAUGGUUAUCGAAUCAGGAAGGUUAGGCAGGUUGUCAGAACUUGUUGACAACCAUAACCAGUUUAUUUGUAAGUGAAAGAUUUUAUCUCUGCAUCUGUGAUCAAUGAUUCGAACCAUUAGUGGAGAUUAUACCUUUGAUUAGAGAUUUUCCUUCCGUUAAUUUACUUUAUAUUUAUUGUUAUUUAUUUUAUCUGCGAUUGUCUUAUUUUUAAUUUGAGCAAUUAAAUUAGACAGUUCCAUAUCAAUUCCCCCCAGUUUUAUUUAAUGUUACAUUCAUUCAAAAUAAAUUCCCAAGUCCCUGUGGAUUCGACCCUGCUCACUGCUAUAUUCGAAUUUUAUCUUUCACGUAAUUAAGAUACUUUGGUAUAUCGGAUCAAGCAAACUCUGGCACCAGGGUGAAGUUAGUAACCCAUUGCACAGCCUAAGUCCCUGCUCCAAUACCAUAGUGGACUUAAUUCGUGACUUAAGAGUAGGAAUUUUAUUUUUGCUGGUUUGACACCCACCACAUUUUGUGUCAAAAUGCUUGUUUUUGUGCAAUAUACAAAAUUUAAGUGGUGAAAGUUUGAGGAUUUUCUUUAUUAUUAUUCUUUUUCUUUUGGAGUACAAUAUAUAAUCAACCGUAGUUAGAAGUGAAAUCGACUGUUAACUCACACUAUAAUUGUAAACUUUGACUAAAUUUGGAUGUUUUGGGAAGGGGUUAAAUGGCGUGUUCCUGUGGGUUUCAUUUUUUACAAUUGAAUUAUUUGCCUAUGACAUGAUCACAAGUUUAACUUAAAUGAAGCUGCAAUAAUAGAAGAUUCCCGAAAGAAGACUUCAAAAGGUGGAAAUUGAAAAUGAGUGGAAAUUGAUGGUGAAUUAAUCGGUUAUUUGGAUACUUGAGUUUCACCUAUUUUUGUAUCGGAUUCUUUUAUAAUUAGCUUUUCUUAUAGUUUUUCUCGUCCUAACAAGUUUAUCUUUUAAGAUAAAUUUGAAUUAUUUGUUCUUAUGUUUCUUCUCUCUUCUAACAAUAUGAUAAAUUUGUAUAAUUUUUUUUAUCUAUAUGUGAUAGGACACAAUUUGUUGUUAAUUUUAUGGUUAAUUUUCCUCUUUGUCCUUGCCAAAUAUUGUUUUAAUUGUUGAAAUGUACUUAUAUUUGGUAUUUGGCCCUAAUUACAGGAAGUGGAGCAAGCAAGUGGUAAAAAGGAGACUUUAUUGAGAAAAACACUCCACACAUGGGAAGUUCUAAAAGGAAAUACAAGCCGGGCUCCACAGGAUGCUACAAAAAGGGAUUUCCUAUCUUUAUGCUGAAAAUGAUGGACUUAUACUAGGAGUCUUACAGGUAAGAGGAAACUAAAAACAAGGACUUUGGCAGAGCUCCAAUUCUUUGGCCCUUGGACUCUCAAUUCAGUGGAGACCACCGAGGGAAGUUAGGCAAUUGUUUAGAUUAGGAACAAUGGGUGAUUACCUUAUUCUUUUUCUCUUCUUAUUCGGUUAGGAGACUAAUCACGUAGGUUUAUAUAUUGGAGGCUAAUGAGCCGCAGGGAAGGGGGGGCUUGGACAGUAUCACGUUGGAAAUUUUCUCAACAAAUGAAGAACUAAAUUCUUAUUUUCUAGUCGAAGGUCAAUUUGAGGACUCGGUUCCGAACAUCUGUGAGAUCUAAUUAUUUUACUUAUUUCUUCUAUUUAUUGGUAUUUGUACGUUUCCUGAUUUAAUUGCUUAUGAUUGUUUUGUCAUUUGAAUGUCAAGGGUCCGAUAUUCGAAUUAACCUAAUAAUCUGCUGUCAUAUUAAUUGAUUGAAUCCGUAAUUGUUCAAUUGAUUAAUUUCAGUGGCGACUAGCGUGAUUGGUUUCAUGUUAGGGAAACAUAUGAUCUAACUUAAACAAACCCUCGUAGCGUGUUUGUUGGUUAGGGUUGGACUUUUCUAAUUAUUAAUGUAAUCGAGUAAUUAAAUCCUACGGUCGUACCUAAGAUUAUUUCUUGGUUAGAGAAAUAGUUAACGGUCAUACCUUAACUAUCGAGAAAUUAAGAAAAUGCUGGUUGUUCAUCGCGUGUAUGACAACUAUAACUAAUCUAGUAAUGAAUAAUUGAGUUAUCUUUGCAUCGAUGAUCAGUUGAAUGAACCAUGUCUGAAAAAUUGUACCUUUUACUAGAGUCAUAUUGGAUAUUGAUUAUUUCCUAUUUAUUUCUUUUAGUUGUUUCAUUAGUUAGUUAAUUAGUAAUUUUAUAAAAAUCCCCCAUGUACUGAACUUUAGAAGAAAUGAAUUAUCCCCAGUCCCUGUGGAUUCGACCCUACUCACCGCUAUAUACAUAAUCUGUAUUUUUCUCGAGUAGGUAAUUAUUAUUGUACAGGCUCGACACCCUGUCAAUUUUUGGCGCCGUUGUCGGGGACUGGUGCCAGAUUAAUUUGUUUCUUUUUGAGUUCAUCUUGUUUUUAUUUUUUAUUUAUUUUUUUCUUAUUUUUUUUAUAUAGUUUAUGGCUUCCAACAUUCCGUAUUUUGGUGAUAGACUGGAUUUUGUUUCCAGGGUAGGCAAUGAGGCUUGUUUUUUUUCUGAGUUUGCAUAUUCGGAGGCACUAAACUCUCUUAGAGAAAGAAUGGCUGCUGCAACCUAUGAAAUUUGUUAUGCCAGGGAUCAUUCAACCGAUAUGUGCCCCGAAUAUCAAGACUACCUGAGUGAGUAUCUCAAAAAAAAAAUUUGGAGAUUCUUCACCUCAAUCUCAAAUGUGGUAUGACCCUUAUUCAAACGGGUAUGAUCAAGGAUGGUGGGAUAACUCCAACGUUAAUUAUGAAAAGGGGCCAAUGAGUUUUCAACAGCAAGAGUCUCAACAAUCGUCAUUCAUGUCAGAAUUGCCCUCACAAACCAUCAAUGACUCUAAGGAAGGUGAGAGUGCAAUUAUCAUGACAAGUGAUAUGGAACUGCAAUGAGUCUCAAGAAGGAGGAUCCAAAGAUGCAGUUGAAAAGGAAGUUGAAGGGGAAAACAUGAGACUCCAACAUCAAAUUACCCUAGUGAACGAAUCUAGUGAGUAAAUGCGAUGACACCCCCUCCAUCCCUUAAUCUAUAUUCCCCUGACUCUUACUCUAUAACUUCUGUUAAUGAGAUUGAUUUUGUUAUAUCGGAAGUUUUUGAGUCUCAUUGCAGAAAUGAGUUAAGAGUAGCUAUGGUCAAAUAUCUUGAACCGUUGAGUGCUCUUGAUGGAGGAGUGAGUGGAGAAUUCAGAUCAUUGUUGACUUAUUUGGCGCCAUCUACUAGUCCAUGGAAGACCGUAACUCGUGUGCUCAAAUAUUACUCUAUUUACGAGGGCUAUCAGGAGUAUAUAGAGGAUGAAACAUUAAAACGAGCCACAAGAUUUUAUCCUCCAUGAACAAAAUAUGAUAAUGUCUAGCCAAAGACAUUAAAGAAAGACGCUUUUUGGGAGGCAACCCAAUUGUUGAUUUUGUUAUUUUUGUGUUCAAUUUUUUUUUAAUAUGUCGUUUCUCACUUGGAUACUAGUCACUCUUGAUGUUUUCUCACUAUGACCAGGAUAGGUAAUCUUGGCGUGCCCAUGCGAGGAGGGCACGCGUUAAGCAUCUAAGUUCAAGACUCAUGGGCAGUUGACGUUUGUAAAACAUGGCGCGCCCACGCCGUGUUGGUAAAUUCUCAACUUCUCGCGACGGCGGCAGAAAAUGGAAUCUUGGCAUGCCCACACGAGGAGGGCACGUGUUAAAGUGCGAAAAGUGACUCAAGGGCAGUGGACGUUUUACAAUCUUGGCGUGCCCACGCGAUGUUUGACGACCCAAAAAUGAAUUUAAAAAUUUUUUUUUUCAAAAUUCACAUUGAAAAAAAAAAUUCAAAAAUUCAAAAAAAAAAAAUUUUUCUUUUUCUUUUUCUUCAAAGAUUCAAAUUUUGAAAAUUUAAAUUCGGGAAAAAAUUUGGAAAAACCAUUGAAAAAAAAAACCCAAAAACUAUUUUUUUCUCUUUUCUUUUUCUUUCUUUCUCUUUUCUUCCUUUUCUUCCCCGCUUCCCCUUUUCCCCUUUUCCUUUCUUCUUCGCCCGCCUCCCUAGCGAACGCCGCCGCCCCUGCUCCCUCUGCUCUCUCCCUGCCGCAACCUCGCACAACCGCACGCCCAAGCGCGACCAUCGCGCCGCUACUCUCUCAGACACUGCGCCUUCCUCCAAUUCGUUCCCACCUCUGCAGCAGCCUCAGCUCCACCGCCGCCUCCAAGCUCCAAGCUCCACCUCACGGACCACCACCAACUCUCCUUCGCACGCUGGUCGCCGGCUAGCUCUUCCUGCCGCGACCACGCUCGUCCCUCCUCCUCACUCUCUUUCUCCUUGCGCGACCAUCGUGCAGCUGCUCCACCUCGCGCGACCCGCUGCUACUGUCCGUCACCACCCAAGCCGAAUGCCACCAGCAGCUCCCAGCUCUUCCUCUAUUGCCGCACGUCCAGCUCCGCCGCCGCUGCUGCUGUCCGCCAUCUCCUUGCUGCGCAUCACCACCUGUCAAAACUUGACAGGUGGAGGUAUUGAAAUUUCUACCUCGAUCAGUAUUUUUCGGGUUCUUCUAUUGCUGGAAUUUGAGCUUUUGUGUUUGGGUUUCUUGAUGGAUAAAAGAAGGUGUUGAUUUGGGCAUUUUCUAGGGUAAAUUUGGACAGAUUUGGGUUUAAUUGCUGCCAUAUGUGGGGAUAUUUUCUAAUUUUUGUUGAAUUGUUGGUCGUUUGAUUUAAUUCCUCCCUGUGUAUACACCAGUGGUACUGGUUGCGGUGUUGCUUACAAUUCUUAAAUUUUCUCGAAUUAUAAUCGGUGGUUGCUGGAAUUGCCUGUUUGCUGGGAUUCUUAAAAUUCUUAAGGUUUGGUCGCUUGAAGUGGGUAAUUGAAUGUCCAAUUGGUGACAUUUGUUGAGUUUCCCUUGCUCCAAUUGGUUGAAUUCAUUGCUCUGUUGAGGUCCCUGUUAGUAUCGCUUGAGUUCUGCUUUGUUAGUUUCUGUAUUGUGCCCCUUGAUCUUAUUUUGACUAAAUUAGAGACCCAGUGCAUAUUCAUUCAAUUUGCUGUGUUGUUAGGAUACUUUUCUAGCCUUUGGGGUGCCUCAGUUGUGCAUUUUAUUAAUUGGAUUGGCCAUGUGGUUCACUUCUUUCCUGUGCAUGCACCAGUGGUAUUGGUUGUGCUAAUUUGCUUACAAUUUCUUAUUUCGAUAUGGUUGAGCAUCUGUGACUGAGUAUCCUUCGAUUUGCUGCUUUGUUGGGAUUUUUUUUUUUUUGGUGUCAAUUGAGUAUCAUUUGGUACUUUCUGCCUGGAGUCUAUUGAGCUGCCUUUGGUUGGGGUUUAUUGCAUUUAAUUGGUGCAUUGGACAGCUCCUGUGCCAUUUCCGUUGCUUAUUGAAGUAGGUUGCCUCUAUUUGCCUUGUGUGGGAGUAUUUUGUCCUUUUCAUUUCAAUUGCUAAAUUCAUUGGAGCACUUGUUGUGGUUUUGGGAUGCAUUGUUAUUGCAUUUGGCUAAGCAGGGGACCACCCAGGGGCUAAUGACUGGGUCCAACUCCGAAUGCAAGUUGAGAGACUGGAGACUCGAGUGACCCACAUUGACGCCGACUUGCAUAACAUGGCGCAAAAUUUGGCAGCACUCCGCCCGACCCACCCCCUGUUUUGACAACUUCAGGGAAGUACCGUUGCCCUUCUCUUUCCUUUUGCUGUUAGUUUAUCACAUUGAGGGCAAUGUGUGAAUUAGGUGUGGGGGGGGAUCAGUUUGGAUGCUAGUAUUUUCAGUUUUCGAUUUUUAGGUGUUUUUUCUUUGUUUUUAGUUUGAUAUUUAUCUUCUUUUCGUUUAUUUCUUUUAUUCGUGAUCAGGUCUUAUUUGAAUACCAAAUUUUAAUGCUGGAUCAUUGUCUUUAAUGCUGCUUUUGCCAAGUUUUAGUAAAAAAGGGUGAUGCGGAUACGGGGUAUCAAGUUAAUGCGGUUGAGUUCAGAAAUAUCUCUUUGAUGAAUAUUAGUAAUUGCUUGACUUUUCUAAUUUUUGGUUAACUUCUCUAGGCAUAGGGAAUGAUUGUUGGCAUUUUUCAUGUGAAUUGGUCCAAUUAUUAAUUUUAGUCUCCAUGCUUGAGAAUUUGAGGCUGGCUGCUGCUACUCCUGUGUUAUUUUUAGUUAUAUUGUGUUGUUUGGCUAUGAAUAAAAUCGACUGUGCUCCGCUAGUCAUUACUACUGAGUAACCGGGGAUCUUCACCAAAAGUGUCGAUUCUCGCAUUAAAAAGUAGUAAUUGCCAUGAGUGCGUGGUUGUAUAGUGAUAGGAGCUGAGUAAUCGGGCUCUUUCAUCGGACAAAUGUUGGAGUUCGCGUCAAAAGGCUCCGAUGGCUAAAGACUAAGUCUUGGGUUACCAUUAUCAUUCAAUAAAAAAAAAGAGAAAACAGAAAAAUAUGAGAAAAAAAAGAAAAAUAAGUCAACUUGCCUAUUUGUGAUUUUAAUGUGAGAUUUUGAUUAAUAUUUGGACCAUUUGCUGGUAAAUGUGAGCAACCAUUCCUUUUUCUUAGAUUAGUUGCUUUAAAUUGGAGGAGUUGGUGGUUAAGGGGCUAACCGAAGUGAUUUUUCUUUAAUCUCGACCUGUGAUGCUUGAUAUUGGUUUUUCUUGGGUAUCUUGGCAAUACGUUAGUUGGAGCAAUAGCCAUUGUCGAAUUUUUGGUGUUUCAUUGCUGUUCUCAUGCUUGAGGGCAAGUAUGAUUUAGGUGUGGGGGGAAUUGAUAAGGCACAAUUUGUUGUUAAUUUUAUGGUUAAUUUCCCUCUUUGUCCUUACCAAAUAUUGUUUUAAUUGUUGAAAUGUACUUAUAUUUGGUAUUUGGCCCUAAUUACAGGAAGUGGAGCAAACAAGUGGUAAAAAGGAGACUUUAUUGAGAAAAACACUCCACACAUGGGAAGUUCUAAAAGGAAAUACAAGCCGGGCUCCAGAGGAUGCUACAAAAAGGGAUUUCCUAUCUUUAUGCUGAAAAGGGUGGACUUAUACUAGGAGUCUUACGGGUAAGAGGAAACUAAAAACAAGGACUUUGGCAGAGCUCCAAUUCUUUGGCCCUUGGACUCUCAAUUCAGUGGGGACCACCGAGGGAAGUUAGGCAAUUGUUUAGAUUAGGAACAGUGGGUGAUUGCCUUAUUCUUUUUCUCUUCUUAUUCGGUUAGGAGACUAAUCACGUAGGUUUAUAUAUUGGAGGCUAAUGAGCCGCAGGGAAGGGGGGCUUGGACAUUAUCACGUUGGGAAUUUUCUCAACAAAUGAAGAACUAAAUUCUUAUUUUCUAGUCGAAGGUCAAUUUGAGGACUCGGUUCCGAACAUCUGUGAGAUCUAAUUAUUUGACAGGUUGUCGAAGCCUGUGCAAUAAUAAAACCUGCUCAAACUAAAAGUUAAUUUCUGUAGAUAGCAGUAAGCAGGGUCGUAUCCUCAGAGAUUAGGUAUAUUCGCUUCUUAAGAAAUUCAAAGUAACACAGGGGGGUGAUUUUUGUAGGAGCAACAGCAAUUAAAUAACUUCAAAUAAGAAAAUAAAAAUGAAUAACUAACUAGCAAUUAAACCACAAUUCACUGAACUUAGAGCAACAAUAAUUAAAGGCCUAAAUCACUUAGAACAAGGAAACAAUUAAAAAUAAAAUGAAGUAGGCAACUAAAAAGUCAAAUGGCAAUUUACUAAAAUCAAGGUAAUAUUAAUUAAAGAUCUAGCCAAGAAAUAACUUCAGCAAUGGUUCACCUAAUUGAUCAUUGAAGUAAGGGCAAUUCCAAUUAUUUAUCAAUAAAUAGGUUAUAACUACCAAACAAGCGAUGACAGUCAGCUCCUCCUUACUGUGUCGGUGAUCAAGGUACGCCCGUUAAUCACUGCUCUAAUUGAGAAAUAAUCCUAAGUACGCCCGUAGAAUUUAAUUCCCCAAUUGCCUUACGUAUUAGAGGAGCUCUAUUCUAACCAAAUAACACACUACCAGGGUUAUUUUAGGUUAGCCCGCGUAUUCUCCUGACACAAACCCAAUCAUGCCAGUUAUCACUAUUUUUAGACAAUUAAACAAUUACGGAUUUAACGUCCCAAUUGAUAAUAGAUUAUCAAAUCAAUUAAUUAUCCGGAUCCAAGACAAUCAAUUAAUUAAAUAACCAUAAGCAUAGCAAUCAAGAAAUAUGCGAAUACCAAUAAAUAAAAGGAAAAGAUUAAAUUAAAUCGAUCUCACAAUUUUAGGCGAUUCAAAGCAUCCGUUGUUCCUUGACUAGAGUGAGAAAAUUAGCUCAUGUUCGAUGCGAGAAACCCACAAGAAAUUGUAAAGAGAGCUGCGGCCAUUGUCCCUUGAAAUUGGGGAAAUUCAAUUCGGUUCCAAUGUUUGUAAAGAUAGAAAAGCUACAGCAAUUGAUUCUAUGGUUUCUACUUGUCCAAUCAUACGAGAAGGAAAAGGAAAAGCUACUUGAGCCCACAAGGAAAAGUCAAAAGACUAAGCUAAAAGAGACACAAUCCAAAGCUAAGCUCCUAAGCAAUCCUCCAUACGUAAUAAGGAAUUAGCUAAAAGACAACGGGGCCAUCCACAAAAAUGCUCAGCUCUCUACUUGCGGCCGCUCUUGAAAUUGGGGAAAUUCAAUUCGGUUCCAAUAUUUGUAAAGAUAGAAAAGCUACAGCAAUUGAUUCUAUGGUUUCUACUUGUCCAAUCAUACGAGAAGGAAAAGGAAAAGCUACUUGAGCCCACAAGGAAAAGUCAAAAGACUAAGCUAAAAGAGACACAAUCCAAAGCUAAGCUCCUAAGCAAUCCUCCAUACGUAAUAAGGAAUUAGCUAAAAGACAACGGGGCCAUCCACAAAAAUGCUCAGCUCUCUACUUGCGGCCGCUCUUGAAAUUGGGGAAAUUCAAUUCGGUUCCAAUAUUUGUAAAGAUAGAAAAGCUACAGCAAUUGAUUCUAUGGUUUCUACUUGUCCAAUCAUACGAGAAGGAAAAGGAAAAGCUACUUGAGCCCACAAGGAAAAGUCAAAAGACUAAGCUAAAAGAGACACAAUCCAAAGCUAAGCUCCUAAGCAAUCCUCCAUACGUAAUAAGGAAUUAGCUAAAAGACAACGGGGCCAUCCACAAAAAUGCUCAGCUCUCUACUUGCGGCCGCUCCUCUGUGGUAAAAUGAGAAGUUUCCAGGCCGUGCUUUUCUUCCCCAGCAAUUACCGAAAUGGGCCCAAGUGUUUUUUUCUCUUGCCAACAAUGCCCUUAGGGUAAGUUUUAUCAUCUGAACUUCUUUUCUGUCGAAUUAGCACCUGUUAGUAUAUUUUCGUUCUAUUCCCUGAAAUAAAUACAAAAUACUAAAAAUGAGUAGAAUCCAGUAAUUAAUCCGCAUCAUGUCAGGUAAUAGGGAAAAUUAAUAAUAAAAUAAAUGAGAAAAUUACACCCUAUCAAUAUUUUACUUCUUUCUUUUAUUUAUUAGUAUUUGUACGUUUCCUGAUUUAAUUGCUUAUGAUUGUUUUGUCAUUUGAAUGUCAAGGGCCCGAUAUUCGAAUUAACCUAAUAAUCUGCUGUCAUAUUAAUUGAUUGAAUCCGUAAUUGUUCAAUUGAUUAAUUCCAGUGGCGACUAGCGUGAUUGGUUUCAUGUUAGGGAAACAUAUGAUUUAACUUAAACAAACCCUCGAAACGUGUUUGUUGGUUAGGGUUGAAUUUUUCUAAUUAUUAAUGCAAUCGAGUAAUUAAAUCCUACGGUCGUACCUAAGAUUAUUUCUUGGUUAGAGAAAUAGUUAACGGUCGUACCUUAACUAUCGAGAAAUUAAGGAAAGGCUGGUUGUUCAUCGCGUGUAUGACAACUAUAACUAAUCUAGUAAUGAGUAAUUGAGUUAUCUUUGCAUCGAUGAUCAGUUGAAUGGACCGUGUCUGAAAAAUUGUACCUUUGACUAGAGUCAUAUUGGAUAUUGAUUAUUUCCUAUUUAUUUCUUUUAGUUGUUUCAUUAGUUAGUUAAUUAGUAAUUUUAUAAAAAUCCCCCAUGCACUGAACUUUAGAAGAAACGAAUUAUCCCCAAUCCCUGUGGAUUCGACCCUACUCACCGCUAUAUACAUAAUCUGUAUUUUUCUCGAGUAGGUAAUUAUUAUUGUACAGGCUCGACACCCUGUCAAUAUGGAUUAACUUAGUGUUAAAAAAGUUUAACUAUUAACUGAUAGAUUUAUCAAUAUUGCUGGAAAUUGAACAUUUGUUGAUGCAUAAAUAAAUUGCUAAAUUUUUUGUACUUAAUUAAGUACGAAUAUGUAACUAGGUUUAUGGUUAUUAUAAAAAUUGAAAUCAUCUAAAAAUUAUCCAUACACAAAAGGGUAGAAUAUCUAUUGAUUUUUUUAUAUGUGUUAUAAUAUUUGAUGAAUAUUAUUAUAUUAUAAUAAAAGUAUAUAAAGAAUUUUUUAAAAAUUAGGAUGGUAGUUAAGUGUAAUUAUUACAUUAAUUUUCUAAAAUUAAUAUGAAUGAACUUGUAAGAUCAUCAUUAAUUUUUUAUUUAAAUUAUCCAUGCUUGCACGAAUUCAUAAUAAUUUUUUUAAAAAAUAAACCAUGCCAUUAUUUGAAUGAGUAUCAUUAUUUUUAAAUUUCACUAUUUUACUAUUUCACAUUAUCAAAAUUUUCUUCUUUUCUACUGUUUGCCUUUUCAUUUUUAUAUUGCACAAUAAUUUUAUAUUUAUAAAAUUAUAGUUUACAUUAAAAAUUACUUUAUACUUUACUACCCACUAUUAUAUUUAUUUUUACCUUUAUUCUUAUAACAACCCACUGCCAAAUAAUAAUUUAUUUGUAUAUUUAUUCAGGUAAAUAUCAAUUUUCUAUAUAUUUUAUAAAAAAUAUAUAACCAAAUCUUAUACAUAAUAAUUUCAAUGAUUAUUUUUCAAAGAUUUGGGAAAUGCAUCUUCUUGUAAAUUGAAUGAGUUUUUUUUUUAUUUAAAAACUUUUUUUAGGGUUUAACAUAAAAUAAAAAUAAUUGAUUUAGCAAAUUUAUCUGGACCAUUUUCUUAUGUUUGAACUUAAAAAAAAUUAACCACAAAGGUAGCAUAAGUUUUUAAUUUAAAAAAAAAGUAAGCUGCAGGCCGCCGCGCUGAGCCUGCAAGUUUUUUCUUUUUUAAGAGAAAGUUAUGUUCGUUGACCGCCUGCGGCUUUUCUUAACAAAUUUUCAUGGCUAUAUAUAUAUAUAUAUAUAUAUAUAUAUAUAUAAAGAAUUCUCUUGUCUACCGACCCGGUAGGCAUAGUAUUAUACUACAAUGUUGUCAGAACAACAUUGUUCCGACUUUUUAUUUUUUCGGCAAUAACCAGAGUAAUUAGCAAACUAGAGAAAAAGUAACGCCAAAAGCUUCCACGGAAUCCUAGAAUUUACUGCGCCUUCGCCUGAGUCUUUCUACAAUGCUGCUACCCUACAUGCAUUUGUCUUUUCUGAGUCUUUCUAUAAUGCUGUAAUAAUUUUCUCAGCUACCAUAUUAGUAGAUUUUCUCAGCUACGCUAGUCUUUCUAUAAUGCUGUAGUAAUUUUGUCAGCUACCAUACAUGCGUUUAUAUUUUAUUAGGUCUUCGCUGGACUCUAUAUAAUGUAGUAGUAAUUUUCUGUGCUACUAUACAUGCAUUUGUCUUUUCUUAGGUCUUUGAUAGAUUCCUAUUCGCUAGACCAUACAUGCAUUUGCUAGAAAUUGAACAAAAUUUCUUGCUCAAAGAAUUAAGGGCAUGUUCCAGGAUAGUUACACGUGAAGUAACUAUAAUUAAACAUGUCACAAAUGCGUAAGAGUUAAGAAAAUAGUAUGGUCUAAGGAUAGCAGUCCAAAAAUUGAAAUUGCUUAAAAUUGUGGAGGCAGAAGUGGCUGAACUAGCCUUAAUCUUGAUGAUUGUAAUUGCUUCUAGAUAUUGUACUGAUUGAUCCUAUGCACCAAUGGUACUCGCGGGAGACAUGAUUUGGAGGAUUUUGCAGUUUCAAAAUAUCCUUUAUUUCCAGUGCAUUCAGUUUCAAAAGACAAAGAACAAAACUCAAUGAAAUUUUCUCUAUGGUCACAGACAUUAGGAUCUCUUUAUUGUCAGCCAAAAGCAGAAGAAAAAUAAAAAUAAAAAUUUUCAGAGAAACCUGGCUUUGGUCCUGGCCAAACUCGUUCAAUGAUAAUUGCUUCAGGUGCAAAAGAUUAUAGCAAUAAUCAUGUUCAUAAGGACUAACUACACUUUACACCUCUAAAUUUGCACUACUUUUUUGUAUUAUAAAUUUUAAUUUUGGAUGCUUUGUGUUUUAAAUUCUUAAUUUUGGACACUUUGAAUCUCAAAUUUUAAAACUGAGGAGGAUAGGUGCUGGACUAAGGGUCUGUUUGUUUUGGCGGAAAAUAUUUUUCACAUUUUCCGUUGUUUGGUUAUCAAUUAAUUUGGGGAAUUAAUGAUUUCCGAUGGAAAAGAACUUAUACCGAGAAAAGGAAAAUAACUUUCUUGUCUAUCAUUCUGAAGUUAUUUUCCUUUCACACAGUUUUCACCGAAAGAUGGAAAAUCACAGCCUCACUCCACCUCCCAUUAAGACAAUUGAAGACCCACUCCACCACCCAGCUUUCCCCCUCCCCCCCUGCCCUUCUCUCUCUCUCUCUCUCUAGGAUAUCAAAACACCUAUAUUAUCUUUUCUUGGCCCCUAGCAAUGCCAAACUUGAACAAUAGUUUGAAGAGUUAAGAACUCUGGUUUCCCAAUAUCAAGAAAAUAGAGUAGUAUUACUUUGAGUUCGGUCAACUUUGAUUAGUUUUCAUGAGGUACUAACUACACAGUGGCUGCGACUUCUGGUAUCAGGUACCUUUAAUUUACUACCUUUAGUUGCCAUAGUUCACUUAAUUAAUGAUUAUAUGCAUGCAAUCAAUUAAUAAUUAUAUUAAAUUUUCAUAGUCAUCAAUUAAACUUUCAAAUUUUCAUAAAAGAGACUCUUCUCCCCUUAAGGAUUUUUUUAAAAGGAAGAUAAAAAGUCAAUUAAUUAGUAUCAUUAAUAAUUGCAUUUAAGAAUUCAUGGUGUAAUAUGAAUAAAUAUUUUAUAAAAAUGAUAAUAUGAUUAUAAUGGAUAGAAACUAAAAAUAACUUGUAAUAAAAUGAAUGUUUUGAAAGUAGAAAACAUUUGCAACAUAUCAAAAAAUAUUUUACUGACAAACCAAACACCGAAAAAUGAUGAAAAAAGGAAUUUGGAAAAUAUUUUCACUAAAUAACCAAACACUGGAAAAUUAUGGGGAAGGAAAUGAUUUUUCAGGAAAAUGACUUCUUUCCCUAGGAAAAUAUUUUCAGUCCAACCAAACGGACCCUAAAUCACAAAUAAACUGGAUUAAGGUAAACACAGAUGCAGCUCUGAGUAGUAAGAGCAACAAGGCAGGCUGGGGCAUUGUGGCUAGGAAUUGGCAGGGGACGCCGAUUGGUACCUGGGCAAUCCCAACUAGAAGCUGCUCAAGUGCUCAACUGGAGGAAGCAAUGGCAAUUAGAAGGUCAAAAAUGGUGAAAUGCACUGUUUGAAUCUGACCGUAAACAAGUGGUGGACAAGUUAAAUACAAAUGAAGAGGAGGCUGGCAUUGCUACCAUUCUAUUGGACAUUCGAAAACUAAAAGAGGAUUUUGACGAAUGUUGCUUUUCCUUCACAAAGAGGAGAAACAACUCUGUAACUCAUCACGUAGCAAAAUUUGCUAUUAGUCUGAUUGAUAUAGCUCAAUGGAAGUACGACUUCCCAAUUUGGCUGCUGGAAUUAGUCCAAGCAGAUUCAGUCGAGCAGUUGCUCUAAGUGUGUACUUUAUAUGGGGUUAAUAAUAUGUUAUCAUUUUGGAAAAAAAAAAUCUCAAAUUUUCAAGUUUAUCCUAUUUAAAUCCUAUCAGUGACAAUGAGAACAUAGAAACUAGAGAAAAUAUCAGGCCAAAAGGAUCCAACAAAUCCUGCAAUUGACUCAAGUCUUUGCUAAAUUCGUUUCAUAAUGCUGCAGUUAUUUCCUAUGCUACCAAACAUGAAUUUGGCUUUUCUCAUUUAAAUCCCCGCUGUCAAACAUAAUUUAUUAAAUCAGGUUUUGCAAAUAUAAACUAAAGGAAAGUCAUGCACGAGCCUGGACUUCUCUACUAUAAGCUUAUUACUACAAACAAAAAAUUUGCAUCUCCACAUUAAUACGAAAAUUGCUAAUAAAGGACAAAUUAUUCCUUAUUAAAACUCAAAUACUUGACUGUUUACUUCAUUGCUUGAUGCUUAAAACUAAACUGCAUAUGUGUGAACACACAAAAACAUUUGUUUCUGAUAGUUACAGCCUUAGCCAGGCCUUAUCAACAUCUCAUUCAACCUGCCUUAGAAAAUAGAAAGAAAAUCACAUUCAAUUCUCAAUUCUUUAUUUUGCACUAUUUUGUUGGGUGAGCAAUUAACAGGCACGUGAAAUAGUGGCUCAAUGGGGGAAGAAAAAACGAGGGCUAUUCCUUUUUUGUUUUUGGAUUGCGUGAUCAAUUAACAGGAAACGAUAUAAGCAAAACAAUUCUUCAUGUUCAGGCCCUUGAUUUUCCUUUGUGAAUAAUGAACUGAAAAAAGAAACUUAAAAAUACUGGUUCAAUUGAAUCUUAAAAUUAAUGCAAAACAUGGACAUGAAUGCUGUAGUGUCUGAAGUACAAUCUCGAUUUAGUACAAGACCUCUGAAACUUGAAUACAUAAUGUUCCAGUUCCCCAAUUUUAAAACCUCUCAAGCCUGGCCAGAUUCUUCAAUUCUCGAUUCUCAAUUAAUGGCUUCAUGUAUUUUCCGUUAUGAAAUUGACAAAGUCUCCAUUCUGGAGCUCAUUUCCAGUUGUCUCGGAUUUGGUAUCACUUGAAACUGGUCUGUAUCAGGGCCGUCAACAAAAACCAGAGGAAAUUUGCAGCGCUCAGACCGGCAAGCACCCAAUAAUAGUAAUUCAAGUGACUCUCAUUCAAGUCAUGCUGAAACCAACUCUUUUUCCCUCCUUUCUCGCUAAUCUUGCCCACCAAAUGAACUGAUAAAACACUUCCCAUGAUUCCCAGACCGGAUAAUCCAGGAUUGAGGUAGACAAGGUACUUUUUCAUCGAUGGGGGACUUUGAUCAUUCAAGAAUUCUGCAACACUGUUCUCAUAAAAUGAGUCUAGCCCACCAAGAAGAAAGAAUUGCGGAACAAGCAAAAAGACAGUCAUGGGGAUUUUCUCGUUAGGCUUGUCAAUUAAACCAUCACUUCUUAUCACAUGUAUCCCGUGAGUUUCUGCAAUGGCCGCAAAUAUGCAACAUAAUGCUGAGCAUAUUGUAGCUAAUGCAAUUCCAGUUGCUGGUGCAUACCUUCUUCCGCCUGCCACUUUCAUACAGUUGUAUACCCUUUUAAAACCCAACUUCGCUGCUUCAUAUAGCAACAGAAGGGUUGAAUCAGGAAAUUUCAAUUUCCCAACCUUGUAAUUCAGGUGGCUUGCUUGCUCUACGAAGUAUGUGUUUCCCACGGAAGUAACUACAGAACAAAUUAUGCAGGUGAUCCAAACUGGAAGCAUACAGAUUAUGACCCGUCUUUCUUGACUUUGAGUCCUGAAUCUGAUAAUAUCCCUGUCAGAGAACCUAAGCAAAGGAAGAGAACAGCAAAAAAAUUCCUAUGGUCAGAAGUUUCAUUAUCUCUUACUUGAGAACAAAGAAAUAGAUCUGUAUUUGAUUUAUGGAACACCCGACACUCUAUUCCUUUUCAAGUGAAAGUUGAAAAACAGGGAAGAAGGGCAAAAAUUAAGACUAUGAUCAGGAAGAGGAAGAUGGAAAAGGAAGGAUGUGUGGGGUGAACCCAAGUCUGCUGCCCUGGUAUUCGCAUGAACCCUGAAUGAAAAGAAGUGUUGCCGCCAGUGUGAAAAUUGCUGGAAUUCCAAACCGAAGUUUCCAUGGGUGUAUGUAUGGAAGUGCAAUUAGUGCAAUAACCGCGACAAUGAGCACAAAGAUAACGCCUAAUGAUCUUAGGCCCGAUAUGCUGCUUCCGUUUCUUUGGUUCUGUCUCUUAACAAGCUCCAUCAUUGCUUCUACUGGUUGAAACUGAAGUUUUGAUAUAUCCUCUUCAGGUUGAGGGCUUUGUUGCCUGUUGCUUGUUUUAUCAACAACUUGGCUCCUUUCAAGCUGAUCCAAUGCAAAUGCAGCUAAUGAAACAUUGUGCCCACUCACUCCAACAGCUGUCAACGCCAGACCUGUGUAAAAGAUAGCCUUCUGUGUGUGACCAAUGCAAUUAGGCUGGUAAUUAGCACAGAUGUGCAUUAACUUGUGCAGUGCUGGUGGCGUAGACAUUGACAGAAAACCCAAGCCCUGCUCAUAAUUUUGGAUAAUCAGUUCAAGAAAGUCCAGUAAAACUGGAAGCUAUACUUCUAUCAAGUUAGGCCGUGAAAUUGAUGACUAAAUGGAAGGAGGGGAGGAAGAACUGUGAAUGAAUUUGCCGACAGGAGAACUUACAGAGGAAAAGGCUAUACUUGAGAGAAGCAGUAUCCAGUAGUUAUCCACUCCAAAGUCCCCAAAUAAGAAAAGAAUAAAAGGGACCAAUUUAGUUAGGCCAGUGUAUACAUUCAUUAUUCCUGCAGCAUGAGUAAACCCAACUUUCCAAACAUCUGUUAAGUACUUCUGCAUUAUCCACGUCACGUAAGUCGCCAACAAAUCAGCCCAUAUCAGAACUGUUAACAAGCAGAGGAAGUUAAAGAAUGACAAGGCCUUUGAUGACUCUGAGAUGAAUUAAAAGUACCCAUUAUUCUGACAAAUGCCAUUGCUUUUUCGAACUUCUCGUUGAAAUCCUGAGUGUGAGAAAAAUACUAUCAGAACAAAGGAAAUUAAGCUGACGAAUAGAGCAGUUUCAGAACCAUAUGGUGGCCAUAGCAAGCUGAAAGAAACCAGAAUUAAUAGUUUGGAUUGAGGUUUUUCUUUAAUUACCUCCAGCAGCUAUGUGUUCUGCUGGUCUGCGAGGGAAAAAGAGAGACGGAGAAACUUCUCUGCAAGAAGUCGUUGUUAGGAAACUAGUUUAAUUUCUUUUAAACAGAUUCCUUAUUUUGUGUGAAAGUAACUAGAUUUCUAAUUGAUUUUAGUUACUUAAAUAGUAGUCAAGGAAUUUCCUAUGUGUACGAGUUUAGGAAAAGGAGUUAUUUCCUAUUCUAAAUCAGGGCAGGAAUUAGGAAUGAUUUCCUAUUAUUAUUUGGGUUUUGUCCAAAUAAUGUUCCUUAUAAAUAGGUGGGUUAGCAUACUACAUACAAGGGCACACAAGGGGCGACAUGUAGCCUUAUACAUGGAUGGUGAAAGAGGGUUCUUGGGAGAUGAGAGAUGAUAUGAAAGGAUUGGAUUUGGAUUCAAAUUGUAUUCUUGUAUAGAGUUUUUCUCUCAUAAUGAAGAACGAGUUUCUCUCCGGGGAUGUAGGUUUAAUGGUAGAGUCGAACCAUGUUAAAUAUUGUGUGUCGUUUAUCUUUUAUGCUUAUGGUUUGUUUAUCAUUAAAUUAUUAUAUACUUGAUAUUUCAAUAGUUGUUUGUUCCGCGCUUUAAUCCUAACAAGUGAUAUCAGAGCUUGGUUGUGAGAUUGAGCGGCUCACAAGUACUUGAAUCCCAACAAACUGAAUGGUUGAAUUAAGAGUUUAUUUGUUCAAGGUUGGAUCCUGGUUAAUUAUUGAGAUCAAGUGCGUUGGUGGCUGUUACCAAUUGAACAAUUUAAUGGGUGUUAUUCUUAUUUCAAAAGUUUGGUAAGAAACAUUAAAAGUGAAGAAUGGAAAGUUGAAAAACAUGAAGAUACUUGACAGUGAAUCUAUACCGGUGAUUUAAGAGUCAAGAAAAAGAUGGAGUCUAAUGUCGAUUUUUGAACAUAAAUCGUUGGGUUGAUAUCUGCUUCGGAAGCUGCCUGUCCUUCAACUGUAUAUCUAUUAGUCUCCACAGUCUUAUUGCACCUUUGCUCUUGACUAUCUUAACUCUGUGGCCUCAUCUACAGCUGCACUUCCGCACCUUCUUUCCUUCAAAACCCAUCCUUCUAUUGUUUCAAAUGAGGCAACAUCGUAGCUUUGGAUAAUUUUAUAUGUGCUCACAGUUCACAAUUUGAUACAUUGAAAUUAUCUUCUCCAUAAUUUCGAGACCACCAACUGUGUGGCUCCAAAUUCGAACUUUUAUUGGCCUGGUCCAGUUUGCUUAGUAAACCGAGAGUUCGCCUCUCACGAUUUACAAUCCAUCUAUUUGUCUAUUAGCAGCUAGGAAAAAUGACUUGUUUCGUCUUUUACAUUUUGAUGAAAAAUUAAUUUUAUUAUUUACUUUUAAUAUAAAGUAAAUUAGUCCCUCAUAUUUUAAAGUGAACCAAGUUAGUCUCAAAAUAACCUGAUAUAGUCAUAUGGAUCUUACACUUAAUCAACAUAAAAAGAAAAUAAAUUUAAAAUUAUAACAUAAAUUACAAUCCAUUUUCUCUAAAAAAAAUUAAAAUUUUUUUAAAAAAUGACAUUAAGCUAACGUAGGAAGGGAAAAAUUAAAAUUCAUAUCAUAAAAGAAACCCCCAAGUUACAAAGUUUUACAACUAAAAAAUGUUUAACUUUUUAUAGAGAAUGGUUUGUUUUAGAUGUUAUAAUUUUUAAUUUUUCUCUUUUUUAGAGAGAAUAGUUUGUUUUAGAUGUUAUAAUUUUAAUUUCUUAAGAGAUAAUUGUUUAUUUUUGAUGUUACAAUUUUUAAUUUUUCCCUUUUUAUGUUGACUUAAUAAAAUUUCCUAAUGAAUUUUUAAUUUUAAAUUUUUUAAAAGAAAAGGGUUUUUUGUCAUAAUUUUUAAUUUAUUUCAUUUUUAUAUUGACUUAAUCACAUGUGCAUAUCAAGUAUAGUUAGAUUUGGAAGAAAUUAAAGUGACUGUUUCUAUUUCACCCCUAAAAUCUAUAUCAGGUUGUCAUUUUGGGACUAACUUGCUUCAUUUUUAAAUAUGAGAAACUAAUUUGAUUCAUUUUUAAAAGGGAAAUUUGCCAAAUUGGUCCCUAACAUUUACCAAAAACACUUUUUUAGUUUCUAACAUAUAAAAUCAGCCAAAAUUGUCCUUCACAUUUAAAUUGUGAUCCAAUUUGGUCCUAAUGCUCAUUUUUGCUCCUUUCUCCGGCUAAAAAUAGCACGCCUCUCUCACGUGGCCAUAUUUUCAAGGGCAAAAUUGGAAAACACAAAUCCCAGAUCCACUGGGGACGAUCCCUGACCUCACGAUCUUUAUCUUGUUUCGAUUCUCUAAGGACAGGUUCACCACAACGGUGACUGAGUUCACCUGAACAGAAGCAUAUUUGGAGGUGAUCAAAAGAGGGAGUGAAGUAAGGUGAGGUGAGGUAUGCGACGCGCGCCAGUGGCGUCGAGCAGCGGCGGCGGCUGCUUCUCGUGGAUGCGGGCUGCAGCGUCGGGGCAGGCAGAGGAUGAAAGAGAGCCGCGCAGUGGCGACGCGCUGAGCAGCGGGCGGCGUGCGCUGGGGUCGCGGGUGAGCUGGUGGAAGGAUGCGGUCGACUAAAGAGAGAGACGAGGGCAGUGCGCAGGGCAGCGGAGCAGAGAUCGCGCGACAGUAGAGAGAGGCGGCGGACAAGCGAGGUUGGAGGGGCGGAGGAUGCGGCGGCGGUGAUGAGGGCUCUCGGUCGCGAUGGAGAAGAAGAAACAGGGGACAAGAAGAAAGAAGAAAGCUUUUGUUUUCCAAUUUUGCCCAUGAAAAUAUGACCACGUGAGAGGGGCGUGCUAUUUUUAGCCGGAGAAAUGAGUAAAAACGAGCAUUAGGACCAAAUUGGAUCACAAUUUAAAUGUGAAGGACAAUUUUGGCUGAUUUUAUAUGUUAGGGACUAAAAAAGUGUUUUUGGUAAAUGUUAAGGACCAAUUUGGCAAAUUUCCCUUUUUAAAAUGUAGGACAAAAAACAUUUUUUCCAAGAUGUGAUGAUUGAAAUUCAUCAGACCAUCAUAUUGACUUAGAAGAAAAUAAGAUGAAGGCAAAAGGUUAAUUGAUGAUUGAAGUUCACUAUAUUAUUGACUGAAGACGGAAAAAAAAAAAGAAGAAAAAGUGGUUACGGAAAUGAAGACAAAGCUGAAAACAGAAAAGAGCCCCAAUAUGCUCUGGAAUAUGAGGUGCGAUUUGGGGAGAAGGGGUUUUUGUCAAUGGUGUAGACAAUAUGCGUUUCCUUUUUUACCCACAAAUAAAGAGCAAGAUUAUACCACUCUUUCCACCCAAAAUAACAAAAAAAAAAAAAAGAAAAAAGAAACCACAUACACAAACACUCAAUUUUAUUUUAUUUUUACAGUCCUAAUGAAACUUUUAAUAACUGCCAAUAGCUUACUAUCUUCGAAAAAGCUUAGUAUCUUCUGAAAAAAAGGAAAAAAAACUCUCAUUAUAGGCCUAAUAAAACCCUCCAAUACUUGCCAUUGCUUUUUUUUUUUUUUUGUGUUAAAGGUUUUCUUCCCACUACAGCAAGUGGUUCUUGGAUGAACCCAAAUUUUGUAGGAGGCAAAAGGCUGGGCCAAGAUAGGACUCGUAUAAGGACUUAAUGGGCAACACUUCUGUGGGUGAUUGGAGUAACGGCUAAUAGAAUGACAAUCGCCAAGCAAUCAUUGCUGUGUGAAAAAUGUCCUUUCCGCUUUAGUAUUAUAGUAGUCUGCGGGCCCGCGCCACGCGCAGGGUAGGCAUAUGUAACCCCUGUUAAUAAUUUGUGUUUGUCUAGUAAUAUUUUGUAAAGUUUGUUUUGUAAAUAUUGAUGUAGGAAAUAAUUUUAUAAUAUGUAAAAUAAUUGUGAGCUAGUUAUUUUUGAUUAAAUGAGGAUUAUUGGAAGGAUUGUUGGUAGGUUAUUGUAUAAAAUGUAGUUUAAUGUUGAAUAAAAAUAUAGCAUAUAUGUGCUGAAAUAGUAGAAUAUGAGAAUAGUAUUGAACGGUGAAAGUGUAAUCUUUAUAGUUAUUAUUUUAUAUUGCAGGAACUUCUACAAGUUUGACAUCCAAUAUCUACAUUUGAUAUUUGUUCAUAAUUAUGAGAAUAUAGUCUGGACUAAUAAUAUGGUAUUGUAGCAUUUUUUUCGAACUUUGAUGUUCCAACAUCUGUGUUGGUAAGAAAAGAUGAAUAUGCUAUUUUUGUUUGGCAAUAUAUGAGCAACAUCGUCGUGUUAGAGUUCUUGCAAAAUAAAAUAGAUGAUUACAGUAAACAUGUAUGAUUUUUUCUUUUUUUUUUAAUGUCACCAUCCAAACAAAACUUCUGUUGUUUGAAAGGAUAAUCAGCAUUUAAUGCUAGAGAAAAAGUAACACUAUCAAUGGGAAAUAAAAAAAACGCAAACUCAAAGUGAGAAUUUUCCAAUGAAGAAGGCUGCAUUCAAUAUCACAUGAGGAGCUACCAGGGCACCGACGCAAAUGGACCGCAAUAGCCCAAAAAUAUCAAUCCAUACCGAAAUAACCAACGGACACCCUUUUUCUGUUCAUUCAGUCAACUCUCACUUUUAUAUAGUUAGAUUAGAUUAGAUUUGGAGAAUUGUUAACGGCACUCUAUUUUUUUUUGCUAGUGACAUUUCCAUUAUUAUUUUUAACAUAUGAUAUUUAUUUAUUAGACUAUAUGAUAAAGUAAAAGAUGGGAAUGCGAUUAACAAAUAGUGAAGUGUGUUAAUAUUUCCAUUGUAUUUAACGGAUAACUAGAGUUUUAUGUAUUAAACUUUGUCGUGCUUUAUGAGUAGUCACCUUUAAAUGUCGAAAAAAAUGUAUUGUUCUUUAGUACACUUAGUGAUGAUUAGAAAGAUAAAAACAUAGUGCUAAUAUGUAUUUUUAGUGAUAUUGUACAUAAAAGCGUGUUACGGCAAAUUCUUACUAUGGUUAAUUAAAAUUUUAGUUUCAUGGACACAUACCCACAUUACUCUACUUCAAUCAAAAUUACAUAAUCAUCAAUCAUCACGAUCAACGUACUUUCAAAUACAAUUUGCAAGAGAAAUUUUUUCCUCAUAAAUUUCUUAAUAAACUGUGUCAAGGGCAAAAUUUUUGAAUUUAAUGGAAGAUAUUUCUUUCUUGUUAUAUGAGAUAAAUGUACUUGAUAAAUUUCUUUUUUUAUAUUAUUGAAAGGAUUUGUCACAUUUGAGAUCAAGUGAAGGUGUGUAUUUUAUAUGUGUUUAACUUAGCCAAAGAGUCUCUUUCUUGAGUAAUUUAGUACAGUCAAUUUGUUCAAAACGACAUCAUAUUUAUAUUAUGGAGUUAUAUAUAACAUGUUGCGAAAAGAAAAGAAAAAGUUGGCUAUUAACAUCUUGAAAACAUAGAAUGUAAAAGAAAAGGCCAUAAAUAAAAUACUUUGUUUUGUUGUGAAACUAUAUCUUAUCUCUGUUAGCAUUCAUCAACUUUAGAAUAACGUAGCUUGGAAUUUAAAAUGGUACUAUUAAAAUCAUGUUAACACUUUGAAUAAAUUAUAAAUGAGCUCCCCUAUUGUUUAAUGCUCGUUUGUAUAAUCCUUUACUAGUUACAAAAUCAAUAAAUGAGCUCCACUACUUGGGCUGCUGGAAGUCAUCCACUGUAAAGAAGUCACUGAAAAUGUCAAGGCUACCCCAUUAAAAGGCGCCACAGUUACUGCCCAAAAAUUCUGAAGUUCUCUAUUUUCUUCCAUUGGCUUCUUAGUUUCUACUUUCUAUUACAAAGGUAUUAAGGAGGACAACUUCCAAUAGUUUGAUACUUUCAAAGGGCUACGUGUAACUUUUGAAACAUAAGAGAUCGUGUGAUAAACUUUAAAUUGCAGUGAUUUAAAAAGGAUAGGUUCAUUAGUUUGAUACUUUCAAGGGGGUUGCAUGUAAUUUUUGAAAUAUAAGAAAAUCAUGUGAAAAAACACUAAAUUAUAGAUCAUUAAAAAAAAUUUACCCCUGAUUCUUUCUAAUAUGGUAAAUACACAUUAAAUCAUACCAUAAGCUCUUACACAUGCACUGAAAGAAUAAGGGGGCAAGGUGGAGAGGAAAUUUAAUGACACAAAACCCCCUAGUGUUUUGCGGUAUUAACACAUUCCUACCCAUGACAGAGAUUCUAUGCUCUGCUAUUAUAACUUUUGAAACACACACAACAACUGCUGAUUAUGUCAACUGGUUAGUUUUACAUCGUCUCUUGAAUGAAAACAAAGAAGAUGCUUGAGAUUAGGACAAAUGGGAAGAACCCCAGCUUAUGUAAUGUUAAGCAGACUGUACAAAUUGACCAUUUCAUUUGCGCCUCACAACAUCUGUUUCUGAUUGUUGGGGCCUUCAGUUGUGGAAAAAAUCUAGGAGGGUUGUCGGAAUAGUGGUCUGACCCAAGAGGCAUGAGAAACUAGGGCUGUCGAUCGAGUCUAAUGAGUCGGAUUUUCAUGAGCUUGAGUCCAGUUCAUUUAAUUUAUUAUAUUUUUGGUCUUCGAGCUUAAGUUUCGAAUUAAUAAAUGUGAAAUUCAUAUUCAAUUCACAUAAUAUUCGGAUUGUGAGCUUUAUUUAGGCUUAGCCCAAGCUCACUUAUUACCUUAAUUUUCUAUCUUAAUAUAAUUACUGUGACGCCCCCACUUCUCCCUAAGGCUAAUCAAAGGGUAUCCGCGGGACGCCUGCCUAGCUCUCGCCAGGACUCAAGCAAUUCCAUUCAAACUUAUUAUCGGACCACACAAUACGGUCAAUAACUUAGAUACAAUAAAUGCGGAAGCGUUCAAGUUUAAUAAAAGUCAUCCGUUAUCCAACCCGCACAUCGGGUGUUCAACAACCAUCAUAAAUUCCAAAUAUACAUCAUGCCCCAAAAGUUACAUUCGGAUUCCAAAAAUACAACCCAAAAGCCAAAAUAUAGUCAAAAGUAAUAGAAACCCUAAACAAAAGCGUAUCAGGAAGGUUUCUUCGAUACCUCGCCAAGUUCAAUCCUGUUAAGGAAAACAAAUCUACAGGGUGAGCAAAAACGCCCGUGAGGCCAAGAACACAAAUGCAGGCACAUAACUCAGGUAACAAGUCCCAAGUAACAAUUCAAGUAAUAAUUUGCAAGUAAUUAAUAAUGCCAACAAAAUAUAACCAAAAACAAUUCAAGGAUAUGGUAGCUCUCAGGAGUUAAGUUCCACAUUUUGCCGAUGUCAUUCGUAUACCUCCCCGCGAUGACUCUCCGUCAACCGGGUUGAUAUUUCAUAUCCGUAGUUCACCACUUACUUCUCAUCCGUCCACCCCACACCGCUUCAGGCCCGCACGACAUUUAGAAGGCUAUACUCCACGAGUAUGCCAAGCGAGAUCUCUCAAAUAGAUCAAGCUUAUCAUGUAAUUCUCAUGGCUCACCAAGGUUCCCGACCAGGCCCAUGCCGGCUCGAGUUCCAAGGUCGGCCUAUGAGUUUGGGCAUCGCCCAUGUAUCAUGUAAGUGUCGAGGAGAUUCACUCCAAUGACGUAUGCAGCCAUAACAUACCAUGUCAUGUAUUCAAGCAUUUGAUAGAUCUAAGCAGGUAUUUCAAGUCAUGUAAACCAGGUAAAUCAUGUUAUGUAUGAGUCAUUUGUUUUCAAAUGAGAACGAGUGCGAUAAAGUACACACUCGACUCCAUUUUUAAAAAAAAUCAAGUAGGCUAAGCAUGUAAUCAAAUCCAUAGAGUUUAAGUAGUCAAACACUUGACACUCACCAAGUUACGCAAGCAAGCAGGUUGGAUUGAGUGUUCAAACUUCCACGGUAGGGUCCUCUUGGAGGUCCUCGUGCGUGCCUGAACAUCGAAUAGAAGACCAUUACUAUAGGUCCCUAAGAGACGAGGAGAUCGAACACAAAUGUGGUCUGGAAAAAUUUUGGAAAUUUCGUUUGAGUUCGUCUUUGAAGUUGGAUUCGCAAAAAGGUACGAGACUCGAGUAAUAUCGGAUUAUUAUUCUUGAAAUCAUUGGAUGGAAACGAGUACGUGCGAAUAAAUCUCAAAACGAACGACCAAAGUUGAAAGUGGACUGGCCACAUCACAAUCCGGCCGGAAUCUGGCCGGAUUCAAGGCCGGAUUCUAGAAAAAUGCUUCCCACGCGGAUUUCUUUUGAAAUUCCAGAAUUCUCGAUUUUUGGUAAAAUCUUUGAAAAAUCAUAACUUCUUUUUUACUAGUCAAAAAUUGAUAAACUCGGUACCGUUGGAAUCUUCUUUGAAAGUACUAAAAGUUUUUAGAAGACACUGUUCCAUGAAUCUAAAUGGAAGGUAUUAAAAAAUGAGCUUAAAGUUGCUGUUCCAGAUCACCCAGAAUUGAGCCGGGGUUGGUUUUUUGCUAACUUUGGAAAUUCGGCAGAAUUCACUCGUUGCAAACCAGCCCUUGAAAUUUAUAGCUCAAUUAUAGGUGCAAGUACGGUUUAGGACAGAACAAGCGGAUUGAGAAUCGGAGUUUUGAUCACCAAGAUAUGGUAGCUCAAAGUUGGGAAAAAUUCAAGACUGGAGAAGAAUUUCCAGAUUUGAACUUCCAACAUUGGAAGUUUAGUUAGGUAUUGAAACGAACUUGGAUUGGUACCAAAAUUGGCAGUAUUUUACUCUUAUAUGAAGGGUAUCUCUCUAUCAAGUUUCAUAGAAAAAUACCUUCGGGAAGGCAGUCAACGAACCAACUGAAGUUUGGAAAAAUUCUUAAGGCAAUCUGCCUUUAAUCCAUUUCUUUCCAAAUCCAAUCGUUUGGCUAAGAAAAUCCUCCAAUCAUGAUUCAUAUGUGAAUGGAAAGUCUAAGGGACAUUCAUGGUACAUUUGGUAGGUGUUUAACACCAAGAAUUUCAUUUAGUAAGACCACAACAAGUCUCAUCUCAAAUCUGUCCAAAACUAAGUUUUUCCAAAACAGAGCAGUGUUCUUGUUUUGAUCACAACUCAGUCGAAUUAACUCGGAAUUGAGAAUGGUUUAUGGCGUUGGAAAAUAAAUUCAUAGGGCUAAAAAUUCUCAGAAGAAAACGUUUUGAAAUUUGGCAAACAACCAGCUCGAAAUUGAGCCUCAAGUUGCUGCCUCUACAAAUCAUUCCAACAGAAUGGAGAAACAGGACAGCUAUCUUAAAACGAAUGGUUCGACUCCUACAUAUGGAAUCAGAAGGUGCAUUUUAUACCGUUGGAAAGGUAUGGAUGUCUAGUUUCAAAUGCCACCAACGGAACUCGAUUUUGACAUCGGAGAACAAAGUUAUGGUCGAAAUACUACCGCUGGACAGGGUUAUCCGAAAACAGUUUUCCAGCUUGACUAGUUCACAAAUAAAUUCAUUUGCCCAACCAAACGUUAAUGUUUUCCAAUGAAAAUUUUUACACAUCUACUACAACAUAUAAACAUCAGGUUCAAGCCAUUAGAUCAUCAAAAAUUGGCCUUAUCAUGGCCGAAAAAAACAGGGGCAGUUUCAGAAAUUUUUGUCAUGGCCUCAACUUUUGAGUUUCCAACAAUAAUACUCCAUAAAUCUAUCAUUUUAACCACUAAACUACCACUAUAAACAGCAUCAAUCACCAUAACAGCCAUCAAGACAGAGGUGGGAGUUCAUAGAGCCCACCUUCCAUUUUUUUCAACAACAACAACAACCCAUAAGAAAUUAAGAGCUAAAAGAUAUACUAGAACUUCCAAAAAUUGAAGUUAGAAGGCUUGAUCAUGACUUACUCUAGUUGAUGUUCAAGUCAGAAAUUCAGUCCCUCCUUGCUCCUAAGUGAGCCGUGAAAAGCCUCCCCUUUUUAGCUAGAUAUGAACUCCAAGGCUUAGGCUAAGUAGUGCUAAAAUUUGAGAAGAUUUGGUGGUGAUUUGAGUGAGUUUUGUAGAGGAAAUGUUGGAAAGUUUCGGUUGUUCCUUUGCUGUCUGCUAGCCGGCCAUGGAAGCUUGGAGAAAUGAAAUGUUUGGUCUGAUUCUAUUGUGUACAAAGAAAGCUUAACGUCUAAUAGUUUAAGUGCGCAAAAGUCAUCCGCCAAUAGUGCGCAUACGCGUGCGUUUUGUGCUUGAUUUCUCUUAAGUUUGUUGCACUAGUGCACUAAACCUCUAGGGCACUUACAUUCAUAUAAAUAUUAUUCAUUCUUAAUUGUCCCAAAAUAAUGGUCCAAAGUCCCUCAAUUAAGCGCGCACGUGAAAACACGUAUUUCCAAUUUAGGCGCAAUAAAGUAAAAUUUUCGAGAAAUUCUUAUAACGAUCGUACCACUAACUAUCAUAUGAGUAUUUAAACCUAAAUUUACCUAUUUUAGGACCAUUGUAUAUGUCUCAAAUUUUUGAGCUUAUUGAACUCCCAAUUGGCUAAAGUUUUCAGACACGUUUUCACUUUUCCACUAAUCAAGCUUUUAAGAAAAUAAUUUUUGAAACGAGACACUUUAAAAAUAUAACGAAACGAUAAAACUAUGUACUUAGGUCUAAUAAGGUUAGAAAAUAUUAUUCGUGGCAAAAAUCCAAAUAAAUAAUUAAUUAAGCUAAAAUUAGAGAUUUUAAAUAAUAAAAUUUUCGAGUCCUCACAAUUACUAUAACUAUUAAGUUGUAAAACUAAUUUAACAUUUACAAGACUAUAAUAUUAAAACUAAGCACGAACAAAUAAUAAUUCUUCAAAAGUACAGAAACCAAAAAAUUUUCAACAAUAUUUAUAUUUAAUUCUUUCAAAAUACAUGAAAAAUAGUAAUAAAACAUGUGGUCAUAAGCCAAUACAUCUUUAAAAGUUGAAACUUUUUUAUAACCUUGUGAUUUGAAUCCAAACAUGCUUGAUGAUUUGUGUUUCUAGAACAAAAAGAAAUCAACUAAUAUUAUACCAAUACAAAAAUGUACUCAACCAAUAAGAAAGGUAGAGAUUCAGUUAUGCAUUAUUAAUAUUGUCUCUCAAGAAAGCUCAUAAAAGAGUCUUCGGGUGUAUUUUUGUAUUUUGUAAUUUAUAUAUAUUUAGUAUUUAGUAAAAUAUAUAUUUGGAUAUAUAAUUAUACAUAAUAUCAAAAUAUAAACAUUAUAUAUAUAGGUAACUAAAGGAUCGGACAUAUAUUGGGCUUGAGCCUAAUAAGGCCUAAAUUCGACUCAUAUUUAAUUCGAGCCUAAUUUUUAAGUUCAAUCUCAGACCGGCUCACUUAAAAAUCGGUCUUAUUGGACUUUUUGUCAAGCCGAACAAGCUGUGCACGGGCUGGCCCAACUCCAUUGACAGUCCUACAAGAAAUUGUUGUCCUUAAGGAUAAAAAUGUACCCAAAUAAUAAUAAUAAUAAAUAAAAGGAAAAUGACAAUCUACUUUGGCUACUUUGUUCUGCCCAUUUUCUAGUUCUUGAGAAAUAAAACGAGAACAUAUUUAUAUUUGGAAGUUUUCAAGCACAUCAAACUUAAAGGAAUUUAACAACUCAUAUGAAGGCUGUACUUAGGGGUGGCAAUUUUCGACACAAUCUGAAAACACGACACGAACCUAACACGAAAUUAAUGGGUUUAGGUUGAGGUUUUGGGAAUUCGGGUCAGAAUCGGGUUGGACCCGAUGAACCCGAAAAGAAAACAGGUCGAUUUCGGGUCAACCCGUGGUGACCUGAUAUGACCCGUUUACGAAUUAAAAAUAAUUUAAUAAACAUAAAAAUAAUUUUAUCUAACUAAACUAAGUUAUUCUUUUUUUCAAAGGCAUUAAUUACUUAAUCCUAAAUGAAUUUAUUUAAUUUGUGUGAAGUUGAAAUUAUUAUAUUUGGACAAAUAAUAUAUUAUAUUAUUUUUUAUUUUUAUACUGUUUUAAUUUAUUUUAUAUUUUGUUUGGGAUAAAACACUUUUACGGUGUUUAAUUUAUUUUAGAUUUGGUUUGGAAUUAUUUAUUUAAAUUUUUAUUACUUGAUUAUGUAAUUAGUUUUGUGAGAAAUUGAUUUUAUUAGAAAUUACAGUGAUAAAUUAAUAAAUUAAAAUUAAGUUUCGGGUCAUUUCGGGUCGACCCGCCAACCCGCCAACCUGAAAUUUUCGGGUUCGGGUCAGCAUACCUGACCCGUCACGGGUUGGCGGGUCGGGUUCGGGUCAACAGAUUUUCUGACGGGUUGACCCGAACCCGACCUGCCAACCUGAUUUGGACCCGAAUUGCCACCCCUAGCUGUACUAUUACUUCAAAUCCUUUUCUAAUGUUAUUUGUGUGACAUCAAUGUUUCUGUUUGAUAUUAAAUAGAGAAACUUAUUGUAUUGAAUUUUCUUAUGAAACAGAAUUGGAUUAGGAAGACACUGCAUAAAUGUUAAUUUGUAAAAGAGAAAAGUAUACUAAACAAGAAAUCUCAAAAACAAGAAAGCUGGUUUUAUCUCAAAAAAGAAAUGCAAACAAAUUUGUGUUAGGAAAUAUUCAUGAUUCUAAACUUCUAUGAACCUAACUAUAAUGAUGCGAGAAUGGAUCAAACAUCUAUUAAGUUGUUUGCCACUAUUACUCUGUCACAUAGAACUCUAAGAAGAAGAAGAGCUUUGCACCAUCUUCACCAUAUUUAGAAGAACCCAGCCCCUGCUCUGCAAAAUGCUCAUCGUUUCCUUUAAGUUGGCUGGAACUGUUUCAUCGGUAAAGUACUCAUCUCUGGCCACCUCUGCUGAGCAAAAUCUCAAAGCAUAUGAUUUCAACAUGGGCUUGGCCAGCUGCCAAAUCGGCUGAAAUAUGAAAGGAGCAUCAAUGAAGAGGACUUCGUUUAGCCUCCUUGGAUAGUAGUAGUAGAAUACAUCAAACAAAAAUGUAAGAGACCUGAGAUCUGCAUUUUCUGUACCAAAACCUCGAAGAUCAAUUAUUACAAGUAUCUGUUCCUUCCCAGCUGGAAGCUUACUAAGUGCUUUCUCAACUAAGAAAACACAUAAUUUUUCAUCUUCAUGGAAAUCAUGCUUCCCAGGGAAAUGCUUGGAUGCUUCUACUAUUAUUACCGGUCGGCUGUUGACAUCAAGAUAGUCAUGCACAUAGGCUUUCCCACUUUCAGCUGCUGAUCUUACUGAUUCUUCUCAAAGUUCUGAUACGCCAAAUUUAUGAUACCAUCUUAUGGCUUUUCUCAAUUUGGACACUGCCUCUUCAACAGAAAAUCUUCUGUCCUUCAAAAACCAAAAAAUCAGCUCUUCAUCAUCUUUUCCAUUUUUUCCAGCUGGAAGACUGCUACAUUCUUUUUCAAGCUUUUCUUUAACUUCCACAACUAACUUUUGGGCAUCUUUUGGGGCCAGAGCACAGUGGCGCCGAGAAGCUUACGAAUUCAAAUGGGUUUACUUGAAAAGAAUGAGGAAUUGAGAUUCUUGAAAUGGUUACCCAAUGGAGGCCGGAGUCCCAGUUGGAAUGCCAUUUGAUGUAUGAUUGGAGGCCGGAGUCCCGGUUAUUCAUGCUUAAGUGAUUGGGAGAUGGAUAAUCUUCUUAUUGAAACUAAGAUUUACAUUUUUUUUGGGGGGGUCAUUUCUGGUGAGGGCUGCAGAAGACUACCCUGUUGAGGAUAUUGUUUGUUGAAUAUUUUUUGGUUUAAUUGGGUUUCCUUGGUUUGGUAUAGUUUGGUUUGGUAUAGUAUAGUCAGUUAGCUAGGAAGCUCCAAGUUCAUAUAUUUGCAUAGGAAAGCUCAGGCGAAGCUAAAAUUAAUAAUUUAAGAUUCUCCAAUUGCAUUCUCAAGUACAUGCAAGUCCAAGUUCCAAAUUCAAACUUUCCUUUGCUUCUCCAAUAGAACCAAUUUCGAAUUCCAAUCUCACAAUAUUCGCCCUUUAUCAUAUCAUGAUACCGCAUUUUUUCUUAUGCAAUUCAAAGUAUUUUUUUUUAGCUUUACUCUUCACAGAAUCUUGAUUUAUGCCCUUUUAUGGAGCAUGAAUGGCUCAAUUAAUAAUUAACACCGCCAAUUUAUUGCCCCAUUUUCUGAUUUCAAUAAUGGUCGCCCGAGGAGUUGUAGGAAUGGUAAACCGGUGAUGAAAUGGAAAGUAAAGAAGAAAUCAAAUGGAUCGUUUUAGAUUGGAGCAUUAUAUCAUAUUGAUUGUUACCAUAACUCCAAGUGGGGAUUUUUUUUUUUUUGUGUGACCAUAUAUCUAUUGCUUUCCCAAGUUGUAUGCCUAUUUAAGCAAACAGCCUUCAUGACACGUGAAGAAUAAGAACUUUUCCAUAUACAAGAUUUAAGUGGUGCAAAUUCGAGGAGUUUUUUAAAGUAACAAAAUGAGCCUAAUUUUCACCACUGAAUAUUUUGCUUGUAAAAUGAGCACGAGUUUAAAUGGUGCCAUGAUCAUAGUCUUCAAAUCAUUGUCUAAACCCCAAUGAAGACUUCAGAAUGCGGACAUUGAAUUAAUUCAUACGAUUAUUGAAGGUUUUUCAAAAGAAAUUCUGAAUUUUAAAGUAUGGAUUAUUGAAAGCCUUAAGAAAAAGGUGUGGUCUUUCCAUAACGAUACAAGUCUCAGGCAUUUCUUCUUCCUCGACCAAAGUCUUCAAAUCAAGCUUUUUUUUUUUUUUUUUAAAUUAAGGAAGGUUUUUUGCAGUCAGGAACUGGUAUAAGUAGAUAAUUCAUACUACUAUAAAUAGAUGUUGGCUUCUUGUUCUCAUCUUAAUACAUUUUUUUGCUCUAACACGUUAAAUUAAAAGGCAGUGACAAAUAGUAACCAUUCACUUGGGUAUUCUUAAAACUACAAGAACGGUUUUUUUAUCGAUGUCUUUCAAAUCAAGAGGAAAACAAAUUACAUAAACAAUGUAUAUUACUUGGUCUAGAAUGUUGUUACAACAAAUAUUCAUGCAUGCAGGAAUUUCUGCUAGGCGCAUAUCUCAAAUAGUUCAAGCUCAUAUGGUUUGAAUUAGCAUAUACUAAUACUACUACAUUUUCUAUUACUCCUGUAAAUAUUAAAUUCUUUAUCGAAUGAUAUGAUGUUGUCGUUUUCUGUAGGUGAAUAAAUAGUAAUACAAAAAUAAAUACAAAAAAAUCGCAUUGCUAAAGAGGGAAAGGGAAUUUCCAUAAGUCAACCAUAUAUUUAUCCUAUCGUUGAAUUUUUUCCCCCCGGGUAUAAUAAGCGCAAAAUUUGAAACUAAAUAGAUAAUAAUGUCUUCUUUAACUUUACUACAAUACUUCCUUCGAAGCAAAAGAAAAACCAUUAUUAGCGGUACUUUGCAAUUGAAAAAUGACGAGUUUGUGGGAGAAAGAGUUAAAAUUUAUACUUAGAAAAUGUGGCUAUCCUAUAAUAGUUGGAUUUUUAAUGGUAUCCAAAAGCUAUCCUUUCUUGUCUACAGAUAUGUUCUCCAUCCGUUACUCUAAUUCCUCAUUUUAGUUGCAAGAGAAAAUGUAAAAGUCUUGAGCUGUGCUUCUUUGACAAAUUUGGAUGCGUUUCCAUUGGCGUUUUCACUUUAACUUUCUCAACCAUUGUUGUUACAGGGGUUCAUGUUUUCUGAUUGAAUGGUGGGGCGUUCAACCUUUUUGAUUGUGAACAAUAUCUCAAUGGUUGUUGCAUCCGCAAAGGACACUAUUAAUUUUCAAGAUGAAAUUGUAAAAAGCAAAACGAGAACUAUAAUUGUUCCUUGGAAACGUUGAUUUCAUUGGUUUAUCCUUGGAAAAUGUACUUGAAAUAUAAUUUGGUCUUAAUUAUUGAUCCUCGAGAAUUAGAAUUAAAAUGGACAUCUUAUUUUCUUUGAUUUUUUCAAGAAAUGGGGGCAAAAAACCUUAUUUGAAUUGUAUAUAUGAAAUUAAUUGACUCGACAAUUUUAUUUUGAGUAUUUUCAUUAGCCAAAAAUUAAGUUUUGUUUUAUUUCUUGGCUCAAUAAUCAGGCUUGCGAUUUCAAAUUACUUUAAACUUAGUGUUUAAUCAAAAUGAAAUCAUUUGGCCUUCUAAAUGAUUAUAAUGGCGUGGAUUUGAGGCGGGGAAGCCCUCUCCAUCCCUCACCCCGUUUUCCAGAAAGCUCCUCUGCCCCUGCCCCGAAUCCGCCCCAACUUCUACGAUUUCUUGACACACGAGCAGAUUUGUCAAAGAAGCCCAACUGCCAAUUCAGGCCGACUGACAAGAAAAACGUUCUAUAAAUUUGAUUCUGGCCCAAGCCCCAGUAAACCAAGAAAAGUAGAUAGCCAUUGGUGUUCACCCAGUGAAAUGCAAAAUUGGAUCCUGGACAAUCUGAAAGAAGAAGAAAUGAUUCCAUUGCUUAAACCUGGAAGCGAUUUCCUGUGCUCAGACAUACAUAGGUAUAACAGCUUCAUUUCUUUUAUAUAAACUCAUUACUUUCCUUUGUUAGCAAAUCAGCAAUAAAACUAAGCUCUCCCUCCAAGAUGCCUUUACACAUUGGCAAUUUUACACUUCCAAAGCAAUAAAGCAUUCAAUUCCAGCUAUACAUAUGGCGGCUGGUCCUGAAGAAGUUGAAUAAUAAAGAUUGAAUGCCAAGAGUUGCUCAUCCGAAUACGCAUGAAAGAUGAAUUAGAUGGCAAUUUCCAAAUUCAUUCCAAGUUCCUCCAUCAUCAUUUGGUUGUUGACAUCUGCUUGGAGCAAACCUUCUGCCAUCCAAAGUUCGAUUAGCAUAUCUCCUUUCAUCAUAGUAUCCUAAGGAAAUAUAGAACAAUAUGCAAAACAUUUCUUAAUGGAUGGAGAUGGUAAACAAUCAAAACUCAAUUUAAGUAUUUCCAUGACACCAUCUUCAUCUCCACUGAAAUUUGAAAGCUUAUUCUUCAAAACCAAUUGCCACUCGUCUUUUCUCUUCAUGCGCAAUAAACCUCCCAUUACACUUGCAGCCAGUGGUAGACCACCACAUUUUUUUAUAAUUUCCUUUUUCAUGACAUGCAAUUGUUUGGGAAUUUCUCCACCUGCAAUGGCUUUCUUUGUUAGGCUAGACCAACAAUCGUCAUCAUCAGAUAGCUUUCCUAGCACAUAAGGAUCAUGUGUGGCCACAAUGGAUGCAGUUUGUUGUUUACGAGUAGUCACAACACACCAAUUUCCAUUAGUUGCAUUUAGCCCCAGUAAUGAACCAAAAAAAUCAUCCCACAAGGUAAGAUUUUCGGUCCAGACAUCAUCAAGAACAAGAAAAAAAUUUUUUCCCACAAGUUGUUCUCGAAUUUCCUGGACGAUGACAUCCCUACUGGUCAUUUUAACAUUUCUUCUUGUGAGUGCUUCUAAAAUCAUUUUCAAAAGCCUGGUCACGUCAAAAUUGUCGGACACACAAACCCAAAUUUUUUUCUCAAAAUGGCUAUGAACGUGACUAUUUUUGUAUACAGAUUGAGCUAAAGUUGUCUUUCCCAAUCCGCCCAUCCCAAGGAUGGGAAUUACAGAAACGGCUUUUUCUGACAAGCUUAGCAAGGUCUCCACCAGCCUUGUUUCAUCCUUAGCUCUUCCUACAAUAUAAUGGCCAGCAAUAGAAUCCGUCUCUCUAUUUAGUGUGACUUUAGCAGUAGUAGAAGGGGGGAAACUUGCCCUUUGGAAUCUGAUCAGUCCAAAAUCAUUGGCUUCUUUAUUGAUCUUAUUCAACUUCUUGUUGAUGUCCCUAAUCCUAGAGGCCAUUCUCCGUCGGAAAACAAUAUUAAUGUCAGAGGACAGGAUGAAGGAGCGCACCUUGCCCACGAGAUGGCGACGAAGAGCUUCAUAAUUCAGCUCGUCAAACAAAUUCUCGGCAUCAAACGCCACGGCUUCUAGCCUCUGGAGCCACAGUCGCACGGCCUGGUCAUGCGUUUGCUUUUCCUCUGCAUCAGCCAAGACAGCUUGGAUCAUAGCAACAGAUCCUUUGAGGGUCUCCAAAUCCUCCUUGAAUUGGAAUAACUUGCCAAUCCUUUCAUUGGCAAGGGAAAGUGUCUUCUUCAAAGCUACCUCUAUUGUGGAAGCUAUAAGUACAUCAGCCAUUCUUCUUGUUCCUUGGGUACAGUCUUCAGAUAAGAAUACUCUUUUGCAGUGGAAGGUUUUAGCUGUAGUUAGAAGCAGCAAGGAACUGCUUUGACUCAAACGGAAGUGACAAGAGUUAUGAGGAUUUUUUGGUGCAGCGCUUCUUUGACAAACUGGGUGGGAUGCUUUUGCAACGGAAAUUGCUUGGCAUUUUCAGUUGAAAAUAAAACAUAGUCAUUGCAGGGAUUCUACAUCUGCUUUUGAUCCACAUUCCACAUGCCUGGGGCCCCUGAUCGUGGAAAAUUCCACUCAAGAAGGAUGAGAAACUGUGCUGAACAAUGAAAGGUCCAAAAUAAUUGUUUAGAUAAUACAAAUUAAGCAGUUUCUUCUAAUUCAAAUUAAUGUUGCGCAUGUAUAGGAGUCACAAAAUGGUUUGGUGCACUAGCAAACAGAAGGGUACAUCUAAGGUUACUACGACAAGUUUUACGUUAAAGUGGGAGAUUUGUAAACCAAUUCAGGGUAAACAAAUGAUAUGUUGAGGAAAAAAUAUGUUAGUUGCAAUGCAAUCAUAAAAGCUAUGAUACAUUUGUGAAAAGAAGAAACAUUUAUUAAUUUAGUGCAGUCUAAUUGGAAACCUAGAAAAAAAAAUAUACAUGAAUGAUCCGAAAGCGGGAACGGUAUCAUUUUACUCAAAUAAAAGUGUGAUCGAAUCGAGGAUUAGUUAAAUAAAAAAAUUAGAUUAAUAAUAUAAUACUUUUUUGUAUUUUUAUAUAAUGUAUAUGAGACAGAAUGGUGGCUGGUAAAAUUAAAAAAAAAAGUGAUGGAAUAAGUAUAAAUUGUUUUUUUCAUAUAUUUAUCUAAUGAUAAUAGUGACAGGGUAAAAAAACAAAGGUGAUAACAAUGAUAAGUGUGGUGAGUACUUCUUGCAAUUGAUUGCAAUCUAUAUUUUACAUUAGGUAAAUUUGAAUGAAACUUUCAAUGAAUGAAACAUGUAUUGUGCUUUUGUGUUAAUUUUGCAUUAGGUUAAUUUUGUCUGCAUUUAAUAUCUCAGUGUAUACACGUCUAUUGUGUCAGCACCUAAAUUGCAUGGCAUGUAUGGCACUAAAUUUCCAGUUCACCUUUCCUACUUAAUGCCUUGCCGAGGCCUCUACUCUGAUUGAGAAACCUUAAAACUGCUGGGGCCUUCUAUUGUGCAAAAAAUCUCAACAAAAUAGUGGUCUGACCCAAGAAGCACAAGAAAGUAUUGUCCUUAACAAUUAGAAUGUUAAAGAAAAAAAAAAAGGGAAAUUGACAAUGAUGCUGUGAUUUUGGCUACAUUAUUCAUCUCAUUUUUCUAGUUCCGGAGAAACAAAAUAAAAAGAUUUCACUAAGUUUGCUUUUUGUAAUGUACCGCGCUGGGCUUUGUCAAAUGCCCCAUUUUUUGCUAGAAUUACUUAUUUUGCUUCUCAUUUGGUUCUAUUAUACUGUACAGAAUUAUAUGUAUAUAACGUGGAUUGUCAUCUUAAGAAUCAAGAUUGCCAAUCUGAUCACGUAAAUUGGCCAGAAAUUGGUUGCAAUUGGCUGCAUGUAAUGCCUUGAAUCGAAAAUGGCUACCAUUUCAAUCCAUAGAAAUAUGUUGAAGGAAACUGGACUGCAACAUGUACUAAUAAGAAUCAGAUAUGACGAUUCUUGAUUGCUUAAGAAAAUCCUUGUAUAUUUGGUUAUUUGACACAGGAAGUCAAUAUGCUUCAAAUGAAACAGUGAAUCCAACAAAUAAGGCAUGGCAAGCUGUGAUUAAUGCCAUACAAACCUGAGUUUCAUUAAAUUAACAGAGAGGAUAGUGAAGAGCAGAGCCAUUCCUAAAUGCCAAAGAGACAGAGAGAUUAUAAAGAUGAUCAACUAACUAAUCAUACCCUUCAACACGAAUAGCCAAAUAUCUGAGGUUUGAGAAAUGACAGCAAUUGUUGCAGUCAAGCAAUAGAAAUGAUAGGGGGGACUACACAUCCAAAAGAAGGCACAGCAAUAUGAUCAGUGUGGAACAAAAUUUGCAUUAUAAACUAAUUCAGAGCCAGCUACAACGUCACAGAAUAACAGGCAAUAGACCUGAAACUUCCAAUACUGGGAUAACAACACUUUUUCUGUGCCCUACUUGGUCCGACCAGGGACAAAAGGACAUCUGGCCAAAUUAAAACAGAGAGGGACUUAUCCGAGAACUAAGUAGAAACUGCUGAAACUAGUCACAUUGCUCGAAAAUUCAAAAAGAACCAAAAAAAAAAAAUGAGAAAGAAGAAGGGAAAAAGGAACUGCUUAGAAUCAGAGAGAGAAGAGGGACUUCUGAGAGCAGCACUAAUCGGCGGGGACAACUCUGACAAGUGGAUGGCAAAGACAGCACUAAUUGGCGGGGACAACACCAAUCCCUUCCCUUUUGUGUAGAAAUAAGUUCAUCUGAAAGUUUUUAUUAUUUUUAGGUAACUAAUUAUGAUUAUUACUGCUACUACUACUUUCUGUACUGAUACAGACAUGAGAUGAUUUACUUAUAUUGGCCGUCAAAGUCUUAGAGGCAUAGAAAAGUAGAAAUGCUUUAAUUGUCACAUAGGAUUUGAGCUAGCAAUGAAUAGGAUUUGAAGCCAAGAUGUGUAAGAUCCAUGUCACAUUAUUGCUUCAUUGAACAAUAUUGACGUACAAGGAGACAAGUCCACAUAGAAGUAAUUUUGCAAUUAGAUGCUAUGCAAAAUGUCAGUUUGAUGAACUAAGGUUGAGCUUGUAUGUUCCUAUAUAAUCCUGUUCAAUUGAUUUCCAUAAUUUCAUCUCUCCAACGUUCCCAUCCACCAAGUGGAUCCUUCUUGAAUAGAAAUUGGUGCCUUAGCAAUUCAGUUUUCUCUCAAAUUAACAUAAAUAGAAGGGCUCAAUCUGACUGAUUCUUUGUUGUCUGAGUCCUGUCUGAGCUUUACAGAUACAAGGAGCAAUGGAAAAGUUCCAUCCGACACAACCUGUAGUCAACUGCAGAACACUUGAGAAAAAAUAUGUUGCCUGUUAUAGAGCUAAGAUACAACUUCAAGAAGGAUGCAAGCAGCUAUCAGGGUUCAGCUAAUCCACAUCUUUCUGCUGCAAAAUACUGGCUACUUUGAACUACAAGCACCACAGAAGAUAUGGCAAAUUGAGUUCCAAAAGAAGUAAAAGAACACCUCAUUAACAUGUCUACAAAUUGCUGAAUGGUUGGACAGUUUAAAAUCACGAGCCAACAAGGAAGAUCUCAGGCUUUAGCCAUCCAAGGCAGAGAGCAAAAGAGAAUUCCAUCCUGGAUGUUUUCAUCUGAUCUGAUUGAAACAGGAUCCGGUUCAGUAAGGGAUCAUAGGACUUUUAAUAAUGUACCAAGGAUAAUAAGUAAGAGCUAUGAAGGUUUUGAGCGUAAAAUCACUGCAUAACACAAAAACUCAAGAAACUUGAGACAACAUGUAGUCAAGAAUAAAGCCAACACAUAGUUGCAUGACGUUUUUGUUGUAUUUGAAACACUAAAAUAAGAACUUACCAUGAAGAGAGGAGCAACCAACAAGUAUAGAAGGUGGGAUGAGCUUAAUAGCCUUCAUCACAGCGGAUGAAACAAUUGCAGCAAGUAGCAGCAGGCAGCAAGUAUGUUUGACAGUCUUGACUAACUACGGCGAUAUGCUUCAAAAGUUGCAGCUUAGACUUGAUUUGUUAGAAGAUACUCCAACAAGUCCGUGCAGCUUUAUUGCAUGAACAGACAUCUUCUGUGGCUGCUCCAAAAAACAUCCAAAUUAGGAGAAGAUUUCUCAAGUUUUAGUUGUAAUGUAAUCAGAAUCAAAGUAUUUAAAAGUCAAAAUUGAGUAGUAAAAGAAGAGUAGUAUAUGUUACCUUACUGGACUCUGAGAACCAAAAACCAGUUUAACAGCCAACAGCUUUGGAAACUCCUGAAGUCUUUAUGGCUAGAAAAUCACAACCAAGGAAAAGUGAGACAGAAACCCAUCAUCUACGAGACUAUCGAACAAAUCACUAAUCAAAUGGUUCAAGAAGCUUGAUAAAUGCUCCUUCAAGAGGUGAUUAAACUUUGGAGCAACUAUUUACUCCCCUAGCAACAUAAGUUAGGGAGCUGAUAACUUUAGCAAUCACAUCUUACAUCCACAAAAGCAGAUAUAUAAAAUCAACAAAACAAAACUCCUAGUGCUUAUUUCAUAUUGAUGAGUAACUUGGCCCUAACAAGGAAUAUUAACCACAAAGCAGCAAUGAUGAUGUGAAAAAGUUGCAACUUCAUUACUGUAAUCUAAAUUUUACUCCCUCAUGACAUGCAGGUCCCUUGAUAGGGACUGAGCCACGGUGCCAGCGGUCUUUCCACUCCAAUCUACCUCAAAUCAGUAGCCUAAAAGUAAACUGCAUAUAGCAGCUGAUUUUCCAGGUAAUUCAAGAGAAGCCCCCCAAGCAAGCAGCAACUGCUUGGAAAUUGGAACUGUCUUCGUUCAUACCUUGAAUAUCAUAUGUUGUUGUUUACUAGGAAUACAUUUCUGUGCCCACUAUUGACAUCAUCUCAUAGUUUCAGAUUUCCAAGUACACCAAUUUUCCUACUCCAAUUCCUUUCCUGAGUUCUAGUUUCCAACUAUGGAUAAACUGAGAAACGUUUUGCCAUUCUACCAAGAAGCAUCUCUUACUACAUUAAUCUCAAUCUCCAGCACCAAACCAACAAGAGGUGAAUAACAUUCCUCUUCUCAUUUCCCUUUCAAUUCAAAUUAAUGUCAUCCCUUCACCUCGAGAACCACAGCCAUUACUUUCUCCUAAAAGGCUUCAAGAUAAACACCAGAAAAGUAUUUAUCUGAGAAUUGCUAGGAAUACCUCUUAUAUUAGAUCUCCAACUUUUACCAGCAGCUGAACUAUUUUUCUGGAGACAAUAUUCAAUUAUUCUGUCAUCCAAGAACCGCAAUCAAAAUUUGUAUAGUAAACUGAAGCAACUUAAUACAAAAUUUGGCUUCUGUGAACAAGCUCAGACAGUAUAAACAGAAAUGGAAAACCAAAAAUUAAUUAAUACCAGCUAUAAAAAUCUAAUCUAAGUUCAUCUAGGGGAGAGACCACAAAAAUCUGCUUGCUAAGUGCAGGAGAAAGACGUGCAGCAGAGAAUUGCUGGUUUAAAGUCUUGUAGAAAAGGUUUCUAGAAUUGGUGCAUGAGAUAUCGAAUCUAAAACGUCCAAUGCAUUUUCAACAGGUGAAAUCACGAGUUUAAAGAGAGUGUGCUGAUGUUAGCAAACACAACGUACAAAGGACAGCAACUGACAUACACGAUAAACAAAACUAAAUGCUCAAUUCCGCCCCACAUUAGUGCAUUUGUUUCAGUGUUAGUUCAUCCAAAACAUGAUUCAGUUAACCCAAGAACAUCUCAUUCAUUUGCCAUGUUUGAUCUAGUACAGAAACAUGGUAUUGAAUUAAGCCUCCAUUUGCCAUGUUUGAUCUUUGCGUCAGCAAAUAAUAUGUGAUAGAACGUGAGCAAUACCAAUUUAACAUUAGAAAUUAACCAAAAAGAUUGUUUAGUACCGUUAAUUGAUAUGAAGCGGUGCAUGGCUUAUUAGCGGUAAAGGUUAAAGAACCUACUCUGUUGUUGCUUCAAUUAUCCGUUGAUAUACUUUGAAGGAAAGAGAGGAUUUUCAAAAGUGAAGGCGGUACUUUAGUUCCCCGACUGAGCUUUAAGCCUACAGUCACUGCAAAACAGAAAACUCAGGUUCAGGACUUCACAUUGCAUGACAUUUUUGUUUAGUCAAUUAUUCAGAAAGCCAAAUCAAUAUUUGUUUCUGUUGUGCUUUUCUAACCUAAAUCAGUAAGACGAUAUCAAAAUUUUCUGCUCAGUCUACAAGUACCAGAAGUGCCAUAGAAACUAUGUUAGUUUUGGUUCAAAACACUGAAAAAAGAGAAGUUCUAUAACAAUAAUGAUAAUGAGUAGAACCCACAAGCGUGAAAGGCAGAGAGCUCCAGAAUUGCCAUGAAGGCAACUCUUUGAGACAGCAAGAUACAACGAGUAGAGUUAAUUAUAACUCUUUGACUCUUAAAAUCUCAAAUCAUGGCAUUUGGACUUAAAGUCUACCAAGUCUCUGAUGCUUGAAAACGGUCUUAAACAUGACAAUUUUUUAAAGGAUUUAAUUAAUUCAUUGGAUAUUAAACUUCUUAAAACCCAAUAUUAAGCAGUGGAAGAAGAUUAUUGGUAUUAUAAAUUAUGUGACAGUAAGUAAGACAGUAAGUAAGAGUCAUUGAUGAGGUUCCCUGUUGAGUUUUGGGCCUAAAAUCACUGCAAAGCACAAAAAUUCAAACUCAAGCCGGCGAAUAGCAUAGAAUAAAGCUAAUGGAAAUUUUCAGAUAAUUGCAGGUUUUCUGUCAUUGUGACUAAAGCCCCAAGAGGAGAAACUUACCAUAAAAAAAGAAGCAAACAACAAUCAUAAAAGCAGAGAGAGCUUAAAAGCCUCUAUCAAGGUGGACUCAUCAAGAUCAGCAAGUCACAGCAGGUAGAUUUGACUAACUACCAGAAUGCUUCAAAACAUUGCGCUUAGAGUUGAAUGUUGGAAGAUACUCCGCCAAGUUUUGUGCAACUUCAUUGCUCAAACAGUACACCCCUUCCUUGGCUACCUCAAAAAUAUCUUCGUGACGGCAAGAUUUCUUUUGUUUCAUACGUAAUAUAUUAGUUAUUAAAGUGGUUAGAAGUCAAAAUUGAGUAGUGAAAGAAGAGAAGCAUAUCUAAAAUUACCAGAAUUUUUGAACCAAAACAUGAAAGUGAUGACCAACAGCUGCGAAAACUCCUCAAUUGACCAUUGUCUUCAUGGAUAAAAAGCCAAAAUCAAGGAAAAGUGAGCCAGAAAACCAUCAUAUAUGACUCCGAUGGAGCAAUUACUAGUCAAAUAGUUCAGAUAAGUAUGCAAGUUCAUUAUCAAGAGACGAGGUAAAAGUUCAGUCCCCUUAGAAUCACAAUUUUAAACAGAGUGAGAUGACUUUAGCAAUAAUGACUUAAAAUCCACAGAAACAGAGCAUGUAAAAUAAACAAAACUAGACUGCUAGUUGUUCUAAACGUUGAUAAGCAAUUUGUAGGAAACGCAGGCCAAAAGUUAUUGAGGUCUAGCCAUAUAGAUGGUGCUGAAGAAGAUUCAAAUUUUGACCUCUGUUCGUGAAGCUAUUCUUCUAUCGAUCCUACAAAAACAAAGCAUAGAACAGAAUAUGAACAGAGAUACAGUAAAACAUCAAAGCACGAAACAGAACAGGUGCUUGGGGUCAUUCUAAUUGAUAGUUACAAGAGUAUUACUAUUAUGUUGUAAGGAGUAAAUGAAGAGUACCAAUAUUUUGGACCCGAUAAGAAAUGCUAAUGCUGCAGCUUUGAAAGAUAAUAAAUAAGACGAACAAAAGGGAGAACAGAAAAUUGUGAAAAUAACCAUGUGGACUUUUUAGGUUUUCUCGCGAGAAGGUUAAUCAGAGGGGGAGGUGAAGAGAAGGGGAGAUUGAUUGUAAAGCAAAUUAAGAAAGUAGGUAGGAGGCAAUCUUACAUGAUUGAAUUUGAUCUGAGAUGAGUGGUUAAUCAUCGGUUAUGUGUAGGUAUUGAAUGUGAGAAACUUUGGACCACUGGGAGUCGGGGCUGCUGCUCUCAGGAGUGCAUCUUUCUUUUAACACAGGAGAACCAUAAACGUGCAGACAUUUUAGUUUGGUGAGACUUCUCAUGGCAUCCUCAGAGGGUAGAUGUCCAAGCUCUUUGAAAUCAUAUAAAUAUAGUUCUUCAAGAGCAGCGAAGUUUCCGAACCAAUCUGGCAGAGCUUUUAUACCUCCAAAGUAACCUAGCGCGAGUGACGUGAGAGCGGUCAAGUAUUGGAUCUGAGGUGGCAGGGACUCCAUGUGUGGCAACCCAUAUAAGUAUAAUUCACGGAGUGCGGAUGAUGAAGAGGAGGAGGAGGAGGAUAUCAAUCCAGACCAAUCAAACUCAUUGUAAAUUGAAGAAUUUUCAUGAUCAUCACCAUCAUCUAAGAAGGGACCAAUUGUAAGCUCCCUUAAGCUGGUUAGGAAACCAAAUCCUUUGGGCAUCAUGCUUGUUUUCAGUUUGCGACACCACAAUAAUUUCAGCUUCUAGAGAGAAGGCGUUUGUUGCAAAUCAAGCGGAAAGGAGAUAAGAUUGUCGCAACAAACCACCCGAAGCUUUUGGAGAGAGGCACAAGAGUGUAGCAUGUCACCUGGCAGAUUCGUCAACUCAUCGCACUCAUCAAUCACCAGCUCUUUAAGAGACGUAAAGUUUUGCAGGGGAAGGAGUUCUCUGCAUCUGUGGCAGCAAUUAAAUUCCAAACACGCUAACUUGGGGAGUGUUGUUGGCAAAUCCAUUAACCAUCGAGGAAAUUGAUCGCCCAUAAAACGCCAAAUUACCAACUCCUCCAAAUUUGGGUGGGGUUGAAGGCCAUCCAACACAUCUUUGUCGUUGUAGUUGUCGCCUUGUUUUUCGCGGAGCAAGGCCCACUCAAAUCGCAAACUAAAUAGAUUAGCCUUUUCAAAUAGUUUUGCUUCCUCAGCUCCUUCCUUAUCCUUUACUAGUUCCAGAUUGCGUAUCUCCAAUUUGCCUUUGAGGUUCUUCAAGCUUCUAAGCUCUCCAAUUUGUCGACCCUUCACUCGACCCACUUUAAAGAACUCUAGUGUCUGAAGGCAUUUGAAAUUCUUCAGCAAGGGUGUAAAAGUGGAGAUGUCUCAAGCUAAUCAAAUCGCACAUCCCCUUCAGAAGAACCUUAAGAGCGGAUCUGUUUAGCCUCAGUGUUUGCAAAUUAUAAAGUUUGCAAACAGAUCCCGGCAAAGUUUCAAUUGCAGAACCCUCAAAGUUGAUGUACCUCAAGUGUAUCAGUUUGCCAAUUGAGAUUGGCAGAUUCAGAUUUUUUACACGAGACAAAUUCAGAACGUACAAAUUCCUCAACUUCGUUAGUAUAUCAUCAGAUAAGCCACUCCGAUUUAGAAACAAUGUAUGAAGCAAAUUUGAACGACUCUCGAAAAGAUUUAUUGUGCCUUCUCCAAAUGAGUCUAUUACAAGACAACGAACCUGAUUACCAUUGUCUUCUGAACCAGUUUCCGAAUUAAUGACUUUAGUAGACUUUGACAUUAUUGAUUUUGCGACGUCGUGCACCAUAUCAUGCAUUUUAUAAUACCUUCUUCUCCCACCGUAAUUUAUUUCUUCCAGCAAAGAACUCUGCAAUAAAAUUUCCAAGUAAUAUUCUCCAAUUUCCUCCAUUGUUUUGUUCUCCAUUGUUUUGUUCUCCAUUGUUUUGUUCUUGAGAUCUACUUGAAGGAAGCCUUCUGCCAUCCAAAGUUCGAUCAGCAUAUCCUCUUCCAUCUCAGUAUCCUGGGGAAAAAUAGAACAAUAUGCAAAACAUUUCUUGAUGGCUGGCGAUGGUAGAUUAUCAAAACUCAACCGAAGUAUUUGCAUGGCUUCAUUCAAAUUCAAAAGUCUAUCCUGACAGGUGUCAAGCCUGUGCAAUAAUAAAUACCUGCUUAAAUAAAAUAUAAUUUCUGUAGAUAGUGAUAAGUAGGGUCGAAUCCACAGGGACUGGGGAUAAUUUAAUUUCUUCUCAAGUUCCAGAUAUGGGGGGUUUUUGAAAAUGAGAGUAACUAAAUUUAUUGGAAUAAAUUAAAAUAAAAUAAAAUAACUACAACUCAAAUAACUAAUUAUCACAAUAAAAAUAAUAAUAGACGAACUCUAGCCAAGAGACAACUUUGGAGAUGGUUUACUUAAUUCGAUCACAGAUGCAAGGAUUAUUCCAGUUAUUAUCUGAUAAAUUAGUUAUAGUUGUCAUACACGCGAUAAACAACUAACUCUUCCUCAAUUUGUCGAUAGCCAAGGUACGACCGUUGACUAUUUCUCUAAUCAGGAAACAACCCUAGGUACGACCAUAGAAGUUCAAUUCCCUAAUUGCAUGAAUAAUUAGAAGAACCUAAUUCUAACCAAUCAACACGCUACGAGGGUCUCUUUAAGUUAGCCUGUCUAUCUCCCUGACACAAACCCAAUCAUGUCAGUUGCCACCAGUUUAGAAUAAUUAAACAAUUACGGAUUUAACUACCAUAAUUGGCUUCAGGUUAUUGAAUUAAUCUAGAAUCCGGGCCCUGGAUAAUCGAAUAAUAAAAUAACUAUAUGAACAUAAAGCAGAAGAUAGACGAAUACCAGAAAGUAAUAGGAAAGCUAAAAUCGAUUAGAUCUCACAAUUUAAGUCGAACCAAAUCCUCCGUUGUUCUUGACUAGAAAAACUUAGCCACGUCUCAUGAGAAAAUCUCCACGUAAUUUAAUUGAGGUCCAGGCCAUCAAAGGAAUCAAGAAAGAAUAGAAAACUAAAACUAUAGCUAUCCUAAAACUAUUGAUAAAAACUCUCUGUACGUCCCUUUUCUCUUUUAAAGCCAAAGAUACAAAUGCUAUCUAGUCCUGUGGUCCCCGCACGAAUUGAGAGUCCAAUUCCAUUUCACAAGCCUCUGUACGUUUCUUUCCAAGAGCCCAAAUGACUCAUGCUUCUUAUCUCCGUGGUCCCCACGCAAUUGAGAAAAGAGUCCAUCCCCUGUAAUCCUUGUUUUUAGCUUCCUCUUACCUGUAAGACUCCUAGUACAAGUCCACCCUUUUCAGCAUAAAGAUAGGAAAUCCCCUUUUUGUAGCAUCCUGUGGAGCCAGGCUUGUAUUUCUUUUUAGAACUUCCCAUGUGUGGAGUGUUUUUAUCAAUAAAGUCUCCUUUUUAGCACUUGUUUACUCUACUUCCUGUAAUUAGGGCCAAAUACCAAAUAUAAGUACAUUUCAACAAUUAAAACAAUAUUUGGCAAGGACAAAGAGGGAAAUUAACCAUAAAAUUAACAACAAAUUGUGCUCUAUCAAUUCCCCCCACACCUGAAUCAUGCUUGCCCUCAAGCAUGAGAACAGCAAUUGAACACCAAAAAUUCGACAACGGCUAUUGCUCUAACUAUCAUAUUGCCAAGAUAUCCAGAAAAACAUAUAUCAAGCAUCACAGUUAAGAUCCAAGAAAGACCACUCCGGUUAGCUCCCCAACCACCAACUCCUCCAAUUUAAAGCAAACUAAUCUAAGAAAAAGGAAUGGUUGCUCACAUUUAUCAGCAAAUGGUCCAGCUAUUAACCAAAAUCUCGACAUUAAGAUCACAAACCGGCAAGCUGACUUAUUCACAUACUAACACAAUCUUUACUUCACUUCUUUUCCCCUUUUUUUUUGUUCUUUCUUUUUUCUUUUUGUUCUCUUUUUUUUUUCUUUUUUUUUUUUUUGAAUAACAAAAGACUUAGUCUAUAGCCCUUAGAGCCUUUUGACGCGAACUCCAACAUUUGCUAGAUGGAGGAGCCCGGUUACUCAGCUCCAAUUGCUACGGGACCACGUACUCAUAGCAACUACUACCUUUUGACACGAGAAUCGACACUUUAGGUGAAGAUCCCCGGUUACUCGGUAGUAGCAACUAGCGGAGCACAGUCAAUUCUUAUUUAUAACCAUAUAACACAAUAACUAAAAACAACACAAAAAUAGCAGCAGUCAGCCCCAAAUUUCCAAACAUGGAGAACUAAAAUUAAUAAUUGGACCAAUUCACAUGAAAAAUGCCAACAAUCAUUCCCUAUGCCUAGAAAAGUUAACUAAAAAUUGGAAAAGUUAAGUAAUUAUUGAUAUUCACCAAAGAGAUGUUCCUGAACUCAACCACAUCAACUUGAUACAUUUUUAUUAAUAAACUUGGCAAUAACAGAAUUAGAGACAACAAUCCAGUAUCAAACUUGGUAUUCAAAUAAGAGCUGACCACUAAUAAAAGAAAAUAAAAUAAAAUAAAUAAACGAAAAAUAGAACAAAUAACAAAAAUAAAGGAAAACAUGUAAAAACUAAAAAUUAGAAAUACUAGCUGUACCACAGCUGUCCCCCCCACACCUAAAUGACACAUUGCCCUCAAUGUGAUAAUGUAAAAGCAGAAGGAAUGAGAGGGGCAACGGUACUUCCCUGAAGUUGUCAAAACAGGGGUGGGUCGGGCGGGGUACUGCCCAAUUCUGCACCAUGUUAUGAAGAUUGACGGUAAUGUGGGGCAUCCGAGUCUAUAGUCUCUUAACUCGCAUCUGGAGCUCGUGCCAUUCGUGGCCUCACCGUGGACUCUAGAUAUCACUCUAAGUAACAAGAGACUGCAAUUGCCAACAAAGAAUGGAAGCCGGGAAUUCAAAGCAAUAACAAUUUUAAAGCCAACCCAAUGAAUAAAAUGCACAAUUCAACCACCCAGAGGACAUACAAAUACCCCAACACUUAUAGCAAUGGCAAUCAAUAAGCACUUGCGGUCCCAAUGUAGUCAAUUUCAGAAUCAAUGCAGUCCAAAAGUGCACGAAUGCUCCUAAGAUGUAGGACUUGAAUUUAAGAGGCAGAAUACACCAAGCAAGUCAAUUAGGCACAAUCGAUUAGCAAUAAGCAAAGGAAGGGACACAGCAGCCUUCCAAUUCAACAAACAGACGCAGAAGGUACCCCACAAUACCAGAACACAGCUCCCAACAAUGCAACAAAACAACAACUCGAACAACUAAGAGCGGUGCUAGUGGCUAAUCAAAAUAACAAAUUCAGCAAUUGGACACAAUUCCACCCAAAAUCUCAACAGCUGUCUCCAAUUGGACAGUCAAUUACCCAGUUCAACCUACUAAAAAUAGCAAAUGACCCCAGAGAGGAGGAAUUCCAGCAACCGAAGUGCAGAAUCCUGGCAACACUUUAAGCACAAGAGGCCAGUAGUCAAUUAGGCAGUCAAGCACUUAAGAUUAAGAAAUUUGAGGCAAACUACUGCCACCAGUACCACUGGUAAAUGCUCAAGGAAAAAGUAAAUCAAAUGGCCAACCAAAGCCACUAAGAAAUACAAACAAUUUCAGACAGUACUCCGAGAGCCUAAACAAACGACAGUUAUAUCAAACCAGGCGAAUCAGCUGCAGGACAUAACUUAACCCACUGGCUCCAGUAACACAGAUGCAACCCAAACAAAAUUACUCAAUGAAAUCGCAAUCAUCAAAAUCCCAUCAACAUCAAAAAAUUGGAAUUGGGGACCAGAAAAUUAAUAAAGAAAAACCUGGCACCAGGGAGGUUGGGCUGUUGGCGUGCGGCGGUGGUCGAAAGGGUGGCAAGCUGGUGGUGCUCGCGUGGUGGUGGCAGGCGAGGGAGGAGCGACGCGGCGUGUUGGUUGUGGGCUCGUGGGCUUCGGCUGGAGAAAGAGUUCGGCGAGGAGGCGGAGCGUGGGCAGGCGGCUGGUGGCAUCGUAUGGAGAGAGGCGCGGCGAGCCUUGGCCGCGAGAUGGUGGUGGAGCGAGUGGGUAGGAGGAGCUGCGCGCAGGUGAAGAUUCGGCCGUGGGCUGUGGGUGAAGUGGAGAGAGAGCAGAGGGAGCUUGGUGGCAACCUUGGUCUCUGUCGGCAGCUGUGGCGGCUAGGAGUUGCGGCAGGGAGGAAUAAUUAGGGAGGCGGCCGUCGACGGAAGUCUGUCAGCUUGGGCUUCGUCGACGAGCUGUGGCGGCGCGCGAAGAGCUGGUGGCACACGAGGUGAAGCUGGAGCUGGAGGGAGGCGCGGCUGAGGUCGCGCGGCUCAGAGGUGGAGAAAGGCGGAGAUCUAGCGGCUGGCGGUGGGCCUGUUACGCGGCGCGCGAUGGUGGCUUGGAGGCAGAGGCGUGCGAGUAAAAGGAAGAAUUGGGGAAACAGAGGCAGCGGGGAAGAAGGAAGAAAGAAAAGAAAGAAAGAAAGAAAGAAGAAAAGAAAGAAGGGAAAAAAAAUAGUUUUUUUUUUUUGGGAGAUUUUUUUUUUUUUAUUGCACACUCAAAUUUCAAAACUCGAAUUGUGAGAACCAAAACUGAAGGUGUAAAACGGAAAAUGUUUUUUUUUUGAAUUUUUGAAUUUUUUUUUGUUUUUAGGUCGUCAAACACCGCGUGGGCACGCCAAGAUUGUAAAACGUCCACUGACCAUGAGACUUGAAUUUAGACGCUUAACGCGUGCCCUCCUCGCGUGGGCACGCCAAGAUUACCUAUUCUGGUCAUAGUAAGAAAACAUCAAGAGUGAUUAGUACCCAAGUGAGAAACGACAUAUUUAAGAAAUUGAACACAAAAAUAACAAAAUCAACAUUUGGGUUGCCUCCCAAAAAGCGCCUUUUUUUAAUGUCUUUGGCUAGACAUGCUAUGCUUGUUCACGGAGGAUAAAAUCUUGUAGCUCGUUUCAAUGCUUCAUCUUCAAUGUGAUCCUGGUAACCCUCAUAGAUGGAGUAAUCUUUGAGCACACGAGCUACGGUCUUCCAUGGACUAGUUGAUGGCGCCAAAUAAUCAAGCAUUGAUCGCAAUUCUUCAUCCACUCCUCCAUCAAGAGCAUUCGACGGUUCAAGAUAUUUGACCAUAGCUACUCUUAAUUCAUUCCUGCCAUGAGACUCAAGAACUUCUGGUAUAACAAAAUCAAUCUCAUUAACAGAAAUCAUAGAGUAAGAGUUAAGAAAAUGCAGGUUAGGGAAUGGAGGUGGUGUCACCACAUUUGCUGAUUCUUCACUGGAUUCUUUCACUUGAAUGGGUUGCAGUUGGGGUUCCAUUUCUUCCUUUUCGAUUUCUUUUUCAACUGCAUCUGUACAUCUCUCUUCUUGAAAAUCUUGCAGCUCCUCAUCACUAGUCAGGCAAAUUGCACUCUCAUUUUCUUCAAAAUCAACAAUGGUUUUCGAGGGCAAUUCUUCAAAUUGAGAAGCCAAUCGAUUUAUUCUGGAUGUCAAUAGACACAUUUGAUCUUCCAGAUUACUCAUUGCCUCCUUCAUCAUCUCAUUUCUCCUUUGUGUCUCCUGUUGGAAUUGAUAUGUAUUAAUAGCUAUUGAUUCAACUAUUUCUUCAAGAGACAUACCUGACACAAAUGAUGAUUCUUGAGACUCAUACUGCUGAAAAUUCAUUGGCCCUGUUAUAUAAUUAUAACUGGAGUUAUCCCACCAUCCUUGAUCAUACCCGUUUGGAUUAGGGUUAUACCACGUUUGAGACCAGGGUGAAAAAUCUCCAUAAUUAUUGAGUGGGACACUCAAAUUAUCUUGAUAUUCGGGGCACAUACCAGUUGAAUGAUCCCUGGCAUAACAAAUUUUACAGGUUGCAACAGCCAUUCUUUCUCUAAUAGAGUUUCGUGCCUCUGAAUAUGCAAACUUAGCAAAAAAACUAGCCUCAUUGCCUUCCCUGGAAACAAAAUCCAGUCUAUCACCAAAAUACGGAGUGUUAGAAGCCAUAAACUAUAUAAAAAAAAAGAGAAAAAUAAAUAAAAAAAAUAAAAACAAGAUGAACUCAAAAAGAAACAAAUUAAUCUGGCACCAGUCCCCGGCAACGGCGCCAAAAAUUGACAGGUGUCGAGCCUGUGCAAAAAUAAAUACCUGCUUAAAUAAAAUAUAAUUUCUGUAGAUAGUGAUAAGUAGGGUCGAAUCCACAGGAACUGGGGAUAAUUUAAUUUCUUCUCAAGUUCCAGAUAUGGGGGGUUUUUGAAAAUGAGAGUAACUAAAUUUAUUGGAAUAAAUUAAAAUAAAAUAAAAUAACUACAACUCAAAUAACUAAUUAUCACAAUAAAAAUAAUAAUAGACGAACUCUAGCCAAGAGACAACUUUGGAGAUGGUUUACUUAAUUCGAUCACAGAUGCAAGGAUUAUUCCAGUUAUUAUCUGAUAAAUUAGUUAUAGUUGUCAUACACGCGAUAAACAACUAACUCUUCCUCAAUUUGUCGAUAGCCAAGGUACGACCGUUGACUAUUUCUCUAAUCAGGAAACAACCCUAGGUACGACCAUAGAAGUUCAAUUCCCUAAUUGCAUGAAUAAUUAGAAGAACCUAAUUCUAACCAAUCAACACGCUACGAGGGUCUCUUUAAGUUAGCCUGUCUAUCUCCCUGACACAAACCCAAUCAUGCCAGUUGCCACCAGUUUAGAAUAAUUAAACAAUUACGGAUUUAACUACCAUAAUUGGCUUCAGGUUAUUGAAUUAAUCUAGAAUCCGGGCCCUGGAUAAUCGAAUAAUAAAACAACUAUAUGAACAUAAAGCAGAAGAUAGACGAAUACCAGAAAAUAAUAGGAAAGCUAAAAUCGAUUAGAUCUCACAAUUUAAGUCGAACCAAAUCCUCCGUUGUUCUUGACUAGAAAAACUUAGCCACGUCUCAUGAGAAAAUCUCCACGUAAUUUAAUUGAGGUCCAGGCCAUCAAAGGAAUCAAGAAAGAAUAGAAAACUAAAACUAUAGCUAUCCUAAAACUAUUGAUAAAAACUCUCUGUACGUCCCUUUUCUCUUUUAAAGCCAAAGAUACAAAUGCUAUCUAGUCCCGUGGUCCCCGCACGAAUUGAGAGUCCAAUUCCAUUUCACAAGCCUCUGUACGUUUCUUUCCAAGAGCCCAAAUGACUCAUGCUUCUUAUCUCCGUGGUCCCCACGCAAUUGAGAAAAGAGUCCAUCCCCUGUAAUCCUUGUUUUUAGCUUCCUCUUACCCGUAAGACUCCUAGUACAAGUCCACCCUUUUCAGCAUAAAGAUAGGAAAUCCCCUUUUUGUAGCAUCCUGUGGAGCCAGGCUUGUAUUUCUUUUUAGAACUUCCCAUGUGUGGAGUGUUUUUAUCAAUAAAGUCUCCUUUUUAGCACUUGUUUGCUCUACUUCCUGUAAUUAGGGCCAAAUACCAAAUAUAAGUACAUUUCAACAAUUAAAACAAUAUUUGGCAAGGACAAAGAGGGAAAUUAACCAUAAAAUUAACAACAAAUUGUGCCCUAUCAAUCCUCCAAAAUUGAUCGCCAUUUGUCUUUCCUCAAGCGCAGCAAACCACCAAGUACACUUGCCACUAGUGGUAAUCCAUUACAUAUUUGUAUAGCUCUGUCUUUAAUUGCAUCCAAUUCAUUAGGUACUUCUUCGCCGUCAACUACUUUUCCUUUUAGGAUAGACCAACAAUGAUCACCAGGGAGUCUUCCUAAGGGAUAGCCUUCAUCUGCCACUACACGCGAACGAGUAGUGAUUAGACACCAGCUUCCUUUGGGUGGAUUGAUUGGAUUGAGUCCCUUCAAGGUGGCGAAGAAGUCAUCCCACAUUGCCUGAUUAUCAUCCCACACAUCAUCAAGAACUAGGAAAUAUCUUUUUCCCCCCAGUUGAUUCCGAAUAUUUCCAACGAUGAUAUUCCUAUCAUCCACUUCAAAAUUUUCUCCCGUCAAUUGCAAUAAAAUGAGUUUGAAAAGCUCCACUAUUGGAACUUUUUCGAUACACAAACCCACAACUUUUUGUUAAAGUGCUCAUCAAUUUGCUGUUUGUUGUAUAUCGAUUUAGCCAAAGUUGUUUUGCCUAGACCUCCCAUACCAUUUAUGGGAAGAACAGAAACAACCUUCUCAGUUGGUCUCAACAACAUCUCUAGUAUAUCUGAUUCAUCAUCGGCUCUUCCAAUCAUUGGAGCGACACUAGAGUCGGUCUGCCGAUUUGUUAUAUCUCCAGCAGCAGGGAGGGCAACUGCCACGUCUGACCUACUGACCAGUCCCAAAUUCCGGGCUUGUUGAUUGAUAUCAACCAGCAUAAGUUUGAUGUCCCUGACCUUAGAAGCCAUUCUCCAACGAAAAGCAAGAUUAAUGUUAGAGAAUGAGAAGAAGCAGCAUACCUUGAGCUUGUGUCGGUUUCGGGACUCCACCUUGUGGCGGAGAGAUUCAUAUUUGAGCUCAUCCAACACAUUUGUAGCAUCAUAAGCAACCUCCUCGAGACACUCCAACCAUGCUUGCACCGCUCCGUCCUGGUUUUGCUUUGCUUCAGCAUCGGCCAAGACAGCAUUGAUCAGCCGGAGAGAACGUGUCAUACUGGCCACAUCCUUCUUGAACCCAACUAACAUACCAAUCCUAUCAGAGGCAAGAGACAGUGCCCUUUCCAGGGUGACCUUAACUGUGGAACUGAUAAGAGCGUCAGCCAUUUCUUCUUCCGUGGAUAUGCAACUUUGAGAUCAAGAUGGUUUUUUUUAUGGAAGGCUUUUUGUUGCCGGAAACUGGUAAUCUAUCUAGUCUAGCAGUAAUAGAAAUGGUUAUGAAGAAAUGAGCAUUGAUAGUAGUACCAGUGUACGUAAUUUUUUUUUUUUUUUUUGUGUGUGAACAAAAUAUCUCCCAUGGUUGUUCCAACCAAGAAAGGACAAUUAUAACUGCUGUCUUGGCAACAUGUAUCACAUUGCAGUAAAUAAUCCUUAGCCUUCUAAAUACAUUUUUUUAAAUCUGAUCGAUAUUUUUCUUUUUUGAAGCAAAAAUCUGAUAUUGUUGACGAUUGAGCUUUACAUAAUUUAGGAUUGGAGCGCCGUAAAUGAGGGUCCACUUUACAUUCUUAAUUUUUGCUAACAAUACUUUUUGUGAACUGGAAAAUAAGCGUGUUUGUUAUAAAUUAUAUAUUUUUAAUUUCAAACUAAAAUUCAAAAACAAAAAAGUGAAUACGUGUUCAAUUACACUACAACGUGCUCCGCUGGUUAUAAAUUUAAUCGUUUUGGGUAUAAUUUUUUCUUAUUACUUUCUUGUUUUAGUUGAUUUUGGAUAGUUUCAACUAUUUUCCUAGUUUUUCUUUUAUCUUCUUGGUUAACUUGCUCAUGUGAGUGAAUGCAUAGACUGGUUUUCCCAUCAAACUGGUGUAUCUGACUCUCUUGUGGGAACGGGGAACCCAUGCAUAAAUUUCAUUUUACACAUUCAUUGAAUUUUGCACUUUUGUACAUAUACGGGAAUAAGUCAUAUCAUACCAUAUAUAUACAUAAUAUAAAAUAGGAUUUUUUUAACGGAUGUCCUGUCUUGUUAACACAUCUAACAUUUAUCUGACAAAUACAUAUAGAGUAAUUUUUCCGCGUAGGCGAGGAGUUCUUCUCUGACAAAUUUGUAAGAUUUUGCAUUGGCAUGUUUACAGAGUAACUUUCUCAAUUAUUGUAGUUGUUGGGGCAUCAUGUUUUCUGAUUAAAUGCUGGGGCCUUCAGAAUUUUUGGUUGAGGACCAAUAUUUUGUUUUUGUCCACGAUCAAAUCGUAAAAAGGAGAGUGAGAUUCUGCUUUGGUUACAUGCAUGCCAUUAUGGUUAAUCCUUGGAAAAUGAAUUUAUGACAUACAAUAAUUUGGUCUGAAUUUUGUUCGGUUUUGGGAAGCGACCACACUGGGAAGCAAUAAUAAUAAUGUUCUCUGUUUUCGCACUAGCUAUGAUGCAUUUUGCUUCUUGGCUUAGUAAUCAGGCUUGAGAUUUUAAAUUACCUUUUGUACUUUAGCGUUUCAAGUAUAUAACAUGAUCGGUAUGAAAUCCCUAGCCUUCUACUCCUCUCUUUAAAAUCUGAUAGUCUUUAAUUCAGAUCGGUAUUAAUCCUUUUUGUUAUAUUAUUUCUUAUUACUUUCUUUUUCUAGUUGAUUUUGGAUCCUUUUUUAAUUACUUUUCUAACUUUUUUCUUUAGCUUUUGCGGACGCGGACAUGUAUACUGGUUUCUCCUCAAACUGGAUGUCUCUCAAUCUCUCUUUUGUGGGAAUUCAACGUACUUUUAAGAUGAAUUUCAUUUUGCCAUUAUCAAGUUUGCACUUAAAGAAUUAAAGUUCAUAUGGGGUUAAGUCAUACUAAUUUCAUAUCUUUGACAUUUAUUUAUCACAAACCUCAAUUCUUCUUUCGUCUAGUGUUUCAUUCCUAUAUCAACUCUCCUUAAUUCCAUGUUGCGCAUCGCUUUGCACGUAAGAAUUCAAAAUUUAACCACCAAUUAAAUCACUUGGGAUUCUCGGUGACAUGUUUUCUAUGCCAACUCAAUGCUACCUAUAGUAUUGCGCCAAGUGUCCUGUUAUUAUUUACACUUGUGUUAAACCAAACCAAGUUAAAUUAUUAGAAAAUUAAAAUAUAAAUAAUAACAGGACACUUGGCGUAAUAUUAUAGGUGGCAUUGGGUUGGCAUAGAAAACAUGUCACCGAGGAUCCCAAGUGCCAAUUAAAUAGUUUUCCUCGCAACUUGUCCCGUUUGGAUUGCUAUUUUUAGGAAUUUUUUGUAGAAAAAUAUACUGUAGAGAUUUGAUGUAUGUGAGGUAAAAAGGUGAUUGAGAAAUGUAUUUAUGGAAAAAAUGUUAGUUUCCUUUUCUCUUCUAUUUCGAAUUUCUCCCAACUUAUGUUUCCUUGUUGCAAAUCUUGCCAAACUUUAUAAGAUAUGUCUUAUCAAUUUCUUUGAUACCUGAAACACAAGAAAUUUCUCAUUCCUUAUGUGUAUUCUUGUUUAAUUAUUUAAUUUGGUUCCUGAAACACAAGAAAUUAGUAAAGAAUUUAGAUCCAAUUUGGUGCAACGCUUCUUUGACAAACUGAAUCGGAUGCUUCUGCAAUGGAAGUGUUUUUUUUUUUUAUAACAACAAUAACUUUUCCUACAACCUAAUUUAUUCUAUUCUGCAGGGAGGAGGAACCUAAUCUAUUCUAUUCUAUAUGGAGGGAAGCCUAAAAAGAUUAUACUAUACGGACCUGACUCGAUCAAAGAGUUAAUUUGACAACUCCAUUAAAUUUUUUUCAUUAUAUAUAGAAUUUGAACUCCAGAUUUACAAUCUAAAAAAAAAUUAAUCUCUUUUUGGUUUCCACAUAGCCAAAGCUCAGUUGGCCCAGUGGUUGCAACUUGCAACGGCAGUUGCUUGGCAUUUUCAAUUCACCUUUCUUUGUAGUGUAGUAGUUGUCGGGAUUCUUCAUCUGCCUUUGAUCCACAUUCCACAUGCUUGGGGGGGGCAUCGGAUGUGGAAAAUUCCACCCAAGAAGGAAAAGAAACCGUAUUGAAUGAUGAAGAAAAGAAAAUGGCAAUCAUCAUUGAGACUCUAAUAAUUGCCAUGGAGAAGUUUGCCUGGCAAUUUCACUUGGCUUUAUUGAUCAAUGCUUAGCUGGGUAUUUCAUCUUUUUCUGAUUGAAAGCUGGCUGGGCCUUUGGUUGUGAAAAAUAUCUCAAUGGUUCGUCGGAGUUGUGGUUUGAUCCAAGACUGACCCCCGCAAAAAAAAAGAAGAAGAAGAAAGACUAUGUUCAAUGAUAAAAAUGUAAAGGAGAAAGAAGAAAUGACAACCAUAGCUGGUGACUUUGCAACAUUAAUUGCCUCAGCCAUUAAUCCUUGGGAAAUGCCCGACCAGGGUAGCUCACCUGGUGGUGUAGUCUCUAGUUAGAGCAUCCACCACGGUUCGAGUCCCUGUAACAAAAUGGGAAAAGACCCAACAACCCAAAUAAGGGUUGGGGCCUGAAGUUGGGCCAGGCCCUUUUUUUUGACAAAAAAAAAAAUUAAUCCUUGGGAAAUAGACUAAAAACGUUAUUUUGUGGGGGAAAACUUAAGAAAUAAUCCGUAUCAGGUUUGGCAUGUAGCGACAUAAUUGGCCAAUGGUUGGGUGCUUCUUAGCUUUUACACUUGUGAAAUUGCCAAAUCAGUCACUCGUAAUUCCACAAGCUUUCUGGCACUUUAAAAAUUCAAACAUUUUGUUUCAAAAUGUCUUGUUUAUGUACAGCAUACAAAAUUUAAGUGGUGAAAGUUUAAGGAGUUUCUUUAUUACUAUUUUUUUUAGAGUACAAUAUACAAUCAACUGAAGUUAGAAGUGAAAUAGACCUUUAGCUCACACUAUGAUUAUAAACUUUGACUAAAUUGGAUGUUUUGGAAAGGGGGAAAUGAGCGUGUUCUUGUGGAUUUCAAUUUUUACAAUUGAAUUAUUUGCCUAUGAUAUGAUCACAAGUUUAACUUAAAUGGAGUUGCGAUGAUAGAAGAUUCUCGAAAGAAGACUUCAAAAGGUGGAAAUUGAAAAUGAGUGGAAAUUAAUGGGGAAUUAACCAAUUAUUUGGAUACCUAUUUUUGAAUCUGACUCUUUUAUAAUUAGUUUCUCUUAUAGUUUUUCUCGCUCCUAACAAAUUUAUCUCAAAAGAUAAAUUUGAAUUAUUUGUUCUUAUGGUUCCUCUCUCUUCUAACAAUAUGAUUAAUUUGUAUAAAUUUUUUUAUCCAUAUGGAUUAACUUAGUGUUAAAAAAAUUUUAACUGUUAGCUGAUAGAUUUAUCAAUAUUGCUGGAAAUUAAAUAUUUGUUGAUGUAGAAAACAAAUCACAAAAUCUAUUGUACUUAGUUAAGUAGGAACAUUGUCGCGCCCCACUUUUUGAAUGAGAUGAUGUGUGUGUGAAGUGAACGUGUGCAAAAUGAAAAGUAAAAAGGCCAUGGGACUUUGGAAAGCGACGAUUUGGCCAAAUGAAAUUUUAAAAAGGGUUUUUUUAAAUAUGAAAACGGAGUCGCCACUUGGUAUAGAUUUGGGGUGUACCAAGUCACCCAAAAAAGUGUUUUUUAAAGACAAAGUAGUAAAACCCUUUUUAAAACGACUCCUAGUCCACGUAAGCCAAAGAAAAAGGUUCGGGGGUCACGUUUGACAAAGGGGAAGGCAAGGAUAGAAUCCAAGGCACCCCUUUGACCUAGCCAAGGCUAGUUGCGCGACUCAAACCAAUUUUUCCUAAUUUUUUCUACCCAAGGUAUGUAUCGCGUAUUGGAUAUGUCUAUAUGAAUGCAAAAACCUAGACCUAGGGGGACAUGGGGGAAAUUUCUCUUCAAAGGUUGAGUGGUGCCAAUCACAUUAAUUGUGAAGCCCAAUAAUGAUCCUUUGGAGAGGUCACGUGUAAUCCUAAAUGACGUAAAAAUGAGUGGAAUGCAUGCCAUGUGAAAGUGUGAGUUUGUGUGAAGUGAAAAAAAAUGAUAAAAAUACGAUAUAAGUGGAGGUGUGCAAAUGUCUUUGAAUGCAAAUAUAUACUCCAAGUGCAAGUGGGCAAAAAUGCAUGUAUGCAAUUUAAAGAAAAGUGCGAAAGUGUCGGUGUGCAAAUGAAGAUGAAAGUACUCGUGUGCGAGUGAAGAUAAAAGUGUUCGUGUGCAGGUGAAGAUAAAAAGUGUUCGUGUACAAGUGAAAAAAGUGUUCGUGUGCAAGUGAAAGUGAUAAAAAGGUGCAUGUGUGCAAGUGAAAGUGAUAAGAAGGUGCAUGUGUGCAAACGAGACAAAAGUGAAAGUGUAAUGAUAGAGUGGAUUGAGAAUGCAUGAGUCUAGGGAAUUCAUGCAUAUUGGGUACGGGGAGACCUAAAUCGUGACUUGAUUUUCCCUUUGAUUAGAAGGCGAAACUAGCGUGCUAAGGCUAUCGAGUAGCCACACUCGCUCGUUUCCCUUAUCGGAAGGGGACUCUCAUGCAAAUGUACCCUAUAACUAGUAUGAAAUGCAAAAAUCCUAAAAUGAGGGGAAAAGGGGCUCGAGGAGCAUGCCAGAUGAUAAAACUAAGGAAAAAUGCAUGAUAUGUAGUGAACAAGCAAAUGAUAUGCUAAUGAGGGGAAAUCCCUAAGGGUCUAGCGUUGGACUAGCCCAUUCUAUGAAUUCCGACUAGCGUUGGACUAGCGGAAACGUACAUUCAUCCAUUCCAUUCAUUCAUGGCUAUGAAAGCAAGUAGACAUGCCAAAAUACUCGUAAACACAUAGCACAUAGCAUUUAGCAUGCUCGACUAGAUGCAAGAGCCUAAUAAAGCAAUUAAACAUGUAGCAACAAAAACAAGCAACCAAGGGGAAGGGGAAAUGGACCAGGUGCUCUCCGAGCGCUAUCUAUUACAAGCCAAGAGGUGUACACAUACCCCAUAAAAGCAUAAAGGGGAAGGGGAAAUGGACCAGAUGCUCUCUGAGCCCUAUCUAUUACAAGCCAAGAGGUGUACACAUACCCCAUAAAACUUAAAUAAAAGUAAAAGCAAGUAAACGCAUGCAAGGAGGUAAGGAAAGCGAAGUAGACAGGCAUAUUCACAUAACACAUAGGAGCACGUAGGGUCAAAUGAAGUGCAAAUGAGGGAUAGAGUGUACCUCCCUUGAAGCGACGCCCUAACGUAGUAAAAUUACUAACUUACCCUCCAAAAUAAUAAAAAGGUCAAGGUACCACUUAAAUUAUCAAAUAAAUCAGAGAAAAUGGAAAUAAAUGCCAAAUUGAAUUACUUGAGGCAUUCCAAAGAAAGUAAACUACUCGUACUUAACCAAUUAAGACAAGCAACGACCCAAUUGAGAAAUUAAAGAGGUUUAAAGAGCCAAUUUAUUAUUAUUAUAAACACUAAGGGACUUGAAAAAACAUAAAAUAAAAUUAAGAAUCUAAGGUGAAACAAUACCAAAUCAAACGAGAAAUUUCACAAAAAGGUAAAUGAGAAGCAAUUUACUAGUAUCUAAGUAACAAAAUGCCAAAGAAUCCAAGAAAAAUCAAAUUAACUACAAAUCUAGGAAAAAGAUAUUACUAGACCCUUUAAAUCCACUCUACAACCCCUUAAGUAUCCACUCAAAACAAAUCAAGAAGUAUUAAAGAGGAAACGGCAUGUUAGGAGGACAAAAUUAAUUAAGUUUUCCAAUUAAUUGGGCUAUGGAAGCAUUAGAUGGAAGCCAAGGGGUUGGAGUGCAAUUUGUGGAAGUUGUUUUCAUGCAAAGCAUGCAUACGAAGAGGAUUUUCUGCAAUGAAAACCAUUCAACAACUUUGAAACUUUCUUCAAUUUUUCCAUUUAGCCUUGGAAAACAAACCAAUGAACUUGACAACUCAAUAUUGAAUGCAACAACUUGGAACUAGGGGAAGAAGAAAGGCACGGAAAAAAAACUGCAAUGGAAUGCUGUGAUCAUUUGCCUAAAACAGGUUUCCAAGAGGAUAAAAAUCUGGCAGCUACCUAUCUGUAAUGCAAUGAACACACGCAUGUUUUGUCAAUGGAAACAGCCACCAAGACUUCACUUGUUAAUACGUCCCUAAAAUCUUUCAAACAACUAUUGAACAAGCUCCAUGAUUACACAGAAAUGCAAGGAAGACAGCUACUGGAAUGAAUAUAAAAAAAGAAAAAAAAAAGUCGCAAGCAUUGGAACCAUUCCUGCAUUUUCCUGUUGCAGCUCUUGCCGCAAACUCCUCUGGGGUUUUCUUUGUGUUUUAAACAAUUCAUGCACCAGUCAUUCGACACAGGAUUGAUCAUGCAAACAGAGGAAUGAAAUCCAAUUUGUGAGCUGCUGUGGGAGUCAAAACAUGAAAGCUAACGCAGCUUCAUGCAAAAUAUCAUGAGAAGAGUUUCUGCAAUUUCCUUUGCUGCAUUACUUUACUUUAGCCGAAUUGUGUUCGUGUGCCAAAAGCUCCUACAGACUUCCACUAAUUUGACUGCCAGAACCCAACUACAUGGACUUCAGCAAAAACAGCAAUUUUUACCCACUGAAUGCAGCUAAAAUGCAGCAAAUUGCAGCAAAAGACACCACUUCCGUCUUGCUGCAAUUCACCCACGAAACAUGCUCAUACAUCAACUUAAACCCAACCUACCAAGUGUAAUGCGCAAAAUGCAGUAAGGAAGCGUGAACUAGCUACCAGAAAUUCCAACCAUGAUAUCCAGCAAUUCCAAUCAUGAAGCAUGCAAAAUGGAAACCAGAAAUUCCAACCCAUUCCCAAACCAAAGAAGACCAUGAUAUUCAAGCCUUUCAUUGCAAAAAAAAACAUAAAGGAAACGGUACUCAAGGAAGCACUUAAAACUUAGACAUGACAACAAUCCUGAAACUUUUUGCAACUUUCUGGUCUUGUUCAUUCAAACACCACUCAUGGCCUCAAUCAAUGAAACAUGAAUCAGAAUUACAACGUGGCUGCGCAUUUUCCAGAUUCGAUUUUUACCCUUGUUGCGUUUAUUCAAUGUAAUUUUCCAUCCAAACACUUCUAAAACUUCAACCAAACAUCAAACUUCGAUCUUAAGCCAGAAAAAAACAACCUUCAACGUCCAAACAAGCCAAAAUCAGCCCCAAAAUGCAAUCUUUUCUCAAUCAUUUUCUUCUUCAGUUCAUGGGAUAAUAUAAUCACUUUCUGGGCUCAUUACCAAACGUAAGAUCAUACGAAUCUAUUUCCAAGCUAACGAAAAUCAUGCUAUUUACACCGCUUAUCUCUAAAACCCAACAAUCAGAAUUGCACCAACCCAAAAAAGAAAACAACGGCAACCAGGGAAGCAACAAGUCAGCGAAAUAUGAUAAAAAACACAGAGCCCAGCUAACCACAAAAUGUCACAGGAUCAUGCCUUUUGGACUUUGGAUUCUCAUGGAUAUAGCAUUAAAGCAAGAAAAGGAGAAACAAAAACGAUCACCUGAAUUGCUAGGGCCGAAAGCAAGAGUUUCUGCUGAGUUUUCGUUUGAAGCUAAAACUGGAACGGUGGAGGCCGAACAGCUUCUUCCUCCGGAUCAAAGCUCCCUCUUUUCUCUUGUUUUUUAGGUUUCCUCUGCCCAGCCGAUAAUCAGCCCAAAACUUCCUUCUUUUCUUUCUGUUUCUCCUCGGCCCCGACACCCCCUUGGCUCAGCUUUUCUCUCCUCCAGUUCGUCCAACUAGAUUUCAGCCCCACUCCCAAAACCUCCAGCCGCUAUCUCAUCCUAUUCUCAAACCUUCUUGACCCUAGUCGUUCCUCUACUCUCAUCUGGUUUCUCUCAAUCCUCCCCCUUUUCAGCUGCAAACCCUCAUUCUCUCUUCGUAGCCCCUGCCCAGUUUUCAGUUCUCUCUUACCUUCAGCUCUCGGUUUUUCCUUUCCGUCAACCCUCUCUUGGCUCCUGUGUUUUUCUUUUGCCGUUCUUUUUAGAACUCUCCCCCGUAUCCUCCCUAAAACUCCCUUGCGGCUGUCCAUCCUUUUGCUAUUUAUAUGGGAACUUCCAACCCUAAACCUUCAGUCAGCUCUUCUAUAUUUACAGCCCAAGGGGCUGCCCGAAGUCCUCCCUUGCAAGCUGCAAAACGCAGCUUGCAAGUCGCGUUUCUUUUUUUUUUUUUUUAACUUUCAACUUAAUAAAUACAGAAAUGAUAAAAUAUAAAUAAUAAUAAUAAAAAAUUGACAAAAACCAAGUAAUAAUAAUGAAAAUAAUAAUAAUGAAAAUAAUUUAAAAAACUAAACAACUAAAAACAACAAAAAUGGCCAUUUUUCCAUCUUUUUUUUUGUUUCAUUUUUCAUUUUUUCCAUUUUUUUCAAGAAAGCAUUGAAUUUAAAUUACAAACGACUAAAUCAUAUUUUUUUGAAUGCUUUUUCUUUUCCUUUUUUUCUUUUUCAACAAAUUCUAUGAUAAAACUUAAAAAUAAAAAUAAAACUGGAAACUAAAAACUAAAAAUGAACACGACAAAUAAAAAAAACUAAAAAAUGAAAUUACACCAAAAAUUUGGUGUCUACAAACAUGUAACUAGGUUUAUGGUUAUUAUAAAAAUUGUAAUUAUCUAAAAAAAUAUCCGUACACAAAAGGUAGAAUAUCUAUUGAUUUUUUUAUAUGUGUUAUAAUAUUUGAUGAAUAUUAUGAUAUUAUAGUAAAAGUAUGUAAAGAAGUUUUUAAAAAUUAGUAUGAUAGUUAAGUAUAACUAUUACAUUAAUUUUCUAAAAUUAAUAUACAUGAAUUUGUAAGAUCAUCAUUAAUUUUUUAUUUAAAUUAUUCAUGCUUGCACGAAUUCAAAGUAAAAUAAAAAAAUAAACCAUGCCAAGGCACAUGCAAGAUGCUCGUUCAAAUUAAUGUUGUACACGUAUAGGAGUCACAAAACGGUUUGGUGCAUCUAAAGUAUUAGGACAAGUUUUACAUUAAAGCGGGAGAUUUGUAAAGCAAUUGAGCGAAAACAAAUGAGGGUGAGGAAAACUUUAUAUCAGUUGCAAUGCAUUCAUAAAAGCUAUGACACAUUCGUUAAAAUAAGAAAUAUUUAUUAAUUUGGUGCAGUGUAAUAGCAAACCAAGGAAAAAAAAUAUGAAUGAUCCGUAAGAGGGAAAGAUGUCAUUUGACUUAAAAUAAAAGUGUGAUUGGAUAGAGGUUUAGUUGAACAAAAAGAUUAGAUUAAUAUCGUAACAAUUUUUGUGGCUUGAUAUAAUGUAUAUGAGAUACAAUGAUGGCUGGUAAAAUAAAAAAAUGAUUCAGGUAAAUAUAAAUAAUUUUUUUCAUAUAUUUGCGUAAUGAUGAUAAUGACAGGGGUGAAAACAAUGCAUGCAAAGACGAAGGUUGAUAAUAAUAAUGAUAACUAUGGUAAGAUAGAUAGCAAUUGCAAGUUGCACACCAUGCAAUUAGUAAAUGUUUUAGAUUAGGUAAAUUUGCACACCACUAUUGCAAAUAAUUCAGUCAAUAAGAGAGAGGAAAACACAAUGCACGAAAUCCAACUUUUAGAAUUGUGUUAUAGUUUAACGAUGACUAUGUGGUGUUUUUGUAGACAAAUAAACAGAAAAACAAAUAAAUAUACAAAUUUGAUAAAGAAAGGUGCACUUCUAUGGGACCGAAACUAAUUGCUCUUAGGUCCCAUUUUGCUAUUUCUUAAAGUUUUUAUAGGGACUUUUUCGUUUGGAUUGCUAUUUUUUGAAGUUUUUAUAGAAAGAUAUGUUGUAGGAAUUUAAUAUAUAUAAGAUAAAAAAUAAUUAAAAAAUAUAUUUAUGAAAAAUGUUAAAAAUUUUUUGUAGUAAACUGCAAUCGUAGCAUGGCUUGCGAUUUGAUCAAUAUGAAAUAAAAAAGUAACUGAGAAAUGUAUUCACAAAAAAAUGUAAAAAUUUUGCCUUAGAAAACUACAAUCCAAACAAGUAGUCUUCUCCCCAUUUAAGAAACGCAAUGAAAAUAUUUGUUGAAUAAUUAAACUUAUCCCUUCAUAAACCACUUAUACCGGGGGAAGAAUCGAUUUUAUGGUAAGGAGGGAGGCAGUGAAUGAAAAGUCUUGGGUUCGAUUCCUCCCACUUACACAAAAAAAAAAGUAAAAAAAAAAAUCCACUUAUACUAGCUAAGAGUAUUUUCUGGUCACGUCUCAUGUUAUAUAUUAUUAAUCCUAUCCUAUUAUCCAAAAGCAUUUGUUGGAAAUUGCAUGCUUAAUUUAGAUUAAAAAAACAAUAAUGAAAUAUUUGUUGGAAAGAAGGAAAAGUGACGCAACCUUUCCAAUUUGUAAAUUCAAUUAGGCUAACAUGUAAAACUAUUAAAGUGUAUCAGCAUGAGAGAAUUUAGUGCUUCAUCUGACGCUUGUAAAAUAGACAAAUGAAGUUUUGAAAUUCUAGCACUUUUGGACCAAUACUUUUUUUUAAGGCAAAACCAAUGCCUUAGGUAAUUACAAGAUCUCAUCUUGAUUUGCUGUUUUUCUUAUUAAAUGUUGAAUCUAGAAAAUCAUGUCUAAGAAAUAACUACAUAUACCCGGAAAAAAAAUUUAGUGCUAGGAUAAAUAUACGGUUAAGUUAUGGAAAUUCUCUUUUCCAUUUUAGCAAUUUGAUUCUUUGGAUGCAUGAUUUUAUCUGUUAUAUUUGACUUCAAAAUAAGUUACUUUAGAAUGGUGUUUGGAUGUGAAAACAUAAUCUGUAAUUAUUCUCACCUACUAUUUAUUUUCUAAAGGUCUGUCCACUUUAUUCGGAUUUCUUAUGUCACGGCCCCACCUCCCCCUAAGGCGAACCAGAGGGUUCGGCGGGCCGCCUGCCCAGCUCUCGCCGGGACUCAGUCGCUCACUACAGUCCUCAACCCAAUUACAAUAUAAAUCUCAAAAUUUCAUCAAAUUCUCCAAUGAUUACAUAUUACAAAUGCAGCGGAAACUGAUUCCAAUCGUAGAACGUAUACUUACAUCCAUAUCAAUUUCAAAUAUUUAUACAAGACCAACUCGUACAUAAAAUAGAUCCAAACUUAAACUGUACACGAUAUAAGCCAUCCAGUCACGUGAAUAAGUACUCCAAGCUUUUCUUCGCCUUGAGCCCUGUGGGGGGGGGGAAAUAAAACAUUUUUGGGGUGAGCUAGAAGCUCAGCGAGUAACCAUUAAAAUCAGUAAUCAAAUCGGUUUCACAAUAUUUCUUUUCAAUGAUGUCAUAAAUCAAAUGAUAAGUCCAGAAACGAUUACAGCAUUUACAAAACAUUAAAUAUGGAGUGUCAAUAAUUCAAGAAACAUGUACAAUGGAAAGCGAUAGUAACAUUCAUGAAAGGAUACAUUCAUUCUCCUGACAUUUCCUCGCUCAUUUGAUCAUUUAUUUCAUUUCAUUCACCCCGUCCCUGGCUUUUGGCCAGGCUCCACCAACCUACAUAGGUAAUACUCGAGUAUACCAAAUGUUCACCCAAGUUCCUAAUCGCCUGACCGAGUCCGCUUCUGGCUCAAGACGACCGGUAACAAGGGGCAAUGGCCAGUUCAGCCCAAAAGGCUUACAUUCAUGCGCAAGUAACAUUUCAAUCAAAAAUUUCACAUUUAUCGAGGUCGAGUGCGAUAAAGUACACACUCGCCUCGAAAACUCGUUUUGGAAAUCAUUAUAAGCGCUUAACACGUUAUCAACCAAAAUACAAGUCAUGAAGUCAAAGAAUAUAGCAAACAAGGCACACUCACAUGCCAGCACGCAUGAUAUGCAAGAAAACAUUUCAAAAGUAACUUUGGAAACAGUUCAAAAGUAAAUAAUGUAAGAAACGGAUCAUAAAUAACUUUAGAAGUAGUUUGAGGUCACUCACCUCCACGGCUCUGAAACCAUCCAUCAUAUAGCAUUGCCUUGCUCAAAUCCAAGCCUUAGAUCACAAACGCAAAGCAACCAAGUCCUUUAAAAGUUCGGACAGCACUUCCCCUGAAUUUGCUAACUUUUCCAGCCAUCAUGGCUUCAUUAUAUCCUCAGCCAGUCCCAAAGGUACACACACAACAACGAGUUCAUCCAAUAGCCAUUCAGCAAGCUCCAAGUGGUACUAGUACAAGUCAAGCUAGGGAAAAGGUCCGGAAAUGAAGGUUUAGCUCAAACCAGAAAAACAGUUUUGGACGUCACUUUACGGUAAUGGCACAACUUGCACUACGAUUAUCGGAUUAGGGUGUAAGACCCACCAUUUCGAAGCUAUGAAACAGGGAUACAACAAUGUAGAAGGCCUCUCAGUCCAAAUCCUAGCACAACUAGGUCAAAAAUGCAGAAAACUAACCCAGAACCGUAAUUGCAGGUUCUCAAAUCCCACAAAACUGUAAUCAGUCCAAUUCAGUCUAUACAGGUCCAAAUGCAUUGAUUCAAAAGGCAUAUGAAAGCUAAGACAUCAAGCUACAUUUCAUCAGAAGACACCAACAACAAAAUCCAAAUCAAUUCCAGUCAAAACAGACAAUUUGUUAUCGCAGUUCGCACAUUCUGUUCACCAAAAACAGCAACAGUAAAAACGGCAUAACUCACUCUACACUACUCCAAAUACCCUGAAAUUUUGCAGGCACUUCAUACUCACCAAUAUAUACAACUUUUAUGUUUUGAGCAAAGUCCAAUUCGGCCGCUAGCUAUGACCUAAAAUUUCGGACAGAAUAGGGGUUCAUGAACCCUAACUUUUCACAAUUCACUUCAAAUCCAAAAUUGAUUGCAUUAUUCUUAUCCAAUCCACCACGCGAGCACCGCCAGCUCUCAAGCUCGCCGUGGCCUCCUCUCUCCACCACCAGCUUGCAACCCUCUGCUUCAACCCGCCGCCACUCUCUUCGCCACUGUCUCCACGCAGCCCGCCGCCACCUCACCUCGCUCACCACCAGCCUCAAAGGCCUUCCCCCCAUCGCGAGCCAUCUGCCCAACGCGCACGCUGCCACUCUCCCCUCCCGACUGCCCCAGCGCGCCUCCUCCUUAGCUCAGCCCGCCGCCUGGUGCUGACCACCACGCCGCGCGCCGCCAGCGCUGGAGCCGCCUGCGCGCUACCACUUCACCUACUGCGCGCCUCCACCUCAGCUUGUCCGCCAAUGUCGCGCGGCUGUCACCACCUGUCCUAUUUAGACAGGUGGAGGUAUUGUGAAUUCUGCCCCAAUUAGUUUCACUCUCUGAAAUUUGUGGUUGGAUUUCUUGAUUGAUAAAAGAAGGUGAUAAUUUGGGCAUUUUCUAGGGUCAAUUUUGGACAGAAUUGGGUUUAAUUGCUGCCAUAGUGGGGGUAUCUUCUGCUAUUUAUUGAAUUGUUGGCCUUUUGAUUACUCUUUCCCUGCGACUCACCAGGUACUGGUUGAGAUCUUUUGCCUAUCGUUGUGGCUUAUAUUUGAAGAUACUUGCUUAUUUUGCCGUUUCAGUUCUUGUGGUUGAGUUGCUGCCGUUGAAUUUAAUUCUUUCCUGUUUGUGCACCAGUGGUACUGGUUGCGGUGUUGCUUACAAUUCUUAAAUUUUCUCGAAUUCUAAUCGGUAGUUGCUGGAAUUGCUUGUUUGCUGGAUUCUUAAAAUUCUUAAGGCUUGGUAUCUUGAAGUGGGUACUUGAAUGUCCACUUGGUGACAUUUGUUGAGUUUCACUUGCUCCAAUUGGUUGAAUUCAUUGCUCUGUUGGGGUCCCUACUGGUAUCACUUGACUUCUGCUUUGUUAGUUUCUGUAUCGUGCCCCUUGAUCUUAUUUUGACUGAAUUGGAAACCCAGUGCAUAUUCAUUCAAUUUGCUGUAUUGUUAGGGUACUUUUCUAGCCUUUGGGGUGCCUCAGUUGUGCUUUUUAUUAAUUGGGUUGGCCAUGUGGUUCCCUCCUUUCCUGUGUAUACACCAGUGGUACUGGUUGUGCUAAUUUGCUUACAAUUUCUUAUUUCGAUAUGAUUGAGCAUCUGUGACUGAGUAUCCUUCGAUCUUGUUGCUUUGUUGGGAUCGUUUUUGGUGUCAAUUGAGUAUCAUUUGGUACUUUCUGCCUGGAGUCUAUUGAGCUGCCUUUGGUUGGGGUGUAUUGCAUUUAAUUGGUGCAUUGGACGGCUCCUGUGCCAUUUCCGUUGCUUAUUGAAGUAGGUUGCCUCUAUUUGCCUUGUGUGGGAGUAUUUUGUCCUUUUCAUUUCAAUUGCUAAAUUCAUUGGAGCACUUGUUGCGGUUUUGGGAUGCAUUGUUAUUGCAUUUGGCUAAGCAGGGGACCACCCAGGGCUAACGACUGGGUCCAACUCCGAAUGCAAGUUGCAUAACAUGGCGCAGAAUUUGGCAGCACUCCGCCCGACCCACUCCUGUUUUGACAACUUCAGGGAAGUACCGUUACCCUUCCCCUUCCUUUUGCUGUUAGUUUAUCACAUUGAGGGCAAUGUGAGAAAUUAGGUGUGGGGGGGACUCACAUGCCAGCACGCAUGAUAUGCAAGAAAACAUUUCAAAAGUAACUUUGGAAACAGUUCAAAAGUAAAUAAUGUAAGAAACGAAUCAUAAAUAACUUUAGAAGUAGUUUGAGGUCACUCACCUCCACGGCUCUGAAACCAUCCAUCAUAUAGCAUUGCCUUGCUCAAAUCCAAGUCUUAGAUCACAACCUCAAUGCAAACAAGUCCUUUCAAAGUUCGGACAGCACUUCCCCUAAAUCUUCUUACUUUCCCAGCCAUCAAGGCUUCAUGAUUUCCUCAUUCCAACCCAAAGGUACACCCACAACAACAAGUUCAUCCAAUAACCAUUCAGCAAGCUCCAAGUGGUACUAGUACAAGUCAAGCUAGGGAAAAGGUCCGGAAAUGAAGGUUUAGCUCAAACCAGAAAAACAGUUUUGGACGUCACUUUGCGGUAAUGGCACAACUUGCACUACGAUUAUCGGAUUAGGGUGUAAGACCCACCAUUUCGAAGCUAUGAAACAGGGAUACAACAAUGUAGAAGGCCUCUCAGUCCAACUCCUAGCACAACUAGGUCAAAAAUGCAGAAAACUAACCCAGAACCGUAAUUGCAGGUUCCCAAAUCCCACAAAACUGUAAUCAGUCCAAUUCAGUCUAUACAGGUCCAAAUGCAUUGAUUCCAAAGGCAUAUAAAAGCUAAGACAUCAAGCUACAUUUCAUCAGAAGACACCAACAACAAAAUCCAAAUCAAUUCCAGUCAAAACAGACAAUUUGUUAUCGCCGUUCGCACAUUCUGUUCACCAAAAACAGCAACAGUAAAAACGGCAUAACUCACUCUACACUACUCCAAAUGCCCUGAAAUUUUGCAGGCACUUCAUACUCACCAAUAUCUACAACUUUCAUGUUUUCAGAAAAGUCCAAUUCGGCCGUUAGCUAUGACCUAAAAUUUCGGACAGAAUAGGGGUUCAUGAACCCUAACUUUUCACAAUUCACUUCAAAUCCAAAAUUGAUUGCAUUUUCUUAUCCAAUACACCUCAUAGAGUCAUUAUCAGCCAUUACCAUUCAUCAUACAAGGCCACAACAUCCCCUUCAUAUUAAACCAGAAAAAUUCCCAAUAAAAUAAAAACUUCACCAAAACUCUUCAAAUCAAGAAAUAAAUCAUAUAUUCCUUCACUCAUGCCACCAUUAAGCAUCAUAUAACCAUCAUUAGGUGUAGUAGAGGGUUCAAGCAUCACUUACCAAGUAACAAGAGGUGUAGAGAGGUUGGCCACCUUAGAGCUUCAAAACAACUUCACUAGUACACUUAUUAUCACUAAAAGGAAAGGUUUUAUGGAUUAAAAAUGGAUGUAAACAAAUGUUUUGGGUGAUUUGCACCAAGUAGAAGCUUGAAAGUUGAAGAGUUUCUUCUUUCUUCUUGCUUAAAGAGGGCCGGCCAUAAGGAGGAGAAAAAUGGUGAAUUUUGUGCAAUUUUUGGAUAUUUAAUCCUUUGGUCAAAAAAGUCAAGAAUGUGAAUAGUAUUUCUUAAGGUCCAACCAAUAGGAAAGUGACACUUGUCACCUCCAUUAAAUGCAUUCUUAUCUUUCUUUUCUCUCUCACAUCAAUCACUUCACACACACUACUUAUCUCUUAACACCCGAUAAAUUUUAACCAGUAUCCGGAAUGUAACCUAAUUGGCCGAAUUUUUCCGAACUUUUCGCACUAGUGGGUCCCACGUCCGUUAUAAACUCUUAAUUUCUCAAAAACUCUCCAAUACUAGAAAAAUCAUUUGAAAACGAUAUUUGCUCAUAAACUUUAUCUGGGGAAUUUUUCUAAUCAAGAAAAUGUAGAAAAGCGGGCGUUAAACAAAUAAACCCUAGAAAAGUAGAAAAUUUCCGGGUUCUCAAACUCAUUUUUUUUCGGGGCGUCACAAUCUCCCCUCCUUAAAAGAAUGUCGUCCUCGACAUUCCCUCUUGUACCAAUCAAGUCGAAACAUCCCGCAAAAAUCUCUCAAGAGUCAAAUCAAACCCACAGUCCGGCAUCCUAAACUUCAAGCCUAGGAUACACUACAGAGAUCUGAAGCCUAAGCUCUGAUACCAAUUGUCACGGCCCCACCUCCCCCGAGGCGAACCAGAGGGUUCGGCGGGCCGCCUGCCCAGCUCUCGCCGGGACUCAGUCGCUCACUACAGUCCUCAACCCAAUUACAAUAUAAAUCUCAAAAUUUCAUCAAAUUCUCCAAUGAUUACAUAUUACAAAUGCAGCGGAAACUGAUUCCAAUCGUAGAACGUAUACUUACAUCCAUAUCAAUUUCAAAUAUUUAUACAAGACCAACUCGUACAUAAAAUAUAUCCAAACUUAAACUGUACACAAUAUAAGCCAUCCAGUCACGUGAAUAAGCACUCCAAGCUUUUCUUCGCCUUGAGCCCUGUGGGGGGGGAAAUAAAACAUUUUUGGGGUGAGCUAGAAGCUCAGCGAGUAACCAUUAAAAUCAGUAAUCAAAUCGGUUUCACAAUAUUUCUUUUCAAUGAUGUCAUAAAUCAAUGAUGUCAUAAAUCAAAUGAUAAGUCCAGAAACGAUUACAGCAUUUACAAAACAUUAAAUAUGGAGUAUCAAUAAUUGAAGAAACAUGUACAAUGGAAAGCGAUAGUAACAUUCAUGAAAGGAUACAUUCAUUCUCCUGACAUUUCCUCGCUCAUUUGAUCAUUUAUUUCAUUUCAUUCACCCCGUCCCUGGCUUUUGGCCAGGCUCCACCAACCUACAUAGGUAAUACUCGAGUAUACCAAACGUUCACCCAAGUUCCUAAUCGCCUGACCGAGUCCGCUUCUGGCUCAAGAUGACCGGUAACAAGGGGCAAUGGCCAGUUUAGCCCAAAAGGCUUACAUUCAUGCGCAAGUAACAUUUCAAUCGAAAAUUUCACAUUUAUCGAGGUCGAGUGCGAUAAAGUACACACUCGCCUCGAAAACUCGUUUUGGAAAUCAUUAUAAGCGCUUAACACGUUAUCAACCAAAAUACAAGUCAUGAAGUCAAGAAAUAUAGCAAACAAGGCACACUCACAUGCCAGCACGCAUGAUAUGCAAGAAAACAUUUCAAAAGUAACUUUGGAAACAGUUCAAAAGUAAAUAAUGUAAGAAACGAAUCAUAAAUAACUUUAGAAGUAGUUUGAGGUCACUCACCUCCACGGCUCUGAAACCAUCCAUCAUAUAGCAUUGCCUUGCUCAAAUCCAAGUCUUAGAUCACAACCUCAAUGCAAACAAGUCCUUUCAAAGUUCGGACAGCACUUCCCCUAAAUCUUCUUACUUUCCCAGCCAUCAAGGCUUCAUGAUUUCCUCAUUCCAACCCAAAGGUACACCCACAACAACAAGUUCAUCCAAUAACCAUUCAGCAAGCUCCAAGUGGUACUAGUACAAGUCAAGCUAGGGAAAAGGUCCGGAAAUGAAGGUUUAGCUCAAACCAGAAAAACAGUUUUGGACGUCACUUUGCGGUAAUGGCACAACUUGCACUACGAUUAUCGGAUUAGGGUGUAAGACCCACCAUUUCGAAGCUAUGAAACAGGGCUACAACAAUGUAGAAGGCCUCUCAGUCCAACUCCUAGCACAACUAGGUCAAAAAUGCAGAAAACUAACCCAGAACCGUAAUUGCAGGUUCCCAAAUCCCACAAAACUGUAAUCAGUCCAAUUCAGUCUAUACAGGUCCAAAUGCAUUGAUUCCAAAGGCAUAUGAAAGCUAAGACAUCAAGCUACAUUUCAUCAGAAGACACCAACAACAAAAUCCAAAUCAAUUCCAGUCAAAACAGACAAUUUGUUAUCGCAGUUCGCACAUUCUGUUCACCAAAAACAGCAACAGUAAAAACGGCAUAACGCACUCUACACUACUCCAAAUGCCCUGAAAUUUUGCAGGCACUUCAUACUCACCAAUAUCUACAACUUUCAUGUUUUGAGAAAAGUCCAAUUCGGCCGCUAGCUAUGACCUAAAAUUUCGGACAAAAUAGGGGUUCAUGAACCCUAACUUUUCACAAUUCACUUCAAAUCCAAAAUUGAUUGCAUUUUCUUAUCCAAUACACCUCAUAGAGUCAUUAUCAGCCAUUACCAUUCAUCAUACAAGGCCACAACAUCCCCUUCAUAUUAAACCAGAAAAAUUCCCAAUAAAAUAAAAACUUCACCAAAACUCUUCAAAUCAAGAAAUAAAUCAUAUAUUCCUUCACUCAUGCCACCAUUAAGCAUCAUAUAACCAUCAUUAGGUGUAGUAGAGGGUUCAAGCAUCACUUACCAAGUAACAAGAGGUGUAGAGAGGUUGGCCACCUUAGAGCUUCAAAACAACUUCACUAGUACACUUAUUAUCACUAAAAGGAAAGGUUUUAUGGAUUAAAAAUGGAUGUAAACAAAUGUUUUGGGUGAUUUGCACCAAGUAGAAGCUUGAAAGUUGAAGAGUUUCUUCUUUCUUCUUGCUUAAAGAGGGCCGGCCAUAAGGAGGAGAAAAAUGGUGAAUUUUGUGCAAUUUUUGGAUAUUUAAUCCUUUGGUCAAAAAAGUCAAGAAUGUGAAUAGUAUUUCUUAAGGUCCAACCAAUAGGAAAGUGACACUUGUCACCUCCAUUAAAUGCAUUCUUAUCUUUCUUUUCUCUCUCACAUCAAUCACUUCACACACACUACUUAUCUCUUAACACCCGAUAAAUUUUAACCAGUAUCCGGAAUGUAACCUAAUUGGCCGAAUUUUUCCGAACAUUUCGCACUAGUGGGUCCCACGUCCGUUAUAAACUCUUAAUUUCUCAAAAACUCUCCAAUACUAGAAAAUCAUUUAAAAACCAUUUUUGCUCAUAAACUUUAUCUGAAAAAUUUUCUAAUCAAGAAAAUGUAGAAAAGCGGGCGUUAAACAAAUAAACCCUAGAAAAGUAGAAAAUUUCCGGGUUCUCAAACUCUUUUUUUUCGGGGCGUCACAUCUUACCUAUUUCUAAAGGCCUGUCCACUUUUGACCGGUUUUCUGGCAAAGUCAACAAUGACAUUGAAUCGGACCGGUGCCAUGGCCAGUUCGCGGUUCAACCUGUCGAACCGGUCCGGUUUUCAGAACAUUGCUUAAAACAUAUUAUUUGGAUGUUUUGAAAUGGCUGUGGUUGUUUGACAAUUUUGGAUGCUUUUGUAUUGGCAUAUUUACUUUAACUUUCUCAACUAUUUUGAUUGUGGACAAUAUCUCAAUGGUUGUUUCAUUUAUGAAGGAUAAAAUUGAACUCGAGAUCCCUUACUUAUAACACCUCCUACCUUAUCACUCACAUCCAACCCUCCCAACUUGAAUCAUAAUUUGGUCUUAAUUACUAAUCCUCAAGAAUUAGAAUUAGAACAUGCAUCUUAUUUUGUUUGGUUCCCUCAAGUGCUAGAGCAAGAAUUUUUAUCGGAUCAAUUAAUGGUCAGUUUUUGACUAAUGAAAAUAUUCUAAAUAAGAUUGUGAAAUCAAUUAAUUUCAUAUACAAUCCAAAUAAGAUUAUGAACUCCUUGUUUGUUUAAUUAAUUGCAUGUGCUAAUGAUUGUACUUGCCAAAUAUCGGACCAUUGUUUUUGUCCACGAUCAAAUCGUAAAAAGGAGAGUGAGAUUCUGUUUUGGUUACAUGCAUGUCAUUAUUGUUAAUCCUUGGAAAAUGAAUUUAUGACAUACAGUAAUUUGGUCUGAAUUUUGUUCGGUUUUGGGAAGCGACCACACUGGGAAGCAAUAAUAAAAUGUUCUCUGCUUUCGCACUAGCUAUGAUGCAUUUUGCUUCUUGGCUUAGUAAUCAGGCUUGAGAUUUUAAAUUACCUUUUGUACUUUAACGUUUCAAGUAUAUAACAUGAUCGGUAUGAAAUCCCUAGCCUUCUACUCCUCUCUUUAAAAUCUGAUAGUCUUUAAUUCAGAUCGGUAUUAAUCCUUUUUGUUAUUUUAUUUCUUAUUACUUUCUUUUUCUAGUUGAUUUUGGAUCCUUUUUUUUAUUACUUUUCUAACUUUUCUUUAGCUUUUGCUGACGCGUAUAUUGGUUUCUCCUCAAACUGGAUGUCUCUCAAUCUCUCUUGUGGGAAUUCAACAUACUUUAAGAUGAAUUUCAUUUUGCCAUUAUCAAGUCUCUCAAUCUUCUUUCCUCCAGUGUUUCUUUUCUAUAUCAACUCUCCAUGAUUCCAUUAUUGUCUCACAGCAUAAUCCAGAAACUGUCAGUAUAUAAGAAUUCUUUUGAAGUAAUUAUUACUAAUAUAGUUUCCGCUUCUUGUGGAAUGUUCUGAAUCUUUCCUAAAGCAACAUUUUCCAAUUUGAGUUCCAGAAUUGUUGCAAACUUUUUUGGUUUGCGCAUCACUUUGCAUGUAAGAAUUCAAAAUUUCACCACCAAUUAAAUAGUUUUCCUCGCAACUUGUCCCGUUUGGAUUGCUAUUUUUAGGAUUUUUUUUGUAGAAAAAUAUACCUUAGAGAUUUGAUGUAUGCGAGAUAAAAAGGUGAUUAAGAAAUGUAUUUACGAAAAAAAAUGUUAGUUUCCUUUUCUCUUCUAUUUCGAACUUCUCCCAACUUAUGUUUCCUUGUUGCUAAUCUUGCCAAACUUUAUAAGAUAUGUCUUACCAAUUUCUUUGAUACUUGAAACACAAGAAAUUUGUCAUUCCUUAUGUGUAUUCUUGUUUAAUUAUUUAAUUUGGCUCCUGAAACACAAGAAAUUAGUAAAGAAUUUAGAUCCAAUUUGGUGCAACGCUUCUUUGACAAACUGAAUCGGAUGCUUCUGCAACGGAAGUGUUUUUUUUUUUUUAUAGCAACAAUAACUUUUCCUACAACCUAAUCUAUUCUAUUCUAUAGAGAGGGGAAGCCUAAUCUAUUCUAUUCUACUGGGAGGGGAGCCUAAAAAGACUAUAUAAGGAAAUUGGUAUACAGAUCUAAUUAGACUGUAUUUUGACGCUUUCUUUAAAUUUUUUUCAUUACGUAGAGUUCGAACUCCACAUUUACAAUCCAAAAAAAAUUAAUCUCUUUUUUGUUACCGCUGAGCCAAGUCUCCUUUGUUUGUAGCAUAGUAGUUGCCGGGAUUCUUCAGCUGCCUUUGAUCCACAUUCCACAUGCUGGGGGCGGGGGGGGGCGGGAAAUCGGAUGUGGAAAAUUCCACCCAAGAAGGAAAAGAAACCGUGUUGAAUGAUGAAGAAAAGAAAAUGGCAAUCAUCAUUGAGACUCUAAUAAAUCUCACUCCUCAGUUCCUGGGAUGUGAACGUACGAUUAAUAAUUCCAUCUAAAUUGCUGAUCCUAAGUGGAUCAGAUUUGAAACAUAUUUUAUCCAUUGGAGACUCCUUAGUUUGUUUGCUUUCUGCAGGGGAUUAUUGUCACGGCCCCACCUCCCCCUGAGGCGAACCAGAGGGUUCGGCGGGCCGCCUGCCCAGCUCUCGCCGGGACUCAGUCGUUCACUACAAUCCUCAAAUGAAUUACAAGAAUAAACCUCAAAUAUUACAAUAAAUUCUCCAAUAAUUACAUGUCAUAAGCGAAGCGGAAACAAUUCUCAACUAUACAUAAAAUGAUUUCCAAUCCAAACUGUACAAGAUAUAGGCCAUCCAGACACGCGCACAAGUACUACAAGCCUUCCUUCGCCUUGAGCCCUGUGGAGGGGAAUAAAAUAUUUUUGGGGUGAGCUAGAAGCUCAGCGAGUAACCAGGAAAUCAGUAAUCAAAUCGGUUUAACAAUAUUUAUUUUCAAUGAUGUCAUAAAUCAAAUGAUAAGUCCAAAAACAAUUACAACAUUUACAAAACAUUAAAUAUGGAGUAUCAAUAAUUCAAGAAACAUGUACAAUGGAAAGCGAUAGUAACAUUCAUGAAAAGAUACGUUCGUUCUCCUGUCAUUUCCUUUUUUUUCAUUUGAAAUUGCAUCAUUUUCCACCAACCUCCACCAACCUACAAAGGUAAUACUCGAGUAUACCAAACGUUCACCCAGGUCCCUAAUCGCCCGACCGAGUCCGUUUCUGGCUCGAGACGACCGGUAACAAGGGCAAUGGCCAGUUCAGCCCAAAAGACUUACAUUCAUGCGCAAGUAGCAUUUAAUCAUUUAUCAUGAAAAUUUUACAUUGAUUUAGGUCGAGUGCGAUAAAAUACACACUCGCCUAGAAAGCUCGUUUUGGAAAUCAUUCAAUGCACGUAACACGGUAUCAAUCAAUAAUACAAGUCAUGAAGUCAAGGAAAUAUAUCAAACAAGGAACACUUUCAUAUAAACACGCAUGAUAUGCAAGAAAACAGUUCAAAAGUAGCUUUGGAAACAGUUCAAAAGUAAAUAAUGUAAGAAACAUUUCACUAGUACUUUGGAAAUAGUUUAGGGUCACUCACCUCCAUGGCUCAGAAAUCAUCCAGCAUAUAACAUUGCCUUGCUCAAAUCCAAGUCUUAGAUCACAAACUCAAUGCAAACAAAUCCCUUCAAAGUUCGGACAGCACUUCCCCUGAAUUUCUUUACUUUUCCAGCCAUCAUGGCUUCAUUAUUUCCUUAGCCAGUCCCAAAGGUACACACACAACAACAAGUUCAUCCAAUAGCCAUUCAGCAAGCUCCAAGUAGUACUAGUACAAGUUAAGCUAGGGAAAAGUCCGAAAAUGAAAGUUAAGCUCAAAACCAGAAAAACAGUUUUGACGUCAUUUUGCGGUAAUGGUACCAAAGGCGGUACGAUUGUCGGAUGAAGGUGAAAGACCCAUCGUUUCGAAGCUAAGAGACAGGGCUACAAUAUUUCAGAAGGUCACUCAGUCCAAAUCCCAGCACAACUAAGUCAAAUAUGCCAAAUAACAAACCAGAACCGUAAUUGCAGGUUCACAAAUCACACUAUGCUGUAAUUAGUCCAACUCAGUCUACACAAGUCCAAAUGCAGAAAUUCCAAAGGCAUAUGGUAGCUAGGACAUCAAGAUACAUUUCAUCAGAAGACCUCAACACCCAAAUCCAAAACAAUUCCAGUCAAAACAACCCAUUUCAGACGCAGUUCUAACAUCCUGAUGAACCCAGAACAGCAAUAGUAAUUUCGGCUUAUCUCAUUCUACACUACUCCAAUUGACCUGAAAUUUUUCAGACACCUUUAAAACAUCAAUACCUACAACUUUCAUGUUUAGAGCCAAGGCCAAUUCGGCCUCUAUCUAGGACCAAAAAUUUCGGACAGAAUGAAAAACCAAGAACCCUAAUUUUCCAGAUUUCUUCCAAAACAGAAUUUACUUGCAAUCUUCCACUUUUUCCACCUUCUAGAAUCAUUAAACAUCAUUUCCAAUCAUCAUACAUAACCACAUAAUCAUACUCAUAUUAAAACAGAAAAAUCCCCAAAAAAUAAUAAAAGUUGAUCCAUCCAACCACAACUCAAAAUAUAAUCCAUCAAACCAUCUCUUUAGCCAUCACAAGUCACUAAUUUAGUAUAAUCAAGAACAAAGAAAGGAUUGCUAGACAUGAACCUUGAAAUAUCAAGAAAGUUGAUGGCUUAGUCCUUUGCCUUCUCUAAUCACUCCACCACUACCUUCAAUCUUCCUAAACAAGUGACUUUUGUGGAGAAAUUCGAAAGUUUAACGGUUGAUUCACAAGAUUGAGCAAGAAAUGGAGUUGGAGUUGAAGGCUUUCUUCUUGUAUUUUUGCUCCAAGAGGUUCGGCCAAGUUUGCAGAAAUUUAGGUGAUUUUUGGGUCAAAAUUGAGUAUUAAUAAAGGUAAGAAAUAAUGGUCAAAGUCAAGGUUGAAUAGGAAGAUGACACUUGUCACCCUUUUGGUUCAAAACUUAUCUUUUUGUCUCUCCAAUACAAAUAUCUUAACACUUUGUAAAAUAAUAUCACUUAAUACAAAAUUCCUACAAGUUGUCAAAAAUAUAUUGCGUUUACCGCACUAGCGGGUCCCACGUCCAAAAUACGCUUUUAAUUUCUCAAAAACUAACCGAUACUAGAAAAAUCAUUUGAAAACUAUAUUUGCUCACAAACUUUAUCUGGGGAAUUUUUCUAAUCAAGAAAAUGUAGAAAAGGCGGGCGUUUAAAAAAAUAAACCCUAGAAAAUUAGAAAAUUUCCGGGUUCUCAAACUCAUUUUUUUUUCGGGGCGUCACAAUCUCCCCUCCUUAAAAGAAUGCCGUCCUCGAUUAUUCUCCAAUUUCUUUAAAAUCCACAGACCCCCAAAGUUCUCCAUUUCCAUGCUAGCUAUAUAUUUUCCUUUCUGGCUAGUUCAGAAUAGCUAGAAAUUUACAGUGGAUGCUUUUGUCAGCUCUUUAACCACUGGUAGAAAGAAGUGCUGCAGUAGUACAUCUUUAUUACUAUUUUUUUUUUUUGAAAUACAAUAUACAAUCAACUGGAGUUAAAAGUGAAAUAGGCCUUUAGCUCACACUGUGAUUAUAAACUUUGACUGAAUUGGAUGUUUUGGGAAGGGGGGGAAAUGAGCGUGUUCUUGCAGAUUUCAAUUUUUACAAUUGAAUUAUUUACCUAUGAUAUGAUCACAAGUUUAACUUAAAUGGAGUUGUGAUAAUAGAAGAUUCUCGAAAGAAGACUUCAAAAGGUGGAAAUUGAAAAUGAGUGGAAAUUAAUGGGGAAUUAACCAGUUAUUUGGAUACCUAUUUUUGUAUCCGACUCUUUUAUAAUUAGUUUUUCUUAUAAUUUUUCUCGCUCCUAACAAAUUUAUCUUUUCAGAUAAAUUUGAAUUAUUUGCUCUUUUGGUUCCUCUCUCUUCUAACAAUAUGAUUAAUUUGUAUAAAUUUUUUUUAUUCAUAUGGAUUAACUUAGUGUUAAAAAUUUUAACUGUUAGUUGAUAGAUUUAUCAAUAUUGCUGGAAAUUAAAUAUUUGUUGAUGUAGAAAACAAAUCGCAAAAUCUUUUGUACUUAGUUAAGUAGGAAAAUGUAACUAGUUUUAUGGUUAUUAUAAAAAUUGUAAUUAUCUAAAAAAUAUCCGUACACAAAAAGGUAGAAUAUCUAUUGAUUUUUUUAUAUGUGUUAUAAUAUUUGAUGAAUAUUAUUAUAUUAUAGUAAAAGUAUGUAAAGAAAUUUUUAAAAAUUAGUAUGAUAGUUAAGUAUAAUUAUUACAAUAAUUUUCUAAAAUUAAUAUAAAUGAACUUGUAUGAUCAUCAUUAAUUUUUUAUUUAAAUUAUUCAUGCUUGCACGAAUUCAUAAUAAAAUAAAAAAAAAUAAACCAUGCCAAGGCACAUGCAAGAUGCUAGUUCAAAUUAAUGUUGUACAUGUAUAGGAGUCACAAAACGGUUUGGUGCACAAGCAGACGAAAGGGGACAUCUAAAGUAUUAGGACAAGUUUUACAUCUAGCAGACGAAUUCAAUCGAUUGUGAUGUAUUUGCUGAUUUUCUUGAAAUAAAAAAUGCAUAGGAAAAAAAAUAUUAGAGAGUUAUCCUUUGCAUGGAGUUCAUAUCGUUACUACUUUUGCUGCGUGGAAUACCUUGUCUGAUGGAUGUCUGCUUGAAAUAUGCGUUCCACAUAUUUUGUAUGUUUAUCCUAAUAAAUCAUCUUAUAUUGUGCUAAUAUUUCAAACAGGUUUUGGAAUUUUGCUGCAAGUUUAUCUUCUCAAAAGAUAAGUCAUUUGAUUUGAUUUGCGUCAAAAAAUGCUUUGCUGAGGCCUUCAGUUGUGGAAAAAAACUCUCUGACCCAAGACGCACAAGAAACUAUUUUCCAGUUCUUUAGAAAUAAAAUAGACGUUCAACGCCCAUUUUCUAAUUCGAUUCAGUUCUGUGACCCCUUUUUUUAAUUCUCUAUUUUCUAUAAUUCUCAAUUCUUUAUUUUGCACUAUUUUGUUGGGUGAGCAAUUAACAGGCACGUGAAAUAGUGGCUCAAUGGGGGAAGAAAAAACAAGGGCUAUUCCUUUUUUUUUUUUUGGAUUGCGUGAUCAAUUAACAAGAAACGACAUAAGCAAAACAAAUUCUUCAUGUUCAGGCCCUUGAUUUUCCUUUGUGAAUAAUGAACUGAAAAAGAAACUUAAAAAUACUAGUUCAAUUGAAUCUUAAAAUUAAUGCAAAACAUGGACAAGAAUGCUGUAGUGUCUGAAGUACAAUCUCGAUUUAGUACAAGACCUCUGAAACUUGAAUACAUAAUGUUCCAGUUCCCCAAUUUUAAAACCUCUCAAGCCAGGCCAGAUUCUUCAAUGCUCGAUUCUCAAUUAAUGGCUUCAUGUAUUUUCCGUUAUGAAUGUGACAAAGUCUCCAUUCUGGAGCUCAUUUCCAGUUGUCUCGGAUUUGGUAUCACUUGAAACUGGUUCUGUAUCAGGGAAUGGGAAACAUAUGGCCGUCAACAAAAACCAGAGGAAAUUUGCAGCGCUCAGACCGGCAAGCACCCAAUAAUAGUAAUUCAAGUGACUCUCAUUCAAGUCAUGCUGAAACCAACUCUUUUUCCCUCAUUUCUCGCUAAUCUUGCCCACCAAAUGAACUGAUAAAACACUUCCCAUGAUUCCCAGACCGGAUAAUCCAGGAUUGAGGUAGACAAGGUACUUUUUCAUCGAUGGGGGACUUUGAUCAUUCAAGAAUUCUGCAACACUGUUCUCAUAAAAUGAGUCUAGCCCACCAAGAAGAAAGAAUUGCGGAACAAGCAAAAAGACAGUCAUGGGGAUUUUCUCGUUAGGCUUGUCAAUUAAACCAUUGUUAGGGUGGUUAUCUAAAUCUAACCACUGGUGAAAAUCAUCACCUUUAAACCCAAGAUCUGUAUGGCGAUUAUUAAGAAAUAAAUUAACUGUAAAAUAGCGGAAGCGUACCUGAAUCCAUAUUAAUAAACUUGAUACUUGAAUCCCUUAGAUAUUUGGGGUGGCCUUCCAAAUCAACAUGUAUUCACCAAUCCUUUGAGAGAGGUCUUUAGUUUCUCUCUGGUAUCUUUCCUGACGAUGGGAUAUCAGGGAAGGGCUGUUUUGUGGUAUUAGAAAAUACGACAACUAAAACGAUACCUGUGACCUGGGGACCAUAACCCUAUUUAUAGGCAACAUUCCUGUUACCUUUUGGAACCCUAUUUCAGCCCAUCAUUGAAAUAGGAGCCCAUAAGUUUCUACACAUUAAAGGGCCAACAUCCUAUUAAAUACAUUAAACCCAAACUAUAUUUGAUCACUUUAAUUGGGUUUAACCUUAAUUGACAGUUUGCAAUACAUAAUUAUUCACAUAUAAGUCCAAUGUUGAAUUAAGGAUCCAACAAUCUCCCACUUGGACUAUAUGUGUAACCUUAUAAUUAUGUUUUGCAAUUAACCGUAUGAGCUCAACUUUACUGUCAUUAUCACAAUGUAUCUGUAACUAAUUCGGUCCAUCAAUUACACAAAUAUAGGAUCAAAGCGGCCUUUGUUACAAUUUCGUAACUCGACCCAUCAAUGGUCACAUAUAUUAAUGCAAUUGAAUGACAUGAAUCAUGAUGUGGAUGUGUAGCAUGAAAAUUUCAUGUAAUGUGAUCAAAACAUGCCUAUUUCCAACUGGUCCACCUUAAAUUUUAUGAGAUCAAACCAUACCAAAGUUAGAGUGUAAAUAAAUUUAGACUUUAUUUAUGUAUAAAAUAUUCUUAAAUCCUUAAUAACUGAAAAAUAUCAUAAGAGCAUUCAAAAUAACAAACUCCCACUAAAACUGUACAUCAUUUAAUAACACGACACCCAUAUGAGCAGUAUGCUCAUGAAAUAAUUUGGGUGACAAUCCCUUAGUAAGCGGAUCCGCAACCAUGGAGUUUGUCCCGAUGUACUCUAUCGAUAACUGUCCAUUUUGCACUCUUUCUUUAACAGCCAGGAACUUGAUAACUAUAUGUUUAGAUUUGGUUGAGCUCCUGUUGUUAUUGGAAUAUAAGACUGCUGACUUAUUGUCACAGAAUAAUUUAAGUGGUCUUUCAAUGCUAUCCACUACACGUAAUCCUGUGACGAAAUUUCGCAGCCAAAUUCCUUGGUUGGAUGCCUCAUAACAAGCUAUAAAUUCUGCAGUCAUAGUGGAAGAUACUAUGAGGGACUGUUUAGCACUCUUCCAGGAUAUGACACCUCCAGCCAACAAGUAGAUAUAGUCUGACGUUGACUUCAUAGUAUCUUUGCAUCCAGCAUAAUCGGAAUCAGUAUACCCAAUGAUCUCUAACUCAUCUGACUUCCGAUACGUGAGCAUGUAGUCUUUUGUUUUCUGCAGAUACCGUAAGACCCGUUUGGUUGCUUUCCAAUGAUCUAAUCAAGGAUUACUCAAAUAUCUAUCCAACAUCCCAGUAAUGUACGCAAUAUUCGGACGCGUACAUACUUGAGCAUACAUUAAACUCCCUACUGCUGAUGCAUAAGGAAUCUUUUGCAUCUCUUUUUCCUCAAAAGCAUUCUUGGGACACUGCUCAAGACUAAAUUUGUCUCCUUUAGCCACAGGGGUGUCACCUGGUUUACAAUUUUGCAUGCCAUAUCUUUUAAGAACCUUUUCGAUAUAGCCCUUUUGUGAUAGUCCUAAAAUACCCCGAGAGCGAUCACGGUGUAUCUGUAUGCCUAACACAAAAGAUGCAUCACCAAGAUCUUUCAUCUCAAAAUUUUUAGUUAGAAAUUUCUUGAUUUCAUGCAAUAGACCAAUAUCAUUGCUGGCAAGCAAAAUGUCAUCAACAUACAAUACCAGAAAAAUAUAUUUGCUCCCACAGAACUUAUGGUAUAUGCAAUCAUCUACUAGAUUCAUCUCAAAACCAAAUGAGAUAAUCACUUGAUGAAAUUUGAAAUACCAUUGUCGAGACGCUUGUUUGAAUCCAUAGAUGGAUUUUUUUAAGUUUACAAACCAUAUUCUUUGGAUCUCCUGAUACAAAGUUUUCUAAUUGCACCAUAUAAAUCGUCUCAUCAAUGUUACCAUUGAGAAACGCUGUCUUUACGUCCAUCUGAUGUAACUCAAGACCAAAAUGUGCCACUAAUGCUAUGAUAAUUAUAAAGGAGUCCUUUGAAGAGACUGGAGAGAAGGUUUCUUUAUAAUCGAUACCUUCCUUUUGUGUAAAUCCCUUAGCGACAAGACGAGCUUUGUAUCUUUUCACAUUGCCUUUUGAAUUUCUCUUGAUUUUAAAUAUCCAUUUACAACCAAUGGGUUUCACUCCUUCUGGCAAUGGGACAAGAUCCCAAACGUCAUUGUCCUUCAUGGAUUUAAUUUUCUCAUUCAUGGCAUCGAUCCACUUUUGAGAAUUUGAACUUUCCAUAGCUUGACGGAAGUUGAUUGGAUCAUCUUCCAUCAAUCCAGAGUCAUUCUCAUGUUCUUGGAGAAAAACAAUGUAAUCAUCUGGCACUGCACUUUUUCUUUCUCUAGUGGAUCUUCUUAAUGGCACUGGUUCUUGAAAAGGAAGAGUUUGUUCUUCUAUAACAGUUUGCUCUUCGACAUUGUCUUGAUUUGUCAUGUCAUGAUCAAGUUCAGGAAUAGGGUCCUGAGCAAGAGUAAUGACACCCGUGGGAAUAUAUUCCUCUUUAAAGACAAUGACCCUUACUGUAUUUUCUCCCCCAAACUCGACAUCCUCAAAGAACCGAGCAUUUCCUGUCUCAAAAAUUGAUUUGGCUGUGGGAUCAUAAAACUUGUAACCCCUGGAUCUUUCAGAGUAUCCAAUAAAAUAACAACUAAUCGUUCUUGAGUCCAGUUUCUUUUUAUUAGGCCUAUAAGGCCUUACCUCAGCUGGACAUCUCCAAAUGUGUAGAUGUUUUAAACUGGGCUUUUUUCCCUGUCCAAAGUUCAUAAGGGGUUUUAAUAGUUGCUUUAGUUGGAACUCUGUUAAGAAUAUAUGCUGCAGUCUUAAGUGCUUCUCCCCAGAGUGACUCUGGUAAGGUGGAAUGACAUAUCAUACUCCUUACCAUGUUUUUAAGUGUUCUAUUUCGUCUUUCAGCUACACCAUUUAUAGUGGGUGAACCUGACAUAGUGUACUGUGGGACGAUACCGCACUCCUCUAGGUAUUUAACAAAUGGUCCUGGACGUUGUUCACCUGAACCGUCAUAUCUAUCAUAGUACUCACCACCACGGUCAGAUCUGACGCUUUUAAUUCUUUUGUUGAGUUGAUUCUCAAUUUCAGCUUUAAAAGUUUUGAACACGUCUAGUGACUGUGACUUUUCAGAAAUGAGAUAUAUAUAGUCAUAUCUUGAAAAAUCGUCUAUGAACGUUAUAAAAUAUUGUUGACCAUUCCAAGCAGAUGUAGGAAAUGGUCCACAAAUAUCAGUAUGUAUAAGUUCUAAGACGUCUGAGGACCUAUUGGCUUCAAAUCUCCUUUGAUUGGCUUGUUUCCCCUUUAUACAGUUAAUGUAAUCAUCAAAAUCUGUAAAAUUCAAAAGGUCGAGAAUUUCAUUUGACACAAGCCUUUCCAUUCUCCGUUUGGAGAUAUGUCCCAAUCUCUUGUGCCAUAAUGCAGCUGAAUUCUUAUUGGCUAAUUUUCUUUUAACUCCUCUAGUACUCAAAUGCAGAGAUUCAUUAAAUGAGACAAUUGUAUCAAUUAAAUAUAGAUUAUCGUAGUGCAUUAAAGAACCAGAACCAACCAAUUUUGAAUCAUGCAACAAUUCAAAUUUUUCAUUUCCAAAUGAACAAAAAUAACCAAAUUUGUCCAAAGCAAAAAUAGAAAUUAAAUUCCGUCUAAAAGACGGUACAACAAAUGUCUCAUUGAGAUCCAAAUAAAAUCCGCUCUUUAAUAAUAAUCUAAAAACUUCAAUUGCUUCAACUUGAACUGUUUUGUCAUCGCCCACGUAGAUAUAUCUUUCACUAUCAUUAGGCUUUCGGCAAUUCAGACAACCCUGCAUAGACACACUGAUGUGAGUUGUUGCACCAGAAUCCAGCCACCAUGUGUGUCUAGGUACCGAAGUUAAAUUAACCUCAAAACAAACCAAAUUAAGAAGCAUACCUUUCUUAGCACGCCAAGCGUGAUAGUUGGUGCAAUGCUUCUUUUGAUGCCCUUCAACUCCACAGAAGAAACAACUACUCUUUCCCUGAUCAUUUGAUUUCUUUUGUUGUUUCUUUUGUGGCGCUGUACCUGCAGCUCCUUUUUCUUUCUUUCUCUUAAGUCCCUUGCCUUUAUUAUUAGUGGUUGACACCAGAUGAGCACUUUCUGUCUGCUCCUGCUUCAACCUUUCCUCUUCCUCUACACAGUGUGAGAUGAGUUCAUUUAGAGACCAAGUCUCCUUUUGACAGUUGUAACUCACCUUAAAUUGGUUAAACUGUGUAGGAAGAGAUAUUAGAAUCAAAUGCACUAGUAACUCUUCAGAGAGUUUCAACUUAAGUGCAUUUAAUUUCGAAGCAAGAUGAGACAUCUCCAUGAUGUACUCUCUGAUAUUGCCUUUACCACUAUAUUUCAUUGAAACUAGGCGUGUCAAGAGCGUACUAAUUUCAGUCUUUUCAUUCUUUUUUUUUUUUUUUUUUUUUAAGGUGUGUCCCGCAGGGAGUGGACCCCGCAGACUAUUCACCACCCUCAACAACUUGCUGGCAGCAAGGUUCGAACCAGGGACCUGAAGCCCCAUCUUCAGCAACCUCAACCACCAGACCAAGCCCCUGAGGGCAGUCUUUUCAUUCUUGACAAACCUUUUUUCAAUGUCCUGAAGGAACUUUUUAGCGGUUACAGUCGUUUCUGACAUUGUUCCCCUGAAUGCUUUUGAAACGGCCUUUUUAAUGAUCAUCAGACACAAGCGAUUUGAUCUCUCCCACCUCUCAUUAUUUCUCUUUUCAUCAGAGGUACUCUGAUCUGUAAGAGGUGAGGGAGAAUCGUCCCUUAACGCAAGGUCGAGAUCCAUUACUCCAAGUACUAUCAAGAGAUUUUCUUUCCAGGACUUGAAGUUUGUGCCAUUCAGCAUAGGAAUGUUAUUGAUGUUGGCAGUAAUAUUUGUAAGAUCAUUUGCAACUAAACAGAAAACAUAAUAUAAUUAAAACAAUGCUCACAUAAACCAAAAUAAUAAUAAAUUUAAAUAAUGGUAACCCCAUCUCAAGAUAUCGAUAUUCCAUUAAUAUUUUAUCUUUGGACAAAAUAUUAACUUCUAAGUGAUAUCUUGGCGCAGUAAUAAACACUGACAAUAAUAACAUGUCAAAAAAUAAAUUUUCCUUUGGACCAAUUUAUAAUUCACAUGUAAAAGCCGAAUAAUUAUCACAUGUUUAUUACCACAAGUGCACAUGUAAUUUCAUUAAAUAUUGACCUUCUUUUGGGCCGAUCAAUAUUCAUAAAAUUACUAGUACCCAACCAGUUAUAUUUUAAAAUAAAUUAAUUUUCAUAAUAGAGGUCACUUUGGUGGCAUAUUAUUUCCACUAAUUUAUUCCAAAAUAUAUAUAAUCAUACCAAUAUUCAAAUUUAAAAUUAUCCAAAAUAAAUGAAAAUUUUAAUCAAAGUCAACUUUGGUCAACUUUGGUCAAAACGUGGUCAAACAUGGUGAAAUCAAUUAAAUUGAAUCAUGACUUAUUAGACCAAAGGUCCAUAUCCAUAAUUUGACCCAAAAUUAUCAUUCAAGCCCAAAAUUUCUUGAAAUCCAUAAGUACUUUAUAAAAUUAUAUAUAUAAUGGGCCACAUAUAUGGAUUUUAUAGGGCUUAAAUGUCCUAUUUAACUUUAUUAGGGUUCAAUUAAAUUAAAGAACCUCUAAUUUUCUUAACAUAAAUAUAUUGAAAAACGGUGAAUUGGCCAAGCAAAAGUGCAAAACAUCGAAGCCAAUAACCAUGAUUUGACCAUCAUGGAACCUUGGUCCACAUUUGUUCACAAAUUCACACAACAAUCAUCAAAAGUAAAAGGCACGUGAAUGACAUAAGCAAACAAGAAGUCUGGAUUCAUUGGCCAUGCAUCAGAACAAAAGUGAUUGCAAAUCUAACAAUCCGUGAACUAAAAAUUGUUAACAUGAAAUAAAAUUAACUUGUCCAUAAUGGUGGAGGAAAGGACAAAACACUUCCCGUGGCCAGAGGACAAAUUAGAUUACAUCAUCACUUGAUUCAUGUUUUAAGUAAACAUAAGGUGAAAAUCGUAUGAAGACUUAUGUCUCAAAAGCAUUGAGAUUGUUGGAAGAAUUUGACCGAAGGCCAAAAGUAUCACAGUUCUGACCAUGAAUUUGACCGAAGACAAAAAACACAUAAAUUGCAUCAAACUAGCAGUUCAUGCCUAUUAACUUACGCAAGCACUCAUGAACAUAAAAAAUCGUAUGAAGACUCAUCCAACAUGGGACCAGAACCCACAGUUUUUUUUUUUUUUAAUGAAUCAGAGGCCGAAAAACCAAAAGGCAUGCGUGGGUUCUCAAUCAGCUGUCAGCAAUUAUAAAAGGGAUGCAAUUAUCAAACCAUCAGCAACCAAAGCUUGCAAAUCACUAAAUCAGCCGUACAAAUUUACUACAAAUUACUAAAUCCAAAUUAUUUCCUAAUAAUCAACCAUAUGGGCUCUGAUACCACUUGUUAGGGUGGUUAUCUAAAUCCAACCACUGGUGAAAACCAUCACCUUUAAACCCAAGAUCUGUAUGGCGAUUAUUAAGAAAUAAAUUAACUGUAAAAUAGCGGAAGCGUACCUGAAUCCAUAUUGAUAAACUUGAUACUUGAAUCCCUUAGAUAUUUGGGGUAGCCUUCCAGGUCAACAGGUAUUCACCAAUCCUUUGAGAGAGGCCUUUAGUUUCUCUCUGGUAUCUUUCCUGACGAUGGGAUAUCAGGGAAGGGCUGUUUUGUGGUAUUAGAAAAUACGACAACUAAAACGAUACCUGUGACCUGGGGACUAUAACCCUAUUUAUAGGCAACAUUCCUGUUAUCUUUUGGAACCCUAUUUCAGCCCAUCAUUGAAAUAGGAGCCCAUAAGUUUCUACACAUUAAAGGGCCCACAUCCUAUUAAAUACAUUAAACCCAAACUAUAUUUGAUCACUUUAAUUGGGUUUAACCUUAAUUGACAGUUUGCAAUACAUAAUUAUUCACAUAUAAGUCCAAUGUUGGAUUAAGGAUCCAACAACCAUCACUUCUUAUCACAUGUAUCCUGUGAGUUUCUACAAUGGCCGUAAAUAUGCAACAUAAUGCUGAGCAUAUUGUAGCUAAUGCAAUUCCAGUUGCUGAUGCAUACCUUCUUCCGACUGCCACUUUCAUACAAUUGUACACACUUUUAAAACCCAUCUUCGCUGCUUCAUAUAGCAACAUAAGGGUUGAAUCAGGAAACUUCAAUUUCCCAACCUUGUAAUUCAGGUGGCUUGCUUGCUCUACGAAGUAUGUGUUUCCUACGGAAGUAACUACAGAACAAAUUAUGCAGGUGAUCCAAACUGGAAGCAUACAGAUUCUGAUCCGUCUUUCUUGACUUUGAGUCCUGAAUCUGAUAAUAUCCCUGUCAGAGAACCUAAGCAAAGCAAGAGAACAGCAAAAAAUUCCUAUGGUCAGAAGUUUCAUUAUCUCUUACUUGAGAACAAAGAAAUAGAUCUGUAUUUGAUUUAUGGAACACCCGACACUCUAUUCCUUUUCAAGUGAAAGUUGAAAAACAGGGAAGAAGGGCAAAAAUUAAGACUAUGAUCAGGAAGAGGAAGAUGAAAAAGGAAGGAUGUGUGGGAUGAACCCAAGUCUGCUGCCCUGGUAUUCGCAUGAACCCUGAAUGAAAAGAAGUGUUGCCGCCAGUGUGAAAAUUGCUGGAAUUCCAAACCGAAGUUUCCAUGGCUGUAUGUAUGGGAGUGCAAUUAGUGCAAUAACUGCGACAAUGUGCACAAAGAUAACGCCUAAUGAUCUUAGGCCAGAUAUGCCGCUUCCGUUUCUUUGGUUCUGUCUCUUAACAAGCUCCAUCAUUGCUUCUACUGGUUUAAACUGAAGUUUUGAUAUAUCCUCUUCAGGUUGAGGGCUUUGUUGCCUGUUGCUUGUUUUAUCAACAACUUGACUCCCUUCAAGCUGAUCCAAUGCAAAUGCAGCUAAUGAGACAAUGUGCCCACCCACUCCAACAGCUGUCAACGCCAGACCUGUGUAAAAGAUAGCCUUCUGUGUGUGACCAAUGCAAUUAGGCUGGUAAUUAGCACAGGUGUGCGUUAACUUGUGCAGUGCUGGUGGCGUAGACAUUGAUAGAAAACCCAAGCCCUGCUCAUAAUUUUGGAUAAUCAGUUCAAGAAAGUCCGGUAAAACUGGAAGCUAUACUUCUAUCAAGUUAGGCCGUGAAAUUGAUGACUAAAUGGAAGGAGGGGAGGAAGAACUGUGAAUGAAUUUGCCGACAGGAGAACUUACAGAGGAAAAGGCUAUACUCGAGAGAAGCAGUAUCCAGUAGUUAUCCACUCCAAAGUCCCCAAAUAAGAAAAGAAUAAAAGGGACCAAUUUAGUUAGGCCAGUAUAUACAUUCAUUAUUCCUGCAGCAUGAGUAAACCCAACUUUCCAAACAUCUGUUAAGUACUUCUGCAUUAUCCACGUCACGUAAGUCUCCAACAAAUCAGCCCAUAUUAGAACUGUUAAGACAACAAAAAAAGGAGUUAGCAUUAAGUAGACAAGAAUGAUUGUUCAAGCAGAGGAAGUUAAAGAAUGACAAGGCCUUUGAUGACUCUGAGAUGAAUUAAAAGUACCCAUUAUUCUGACGAAUGCCAUUGAUUUUUCGAACUUCUCGUUGAAAUCCUGAGUGUGAGAAAAAUACUAUCAGAACAAGGGAAGCUGACGAUUAGAGCAGUUUCAGAACCAUAUGGUGGCCAUAGCAAGCUGAAAGAAACCAGAGUUAAUAGUUUGGAUUGAGGUUUUCUUUAAUUACCUCCAACUGCUAUGUGUGCUGCUGGUCUGCGAGGGAAAAAGAGAGACGGAGAAACUUCUCUGCAAUAAGUCGUUGUUAGAAAAUUGGUUUAAUUUCUUUUAAACAGAUUCCUAAUUCCUUGUUUUGUGUGAAAGUAACUAGAUUCCUAAUUGAUUUUAGUUACUUAAAGUAGUAGUUAAGGAAUUUCCUAUGUGUAUGAGUUUAGGAAAAGAAGUUAUUUCCUAUUCUAAAUCAGUGUAGGAAUUAGCAUUGAUUUCCUAUUGUUAUUUGGAUUUUGUCCAAAUAAUGUUCCUUAUAAAUAGGUGAGUUAGCAUACUACAUACAAGGGCACACAAGGGGCGACAUGUAGCCUUAUACAUGGGUGGUGAAAGAGGGUUCUUGGGAGAUGAGAGAUGAUAUGCAAGAAUUGGGUUUGGGUUCAAGUUGUAUUAUUGUAUAGAGUUUUUCUCUCAUAAUAAAGAACGAAUUUCUCUUCGUAGAUGUAAGUUUAAUGGUGGAGUCAAAUUAUGUUAAAUAUUAUGUGUCGUUUAUCUUUCAUACUUAUGGCAUUUUAUCAUUAAAUUGUUGUAUACUUGAUAUUCCAAUGGUUGUUUAUUCCGCACUUGAAUCCUAACAAGUGGUAUCAGAGCUUGAUUGUGAGACUGGGUUGCUCACAAGCACUUGAAUCCCAACCAACUAAAUGGUUGGAUCAAGAGUUUGGUUGUUCAAGGUUGGAUCCUGGUUAACUAUUGAGAUCAAGUAGAUUGGUGGUUGUUACCAAUUGAACAAUUUAAUGGGUGGUAUUCUUAUUUCAAGAGUUUGGUAAGAAACAUUGAAAGUGAAGAAUAGAAAGUCGAAAAGCAUGGAGAUACUUGAUAGUGAAUCUAUGCAGGUGAUUUAAGAGUCAAGAAAAAGAUGGAAUCCAAUGUCGAUUUUUUAACAUAAAUCGUUGGGUUGAUAUCUGCUUCGUAUGCUGUCUGUCCUUCAACUGUAUAUCUAUUAGUCUCCACUAGGGGUGAGCAAACGGUACAAAUUCGGUAAUUCGGUUAGCUGAAUUCGGUGAAUUCGGUUAUUUGACUUAUAGAAAUCAAAAAUACUUUCAAUUUUGAAUUGGUUAUAACCAAAUUCAUUUCGCAACGAUUUCGAAUUCGGAAAUGGUAAUGAAUUCGAUCUAACCGAAUUCAUUUAUAAAAAAAAAAAAACUGAUGAGAUAACUCUGUUAUGGUCCUGAAGGAAGUGAUUGUGUAAUUUUUAAUUUACAAAUUGGGGUUCCUAAAUUAUAAUACAUUCAUUAUGCUCCUCAAUGAUUUAAAACUUAUUACUGAUUUGAUCCUCGAAUUUAUUCAUAAUUUAACACAUUACUUAUGUUCUAAUCAUUUUGUGGUUUAAUUGGCAUUUAUUUGAUCACUUAUACCUAGAAUCCUUAGUCUAUGAUUUGAGGAACACAUAAAAAGUGAUUAAUUUAAACUAGAUUAAACCUUAGACUGUACAAUGAUUAAUGAUAAUUUAUGAAUUUAUAAUUUGCAAUGAUUAAUAAUAAGUAAUAUUAGUUACAAACUUACAAAUUACAAUGAUUAGUGAUAAGUUAUAUUAGUUACAAACUUAUAAUUUAUUUUAAAUCAAAAUAAAACUUAUUUACUUACAUAUGUUAUUGUGAAAGUCAAUACACUAAUACAUUGAUUUACAAUUCAUAUGCAUUCACUUACAUUACUUAGUUGUCUUGUCUAUACUUAAAACCUUAAGAUUAGUGAGUAGAGAAUAUGAAUUUUUAUGUUAAAUAUGUAAUGUAAAUUUAGAGCAUACUAAUACUUGCAAGUUACAGGUUACGCAUUCAAAUAUUCAAUAAUUCAAACAUGAAUGAUGUAUCAAAUUACCAAUAUCUAAAUUUCCAAUUACUAAUUAUGUUUAUUGUUUAAUAUUUAGUAUUAUACAUAUAUGUAUUAAUUAUUAUCUAAUUCUAGUCAUGUUACUCAUGUAUAAAAUAAUAAGUAUUAUAGUUAUGGUAUAUUGUUAUGUAUUACUAUAUAUUUGUAUUAUUAUAGUCAUAUAACAAUUAACAAAUACUAAAAUAUAUUGUACAUUAUUAUAAGUACAUGAUAAUACCAUGUACUAACUAUUAUUAAUAGCAUUUACCUAUAUAAUAUAAUAUUUUUUUUAGGGGUGUCCCGCAGGGAGUGGACCCGCAAGACUAUUCCCCACCCUCAACAACUUGCUGGCAGUAAGGUUCGAACCAGGGACCUAAGUCUCCAUCUUCAGCAACCUCAACCACCAGACCAAGCCCCUGAGGGCACCUAUAUAAUAUAAUAAUAUAUUAGUACUAUAUACUAAUACUAAAUAGCAUUUAUCUAUAUAUUAUAUAAUUUUAUAAAUUAAUUUGGUAUUCGAAUGUGGUAAUGCAUUUCAUUUUACCGAAUUUGAAUGCGAAAUCGGUUAUUACCAAAUUCAUAAUCUCAUUACCUAUUUCAUAUCAUAUUAGAAUUCGGUGAAUUCGGUACCGAAUUUGUAUCAAAUUACCUAAUACCCGAUUUCAAAUUACCAAAUUGCAUUUGAAUUCGGUAUGUACCGAAUUUGCUCACCCCACUCUCCACUGUCUUAUUGCAGCUUUGCUCAUGACUAUCUUGACUCUGUGGCCUCAUCUACAGCUGCACUUCCUUUCCUUCAAAGCCCAUCCUUCUAUUGUUUCAAAUGACACAACAUCGUAGCGUUGGAUAAUUUUAUAUGCGCUCAUAGUUCACAAAUUUGAUACAUUGAAAUUUGAGACCACCAACUGUGUGGCUCCAAAUUUGAACUUUUAUUGGGCUGGUCCAGUUUGCUUAGUAAACAGAAAGUUCGCCUCUCGCGAUUUACAAUCCAUCUAUUUGUCUAUUAUCAGCUAGGAAAAAUGACUUGUCUCGUCCUUUAUAUUUUGGUGAAAAAUUAAUUUUAUUGUUUACUUUUAAUAUAAAGUAAAUUAGUCCCUCAUAUUUUAAAGUGAACCAAGUUAGUCUCAAAAUAACCUGAUAUAGUCAUAUGGAUCUUACACUUAAUCAACAUAAAAAGAAAAUAAAUUUAAAAUUAUAACAUAAAUUACAAUCCAUUUUUUCUAAAAAAAAUUAAAAAUUUUAAGAAAAUGACAUUAAGCUAACGUAGAAAGGAAAAAAAAUUAAAAUUCAUAUCAUAAAAGAAACCCCCAAGUUACAAAGUUUUAUAACUAAAAAAUUUUUAACUUUUUUUUAUAGAGAAUGGUUUGUUUUAGAUGUUAUAAUUUUUAAGUUUUCUCUUUUUUAGAGAGAAUAGUUUGUUUCAGGUGUUAUAAUUUUAGUUUCUUAAGAGAUAAUUGUUUAUUUUUUAUGUUACAAUUUUUAAUUUUUCCCUUUUUAUGUUGACUUAAUAAAAUUUCCUAAUGAAGUUUUAAUUUUUAAUUUUUUAAAAGAAAAGGGUUUUUUUGUUAUAAUUUUUAAUUUAUUUCAUUUUUUAUAUUGACUUAAUCACAUGUGCAUAUCAAACAUAGUUAGAUUUGGAAGAAAUUAAAGUGACUGUUUCAAUUUCACCCGUAAAAUCUAUAUCAGGUUGUCAUUUUGGGACUAACUUGCUUCAUUUUUAAAUAUGAGAAACUAAUUUGAUUCAUUUUAAAAAUGUAGAACAAAAAACAUUUUUUCCAAGAUGUGAUGAUUGAAAUUCAUCAGACCAUCAUAUUGACUUAGAAGAAAAUAAGAUGAAGGCAAAAGGUUAAUUGAUGAUUGAAGUUCACUAUAUUAUUGAAUGAAGACGGAAAAAAAAAGAAGAAAAAGUGGUUACGGAAAUGAAGGCAAAGCUGAAAACAGAAAAGAGCCCCAAUAUGCUCUGGAAUAUGAGGUGCGAUUUGGGGAGAAGGGGUUUUUGUCGAUGGUGUAGACAAUAUGCGUUUCCUUUUUUACCCACAAAUAAAGAGCAAGAUUAUACCACUCUUUCCACCCAAAAAAAAAAAAAAAAAGAAAAGAGAAACCACAUACACAGACACUCAAUUUUAUUUUAUUUUUACAGUCCUAAUGAAACUUUUAAUAACUGCCAAUAGCUUACUAUCUUCGAAAAAGCUUAGUAUCUUCUGAAAAAAAGGAAAAAAAACUCUCAUUUAUAGGCCUCAUAAAACCCUCCAAUACUUGCCAAUUGCCAUUGCUUUUUUUUUUUUUUUGUGUUAAAGGUUUUCUUCCCACUACAGCAAGUGGUUCUUGGAUGAACCCAAAUUUUGUAGGAGGCAAGAGGCUUGGGCCAAGAUAGGACUCGUAUAAGGACUUAAUGGGCAACACUUCUGUAGGUGAUUGGAGUGAUGGCUAAUAGAAUGACAAUCGCCAACUAAUCAUUGCUGUGUGAAAAAUGUCCUUUCCGCUUUAGUAUUAUACUAGUCUGGGGGCUGCGCCAUCCGCAGGGUAGGCAAAUGUAACCCCUGUUAAUAAUUUGUGUUUGUCUAGUAAUAUUUUGUAAAGUUUGUUUUGUAAAUAUUGAUGUAGGAAAUAAUUUUAUAAUAUGUAAAAUAAUUGUGAGCUAGUUAUUUUUGAAAAUUUAGAGAACAAUGCAACCAAGUAAAUAUAACAUACAUGUUGAAUGAAGGGAAAGAUAAAUGGCAUAACUGGAAAAUAAGGCACAACUAAGGCUAAACUAAUACACAUGAACAGCUAAGGUGUCCCAUCUCUGCGGCAACAAUGAUGCAAAAUAAAGAGGAACAAAGAACAAAUAAAAUUACAAAGGAAUCAACCAACUAUAGCAUGCAUCUUCUAGCGUCCUGAGUAAGGGAGAAACAGCAAAUGGCAUUACCAAAAAAUAAGGAACUAACUAAGGCUAAUGCUAAUCACAUGAGGAACUAUCAGGGAACCGAUGCAAAUGGACCGCAAUAGCCCAAAAAUAUCAAUCAAUACCGAAAUAACCAACGGAUACACUUUUACUGUUCAUUCAGCCAACUCUCACUUUUAUAUAGUUAGAUAGAUUAGAUUAGAUUUAGAGAAUUGUUAACGGCACUCUAUCUUUUUUGCUAGUGACAUUUCCAUUAUUAUUUUUAACAUAUGAUAUUUAUUUAUUAGACUAUAUGAUAAGUAAAAGAUGGGAAUGCGAUUAACAAAUAGUGAAGUGUGUUAAUAUUUCCCUUGUAUUUAACGGAUAACUAGAGUUUAAUACAUUAAACUUUGUCGUGCUUUAUGAGUAGUGACCUUUAAAUGUAGAAAAAAAUGUAUUGUUCUUUAGUACACUUAGUGAUGAUUAGAAAGAUAAAAACUUAGUGCUAAUAUGUAUUUUUAGUGAUAUUGUACAUAAAAGCGUGUUAAGGCAAAUUCUUAAAUUUUAGUUUCAUGGACAUAUACCCACAUUACUUUACUUCAAUCAAAAUUACAUAAUCAUCAAUCAUCACAAUCAACGCACUUUCAAAUACAAUUUGCAAGAGAAAUUUUUUUCCCCAUAAAUUUCUUAAUAAACUGUGUCAAGGGCAAAAUUUUUGAAUUUAACGGAAGAUAUUUCUUUCUUGUUAUAUGAGAUAAAUGUACUUGAUAAAUUUCUUUUUUUAUAUUAUUGAAAGGAUCUAUCACAUUUGAGAUCAAGUGAAGGUGUGUAUUUUAUUUUAUAUGUGUUUAACUUAGCCAAAGAGUCUCUUUCUUGAGUAAUUUAGUACAGUCAAUUUGUUCAAAAUGACAUCAUAUUUAUAUUAUGGAGUUAUAUAUGACUGUAGACAAUGGAAUUUUAAUUAAAUUCUAAAAAUUACCAUUGGUCUAUAAAAUAUUUUUAUCCAAUCGGAUAUUGCCAUAUGGCAUGUACACUUGGAAAGUUUGGUUAUUAAAUAGCCAAUUAUAUUCCUCCACGUGUCAAGUUGAGGUGUUCCAAACCAAUUCAAAUCGCAGGGGUAUCUUCACCAACCAAAUCAUAUCAUAUCACAUACCUAUUGGAUAAAUAUCUAAGUAUUUAUUUCUUAUUAAAGGGAUAAUAUUUAGAGUUAUUUAAUCCAAGUAUAUCUCUUAUAUACUGCAAUGGCCUGGCCAGUAAAAUAGCGCCACGUCACGUGUCCCCGCAAGUCUAGCCAAUCGAGAAAUUACUUAUCUCUUUAUUAAUGAAGAGAUAAUAUUUAACUAGCACAGUCCUAAUAUGACUGUACGUCUUGCUAGGCAAGUAGAGUGGUGUACAUGAUUUCAACCUCCACCUCUUGCUACAACUAUAAAUAGAGGUCUCUCAACCAAGUUAAGGGGACACAGAGAUAUCAAGAAGCAUCUCAUACACUCAAGUAUUGAAGCUUCAAGCUACGAAGGUCUGGGUCUCAAAGCUCCUCAAGUCUUCCGCAUAUCAAGGCUUGAGCCUUCAAGUAUUUUCAAAUCCUUCAAAUCUUCCAUAUCAAGAUUUGAAGGAGUCGGUGGUUGAUCCAAGAACAAGCUGCGAAGCCCUUGGAUUGGUGUUCGAGGAGAAGAAUCGAAGGAAGCUCUCCAUAAGUUCGAGAAAACCCCAGAGAUUGUACCUACAUAUUUUUCUAAAUUUAUAUAUCAUACAUUUGUCGUGUAUUUUUCGUGUCGUUUUGCAGACUUGAAAUUUUUAUCGCGUACAAUGACAUGUUGCGAAAAGAAAAGAAAAAGUUGGCUAGUAACAUCUUGAAAACAUAGAAUGUAAAAGAAAAGGCCAUAAAUAAAAUACUUUGUUUUGUUGUGAAACUAUAUCUAAUCUCUGUUAGCAUUCAUCAACUUUAGAAUAACGUAGCUUGGAAUUUAAAAUGGUGCUAUUAAAAUCAUGUUAACACUUUGAAUAAAUUAUAAAUGAGCUCCCCUAUUGUUUAAUGCUCGUUUGUAUAAUCCUUUACUAGUUACAAAAUCAAUAAAUGACCUCCACUACUUGAGCUGCUGGAAGUCAUCCCCUGCAAAGAAGUCACUGAAAAUGUCAAGGCUACCCCAUUAAAAGGCGCCACAAAAAUUCUGAAGGUCUCUAUUUUCUUCCAUUGGCUUCUUAGUUUCUACUUUCUAUUACAAAGGUAUUAGGGAGGACAACUUCCAAUAGUUUGAUACUUUCGAAGGGUCUACGUGUAACUUUUGAAACAUAAGAGAUCGUGUGAUAAACUUUAAAUUGCAGUGAUUUAAAAAGGUAGGUUCCAUUAGUUUGAUACUUUCAAGGGGGUUGCACGUAAUUUUUUGAAAUAUAAGAAAAUCAUGUGAAAAAACACUAAAUUAUAGAUCAUUAAAAAAAUUUACCCCUAAUUCUUUCUAAUAUGGUAAAUACACAUUGAAUCAUUCCAUAAGCUCUUACACAUGCACUGAAAGAAAAAGGGGGCAAGGUGGAGAGGAAAUUUAAUGACACAAAACCCCCUAAUGUUUUGCGGUAUUAACACUUUCCUACCCAUGACAAAGAGAUUCUAUGCUCUGCUAUUAUAACUUUUGAAACACACACAACAAUUGCUGAUUAUGUCAACUGGUUAGUUUUACAUAUUAUCGUCUCUUGAAUGAAAACAAAGAAGAUGCUUGAGAUUAGGACAAAUGGGAAGAACUCCAGCUUAUGUAAUGUUAAGCAGACUGUAAAUUGACCAUUUCAUUUGCGCCUCACAACAUCUGUUUCUGAUUGUUGGGACUUCAGUUGUGGAAAAAAUCUAAGAGGGUUGUCGGAAUAGUGGUCUGACCCAAGAGGCACGAGAAACUAGGGCUAUCGAUCGAGCCUAAUGAGUCGGAUUUUCAUGAGCUUGAGUUCAACUCAUUUAAUUUAUAAUAUUUUUGGUCUUCGAGCUAUAAGUUUCGGGUUAAUAUAUGUGAAAUUCAUAUUUAACUCACAUAAUAUUCGGACUAUAAGCCUUAUUUAGGUUUAACCCAAGCUCACUUAUUACCUUAAUUUUCUAUCUUAAUAUAAUUACUAUAACUAUUAAGUUGUAAAACUAAUUUAACAUUUACAAGACUAUAAUAUUAAAACUAAGCACGAACAAAUAAUAAUUCUUCAAAAGUACAUAAACCAAAAAAUUUUCAACAAUAUUUAUAUUUAAUUCAUUCAAAAUACAUGAAAAAUAGUAAUAAAACAUGCGGUCAUAAGCCAAUACAUCUUUGAAAGUUGAAACUUUUUUAUAAUCUUGUGAUUUGAAUCCAAACAUGCUUGAUGAUUUGUGUUUCUAGAACAUAAAGAAAUCAACUAAUAUUAUACCAAUACAAAAAUUUACUAAACCAAUAAGAAAGGUAGAGAUUCAGUUAUGCAUUAUUAAUAUUGGCUCUGAAGAAAGCUCAUAGAAGAGUCUUCAGAUGUAUUUUUGUAAUUUGUAAUUUAUAUAUAUUUAGUAUUUAGUAAAAUUAUAUUUGGAUAUAUAAUUAUACAUAAUAUCAAAAUAUAAAUAUUAUAUAUAUAGGUAAGUAAAGGGUCGGGCCUAUAUCGGGUUUGAGCCUAUUGAGACCUAAAUUCGACUCAUAUUUAAUUCGAGCCUAAUUUUUAGGCUCAAUCUCAUACCGGCUCACUAAAAGGUCGGGCUAAUUGGACUUUUUGUCAAGCCGAACAAGCCGCGCACGGGCUGGCCCAGCCCCAUUGACAGUCCUACAAGAAACCAUUGUCCUUAAGGAUAAAAAUGUACCCAAAUAAUAAUAAUAAUAAUAAAUAAAAGGAAAAUGACAAUCUACUUUGACUACUUUGUUCUGCCCAUUUUCUAGUUCUUGAGAAAUAAAACGAGGACAUAUUUAUAUUUGGAAGUUUUCAAGCACAUCAAACUUAAAGGAAUUUAACAACUCAUAUAAAGGCUGUACUAUUACUUCAAAUCCUUUUCUAAUGUUAUUGAGGAUAUUUGUGUGACAUCAAUGUUUCGGUUUUAUAUUAAACAGAGAAACUUAUUGUAUUGAAUUUUCUUAUGAAACAGACUUGGAUUAGGAAGACGCUACAUAAAUGUUAAUUUGUAAAAGAGAAAAGUAAACUGAACAAGAAAUCUCAAAAACAAGAAAGCUGGUUUUAUCUCAAAAAAGAAAUGCAAAAGAAAUUUGUGUUAGGAAAUAUUCAUGAUUCUAAACUUCUAUGAACCCAACUAUAAUGAUGCGAGAAUGGAUCAAACAUCUAUUAAGUUGUAUGACAGCAUUAUGGGAAGACUUUUAAAGCAAAAUUGAAGGAAAAUUUCUUGAAUGGGUUUAUACAGGAAUGGGAGGCAGUUUUGAGGAUAAUAUUAGUUAUUUAGUCUAACUAAGUUCGACUCAAGAAAGAAAUGUGUUGUCAUUAUUAUGGCUGCCAGUGAGAUUCAAUAACAUAAUUGUGAUUGGUAACCUCUGUUUUGAAACUCGGACCGGACCGGCCGGUCGAACCGGGAACCGAUCAAGUGUCCGGUCCGAGUCAUGGUAGAAAACCGGAAAUUUAAAGCCCGGUCAAAGACGGUCAAAAAUCGGGUUUGACCGGGAAAAAACCGAUUUUUCCGGUUCAAUGGUUUCAUGUGGCCGAGACUAGUUAGUCAGCAGUCAGCACCUCGAUAAUCUAUAAAGGUGAGCGUUUAAGGUGGGACCUACGUGUCCUCGUCUCGCAGGCACCAGCUAAUUGUUAGACAAACCUGUUGUCACUUGUCAUCAGCUCAGUUUUUCUCAAUUGGCGCUAACACUACCACUGUUCGGUAGGAAUAGCAACGGGCAAAAAAAACUCAAUUUUUUCAAUAUUAUGUUUUGACCCCCUAAAUUGUUAAAACUUAUUAAUAUAUCUCAAAUAUUUCAUACUUUAUAAAUAUUGUCCUAAAAUUUGAUGUUAUUUUUCAAUUAAACUCAUAAUUUUAAUUCUAAACUUGUUAAUAUUUAUUAAAUAACAUAAAUUGCUACUUGAUUGUUCUAAUUUUUUUGUAUUUUCUUGUUAAAUAUAUUUGAAACAUCAAAUAUAUAUGAAUAUACCUUUAUUAAUAUUAAUAUAUUAUUAGAUAUUUUAUAUAUAAUAUUUUAAUUUUUAAAUAAUUUUUAUUUAUGACGUCAUCCGGUUCGACCCCUAUCGACCCCCGGUCGAACCCAUUGACCCCUGACCCCUGAUCUCGGCCGAGUCGAUAUCCGGUCCGGUUCUGAAAACAUAGUUGGUAACUCCAUUUGUAUCUCACUCCAUUCUUUCCUUUUGUUCUGACAUUGGUCAAAGGCACUAAGAAUUUUACACUUCAAUAAUAGUGCAAAUGUAUUCAUGCUUAAGUGAUUGGGAGAUGGAUAAUCUUCCUAUGGAAACUAAGAUUUACUUCUUUUUUUUUGGGGUCAUUUCUGGUGAGGGCUUCAGAAGACUACCCUGUUGAGGAUAUUGUUUGUUGAAUAUUGUUUUUGGUUUAAUUGGGUUUCCUUGGUUUGGCAUAGUAUAGUCAGUUAGAUAGGAAGCUCCAAAUUCAUAUAUUUGCAUAGGAAAACUCAGGCGAAGCUAAAAUUAAUAAUUUGAGAUUCUCCAAUUGCGUUCUCAAGUACAUGCAAGUCGAAGUUCCAAAUUCAAACUUUCCUUUGCUUCUCCAGUAGAACCAAUUUCGAAUUCCAAUCUCACAAUAUUCGCCCUUUAUCAUGAUCAUGAUACGGCCUUUUUUCUUAUGCAAUUCAAAGUUUUUUUUUUUAGCUUUACUCUUCACAGAAUCUUGAUUUAUGCCCUUUUAACACCACCAAUUUAUUGCCCCAUUUUCUCAUUUCAAUAAUGGUCGCCCGAGAAGUUGUAGGAAUGGUAAACCGGUGAUGAAAUGGAAAGUAAUGAAGAAAUCAUUUUUCCAUAUACAAGAUUUAAGUGGUUCAAAUUCGAGGAGUUUUUUUAAAGUAGCAACAGACAAUCUACUGACUCUAAAGAGAAACAGGCCUUUGUUUUGCUUAAUUUGUUGGUUGUCUUGGACCUUUCCCUUGAAAGGAACGAUCCUAAUUUUCACCACUAAAUAUUUUGCUUGUAAUAUGAGCACGAGUUUAAAUGGCGUCAUGAUCACAGGAGAUUGUCUAAGCCCGAAUGAAGACUUCAGAAUGUGGAGAUUGAAUUAAUUCAUACGAUUACUGAAGGUUUUUCAGAAGAAAUGCUGGUUUUUAAAGUAUGGAUUAUUGAAGUUCCUAACAAGAAAAGCGUGGUUUUUCCACAAUAAUACAAGUCUCAGCCAUUUCUCCUUCCUCGACCAGAGUCAUCAAAUCAAGAUUUUUAUUAUUUUUUUUAAAUAAAGGAAGGUUUUUUGCAGUCGGGAACUGGUAAACUUAUCUAGACUAGAAUAAGUGGUUAUGAAGAAAAGAGCAUUGAUAAUUAGUCUGCAUAGAAAUGGAACGCUUCCUCGACAAACUUUAGAUGCCUUUGCAUUUGCAUUUUCACUUCUCAAUUAUUGUAACUUUAGAUGCUUUUCAAUCAUUGUUUUUGCUUGGGCCUUCAUCAUUUUUUUUUUUUUUGGUUGUUGGAAAAUAUAUGAAUGGUUGUUCCACCUAAGAUAUGUCCACAACAAUGAAAUUAUAACAAAAAAAACGAGAAUUACGUGAAAUUGUUGUUUUGGCAACUUUUAUCUAAUUGGUAAGUCAUAUUAACUUAAUAUUUUUGACAUUUAUAUGUCACAAACCUUACAAAUUUGGAUGCUUUUGCAUUGGCAUUUUCACUUUAACUUUCUCAACCAUCGUUGUUUUCUGAUUGAAUGCUGGGGCCUUCAACUUUUUUGAUUGUGGACAAUAUCUCAAUGAUUGUUGCAUUCGCGAAGGACAAUUAUUAAUUUCCAAGUUAAAAUUGUUAAAAGCAAAAUAAGAACUAUAAUUGCUCUUUGGAAACAUUAAUUUCAUUAGUUUAUCCUUGGAAAAUGAACUUGAAAUAUACUUUGGUCUUAAUUAUUGGUCCUCAAGAACUCGAAUUAAAAUAGACAUCUUAUUUUCUUUGGUUUUCUCAAGAGUUGGGGGCGACAAACCUUAUUUGGAUUGUAUAUAUGAAAUUAAUUGACUCGACAAUUUUACAUUGAGUAUUUUCAUUAGCCAAAAACUAAGUUAUGUUUUGCAAACAUAUAUGUUAUGUUUUGCUUUUUGGCUCAAUAAUCAGGCUUGUUAUUUUAAAUUAACAAAUAAUUAUUAGGCCUUCUAAAUGAUUAUAAUGGGGCGGAUUUGUCCAAAAAGCUCCCCUGCCCCCGCCCCGAUACCUCGCCACCCUUACUCGCGCCCCAAACCCACUCCAACUUCUAUGAUUUCUUGGCCGAAGGACACAUAUCAUGUUUGUCAAAGAAGUCCAACUGCCAAUUCAGGCCGACUGGCAAGAAAAACGCUCUAUCAAUUUGAUUCUAGCCCAAGCCCCAGUAAACCAAGAAAAGUAGAUAGCCAUUGGUGUUCACCCAGUGAAAUGCAAAAUCGGAUCCUGGAAAAUCUGAAAGAAGAAGAAACAAUGAUUCCAUUGCUUAAACCUCAAAGCGAUUUUCUGUGCUCAGACAUACUAUGGUAUAAAGCUUCAUUUCUUUUACAUAAAAGUCAUUAUUUUCCUUUGUUAGCAAAUCAGCAAUAAAACUGAACUCUCCCUCCAAGAUGCCUUUACACAUUGGCAAUUCCAGCUAUACAUAUGGCGGCUGGUCCUGAAGAAGUCGAAUAAUACAAAUUGAAUGCCACGAAUUGCUGAUCCCAAUACGCAUGAAAGAUGAAUUAGAUGGCAAUCUGAGGCAAAUGAAUACGCUACCAGCUACAUGUAAGGCGGUGAAAUUGGAUAGAAAUUUCAACCCAUAGAACCAACUAGCACAAGUAGCAGAAAUAUGAUGAAGGAAGCUGGACUGCGACACACACUUAAUAAGCAUCACAUAAUCUAAUUCUUAAAAACUCUUGCAAAAUGGCAAACCCAAGAAAAUCUUGUGCAAAAUAAGGCGUGACAGUCUGAUUGAUGCGAUACCAAAGUGAGUUUAUCAUUGCGAUUCAACCAGGAACUUGACAUUAGUUUCAUUAAGUUAGCAGAGAAGAUAAUGAAGACUGAAGAGCAGAGCCAAUCGAAACUCUUAAAAUUGAGAACUAUAGGUCAAGGCUUCAUUAAACAGGUGAUUGGAAAUGGACAGAAAACCAACUUUUGGUGUGAUCGAUGGCACCCUCUGAGAACUUGCUUUUCUGCACUUCUCUGAGAACUUGCUUGCUGGCUUCAAUCCAUCGAAGUCUGAUCCUGCAGCAAAAUGUUUCUGUGACGGUGCUUGGAAAUGGCCUAGUGGGAGGAAGUCUAAUGUGGAAGUUAGAAGGCUUCGACAGCUCACUUCUUGUCAACCAGCUCUUAAUCCAAAGGAGAGAGAUGUCGCUGUGUGGGCACCCUGCAACUCAGGCGUGUAUAAUGUCAAGUCUGCUUUACAAAUUCUUAGGCUUGCAUCACCUGAAGUCCCCAGGUACAUGCUGGUAUUGGGACAAGGGAUAAAUCCCUAAGUUCUCUUUUAUUCCAUGGGUGCUGUGUAGAAAAAGGCUGAACACUAAAGACAGAAUGAGGAAAUGUGGUUCUUUUGCAUGCUCUGUAUCAGCAGCGGUGUGGAGUAAAGUUCUGUCCAUGUGCCUGUCCCCUAGGAGGCCCCAACUGUGGUCUUCAGAACUGUCCUGGAUAUGUGAACAUUGGAAAUCCCCUUCGCUCAUUGACAGGUUUCGCAGAACAGCCUUGGCUGUCUCAACAUACUACAUCUGCAAAGCAAGAAAUCUGGUGAUCUUCCAAUAGGAAACAGUAACCUCCACGGGUAUAGUUGCCGAAAUUAUAGAUACUUCUAGACACUAGUAAUAGUUCACGUGCUUUGCACGUUAUUGUAAUAUCUUAAAAUGUAUUAUUCUUUAGAUACUAAAACUUUUUUAUGAAAUUUUGAUCACCAACAUCAUAAUAAUAAUAUUUUUAUAUUAUUUAUUUUUUUAAGCUAGUUACUUUUAAAAUUUUUAUUAAAUGAAAAGAGACAGAAAACAUUCCAAUGUAGUUGACAUAUCGUUUAGGAUUAAAUUUGAAAUUAUGACCCAAACACUUUUUAAUUUAUAACUUGAACUCUAACAUAUCAAAUAUUGAUAAUAUCAUGUUUUACCAAAAUUAUUGUAUAUUCAUGAUUCUAUUGCAUAUAAACUACAAUCAUCACAAUUGUUUAUAAAUGAAGAAUAUAAUUAAGUUAGAAAAUUAAACAUACAUGUAAUUUGAAUUCUUUGUAUUAUAUUAAUUUAGAGGUGGCAAUUUGUCCCAAGUCCCAAUGGGUUACCCAUGCCCAUGGGGACUUUGGGCGGGAUGGGUACUGAAAUUUGAUAUUGGGUUUAAAAUGGGACAAAUCCCAAUUGUACCCAUUAAUUGAUGGGAAAUCUUGGGAACUACUUGGGUACCCAUUGGGCUCAAAAAGCAAGGGCUCCGUUUGGAUUAGUUAUUUUUGGGGGGUGUUUUUGAAAUAUUUUAUUGUAGUAGUGUAUAUGAAAAAUUUUUACUAUAAAUUUUUUUUUUGAAAUAUUUGAUAUACUAAUAUAGAUGGGAUAUUUUUUGAAUUAUUGUAUAUUACUGUAAUAUUGUAUUUGAAAAACUUAUUUUUUGAAAAAAUAGCCAAUCCAAACGGAGUCUUAGAUUCAAAAAUUAUCUUUAACAAUUUUUAUAGUCAUACUAACGAAUAUAAUCUAGUAGUCUUCCUAGUCAAUAUCCACAAGAAUUUCCAGCAUUUCAGUCAAUUUAGACCUGUCAUCCUUGGACAAUGAUGAGAAUAAAUAUUCAACACCCUGAGUACCUUGACCAUCUUGAUAUAUGUUGGAAUAUGGUUGUAUAUCUAUUUUUUCCUUUAUUUGUUAAUCCAAUUUUUGGCGGGAAUCUUGAGUAUAAAGUACUUGCAUGUUUAUUUAAUAAAACUAAAAGAAAUUUAAUAAAUAAAAAAUAUUAAAUUUAUAUAAAAAAUAAAAAAUGAAUUAAAGGAAAAAAAAUAGGUAGAAAAUAGAUUUGGGUAUUGGGCGGGAUCAAUCUAAACCCAUCCCAAAGUGAUCCCGCCCAAGUUAGUCCCAAAACACGUAUGGGUAAGGUUGGGCCCAAACCCAUAUGACUCGAUUCCAUCUCAAACCCAAUCAAAUCCCGCCCAUCCCGCCCAUUUUGCCACCUCUAUAUUAAUUCUAUUUUUGUCAAUAAUGGAGUCAAAAUGAUCCACCACGUAAAGUUUUUUUGGUUUGUACAUUCUAACAAUUGAAAUUUUAUAGAUAGAGAUAGUUGAAGUUUUUUCUAUUUUGCUUUUCUUUUAUUCAUGUUUUUAGCACAAUCCAAUGCGAAACAAAAGCAACAAGUCUACUUUUUUCAUAUAAGCACAAUAUUUUUGGUUUUAGUAUUAGUUUUUUCUAUGAUCAUGGAAUUGGAAUGAGAAUUGUGACCAAUUAAUAAUUUUAAUAUUAAUUUUUUGGUGUUUUAUUUUUUAAUUGCCAACUUUUAAUCCAUAACCGCUAUCAUUAUUAUCAAUUAUUGGAAUGCACUAAAUAUGUCUAAUUACAAUUGUCACCAUAAAUGAAAUUUACUUAAUUUUAAAGCUUUUCAUUUCAUAACCGCUUCCAUUAUUCACUAAUAUUGCAAUACAAUAAAUAUAUGUAAUCAUUAGAAAAAUAAGGGUAGUUUGAACAUCACCAAAAACAAUUUGGAUAUCAUUUCCAUUUUAUCAUUCUUCAUUUUAAAUUUACCCUUAUUAUAAUUCUUAUUUUAUCAUUAGGGAUGACUUCUGACUUGAUGGAUGGACUUGGUUUGCUCAAACCAAUAUUGUUUGUCUUCCCCGAGAUCAGAGUCAUUUUGAUGUUGUCUUUGGUAUUAUUUGAAUUGUAUUCUAGUUUUUUAAUUCAUUUGCUAUUUACUUUAUGUCAUUUUAUAAAUAGUUUACAAUUUUUUUUCAAUUUUUUUUGAUCGGUUGCUAUUAAUGAUGAUAGUGGUUUGUAUGGUUCUAUUUUAGAUUUUUUUCCAGUUUAAUACUACUAUUUUAGUUAUAAAGGAGUCAUCAAUUUUUGUAUAUUGAAAUUCCAUUGGGUGCAACAUAAAAAAUUCUUCAUAUUGGUAAAAAGAGCAUAAUUGUAAAAUUUACUCGUGAUAUAUGUAUGAAGACAUACAGAUGAAUAAGGGUUCACUUGUCCUUAUAUGUUUCUCCAUUUUCUAGAGAGUAUCUAUUUUUUGAGAUUGAUUUUUCUUCUUACAAUGACAACUAAUGACUCAUGAGAAAUUUUUCAUGCUUCAAUUAAGAAAUUUUGAUAUGUAUAAUAAUUGGGAAUGGAGUCCAAGAGUAGAUAAAUAGUUUUUAAUGAGCAAUUUUUAAUUCUAAUUACCAAUACUAUUAAAAUGUAAUUAAUUGGAGUGUUUUAUUUCUUGUAAUUAGUGCCAUAUUAAAAUACAAUAAUUCUAAUUAAAAGACAUGAGGGUAAUUUAGGGAUAACAAAAACUAAGAUAAAACCGUGCUUACACUUGCACUCCCUAAAACCAACAUUCAUACUUUUUAUAUAGUAAUGACAAUUAUUCUAAUUACCAAUACUAUUGAAAUGUAAUCAAUUGGAGUGUUUUAUUUUUUUUAAUUAGUGCCAUAUUAAAAUGCAAUAAUUCUAAUUAAAAGACAUGAGGGUAAUUUAGGGAUAACAAAAACUAAGAUAAAAAAGUGCUUACACUUGCACUUCCUAAAACCAACAUUCAUACUUUUUAUAUAGUGAUGAUAUUGGUGUUUCAUGGAGAUGGGUGCCACAGACUCACAACAACUGAUUAUUGAGUGGGGAAUCUCGGAUAAAUGCUUUGAGUAUAUAGCUGAUGUAAAGGUGGACUUUGCCACUGUGUAAGUACUGAUCCUUUCUAUCAAUAAAAAUGAACAAGUUUUGCUCCAAAAAAAAAAAAAGAAAACAAAAGAGCCAAUCCAUACAACCAAAGAGAUGCAGAGACUAUGAAGGUGCUCAAUUAGAAAGUAGGAGGAAAACUAAUAGUUGUUGUUGUAAUUGCAACUUUACAUAUCAUCUGAACAUCAGAUUAUGUCUAGAAAAGGGAAGCACGAAAAAUGUAGAUAUCUCUGGUCAAUAGUUAAAGAUACUACAACAGUUUUUGGCAACUAAGUAGAAGCUAAUUUCAGAAACGAUGAGUCUGAGACAGAAUAGCAAAUUCACUACAAUAAUCAGUGAAUUAUUAGUACUGCCACAAAUCAUGACUAAAACUGCUAUAGCUGAUUGACAGUUUGAAGGCACCAUAUUUGCAACAAGAAAUCAAGAAGCUUUGGCCAGCAGAGACAAAGGAAGUGAAAAAGGCAGUGCCAUGAUGAAAUUCAAGAAAGGAUUAUCCAAAGAAAAGGCGGUAAUUAGGAGCCGUCAAAAUGUCUGUCUGAGCUUUAAGCCUACUGUCACUGCAAAACAGAAAUACUAGAAUCGGGACACCACAUAGCAAAUCAUAAGGCUUAACUGGAAAUUGCAUGACAUUAAUGUUUAGCAAUUAUUCAGAAAGCUAAUUCAGUAUUUUUUUUUUCGCUGUUCUUUUCUAACCUAAAUUAGUAAGCAGAUAUCAAAUCUUCCUGCUCAGUCUACAAGUACCAGUAGUGCCAUAGACAUUACACCCGUUUGUGUUUGAAACACUGAGAAAAGUGUUGUUCUAUAACAAUAUAGUUAUAAUAUGCGGCACCAACAAGAAUGAAAGGCAGAGACAGGUCCAGACAGAGUUGCCAUGAAUGCGAACUCUUUCAGACCUGCAAGAUACAAACGUCUUAAACAUGACAAUUUUUUAAGGUUUUAGUUAACUCAUUGCAUAUUGAAGUGGUUAAAACCCAACUAUUAAGUAGUGGAAGAAGAUUAUCGGUACUGUAAAUUAUCAAACCACUAAUUUCACAACCAAGGGCAGUGAGAGUUCCCUCAAUUGUCCGUUCCGAUUUAUACCGAGGAGAAUCAGUAGAAUCCCAUCAUUCAAGAGACACGAUAGAGAAUGCCAAUAACCGGGUAAUUUGGAGCAAGAUGACAAUUACAUAUUCAAGAGGUGAAAGUUUAGAGCAAGCAUUUCCACUUGCUCCCUUCAGCAAUCAUAGCGUACAACUGGAAGCAGCAGACAUCUGGUAAAAGUAAACUGCUAGUUUUUAUUUAAAACAAAGAAUUUUGUACCGUAGACGUAAAUACAAAAAAGUUCUCAGCUUUGACAUUGUGCUUGAUUCUCCACAUCAAAAAAUCUGCUCUUGAAUAUCUGUAUUCCAUAAUUGAAUUUUAUAUGUGGUUAGUGACAGUGUUUUCUUCCCUGAACAAAGCAUUCAACAAACUAAAGUUUAACAGUUGCAUAAUUUCCCAAAUUGCCAAUUUACUUCCAUAAUUCACAGCUUAUAAGAUAGCACAAUUAACGAUUGAGAUCUAUGUGGUGGAACUCAGAAAAUGAGCCAUUAAGUCACAGCAAAAUCCGCAUAUAACUGCAACCAAAACACCAGCUAGUUCUAAUUUCUAACGACGAGCAGUAUGCCAGAGAUAGCUAAUUCAGUUACAAGUAAAUCAGCCCCUCAUUAUUGUGACUACAAAUUGCUGAAUCAUUUGGACAGUUCAAGGUGGAUUCACUAAGAGCAGCAAGUUGCAACAAGUAGACUUGACUAGCUUUUGAAAGGCUUCAAAACAUCCUGCUUAAACUUGACCAUGUUGGAAGAUACUCCACCAAGUACCAAGUUUUGUGCAACUUCAUUGCAUGAACAGUACAUCGUCCUCGGCUACCUCGGCAAUAUCUUCACAAUGACAAGAUUUCUUUUGUUUUACAUGUAGCAUAUUAAAAAUCAAAGCGAUUAAAAGUCAAAAUUGAGUAGUGAAAAAAGAGAAGCGUAUCUUAAAUUACCAGAAAUUUGAACCAAAACACCAAAGCGAUGAUGCGAAAACCCCUUGAUUGACCAUUGUCUUCAUGGCUAGAAAAUCAUAACCGAGAAAAAGUGAGUCAAAAAAACCAUUAUUUUGAGACCCAGAGCUAUUACUAAUCAAAUGGUUCAGAGAAGUAUCUAAAUGCAUUUUUGAGAGGUAAAAGUUACAGAGAAACCAUUUCAUCCCCUUAGAAUCACAAGUUUAAAGAGAGUGGGCUGACUUUAGCAAUAAUAUCUUACAAUCCACAGAACCAAAUAUGGAAAAUCAACAAAACUAGACCGCUCGUUGUUAUUAUAUGUCGAUGGGCUAUUUGUAGGACGUGCAGGCAAAAAAUUAUUGAGUUCCGGCAAUAUAUACGGUGCUGAAGAAGCUUCACAAUUCUAACGUAUGUUCAUCUAAGCAAGAGACCACAAAAAUCAUCUUGGGAAGCAUUGAAGAAAGGAGUGCGGCAAGAAUUGCUGGUCUAAAGGUGCACAAUGGAAUCCUCUCAAAUUCCAGCUAUUGCACUGCUAGACAACAUCCUUGGAAGCAGAUCCUCCUAAACUUUGCAACAUAAUCAUUUUAGUUACCAUCUAUAUCACCUCACAAAAGGUAACAAAUAGAAAUCUUCAUAAAAGUUUCAUUAGAGUAAGUUCUCCUAUAGAAACAAAAGAAGCUAUAAAUUAAGAAGUCUAAAAUCUUUGUCUGCGGUUGCUAGUUCACAAUUUUUUUUGCUUUGACAUACAUUCAUUUGAGGAUUUACUCCAUGAAUAUAACGCAUUAUCUUUUUCCUUUUUUUAAACAAAUCAAUAAGAAAAUAAAAUUUUCACAGUAAAUGGUGGUGUGUAUGCCUAAGUUUGAUGAAAGCCCUCGAGAAAGCUUGUUCCUGCAUUAUAACUAUGAAAGAACAGGAAGUUCUAUUACAUUUUCUUGUGAUGGAAUCUUACAAAAGUGAGUUUCUUUUGCCACUUUUACCCUAAAGAUAAUGAGCAGGUACUAGGACUCGAUACAAUGUAUGUAUAUUUUUUUGACUUAGAUAUGCUAACCUUGCGAUAACACUCGAAAGUUUGCAAAACCUCUUAAUGGUCAAUCUAUUUCUCUAGUAAUGGUCAUCAAACUGCCAAUAAAGAUCAUCAAAAAGUCCUGGUAAUGAUGGCUCUUCAAAAACAUCUGAUAAGCUGGGGCAAGAAAUUUUUUCCCAGUAGAUUGUACAGGCCAGCUGACAGUCAUUGAGCAAUCAAAACACAGACAGAAAACUUUCUGCAAUUGAGGUACAACUAGUUUCAAAGACAAAAAGCCAGGGAAAAAAUUAAGCAAAUUUAUAGUAAUAUAGCAGGUAAAUUCUUACUGCUGGACCUCGUGACUGAAAAGGCAGAUAGACAAUGUGCAAGCUCCGACAACAAGGAUAUCAAGUGCUGGCUUUAUAAGGCACCGAUACGAAAGAAAAAUUGCCAUCAUAAAUAUUUUUGUCCAAGCUACUGGCCUUGCAAUUCAAUGAGUAAUUAAUGGCCAAUGGAGAUAUCCACUUAAACCUUGAGCCUAAGAUCACUGCAAAAUAGAAAAUUCAAGCUCAGACAUUAUGUAGUAAACAAGAGAUCUAACAAAACAAUUUAGAUAAUUUCGUGAAGCUAUUGUUCUGUCAAUCCUACAAAAACAAAGUGUGGAACAGAAUAUUAACAGAGUUAUAGUAAUACAUCAAAGCACAGAACAGGAUAGGUGAUUGGUUUCAUGUUAAUCGACGGUUACAAGAGUAUUAUGUUGUUAGGAGUAAAUGAGAAGCACGGUAUUUUGAACUUGGCAAGAAAUGCUAAUGCCGCAGCUUUGAAAGAUAAUAAAUAGGACGAGAAAAAGGAAGAAGAGAAAAUUGUGAAGAAUAACCACGGUAACUUUUUAGUUUUUUUCAUAUAAUUCCUCCACACUUAAAUCAUUGCUUGUCCUCGAGCAAUAAAAAAUACAAACCAGCAAUAAUUUAAGAAGUGAAAUGAAUCAAGUGAACUUGAAACUCAAUCUCUCUUAACUUUGGCAAGCUUUGAUUAUGCAAUUUUUUCCUAUUAACCGUAAUACUCAUCAUAUCAUGUAAAAGAGAGAUAAUUACACUCAAAAUUCAACCAAACAAAUUUAAUCUCUCUAUCUUACCUAAUUUCACAAAUAACUAACAUAUAUAGUUACCUUGGAGAUUUUCUUCCUUCUAAAUGAGAUGUUUAGCUUCACAAACCUUAAGAGGGAACUAUUCACUUUCUUUUUUCUUUUAUUUACUCUUAAAAUUGUGAAAAUGCCUUUUGACGAAGAUUGAUAUUUUUAGAUGAAGAUUUCCGGUUACUCAAAACUUCACUUAUUACUCCCAAUUCCAAUACCUUUUGACGCGAAAGUCGAUAUUUGUAGAUAAAACUCUCGGUUACUCAGUAUAAAAAUUUAUUGAAUAUUUUUACCAUAAAAUCCCUCAAUAAGGUCACAUUUGGAAGAAAAAUAUUCUAGCAACUAUAUAAAUCAAUUACUUGUAAAAAUAAGUAAGAUGAGAGAUUUCAUUUACUAUGCAAAAUGUAGGCAUAAUUUUCUUUAUUUUACAAUAUAUACUUUCUUACAUGCAAUAAUUCUAGUCAUAUUAUAAUUGUUUCCAAGUCAAGUGAGAAUUGAAUUGUUCAAUUACUAAAAUCAUCUCACUUGUAUAGGAGAAUUUUAAAACAAAAGGGACAUGAACUUCUUGCACUUGUGGAUUUAAAUGAACAAUUUGUGAAAGACUUGGGGCAAAUUUUGAAAUUUGGACAAGAUUUUGAAAAAAUUUUGACAGAGUUUCUCUUUAAAAUUGGAUGAAACUUCCUGCCGGCAAACCCAAAAGCCAACAAUUUUAAGCACAAGACAAAUUUCUAAUAUCAUAUCCAAGCAUUUACCAUAUAAGCACCAAAGUGACUCCUACUUAACAGCAUUUCCUCCCCCACACUUAACAUACACAUUUUCCUCAAUGUGUAGGGAAAGCGAAGAAGAAAAAGUAAAAACAAGUUACUCCCCAAUUCAAUGGCUGAGAUCCAGCUCAAUCUUGAAUCACGAGCCAUCGACGAAUCUACAACCAUCUAUGAAAACUGCCACAAGUCCCAAAUGCAAGAUGAGAAGUUCAAGUUAAACUUGUACAAUAAAAAGAGUUAAAAUAAAAAACUACAAGGAAAUAUGAAAGCAAAAAAAAAAUGCAGCAAGAGGUCGGCGAGUCUUCUCCUUGCACAUCACAUCACUGUGGAAAAGUGCUAAAUGAUUCUUUCAUAUAUAGUGCUAAAUGCACAUCACAUUUUCUCCUUGCAGUGAUUCUUGUCCCUCCUCUUCUCUUCUUUCUCUCUUUAGUGAUUCUUAAAUAUAUAGUGUUCAAGAGAGUCAAAAAGUGCUAAAUAAGAUGACAUAAAAUUUCUUUUGCACUUUUCUAGAGUUUCUUGAGCAUGUGUAGCCUAAAUUCUGUGCAAGAAUUGAGCAGAAAAGAAGUGUGAAAAUAGGGCAAGUUGCAAAACAAGUUACAAAAAAAUAGGAGAGAAUAAGCAGGCUUGGAAUACGUGACCUCAACUCGUGUAUUCAGAGCCUGUGUUUUCUCUUUUGUUACGUUUUCUUGUGUCUUUCUAUCCAAUGCACUAAGAUCAUAAGCAAGAUGCCCCAAUGUUUGUUCAUGCAAUGAAACAAUAAUACUUGCAUUUGAUGCUCUUCUAAUUCCAAAUCAUCAUUGAAUCAGCCACUAAUGAAUUCAAAUGAAUUCGCCUCGAUCCAAUAUUGAUAAUUCUCCUCAAAUCCUACCAAUAUAACCACAUUUGUACGUUCAACUUCCUAAAUGAAUCUUGCAAAAGUUAAAGACUUAGAGAGCAAGUUACACCGUAAAAACCCUAAAUUAUACCAAAAAAUACGCACAUAAUACUACUUAAAAGAAUGUAUAAUACACUUAUCGAGAAGGUUGAUUAGAGUGGGAAGUGAAGAGAAGGCAAAGAUGUCUUAUGCGUAGGUAGCAAGCAAUCUUACAUGAUUGAAUUUGAUCUGAAGAUGAACUGUUAAUCGCUUAUUAAUAGGAGUUGAAUAUGAGAAAUUUUGGACCACUGGGAGUCGAGGCCGCUGCUCUCAGGAGUGCACUUUUCUUUUAACAGAGGAGAACCAUAAACCAGUAGAACUUUUAGUUUGGUGAGACUUCUCAUGGCAUCCUCAGAGGGUAAAUGUCGAAGCUCUUUGAAACCAAAUAAACAUAGGUAUUCAAGAGCAGCAAAGUUUCCGAACCAAUCUGGCAGAGCUUUUAUACCUCCAAAGUCAUGUAGCCGAAGUGACGUGAGAGUGGUCAAGUAUUGGAUCUGAUGUGGUAGGAACUCCAUGUGUGGCAACCCAAAUAAUUCUAGGUCACAUAGUAUGGAUGACAAAGAGGAGAAGGAUAUCAAUCCAGACCAAUCAAAUUCAUUGUAAAUUGAAGAAUUUUCAUGGUCAUCAUCAUCUGAGAAGGGACCAAUUUCAAGGCGAUUUAAGCUGGGUAGGAAACCAAAUCCUUUGGGCAUCAUACUUGUUUUCAGUUUGGGACACGCGUAUAAUUCCAACUCCAAAAGAGAAGGCGUUUGUUGCAAAUCAAGCGGAAAGGAGAUAAGCUUGUCGCAAUAAGCCACCUGAAGCUUUUGGAGAGAGAUACAAGACUGUAGCAUGUCACUGGGUAGACUCGUUAACCCACGGCAAAACCAAAUCACCAGCUCUUUAAGAAACGUAAAGUUUUGCAAGGGAAGGAGUUCUCUGCAUCUGUGGCAAUAAUAAAACUCCAAACGCGCUAACUUGGGAAGUGUUAUUGGCAAAUCCAUUGACCAUCGAGGAAAUUGAUCACCCAUAAAACGCUGAAUUACCAACUCCUCCAAAUUUGGAUGAGGCUUAAGGCCAUCUAACACAUCUUUGUCGUAGUUGUAGUUGUCACCUUCUCGAUCCCAAGCCAAGGCCCACACAAGUAUCAGCCUAAAUAGAUUUGCCUUUCCAAAUAGAUUUGCUUCCUCAGCCGCUUUCCUAUCCUUUACUAGUUGAAGAUUGCGUAUACUUAAACUGCCUUUGAGGUUUUUCAAGCAUCCAAGCUCUUCAAUUUGUCGACCCUUUUCUCGACCCACAUUAAAGAACUCUAGUGUCUGAAGGCAAGAUAGUCGUCUCAUCUCUAGCGGCAUUUGAAAUUUUUCAUCAAAGGUGUAAAAGUAGAGAUGUCUCAAGCUAAUCAAAUUGCACAUCCCCUUCGGAAGAUCUUUGACAUACAUGCUAUCUAGUGCCAAUGUCUGCAAAUUAUAAAGCUUGCAAAGGGAGUCUGGCAAAAUACAGAUUCUAGAACUCGAAAGGUUAACAUAUCGCAAAUGUGUCAAUUUGCCAAUAGUGAUCGGUAGCUCUUGAGUUGUUGCAUGAGACAAAUUCAAAACAUACAAGUUCUUCAACUUCAUUAACAUAUCACCAGAUAGGUCACCCUUUACAAACAAUGUACGAAGCGAAGUUGAUAGACUUUCCAAAAGUUUUUCUUUUUCUUCUCUGCCACCAGAUAAAUCUACCGCAAGGUAACGAAUAUUGUUAAUAACUUUAGUAGACUUUGACAUUGACUCUGCGAGGUCGUGCACUAGAUCAUGCAUCUUAUAAUAACGUGUUUCCUGAUAACUUUUGGUUUCUGCAAACAACGAACUCUGUAAUAAAAUUCUCAGACAAUUCAUUCCAAUUUCCUCCAUCAUCAUUUGGUUGUUGACAUCUGCUUGGAGCAAACCUUCUGCCAUCCAAAGUUCGAUUAGUAUAUCUCCUUUCAUCAUAGUAUCCUUAGGAAAUAUAGAACAAUAUGCAAAACAUUUCUUAAUGGAUGGAGAUGGUAAACAAUCAAAACUCAAUUUAAGUAUUUCCAUGACACCAUCUUCAUCUCCACUGAAAUUUGAAAGCUUAUUCUUCAAAACCAAUUGCCACUCCUCUUUUCUCUUCAUGCGCAAUAAACCUCCCAUUACACUUGCAGCCAGUGGUAGACCACCACAUUUUUUUAUAAUUUCCUUUUUCAUGACAUGCAAUUGUUUGAGAAUUUCUCCACCUGCAAUGGCUUUCUUUGUUAGGAUAGACCAACAAUCAUCAUCAGAUAGCUUUCCUAGCACAUAAGGAUCAUGUGUGGCCACAAUGGAUGCAGUUUGUUGUUUACGAGUAGUCACAACACACCAAUUUCCAUUAGUUGCAUUUAGCCCCAGUAAUGAACCAAAAAAAUCAUCCCACAAGGUAAGAUUUUCGGUCCAGACAUCAUCAAGAACAAGAAAAUUUUUUUUCCCACAAGUUAUUCUCGAAUUUCCUGGACGAUGACAUCCCUACUGGUCAUUUCAACAUUUCUUCUUGUGAGUGCUUCUAAAAUCAUUUUCAAAAGCCUGGUCACGUCAAAAUUGUCGGACACACAAACCCAAAUUUUUUUCUCAAAAUGGCUAUGAACUUGACUAUUUUUGUAUAUAGAUUGAGCUAAAGUUGUCUUUCCCAAUCCGCCCAUCCCAAGGAUGGGAAUUACAGAAACGGUUUUUCUUGACAAGCUUAGCAGGAUCUCCACCAGCCUUGUUUCAUCCUUAGCUCUUCCUACAACAUAGUGGCCAGCAAUAGAAUCCGUCUCUCUAUUUAGUGUGACUUUAGCAGUAGUAGAAGGGGGGAAACUUGCCCUUUGGAAUCUGAUCAGUCCAAAAUCAUUGGCUUCUUUAUUGAUCUUAUACAACUUCUUGUUGAUGUCCCUGAUCUUAGAGGCCAUUCUCCGUCGGAAAACAAUAUUAAUGUCAGAGGACAGGAUGAAGGAGCGUACCUUGUCCACGAGAUGGCGACGAAGAGCUUCAUAAUUCAGCUCGUCCAACAAAUUCUCGGCAUCAAACGCCACGGCUUCUAGCCUCUGGAGCCACAGUUGCACGGCCUUGUCAUGCAUUUGCUUUUCCUCAGCAUCAGCCAAGACAGCUUGGAUCAUGGCAACAGAUCCUUUCAGGGUCUCCAAAUCCUCCUUGAAUUGGAAUAACUUGCCAAUCCUUUCAUUGGCAAGGGAAAGUGUCUUCUCCAACGCUACCUCUAUUGUGGAAGCUAUAAUUGCAUCAGCCAUUCUUCUUGUUCCUUGGGUACAGUCUUCAGAUAAGAAUACUCUUUUGCAGUGGAAGGUUUUAGCUGUAGUUAGAAGCAGCAAGGAACUGCUUUGACUCAAACGGAAGUGACAAGAGUUAUGAGGAUUUUUUGGUGCAGCGCUUCUUUGACAAUCUGGGUCGGAUGCUUUUGCAACGGAAGUUGCUUGGCAUUUUCAGUUGAAAAUAAAAUAUAGUCAUUGCCGGGAUUCUACAUCUGCUUUUGAUCCACAUUCCACAUGCCUGGGGCCCCUAGUCGUGGAAAAUUCCACCCAAGAAGGAUAAGAAAUUGUGCUGAACAAUGAAAGGUCCAAAAUAAUUGUUUAGAUAAUUCAAAUUAAGCAAUUUCUUCUAAUUCAAAUUAAUGUUGUGCAUGUAUAGGAGGCACAAAAUGGUUUGGUGCACUAGCAAACAGAAGGGUACAUCUAAGGUUACUACAAGUUUUACGUUAAAGUGGGAGAUUUGUAAACCAAUUCAGAGUAAACAAAUGAUGUUGAGGAAAAAAUAUGUUAGUUGCAAUGCAAUCAUAAAAGCUAUGAUACAUUUGUGAAAAGAAGAAACAUUUAUUAAUUUAGUGCAGUCUAAUUACAAACCUAGAAAAAAAAAUAUACAUGAAUGAUCCGAAAGCGGGAACGGUGUCAUUUUACUCAAAUAAAAGUGUGAUCGAAUCAAGGAUUAUUUAAAUAAAAAAAUUAGAUUAAUAAUAUAAUACUUUUUGUAUUUUUAUAUAAUGCAUGUGAGACAGAAUGGUGGCUGGUAAAAUUAAAAAAAAGGUGAUGGAAUAAGUAUAAAUUGUUUUUUUCAUAUAUUUAUCUAAUGAUAAUAGUGACAGGGUAAAAAAACAAAGGUGAUAACAAUGAUAAGUGUGGUGAGUACUUCUUGCAAUUGAUUGCACCAUGCAAUCUAUAUUUUACAUUAGGUAAAUUUGAAAUUGGAUGAAUAGAAUUGAUUAGCACGCAAAACUUUCAAUGAAUGAAACAUGUAUUGUGCUUUUGUGUUAAUUUUGCAUUAGGUUAAUUUUGUCUGCAUUUAAUAUGUCAGUGUAUACACGUCUAUUGUGUCAGAACCUAAAUUGCAUGGCGUGUAUGGCACUAAAUUUCCAGUUCACCUUUCCUACUUAAUGCCUUGCUGAGGCCUCUACUCUGAUUGAGAAACCUUAUAACUGCUGGGGCCUUCUAUUGUGCAAAAAAUCUCAACAAAAUAAUGGUCUGACCCAAGAAGCACAAGAAAGUAUUGUCCUUAACAAUUAGAAUGUCAAAGAAAAAAAAGAGGGAAAUUGAUAGGUUGCAAUUUUAUCAUUUAUUUUAUUAUUAAUUUUCCCUAUUACCUGACCUGAUGUGAAUUAAUUAUUAGAUUCUACUCACUUUUCGUAAUUUACAUUUAUUUCAGGGAGUAGAACAAAAAUAUCACAAUCAAGACCAAUUUGACAGUUAUCGGAAAAGAGUUCAAAUAGCAGACAAUCAAGAGCAUUCUUGAAACAAAGAGAUGCGACCCUUUCUGGUAAUUUGUGAAAGACAGCAUAAAAGGAGAAGGAGGAACACAGGACUAGGCGUUCUUUCCCUUGGGGGGCUAGAGCCGCCGCACAGAGCCAGGCAUUAGAAUAGGACUUUUGAUAGAGGGAGGAGUAGAGGAUUUUUCCUCCUGAAGCUUAGUUUUCCUUUGACUUUUCCAUCGUAGCUUUUGAGGGGUAUCUUCCCACGCAUGUCAGAGAGCAAAAUUGGGGAGAACUUUAACUUUUCUACUUUUGAACUUUGAGUAGUCUUUUGUUCCUUCUUGUAUGUCGGACGAAUUGAAUUUCCCCAAUUUCAAAGCACGAUUGCCGCGACUUUUGCUACAAUUUUGUGUGGGUUUUUCAUACCAAAUAUGAAUUAAUCUCUUCGCUCUAAUCAAGGAGUAACGGAGGCUCUGGGUCGCCUAAAAAUUGUGAGAUCGUUUUAAUUUAAUCUUUUCCUUUUAUUUAUUGGUAUUUGCAUAUUCCCUGGUUGCAGUGCUUAUGGUUGUUUAAUUAAUUGAUUGUCUUGGAUCCGGAUAAUUAGUUAAUUUAAUAAUCUAUUGUCAAUUGAGGUGUUAAAUCCGUAAUUGUUUAAUUACCUCAAAAUAGUGACAACUGGCAUGAUUAGAUUUGUGUCAGGGGGAUGCGCGGGCUAAUCUGAAAUAACCCUGGUAGUGCGUUAUUUGGUUAGAAUAGGGCUCCUCUAAUUUGUAAGGCAAUUGGGGAAUUAAAUCUUAUGGGCGUACCUAAGAUUAUUUCUCAAUUAGGGCAGUGAUUAACGGGCGUACCUUAAUCACCGACACAGUAAGGAGGGGUUGACUGUCAUCGCUUGUUUGGUAGUUAUAACCUAUUUAUUGAUAAAUAAUUGGGAUUGCCUUUGCGUCGAUGAUCAAUUAGAUGAACCAUUGCUGAAGUUAUUCCUUGGCUAGAUCCUUAAUUAUCACUCAUUUGAUUUUAGUAAUUUGUUACUUAAUUUUUAGUAGUUUUUUUUAGAUUUUAUUUGAAUUUCUUCGAUUGUCACCUUCUGCACAAAAACACCCCCCUUGUCACUGUGAAUUUGAAAAGAAACAAUUACUCCCAAUCCCUGUGGAUUCGACCCUGCUUACCGCUAUCUACAGAAAUUUAUUUUAGUUUGAGCAGGUUUUAUUAUUGCGCAGGCUUCGACACCCUGUCAAUUUUUGGCGCCGUUGCCGCAGACUGGUGCCAAAUUAAUUUGUUUCUUUUUGAGUUCAUCUUGUUUUUAUUUUUUUUUAUUUAUUUUUUUUUCUCUUAUUUUUUUUUUAUAUAGUUUAUGGCUUCUAACACUUCGUACUUUGGUGAUAUACUGGAUUUUCUUUCCGGGAAAGGCGAUGAGACUAGUUUUUUCGCUAAAUCUGCAUACUCAGAGGCACUAAACUCUAUUAGAGAAAGAAUGGCUGCUGUAACCUGUAAAAUUUGUUAUGCCAGGGAUCAUUCAACCGGUAUGUGCCCCGAAUAUCAAGAUACUCUGAGUGUCCCAUUCAAUAAUUAUGGAGAUUUUUCACCCUGGUCUCAAACGUGGUAUAACCCUAAUCCAAACGGGUAUGAUCAAGGAUGGUGGGAUAACUCCAAUUAUAAUUAUUCAACGGGGCCAAUGAAUUUUCAGCAGUAUGAGUCUCAAGAAUCGUCAUCUAUGUCAGGUAUAUCUCUUGAAGAAAUAGUUGAACCAAUAGCUACUAAUACAUACCAAUUCAAACAGGAGACACAAAUGAGGAAUGAGAUGAUGAAGGAUACAAUGAGUUAUCUGGCAGAUCAACUAUGUCUAUUGACAUCCAGAAUAAAUCGAUUGGCUUCUCAAAUGGAAGAAUUGCCCUCGGAAACCAUUGUUGAUCUAGAAGAAAAUGAGAGUGCAAUUUGCUUGACUGGUGAUGAGGAGAUGCAAGAGUGUCAAAAUGAGAAAUCUACAGAUGCAGUUGAAAAAGAAGCCGAAAAGGAAGAAAUGGAACCCCAACCGCAACCCAUUCAAGUGAACGAAUCCAGUGAACAAUCUCCAAAUGCGGUGACAUCUUCUCCAUUCCUUAAUCAAUAUUUUCCUGACUCCUAUUCUUCAAUUCCUGUUACUGAAAUUGAUUUUAUUAUACCAGAAAAUUUGAAAUUUCAUGACAGGAAUAAGUUAAGAGUGGCAAUGAAAAAAUAUCUUGAACCGAUGAAUGCGUGUGGUGGAGGAGUGAAUGGAGAAUACAAAUUAUCGUUGACUUGUUUGGCGCCAUUUACUAGUCUAUGGAAGCUCGUAACUCGUAUGUCCAAGGAUUACUCUAUUUACGAGAGCUAUCAGGACUAUAUAGAGGAUGAAGCAUUAAGACGAGCCACACGAUUUUAUCCUCCAUGAACAAAACAUGAUAAUGUCUAGCCAAAGACAUUAAAGAGAGGCGCUCAUUGGGAGGCAACCCAAUUGUUUCUUUUAAUUAUUUGUUUGAUUUCGUGUGAUAGUUUAAAUAUGUUUUCCUUGAGUUUAAUUGGUUUUGGGUCUGAAAUUUUUGUUUUUGGUGAGUUGUAGGUGUCUAUCUGACUCGGCAUGCCCGCGUCAUGUUGCAGGAAAAGCUCACGGUCAGAGAGCUCUCUUGCCCUCAUGACGUGCCCGCGUCACGUUCGCGGGAAAGGUAAGGAUUCUAAAAAAAAAAAAAAAAAAAAAAAUCUUAUCACCGUAGCUUUAGUUUCCAAAAUUCAAAAAAAAAAAUUAAAAAAAUUGAUUUCCAUAGAAAAAAAAGAGAAAAAAAACCAAAAAAAAAAAAAGAAAAGAAACAAAAAUAUUUCUCACGAUAGCUCAAAUGGAACCUAAAAAAAAAAAAAAAUCUUUUUUUUCUUUUUCUUUUUCCUUCUUUUCUUUCUUUCUUUUCUUUCUUUUUCUUUCUUCUUCUUCUUUCUUUCUUUUUUCUUCUUCUCCGCUACGUCUUCUUUCCCAUUUUGGCCGCCUCUUCAAUCGCGCGCCGCCCACUUGCCCGCGUGACCGCUGCUGCCUUCCACAACCACCUCGCACGUCCUCUCUCCUCUUCGCGAGCCACCGCCACCAAAUUUUUGGUGUAAUUUCAUUUUUUAGUUUUUAUUUGUCGUGUUCAUUUUUAGUUUUUAGUUUCCAGUUUUAUUUUUAUUUUUAAGUUUUAUCAUAGAAUUUGUUGAAAAAGAAAAAAGAGAAAAAGAAAAGCAUUCAAAAAAAUAUGUUUUAGUCAUUUUGUUUUUAUUCAAUGCUUUCUUGAAAGAAAAAUGAAAAUGAAAAUAAAAAAAAAAGGGAAAAAGGAAAUUUGUUCACAAAAAUAUAUUUAUUUCUUUAAAUGCAACCUUUUUGCACUUUAGUUAUUUUUAUUAAGUUAUUUUGAGAAAAAGAAAAUGAUGAAAAAUGAAAAAUGAAACAAAAAGAUGGAAAAGUGGCCAUUUUUGUUGUUUUUAGUUGUUUAGUUUUUAAAUUAUUUUCAUUAUUAUUAUUAUUAUUAUUACCUGGUUUUGGCAAUUUGUUAUUAUUAUUAUUAUUUAUAUCAUUUCUGUAUUUAUUAAGUUAUUAAGUUCAAAAAAAAAAAAAAAUGAUACGCGGCAGCAAGCUGCGUUUUACGCAGCUUGCAAAGGAAAUCUGGGACGGCUCCUAAAGCUGCAAAUACAGGAAAAGGACUAGAGGUUUUUAGGGUUUGGGGGUCUGAUAUAUAGCAAAAAGAAAGGUAGCCGCAACAGAGGUUUUAAGGGGAACCAACGGGGGAUAGAAACACAAGCAAAAAGGAAAAGAAAGAAAAAGAGCCGAGAGUGAAAAGAGAGGAAAGAUUGAUGGUGACGGCAGGAAGUGAGCCAGAAGCUUUGUGAAGUAAGAGGGAAAAGAAGCAAAGGAAGGACUGAGUAGAGUUGAUGGCUGUGAGGGUUUAGAAACGGAGAGUUGAACGGGAAAGGGAAAAAGAGAAAAUAGCAAAGGGAAGCUAGCUGGUGGCUGGGCAAGAGGAAAAAACGCAGAAAAGAAAACAGAGGGGGGGGGGAGGUUUCGGUUUCAAUGAUCGGCGAGGAGAAAAACUUGCAACCACCACAGCAGCCAUCUCAACUCCAUCCGUUGCCUGCCCAGACUCCUUUUCAUGCUAUCAGCCCAAGCCACCACAAACCUCCAUAACCACCGCCUACAAAUGACCACCUCCAAGUUCUGUCAUCGCCACCACCGCACGCAACUUCCAUCGAGGUCACCAGACAGCAGCCACCUUUUCUUCUCUAGCGUGACCAACGAGCGGUCAACUGCCUCCCAAGAGGUCCUCCAAGGACCACCACAUCAAGGAGGAAGAAAAGCCACCACCAGUCCGCUACCAUCACUAGAACUUCCCACCACUGCCUGAAAAUAAUUUCACGAAGCAGGCGCAGGUAAGCUGUCCUUUUCUUUUAAAAAUUCUCGGUUCUGUUUAAGCUCUCAGAGCAUGUCUGCCGUGGGUUUUGAGGGGAUAGCAUCUGGGUUUGGUUAAGGACAUCAAUAGGGCUCGCUUGAUUUGUUUCAUAUAGAUGUCCUGGUUGAAUGAUGAAGUUUGAAGAAAGAACUAAAAAUUGCAGAAUGUUGAUUCCCUGUAAUUGCAUGAACUUCUGGUAUCUAAACCUAAAUUUGUAUGGUGAAAAAUGGAAAACAUGCUUGUGAACUUGUUACUUUGCUCCUAGUUGUUGUUAGUUGAGCUGUUAGUAGUGUUUGGAUAGCAAAGAAUUGCAGCAAAAGGAAACUCAAAUGCUGCAGACAUUUUUUUGUUAACUGUCGGCUCACAUUCUCGUUUGUUCCCUUGCUUGUUUUCUUCUUGUAAUGAUUUAAAUCUGUCCCUUGUGCCUUGAAGUCUCCUCCCUUGUUGCCCAAGACCGUGAAUUCCUAUGUUAGCUGGAGAGUUUUUUUAUUUAUUUGCUGUGCUACAGUUUUGCUGCUCAUGAAGUUGUCAGCUCUGCUUCUAAAGCUGUUACAUAACAACCCAUUGGCAUGAUAGCUGCCGUUAGUUUUGCAUUCGGUGUGUGAUUUUGUAUGCGUGAGGGAGUAUUUGGAAUUACAAUUUGGGUAGGAAUUUGAGGUUGGUUUUAAGUUUGAAACGUUUAUCGACAUCUCGAGUGCAUGAAAGUUUGCUGCAACAGGUCUUAAGUUCUGUUUUAUUGCAGCAAUGUUGGCAGAGUUGUUUUUUUGCUGAUGACUAAAGUUUUGUUAGCUAAAUUUGUCUUCAAAUCUGUGGGUUGUUGGAAAGUGAUGCCACUGUGUGCGUUUGCUGCAUUUUGUUGCAGCAAAACAUGGCAUAAUAACAGGCCAUAGCACCAACUUUGCUAAGUAUUCACUGCUUCAAGUUUUUACUGAUUCUAUGUUCAGUUUUCCUUGUUGUUUUCAGUAAAGUAAACAUUGGUUUUUGGUUGUUUAGUUUAGGAUUUUGAUUUCUGGUAAAGAUGUCUAGAUUGGAGCCAUGCUUUCGGACCAUAAAUAUGCAUUUGUAAAUGGAGAGGCAUCAAACUUUCGCCGGCAGAAAGCUUCUUCAUGCAUUCUUGCUUGAAGUUUUUUUCUAUGUUUGCAUGAUUUCCUCCUAUGAUUUUGCUAGUUCGGAUGUCAAGUUCAUGUUUUGUGUUGUUUGGUUCAAAAUUUGAUGUUGAAUCAAGAAAGCCUUGGGUUAAGGUAUGAGAUCAAAUCCGGGUUUAGUGUUUGAAAGUGGAACAAAGGUGCAGCAAUUUCGUUUGCUUUGUUGAAGAAUGUUCUUUCACGAUGGUUUGCAUGCAUUUGCAUGAAUAAUCUCCAGAUUUUACACUUUGGCCCCCAAGUCUCUCCUUGUUCCACUAGGACCCAAUCAAUUAAAGAAUUUCAUCAAAUUGGUCCUUGAUAAUUUUAAUUUUUGCAACUUCAUUGCUUGUUUGCUUCAAUUAACUACCAUGCUUUGUUUCAAUUGCAUUUAAUUCAUGACUUUAGGGGCUUUAUGACCAAGUGAGCUUGUGUUUGCCUAUUUUCUUUAAUUUUCUCAAAUAAAUUGGUACCUUGACCAUUUCUUUUAUUUUGGAGGAUAAAUAAGUGAUUUCACUUCAUUGGGGCCCAAUUGCAAGGGAGGUAACCUCUAUCUCCUUGAAUUUCAUUUCUCCUAUGUGAUCCUACGUGUUAUGUGAAUAUGCAUGUCUACUCCGCUUUCCUUACCUCCUUGCGUGCAUUUACUUGCUUUCACUUUUAUUUAAGUUUUAUGGGGUAUGUGUACACCUCUUGGCUUGUAAUAGAUAGGGCUCGGAGAGCAUCUGGUCCAUUUCCCCUUUCCCUUUAUGUUUUUAUGGGGUAUGUGUACACCUCUUGGCUUGUAAUAGAUAGGGCUCGUAGAGCAUCUGGUCCAUUUCCCCUUCCCCUUGGUUGCUUGUUUUUGUUGCUACAUGUUUAAUUGCUUUAAUAGGCUCUUGCAUCUAGUCGAGCAUGCUAAGUGCUACGUGCUACGUGUUUACGAGCGUUUUGGCAUGUCUACUUGCUUUCAUAACCAUGAAUGAAUGGAAUGGAUGAAUGUACGUCACCACGCUAGUUCAAUGCUAGUUGUGGCUCAUUAUUUCAUUAGGAAUUCAUAGAAAGGGCUAGUCCAACGCUAGACCCAAUAGGAUUUUUCCUUUGUUUUUCAUUAAUGCAUUGUUUGCCUGUUCACUACAUAUCAUGCAUUUUUCCUUAGUUUUAUCAUCUGGCAUGCUCCUCGAUUCCCCUUGCCCCUCACUUUAGGUCUUGCAUCUCAUGCUAGUUAGGGUACAUUUGCCUGAAGAGUCCCCUUCUGAUAAGGGAAACGAGCGAGUGUGGCUACUCGAUAGCCUUAGCACGCUAGUUCCCCCUUCUAUCAAAGGAAAAAUCAAGUCACAAAGUUAGGACUCCCCGUUCCCGUUUUGAUGCAUUCCUAUAGAAUGUGAGCCGACAGUUAACAAAAAAAUGUCUGCAGCAUUUGAGUUUCCUUUUGCUGCAAUUCUUUGCUAUCCAAACACUACUAACAGCUCAACUAACAACAACUAGGAGCAAAGUAACAAGUUCACAAGCAUGUUUUCCAUUUUUCACCAUACAAAUUUAGGUUUAGAUACCAGAAGUUCAUGCAAUUACAGGGAAUCAACAUUCUGCAAUUUUUAGUUCUUUCUUCAAACUUCAUCAUUCAACCAGGACAUCUAUAUGAAACAAAUCAAGCGAGCCCUAUUGAUGUCCUUAACCAAACCCAGAUGCUAUCCCCUCAAAACCCACGGCAGACAUGCUCUGAGAGCUUAAACAGAACCGAGAAUUUUUAAAAGAAAAGGACAGCUUACCUGCGCCUGCUUCGUGAAAUUAUUUUCAGGCAGUGGUGGGAAGUUCUAGUGAUUGUAGCGGACUGGUGGUGGCUUUUCUUCCUCCUUGAUGUGGUGGUCCUUGGAGGACCUCUUGGGAGGCAGUUGACCGCUCGUUGGUCACGCUAGAGAAGAAAAGGUGGCUGCUGUCUGGUGACCUCGAUGGAAGUUGCGUGCGGUGGUGGCGAUGACAGAACUUGGAGGUGGUCAUUUGUAGGCGGUGGUUAUGGAGGUUUGUGGUGGCUUGGGCUGAUAGCAUGAAAAGGAGUCUGGGCAGGCAACGGAUGGAGUUGAGAUGGCUGCUGUGGUGGUUGCAAGUUUUUCUCCUCGCCGAUCAUUGAAACCGAAACCUCCCCCCCCCCUCUGUUUUCUUUUCUGCGUUUUUUCCUCUUGCCCAGCCACCAGCUAGCUUCCCUUUGCUAUUUUCUCUUUUUCCCUUUCCCGUUCAACUCUCCGUUUCUAAACCCUCACAGCCAUCAACUCUACUCAGUCCUUCCUUUGCUUCUUUUCCCUCUUACUUCACAAAGCUUCUGGCUCACUUCCUGCCGUCACCAUCAAUCUUUCCUCUCUUUUCACUCUCGGCUCUUUUUCUUUCUUUUCCUUUUUGCUUGUGUUUCUAUCCCCCGUUGGUUCCCCUUAAAACCUCUGUUGCGGCUACCUUUCUUUUUGCUAUAUAUCAGACCCCCAAACCCUAAAAACCUCUAGUCCUUUUCCUGUAUUUGCAGCUUUGGGAGCCGUCCCAGAUUUCCUUUGCAAGCUGCGUAAAACGCAGCUUGCUGCCGCGUAUCAUUUUUUUUUUUUUUUUUUGAACUUAAUAACUUAAUAAAUACAGAAAUGAUAUAAAUAAUAAUAAUAAUAACAAAUUGCCAAAACCAGGUAAUAAUAAUAAUAAUAAUAAUGAAAAUAAUUUAAAAACUAAACAACUAAAAACAACAAAAAUGGCCACUUUUCCAUCUUUUUGUUUCAUUUUUCAUUUUUCAUCAUUUUCUUUUUCUCAAAAUAACUUAAUAAAAAUAACUAAAGUGCAAAAAGGUUGCAUUUAAAGAAAUAAAUAUAUUUUUGUGAACAAAUUUCCUUUUUCCCUUUUUUUUAUUUUCAUUUUCAUUUUUCUUUCAAGAAAGCAUUGAAUAAAAACAAAAUGACUAAAACAUAUUUUUUUGAAUGCUUUUCUUUUUCUCUUUUUUCUUUUUCAACAAAUUCUAUGAUAAAACUUAAAAAUAAAAAUAAAACUGGAAACUAAAAACUAAAAAUGAACACGACAAAUAAAAACUAAAAAAUGAAAUUACACCAAAAAUUUGGUGUCUACAGUUUGCCCCUCUUUGUCUGAGUUUUGAAAAAAUUUGAGACAAAGAAGUAGACACCAAAUACUUACCAGUGUUAUUCGGUUGCAAAAAUGAUCUGAACGGACAGGAAUUCUAAAAUGGGACUGACCCGAACAUGAAUUUAAAAUUGGGGAUAGACCCACGGGAUAGACCCGGACAGAAAUGUAAAAUUGGGAUAGACCCACGGGAUUAAAAAUGGGAUAGACCCACGGGAUAGACCCGGACAGAAAUUUAAAAUUGGGAUAGACCCACGGGAUAGACCCGGAUAGACAGAAAUUUAAAAUUGGGAUAGACCCACGGGAUAGACCCGGACAGAAAUGUAAAAUUGGGAUAGACCCGGACAGAAAUGUAAAAUUGGAUUUGAUCUGUCAAGAUAUAAGAAAUUAAAUUUUGAUUUUCCAAGAAACAAAAAUUUGAACUUGAUUUUCGAUUUUUGACUUUUGAAUUUUUCUGAUUUUUCGAGAGAAUCUUUUUCCAAAAAUAAUUUGCCCCAGUGUAGGGCCCUUUUCCCUUCUUUCUUCUCUUUCUUCGGCAUCGGCUUUCUACAUCGCCAGAUGCUUUUCGUCGACUUCAACUGUGAAUACCUGCACAGGGCUUACGUGCACUCAAAUGAGCGUGACUGAUUUGAAAAAUGCAUUAUUUUGAUUCUUGGACGAAAUCCUCAAUUGGCCUACAAAAAUAUUUGCCCCUGUGUGGGCUUAUUUUGCAAAAUUUUGCAAAUAAAAAUUUUGCCCCAGUUUGGGCCCAUUUGAUUGCAAAAAUUGGUUUAGAUGAUUUCCCAUUUACUUGAACAAAGAAAAACCGCACUUUCUAAAAUUUAGAAAAGAGUGCACAUACAACAAUGUGAAGAAACUUUAAUCGUCAAGUUUGAACUCAUGCAGAAAUUUCAUGAUGAAUUCCUCAAAAUAAUGCCAAAUUACAAGAUAUUUCUUCCUUACCUUAGCAUCGAAGCUUUGGGUAAUGGGCGUUAUUUCUGACUUGGAAAUGGGAGGCCAAGAUUUGUCUUAUUUUGUGCUCAUUCGAUAUCACGUCUUCAUGAAAGCAAAGAGUUUAUCACCUUAUUUUUAAGAAAACGUAGUCACAUACAGCUUUAUAGGCUUGCAAUAAACGGAUGGAAACGAUAGCUAAAACAUGAAAAAACUGGUUGUUCCCUUAUGAUCACAAAUGAUUGAUGGAUUUCUUACGAGCAUAGUCGUCACUUUGGAUUGUCAUGAAGGAAUAAGUCAACGAUGGACUUUAUGAGCUUGUAAUGUGGCUUGAAAACGAUAGCUAAAGAAUAAAACUUUCAAGGACAUUACACCACAUAUCGUAUUUUUCAACAUUGCCUUCAUCUGGACUCCAGAUUCUUGGAUUUUGUUUGACUUUUUAUCAUCACCCAACAGGGUCUUUCAACAUCAAAUCUUUUUGCAUCUUUCUUUUGCAUUCAUUUCGCUCGUUUUUCUUUUCUUUCUCCCCCCCUUCUCGGGGUUUCAUAUGAAAGCAGUGUCAACCUCACGCCAAAUCAAUUCAGAAUACAGCAAAAUUUUCGACAUCAGAAAUUUUCUUAACAGGGCCAUUGCAAAGAAUAGAAGUCAGGGCUUUCGGCUUUUGUAAUGGGGUCAGGUGGGGUGCUUAGAAAAGUUAAGGCUUGAAAGCGGAUUUCAAAGCGGUUUGAAAAAUCUGAGAUCGCAUGUUGCGCAACCCUAUUUUAGGGUUAAAUCAGAAUUUGCCCCAGUUUUGCUCAAUGAGGCUUUUCACUUUCAUUUUCUUUUUCUUUUGACUUUUCGGCUUUUGCCAUUCUUUGAAAUUUGCCCCAAUUUAUUUUUGAACUGAGGUUCUCUUUUCUUCUUUUGAUUUGGAUUUUGUGCUUUUCACUUUUCACUUCUUGAAAUUUCCUUUUCAACCAAACUCGCCCCAGUGUGGGGUUUGCGAUUCUCAGGGGUUGCCAAACGAAAUAAUCCAUUCUGAUGGCUCAAAAGGGAUAACUAGGGAUAGAAUGUUCGAUUGGAAAAGAAGAUGGCCUGACUUGUAUUCCGUUCCUUACAAUAACUCUGAAAGGAAAUUUUCAUUAAUGGGAAAUUUUUGGCAUGUAUCUGAAUUAACUGAUUGGGGAAGACCCUUGUUCAUCCAUAUUUGUGAAACAUAGGUGAUCCACGCGGACAAAUCUCUUCCCUCUUUUUUCCAAAUUCGGAACCCAAGUGGAGUCAAAUUUCCCCAAUUUGCGGUUCCCUCCCUAUUUUAGCAUUUUUGCUUUUCCCCUUUUCUUUUCCUUUUUAAAAUUUCCCAAUCUCCUUCCCCAAUGCGAGGUACGAUCAUAAGUGCAUUCGAAAAGAACCACCAAUUUUAGCUCAAAUGAGGACGCAAGGGAUAAAUGGUGUUUAGAUUGAAGAAAUGAUGGCCAAAGUAUCAUUCUUACACUUCAUGACAACCAGAGUAACGAAAUGCUCAUUGACAAUCCAUUCCCUUUUGAAAGUUUUCCAAUGUAGGGUAGAGAUCAUUAAGGCGUUUAUUUGGAAGGAAAUUAUUCUUCUAUAGGCUCAAAUGGGAGAGCAAAUGAUAAAAAUCUGUAUAGGUAGUGAAACGAAUGCUUGAAGUAUCAUUCCAAAUUUUCAAACAAAUAAGAAUAAUGCACAUUUUUGCUUUCACUUAGAUGUGAUUGAAUCGAAUUAGUUACCGCGGACAUUUUCAAGCAAAAGUUGCCCCAAUUUACAAUUUAUCAAUCAAUGUGACUGAUUUUAUUUUGGGGUCAAAUGAAGGAGAAAAGGAAUCUCAUAGGGCCUUUUGAGUGACCUCUUUUAAUUCUGAACACUCUUAUUAUGAAUUUUCAGGCCGGAGGUUGAAAAAAUCCCAAUUUAGUCUUAUUUCUUAAAAUUCAUCAUGAACUCUCCAAUGAAUAAGAAUAAAGAAUGAAAUGUACAUAAAUAUACACAAAACAAUGAUUGUCCAAAAAUUUUAUUGCUGAAAAAGUUUGAAACAAAAUUUCUCAUUCAAUUACGAUACAAAUGAGGAUAGAAAACUUCUAAAGAGCUCCACAUAUAUAUCCUUUUUGUCUUCAUUUCUUUUGACACAAAAAUAUAUUAACAAGUCAAAUAUACAGAAUUUUCCUUGAAAGCGAUUGUGAAAUCUCUUAGAAGCUCUCAGCCUAGAGCUUUCAAAUGGGUCUUUCAUGUUUCCAUUGUUGGAUCUACCCAAGAAUCAAUAUAGGAAAAUAUUUUCAUCUUAUUGAAACAUUUUUUAAUGAAUGCAGGGGAGGGGGAAAACAAAAGAAAAAUACCCAAAGUUAGUAAUCAAAACCAUAGAAUCAGUAUGCAUGCCCUAUGGGGGAACCCUUUUAUGCCAAGGGUAGGCCUAGCAUGAAAAUGCAAUCCUCUAGGGUAGGCACCAUACAAUACCUGAUGGAUCCAAUCAGCUUAUGGAGUGAAAAAUAAUUUAAAAAAAUUUGGCCCACUGGAAUGAAAAGAGACAUUUGUCCUAAAAUGAGGGAAAAGUCCGAAUGGAUUGCUACUUUGAUCGAUGCAUGAAAUAAUGUGUAAAAGGGGCUGAUUGGAAUGUCUCAAUUAAUUUAUUCGGUGACCCUUAGACUUAAACCCUAAAAAGGGAAAAAACGGGUCAAAUGGAUUGGAUAAAAUUGAUGAUUUAUUUAAAAAUGACCAAAUUGCCCUAAAAAUAGGUAAACUGGUCAAAUGAAUGAAAUGAAAUUUGAUUUAUUCAAAAAUUGAUCGAAUCACCCUAAAAAGGGUAGAUUGGUCAAAUGAAUUGACGAUUUAUUCAAAAUCGACCGAAUGACCCUAAAAAGGGUAGAUUGGUCAAAAGAUUUGAUGAUUUAUUCAAAAUCGACCGAAUGACCCUAAAAAGGGUAAAUUGGUCAAAGGAAUGGUUUAUUUAAAAUCGAUUAUGAAUUGACAAAAUGGAUUGAUCGAAUCGGCCGGCCAUUGGUGGUUUCAGAAAAUCAGUCUAUGAGCCUUCUAAAAUCACAAUUUGGCCUCAAUUUAUUUAUCAUCUCAAUAGGAGGAAUCAUUUGUGAAUUUCUUCAAAUUAAUGUCCUUCGCGCAAGGGAUUUUUACCAAUUUUUGAUAAAAUGGCCAAAAAGUGAUUAUUAGAUGCUCAUAUUCCAAAGAUCACUCUAUGAAAAUGAUCGGAUCCUACCUUACCUUGUGCACUACCCCUUUGGAUGGUACAAAAUGUAAACGUGCAAGUCUCACUGGAUUAAGUAUCCGAGACACAAGGUGGCUUAUUCCUAAACACGGGAUUCCCUAUGUGGCAUUCCCUUUCUAUGGUUUAUGCAUGAUGCCAGUUUAUUAAAGCGAUGUAAAUAUGUGACAAAUAUGGCUAAAGGACAUAAAUAAUGCAUCGGGGGGAAAAGGUCUAAAAUGAAAUGUAUUAUUGAAAAGUAAGCAAAGACUGAAAUUUAGACAUGUGAGCUAUCUAGUGGGUGAGUCACUAAAAGAGUGCCAAAGAGGCCUCUUAUUGCUAAGGCACAUGAAUGCAAGCCAGGAAAACAAAAGAAUGGUUAGUGCAAUUGAUAGUACACAUAACACAUUGGGAGCAAUUAAGAAAAGAAAUACAAUAAAAGCAAGUAAAAGGGGUGGAACCCCUUCCCUCGUGCCUAAUGUGCUUAAAAAGGGUGAGGCUGACUCUACCCUAGGCAAAUGCUAAUAUGGAUGCAUGAGGUGGUUCACUAAUGCCUAGACUCGAUAAAGCUUCGGCUCCCAAGCCUUCAGACCUAAAGGCGAAGGGUCAUCACUCCCAGGGCCUUUGAUCGGUGGCUCGAGUGAUCCCUUAGGUAGCGCUAUGGGCGCAGAGCACACCAGCCGCCUACCCAAGGCGAUCGAUCCUAAUCCUACAAGGCGGUGUGGGAAACGCCCACGAAAAACAAAAUAAAAUGGGAUAAAAGCAAGUAAACGUGCACGUAUGAAGUGUUCCCCUAUUUUGAGGGAAGGGGUGAGAACCACACGAGGCUCUAAAGGCGACACACCCCCCCAAAUGCAAUGCAAGCGCGAGAUAAAUAAGUAAACAUACAUCCAAUCAACCAAUCACACGUACGUGAGUGAGGGAAUAGUUGGAUACGCGCACGAGGCAAAAGGCCCUAAAAAUGGAAAGUGCAACCCUAAUAUCCAAAUGCAAUGCAUAAAAAAGGGUAGAAAAAGGAAAAGAAUGGCCAAGUCAAAUGCUCGGACCCACUUAGGAAGUCCCCAGUGGAGUCGCCAACUGUCGCGCCCCACUUUUCGAUUGUGUGGAUGUGUGAUGUGUGGUGUGUAAUGCGGUGUGAACGUGUGCAAAAUGAAAAGUAAAAAGGCCAUGGGAUUUUGGAAAGCGACGAUUUGGCCAAAUGAAAUUUUAAAAAGGGUUUUUUAAAUAUGAAAACGGAGUCGCCACUUGGUAUAGAUUUGGGGUGUACCAAGUCACCCAAAAAGUGUUUUUUAAAGACAAAGUAGUAAAACCCCUUUUAAAACGACUCCUAGUCCACGUAAGCCAAAGAAAAAGGUUCGGGGGUCACGUUUGACAAAAGGGAAGGCAAGGAUAGAAUCCAAGGCACCCCUUUGACCUAGCCAAGGCUAGUUGCGCGACUCAAACCAAUUUUUCCUAGUUUUUCUACCCAAGGUAUGUAUCGCGUAUUGGAUAUGUCUAUAUGGAUGCAAAAACCUAGACCUAGGGGGAUUGGGGGAAAUUUCUCUUCAAAGGUUGGGUGGUGCCAAUCACAUUAAUUGUGAAGCCCAAUAAUGAUCCUUUUGGAGAGGUCACACCUAAACCUAAAUGACGUGAAAAAUGAGUGGAAUGCAUGCCAUGUGAAAGUGUGAGUUUGUGUGAAGUGAGAAAAUGAUAAAAGUAAUAAGAUAUAAGUGGAUGUGUGCAAAUGUCUUUACAAGGUAAGGUAAGUGAAGAAUAAUAAGGUGAAAACGCCAUUAAGUGCAUGUGUGCGAGUGAUAUGGUAUAGAGUGUAAGUAGUUGAAUAAAAACGUGUAAAAUGAAAGUAGUGUGAAGUGAGAAUAUAGAAAGAGGAAUGGAAUAUACAGUAAGUGAUAGUGAAUGAAUGAAAUGCGUGAAUCCUAUAGGAAUGCAUCAAAACGGGAACGGGGAGUCCUAACUUUGUGACUUGAUUUUUCCUUUGAUAGAAGGGGGAACUAGCGUGCUAAGGCUAUCGAGUAGCCACACUCGCUCGUUUCCCUUAUCAGAAGGGGACUCUUCAGGCAAAUGUACCCUAACUAGCAUGAGAUGCAAGACCUAAAGUGAGGGGCAAGGGGAAUCGAGGAGCAUGCCAGAUGAUAAAACUAAGGAAAAAUGCAUGAUAUGUAGUGAACAGGCAAACAAUGCAUUAAUGAAAAACAAAGGAAAAAUCCUAUUGGGUCUAGCGUUGGACUAGCCCUUUCUAUGAAUUCCUAAUGAAAUAAUGAGCCACAACUAGCAUUGAACUAGCGUGGUGACGUACAUUCAUCCAUUCCAUUCAUUCAUGGUUAUGAAAGCAAGUAGACAUGCCAAAACGCUCGUAAACACGUAGCACGUAGCACUUAGCAUGCUCGACUAGAUGCAAGAGCCUAUUAAAGCAAUUAAACAUGUAGCAACAAAAACAAGCAACCAAGGGGAAGGGGAAAUGGACCAGAUGCUCUACGAGCCCUAUCUAUUACAAGCCAAGAGGUGUACACAUACCCCAUAAAAACAUAAAGGGAAAGGGGAAAUGGACCAGAUGCUCUCCGAGCCCUAUCUAUUACAAGCCAAGAGGUGUACACAUACCCCAUAAAACUUAAAUAAAAGUGAAAGCAAGUAAAUGCACGCAAGGAGGUAAGGAAAGCGGAGUAGACAUGCAUAUUCACAUAACACGUAGGAUCACAUAGGAGAAAUGAAAUUCAAGGAGAUAGAGGUUACCUCCCUUGCAAUUGGGCCCCAAUGAAGUGAAAUCACUUAUUUAUCCUCCAAAAUAAAAGAAAUGGUCAAGGUACCAAUUUAUUUGAGAAAAUUAAAGAAAAUAGGCAAACACAAGCUCACUUGGUCAUAAAGCCCCUAAAGUCAUGAAUUAAAUGCAAUUGAAACAAAGCAUGGUAGUUAAUUGAAGCAAACAAGCAAUGAAGUUGCAAAAAUUAAAAUUAUCAAGGAUCAAUUUGAUGAAAUUCUUUAAUUGAUUGGGUCCUAGUGGAACAAGGAGAGACUUGGGGGCCAAAGUGUAAAAUCUGGAGAUUAUUCAUGCAAAUGCAUGCAAACCAUCGUGAAAGAACAUUCUUCAACAAAGCAAACGAAAUUGCUGCACCUUUGUUCCACUUUCAAACACUAAACCCGGAUUUGAUCUCAUACCUUAACCCAAGGCUUUCUUGAUUCAACAUCAAAUUUUGAACCAAACAACACAAAACAUGAACUUGACAUCCGAACUAGCAAAAUCAUAGGAGGAAAUCAUGCAAACAUAGAAAAAAACUUCAAGCAAGAAUGCAUGAAGAAGCUUUCUGCCGGCGAAAGUUUGAUGCCUCUCCAUUUACAAAUGCAUAUUUAUGGUCCGAAAGCAUGGCUCCAAUCUAGACAUCUUUACCAGAAAUCAAAAUCCUAAACUAAACAACCAAAAACCAAUGUUUACUUUACUGAAAACAACAAGGAAAACUGAACAUAGAAUCAGUAAAAACUUGAAGCAGUGAAUACUUAGCAAAGUUGGUGCUAUGGCCUGUUAUUAUGCCAUGUUUUGCUGCAACAAAAUGCAGCAAACGCACACAGUGGCAUCACUUUCCAACAACCCACAGAUUUGAAGACAAAUUUAGCUAACAAAACUUUAGUCAUCAGCAAAAAAACAACUCUGCCAACAUUGCUGCAAUAAAACAGAACUUAAGACCUGUUGCAGCAAACUUUCAUGCACUCGAGAUGUCGAUAAACGUUUCAAACUUAAAACCAACCUCAAAUUCCUACCCAAAUUGUAAUUCCAAAUACUCCCUCACGCAUACAAAAUCACACACCGAAUGCAAAACUAACGGCAGCUAUCAUGCCAAUGGGUUGUUAUGUAACAGCUUUAGAAGCAGAGCUGACAACUUCAUGAGCAGCAAAACUGUAGCACAGCAAAUAAAUAAAAAAACUCUCCAGCUAACAUAGGAAUUCACGGUCUUGGGCAACAAGGGAGGAGACUUCAAGGCACAAGGGACAGAUUUAAAUCAUUACAAGAAGAAAACAAGCAAGGGAACAAACGAGAAUGUGAGCCGACAGUUAACAAAAAAAUGUCUGCAGCAUUUGAGUUUCCUUUUGCUGCAAUUCUUUGCUAUCCAAACACUACUAACAGCUCAACUAACAACAACUAGGAGCAAAGUAACAAGUUCACAAGCAUGUUUUCCAUUUUUCACCAUACAAAUUUAGGUUUAGAUACCAGAAGUUCAUGCAAUUACAGGGAAUCAACAUUCUGCAAUUUUUAGUUCUUUCUUCAAACUUCAUCAUUCAACCAGGACAUCUAUAUGAAACAAAUCAAGCGAGCCCUAUUGAUGUCCUUAACCAAACCCAGAUGCUAUCCCCUCAAAACCCACGGCAGACAUGCUCUGAGAGCUUAAACAGAACCGAGAAUUUUUAAAAGAAAAGGACAGCUUACCUGCGCCUGCUUCGUGAAAUUAUUUUCAGGCAGUGGUGGGAAGUUCUAGUGAUGGUAGCGGACUGGUGGUGGCUUUUCUUCCUCCUUGAUGUGGUGGUCCUUGGAGGACCUCUUGGGAGGCAGUUGACCGCUCGUUGGUCACGCUAGAGAAGAAAAGGUGGCUGCUGUCUGGUGACCUCGAUGGAAGUUGCGUGCGGUGGUGGCGAUGACAGAACUUGGAGGUGGUCAUUUGUAGGCGGUGGUUAUGGAGGUUUGUGGUGGCUUGGGCUGAUAGCAUGAAAAGGAGUCUGGGCAGGCAACGGAUGGAGUUGAGAUGGCUGCUGUGGUGGUUGCAAGUUUUUCUCCUCGCCGAUCAUUGAAACCGAAACCUCCCCCCCCCCUCUGUUUUCUUUUCUGCGUUUUUUCCUCUUGCCCAGCCACCAGCUAGCUUCCCUUUGCUAUUUUCUCUUUUUCCCUUUCCCGUUCAACUCUCCGUUUCUAAACCCUCACAGCCAUCAACUCUACUCAGUCCUUCCUUUGCUUCUUUUCCCUCUUACUUCACAAAGCUUCUGGCUCACUUCCUGCCGUCACCAUCAAUCUUUCCUCUCUUUUCACUCUCGGCUCUUUUUCUUUCUUUUCCUUUUUGCUUGUGUUUCUAUCCCCCGUUGGUUCCCCUUAAAACCUCUGUUGCGGCUACCUUUCUUUUUGCUAUAUAUCAGACCCCCAAACCCUAAAAACCUCUAGUCCUUUUCCUGUAUUUGCAGCUUUGGGAGCCGUCCCAGAUUUCCUUUGCAAGCUGCGUAAAACGCAGCUUGCUGCCGCGUAUCAUUUUUUUUUUUUUUUUUUGAACUUAAUAACUUAAUAAAUACAGAAAUGAUAUAAAUAAUAAUAAUAAUAACAAAUUGCCAAAACCAGGUAAUAAUAAUAAUAAUAAUAAUGAAAAUAAUUUAAAAACUAAACAACUAAAAACAACAAAAAUGGCCACUUUUCCAUCUUUUUGUUUCAUUUUUCAUUUUUCAUCAUUUUCUUUUUCUCAAAAUAACUUAAUAAAAAUAACUAAAGUGCAAAAAGGUUGCAUUUAAAGAAAUAAAUAUAUUUUUGUGAACAAAUUUCCUUUUUCCCUUUUUUUUAUUUUCAUUUUCAUUUUUCUUUCAAGAAAGCAUUGAAUAAAAACAAAAUGACUAAAACAUAUUUUUUUGAAUGCUUUUCUUUUUCUCUUUUUUCUUUUUCAACAAAUUCUAUGAUAAAACUUAAAAAUAAAAAUAAAACUGGAAACUAAAAACUAAAAAUGAACACGACAAAUAAAAACUAAAAAAUGAAAUUACACCAAAAAUUUGGUGUCUACAGUUUGCCCCUCUUUGUCUGAGUUUUGAAAAAAUUUGAGACAAAGAAGUAGACACCAAAUACUUACCAGUGUUAUUCGGUUGCAAAAAUGAUCUGAACGGACAGGAAUUCUAAAAUGGGACUGACCCGAACAUGAAUUUAAAAUUGGGGAUAGACCCACGGGAUAGACCCGGACAGAAAUGUAAAAUUGGGAUAGACCCACGGGAUAGACCCGGACAGAAAUUUAAAAUUGGGAUAGACCCACGGGAUAGACCCGGACAGAAAUGUAAAAUUGGGAUAGACCCACGGGAUAGACCCGGACAGAAAUUGUUGUUUAGUUUAGGAUUUUGAUUUCUGGUAAAGAUGUCUAGAUUGGAGCCAUGCUUUCGGACCAUAAAUAUGCAUUUGUAAAUGGAGAGGCAUCAAACUUUCGCCGGCAGAAAGCUUCUUCAUGCAUUCUUGCUUGAAGUUUUUUUCUAUGUUUGCAUGAUUUCCUCCUAUGAUUUUGCUAGUUCGGAUGUCAAGUUCAUGUUUUGUGUUGUUUGGUUCAAAAUUUGAUGUUGAAUCAAGAAAGCCUUGGGUUAAGGUAUGAGAUCAAAUCCGGGUUUAGUGUUUGAAAGUGGAACAAAGGUGCAGCAAUUUCGUUUGCUUUGUUGAAGAAUGUUCUUUCACGAUGGUUUGCAUGCAUUUGCAUGAAUAAUCUCCAGAUUUUACACUUUGGCCCCCAAGUCUCUCCUUGUUCCACUAGGACCCAAUCAAUUAAAGAAUUUCAUCAAAUUGGUCCUUGAUAAUUUUAAUUUUUGCAACUUCAUUGCUUGUUUGCUUCAAUUAACUACCAUGCUUUGUUUCAAUUGCAUUUAAUUCAUGACUUUAGGGGCUUUAUGACCAAGUGAGCUUGUGUUUGCCUAUUUUCUUUAAUUUUCUCAAAUAAAUUGGUACCUUGACCAUUUCUUUUAUUUUGGAGGAUAAAUAAGUGAUUUCACUUCAUUGGGGCCCAAUUGCAAGGGAGGUAACCUCUAUCUCCUUGAAUUUCAUUUCUCCUAUGUGAUCCUACGUGUUAUGUGAAUAUGCAUGUCUACUCCGCUUUCCUUACCUCCUUGCGUGCAUUUACUUGCUUUCACUUUUAUUUAAGUUUUAUGGGGUAUGUGUACACCUCUUGGCUUGUAAUAGAUAGGGCUCGGAGAGCAUCUGGUCCAUUUCCCCUUUCCCUUUAUGUUUUUAUGGGGUAUGUGUACACCUCUUGGCUUGUAAUAGAUAGGGCUCGUAGAGCAUCUGGUCCAUUUCCCCUUCCCCUUGGUUGCUUGUUUUUGUUGCUACAUGUUUAAUUGCUUUAAUAGGCUCUUGCAUCUAGUCGAGCAUGCUAAGUGCUACGUGCUACGUGUUUACGAGCGUUUUGGCAUGUCUACUUGCUUUCAUAACCAUGAAUGAAUGGAAUGGAUGAAUGUACGUCACCACGCUAGUUCAAUGCUAGUUGUGGCUCAUUAUUUCAUUAGGAAUUCAUAGAAAGGGCUAGUCCAACGCUAGACCCAAUAGGAUUUUUCCUUUGUUUUUCAUUAAUGCAUUGUUUGCCUGUUCACUACAUAUCAUGCAUUUUUCCUUAGUUUUAUCAUCUGGCAUGCUCCUCGAUUCCCCUUGCCCCUCACUUUAGGUCUUGCAUCUCAUGCUAGUUAGGGUACAUUUGCCUGAAGAGUCCCCUUCUGAUAAGGGAAACGAGCGAGUGUGGCUACUCGAUAGCCUUAGCACGCUAGUUCCCCCUUCUAUCAAAGGAAAAAUCAAGUCACAAAGUUAGGACUCCCCGUUCCCGUUUUGAUGCAUUCCUAUAGGAUUCACGCAUUUCAUUCAUUCACUAUCACUUACUGUAUAUUCCAUUCCUCUUUCUAUAUUCUCACUUCACACUACUUUCAUUUUACACGUUUUUAUUCAACUACUUACACUCUAUACCAUAUCACUCGCACACAUGCACUUAAUGGCGUUUUCACCUUAUUAUUCUUCACUUACCUUACCUUGUAAAGACAUUUGCACACAUCCACUUAUAUCUUAUUACUUUUAUCAUUUUCUCACUUCACACAAACUCACACUUUCACAUGGCAUGCAUUCCACUCAUUUUUCACGUCAUUUAGGUUUAGGUGUGACCUCUCCAAAAGGAUCAUUAUUGGGCUUCACAAUUAAUGUGAUUGGCACCACCCAACCUUUGAAGAGAAAUUUCCCCCAAUCCCCCUAGGUCUAGGUUUUUGCAUCCAUAUAGACAUAUCCAAUACGCGAUACAUACCUUGGGUAGAAAAACUAGGAAAAAUUGGUUUGAGUCGCGCAACUAGCCUUGGCUAGGUCAAAGGGGUGCCUUGGAUUCUAUCCUUGCCUUCCCUUUUGUCAAACGUGACCCCCGAACCUUUUUCUUUGGCUUACGUGGACUAGGAGUCGUUUUAAAAGGGGUUUUACUACUUUGUCUUUAAAAAACACUUUUUGGGUGACUUGGUACACCCCAAAUCUAUACCAAGUGGCGACUCCGUUUUCAUAUUUAAAAAACCCUUUUUAAAAUUUCAUUUGGCCAAAUCGUCGCUUUCCAAAGUCCCAUGGCCUUUUUACUUUUCAUUUUGCACACGUUCACACCGCAUUACACACCACACAUCACACAUCCACACAAUCGAAAAGUGGGGCGCGACAGUUGGCGACUCCACUGGGGACUUCCUAAGUGGGUCCGAGCAUUUGACUUGGCCAUUCUUUUCCUUUUUCUACCCUUUUUUAUGCAUUGCAUUUGGAUAUUAGGGUUGCACUUUCCAUUUUUAGGGCCUUUUGCCUCGUGCGCGUAUCCAACUAUUCCCUCACUCACGUACGUGUGAUUGGUUGAUUGGAUGUAUGUUUACUUAUUUAUCUCGCGCUUGCAUUGCAUUUUGCACACGUUCACACCGCAUUACACACCACACAUCACACAUCCACACAAUCGAAAAGUGGGGCGCGACAGCCAACCAGCAGCACGCCGCCACAUCUCUCUCCAUCUCGCCGCCGCCAACCAGCCAUAUACCUCCUCGUGCGAGCUCCACCUGCUCGCAACUCCCCUCACCAGCUUUCUCUUCGCCAUCGAUCCAUCGCGGCCACGAGGAGCUUUGCCGCCGCCGCUGCUCAACGCCUCCACCGCGAGCUACCGCCAGCAGCACCAUAGGCAGCACCCACCUCGUGUCUCCGCCAGCGACGACCAGCUCGUGCGCCGCCGCCGCUCACCAACCACGCGCAGGCCACCUCGCAGCUCUCUCUUCAGCCGCGACCCCUCCGCACGCCACGCAGCUCCGACCGCGCGCUCCACCAGCUCUCCUUCACUGUCGCGCGCUUUGCCCGAGCCGACGCCGUCGCUGCUGUAGUCGCGCGCCGCCGCCCGUGCCCACGCGUAGUCGCGCUCCCUCGCAGCUCCAGCCCAAGGACGCCGCCUUUCCCCCGCGUCCUACACAGCGCCUCUUUUUCUUAGCCACUACUGCCCCAGUUUCUUCAUUCGGCCACUGGGAGAGGUAUUUGCUACUAAAUCCCCAAUUUUUGGUUUGUAUUGGAUUCACUUGAGGGUUUGUCAGUAGAGUGAAGUGGCAAUUGGAUUUUCUGCCUUAACCGUGCGGUGCACCAGUGCUAGCAAUUGUGCUAUUUUCCGUCGUAUUGUUGUGCUAUUUUGCUAUACCUGUGGUACUGGUGGAGUAACUGGACCUUGAUUUGGUACCUCUAUCUGGUUGACUGCGUUUGUAGUGUCAAAUAUCUAAGCCGUUUUCAUUGAAAUUGUUGAUUUUGAAUUAAGAUUUUAACUGGCCAACUGGAGCCAUUUGUUGAAAUUUUGGGUAAGCUGAAAUAUUGCACUUGUUUGUUAAAUUGGGAAGUUUCUAUGCUAUUUACAUUGCUUCCUCCAGUUGGGUGCAUCUAAUUGAAUUGCUGAGAAAUAUUCUGACCAUUGCUUUCAACUACUAAGUUCGUUGAGGUUUCUUUUAGGAUUCUGGUUGAGUUAUUUCUAAUAUUGCCUAUUGAAUCAGGAGCUUGUGCUGCUUAAUUUGCCCCGUUAGGAGCUGGUUUGCUUGUUAGAAUUUUCUGUGACGGUUAACUAACGUGUUCAUCUUAGUGACUUCAACUAUUUCGUUGGGUGGAAGUGAAUUCUGUGCUUUGAACCAUUAGGUCGUUGAGAUAAUUUCACUUGUUUUUGUGGGUAGAUGCCUGAUUGCCAGUUGAGGGUAUAUAUUGAGUCGUUAUUGCCGAAUCACUGCACUACUGUUGCCUGACUUGUUGACUUGUUGACUGCUGGGGGCAAUUGUUGAGCUUUUGGGUGCAAUUGUUGAAGUUCUUGGGUGGGCUGGAAUUUUAACAAUUGUCUGUGAUAUUUUGGGAAGAAUCUCGGCCAGUGUUGUGCUUGUUGAAAUUUUGGUUGAUUUAAUUCGGCAACUGCAUUCCUUGUUGGCAUUAGUAGUUUUUAAUCGAGUUUUUGAGGACAUUUUGGAUGUUGGUUUAUAUUGCUGAUUUGGAGGAACAGUGUCUGUGAUUUUGGUCUGAUCAUUUGUGCAAUUUGUUGACUCAUUUUGUGACGACCCCAUCUCCCCCUAAGGCGAACCAGAGGGUUCGGCGGCCGCCUGCCCGGCUCUCGCCGGGACUCAGUCGUUCACUAAAGUUCUCAAAUGAAUUACAAGAAUAAACCUCAAAUAUACAUCACAUUGUCCACAAAUAUACAUUCAAAUCUCCAAUAAUUACAUGUCACAAAUGCAGCGGAAACAAUUCCCAACUAUACAUAAAAUGAUUCCAAAUCCAAAUUGUACAACAUAAAGGCCAUCCAUUCACGUGAAUAAGCACAACAAGUCCUGCCUUUGCCUUGAGCCCUGUGGAGGGGAAUAAAAUAUUUUUGGGGUGAGCUAGAAACUCAGCGAGUAACCAGAAAAUCAGUAAUCAAAUCGAUUUAACAAUAUUUCUUUUCAAUGAUGUCAUAAAUCAAUGAUGUCAUAAAUCAAAUGAUAAGUCCAGAAACGAUUACAGCAUUUACAAAACAUUAAAUAUGGAGUAUCAAUAAUUCAAGAAACAUGUACAAUGGAAAGCGAUAGUAACAUUCAUGAAAAGGAUACGUUCAUUUUUUAUAAAUAAUCCCUCGUUCAUCUUUUUAUUCGUUCAUCUUUUUUUUUUUCCGGACGUUGGCCGGUCUCCACCCAUCCGGACGUAGCCGGACUCCACCCAUCCGGACGUAGCCGGACUACAAGGUAAUACUCGAGUAUACCAAAUUCACCCAGGGUCACCAUAUCGCCCGACCGAGUCCGCUUCUGGCUCGAGUCGAUCGGUAACGAAGGGCAGUGCCCAGUUCAGCCAAACGGCUUACAUUCAUGCGCAACUAGCAUUUAAUCAUUAAUCAUUGAAAAUUUCAUAUUUAUUUAGGUCGAGUGCGAUAAAGUACACACUCGCCUAGAAAACUCGUUUUAACAAUCAUUGAAAGCACUUAACACAUUAUCAAUCAAUAAUAACAAGCCAAUAAAUCAAGGAAUACAGCCAACAAGGAACACUCAUAUGCAAGCACGCAUGAUAUGCAAGAAAACAGUUCAAAAGUAACUUUGGAAACAGUUUAAAGGUAAAUAAUGUAAGAAAACGGUUCGAAAGUAACUUUGGAAACAAUUCAAAAGUAAAUAAUGCAGCAAACGAUUCAUAAAUAACUUUAGAAAUAGUUUGAGGUCACUCACCUCAAUGGCUCAGAAAUCAUCAUCAUAUAACAUUGCCUUGCUCAAACCCAAGUCUUAGAUCACAAACUCAAUGCAAUCAAGUCCUUUCAAAGUUCGGACAGCACUUCCCCUGAAUAUGCUUACUUUUCCAGCCAUCAUGGCUUCAUUAUAUCUUCAGCCAGUCCCAAAGGUACACACACAACAACAAGUUCAUACAAUAGCCAUUCAGCAAGCUCCAAGUAGUACUAGUACAAGUCAAGCUAGGGAAAAGUCCGGAAAUGAAAGUUUAGCUCAAAACCAGAAAAAAUAUUUUGACGUCAUUUUGCGGUAAUGGUACCAAAGGCACUACGAUUGUCGGAUGAAGGUACAAGAUACACCGUUUCGAAGCUAAGAGAUAGGACUACAAUAUUGAAGAAGGUCACUCAACCCAGUUUCGAGUGUAACCAGGUCAAAAAUGCAAGAUACUACACCAGGAAUCACAAAAACAGAUUCACAGAACGUAUUCUAGCGGAAACAUCAUAAAUCAGGCUAUCCAACUCCAAAUCCAGAAAUUCCAAAACCAGCUGAAAGGUAAGAAACAGGGCUAAAUUUCAUCAGAAGGCCUCAACAACCAAUUCGGAAGCAAUUCCAGCCAAAACAACCAAUUACAGUCGCAAAUCCCAAUUUCGGGUAAACCAGAACAGCAAUAGUAAUUUUGACUUUUCUCACUCUACGCUACUCCGAUUGACCUGAAAUUUUGUAAGCACCUUUAAAAUGUCAUUCCCUACAACUUUCAUGUUUUAAGAAAAUGCCAAUUCGGCCUCUAUCUAGGACCUAAAAAUUCGGACAGAAUGCUCCUUCACAAAACCUGAUUUUCUGAAAUUUCUUCCAAAACAGAAAUUGAUUGCAAUUAAUCACUUUUUCCACCUCAUAGAGUCCUUAAAUAUCAUUUCCAAUCAUCAUACAUGACCCCAUAAUCAUAUUCAUAUGAAAACAGAAAAAUCCCCAAUAAUUAUAAAACUUCAUCAAUUCAACCAAAACUCAAGAAAUAAUCCAUAAAACCAUCUCUUUAGCCAUCACAAGUCUCUAAUUUAGCAUAAUCAAGAACAAAGAAAGGAUGGCUAGACAUGAUACCUUCAAAUAUCAAGAAAGGUGAUGACUUAGGGAUUUUUCUUCCAAAACAACUCCACCAAGAGCUUCAAUCUUCCUUAGCUAGCAAGUUUUAUGGAGUGAUUUGCAAUUUAAUCGGUUGGAACUCAAGAUUUGGACAAGAAAUUGAAGUGCAAGAUGAUGGAUUUUCUCUCUCUUUUUCUCUCAAAAUUUCGUCCAAGACAAGCUAAAAUGGAGAGAAAUUGGGUCCAAAUUGGUUUUAGUAAAGUUAGAAAAGUCUUGGUCAAAAGUCAAGGUCCAAUGGUUUUGUGACAAAUGGUCCUUUAGGGUUUUAAUCUUAUCUUUUUGUCUCUCCAAUACAAAUAUCUUAACACAUUGUAAAAUAAUAUCACUUAAUACAAAAUUCCAACAAGUUGUCAAAAAUAUAAUGCAUUUACCGCACUUGCGGGUCCCACGUCCAAAAUAGGCUUUUAAUUUCUCAAAAACUAACCGAUACUAGAAAAAUUAUUUUAAAACUAUUUUUGCUCAUAAACUUUAUCUGGGGAAUUUUUCUAAUCAAGAAAAUGUAGAAAAGGCGGGCGUUUAAAAAAUAAACCCUAGAGAAUUAGAAAAUUUCCGGGUUCUCAAACUCUUUUUUUUCGGGGCGUCACACAUUUGCGGACUUAUUUGUUUCUUGGGUUUGUUUAUUGACUUCGGUGGACUGGGUUCCCACCUACGGUUCCUCUACUUGCUCUAUUCAUUGGAAUUCUAGUCGCCUAUUGCUCUUCUUUAGAGGUUUAGAAUCUUUCUUGUGACUAGAUUAAUACUUGGGGCUAUUGCUUUAAUACUGCUCUACUCUACUAUAGCAAUUUCAUUGAUUUUGGACUAUGUUUUGCACUAAUGAUACUGGUUGGAAUAUUUCCCCUUGCAUGUGUCAGUUCUACUUGGUUGGAUACUUGAUUGACUGCUGGGCAUGUGUGACUGGGUUGUUCUUGUGCAAUUGGAGAUAUUUAGAGGGAUUUUGGGUGGGCAAGUUGUGUCGCUCUCUAUUGAUAUUUGGGAGGCACCGGUGGCUAUUAAAUUGUUAUUGCUUUGAAUUUUCUGUUUACAUUAUCUGUGGGCAAUUUUGUCUCUUGUUGAUUGAAAUGACAUUUGGAGAAAAUGGUAAGACCCGAGCCCUCUUCUUCUGCGCCUCCCCCACCGAUGGCCUCUGAUGUUAAGUCGCACCACUUGCGAGCUCAGAUUCAUCACGUAGUUGAGAGAGUGACGAACAUCACCCGCCAAGUGGCAAGGAUGUCUCAGAACUCGGCUUCCCUCCACUGUUCCCUCCUAUCCCUUAGCUGUUCAACAGGGAAGUUUCAUUGUUCUCUUCGCUUUAAUUACUUUAUUACCUCCAUUGAGGACAAUGUAGGAUUUAGGUGUAGGGGGAGCAGUUAUGGUGCUAGUGUCUUUCGUUCAUUUUCUUUUUCUUUUUUUUAGUGAUUAGCUCGUAUGGGAUGCCAAGUUUGAUGUUGGAUUAUUGCCUCUAUUUCUACUUUUGCCAAGUUUUAGUAAUAAAAGGGUAUCAAGUUAAUGUGGUUGAGUUCAGGAAUAUCCCUUUGGUGAAUAUCAGUAAUUGAUUGACUUUUCUAAUUUUUGGUUAACUUUUCUAGACAUAGGGAAUGAUUGUUGGCAUUUUCAUGUGAAUUGGUCCGAUUAUUAACCUUAGUUCUCCAUAUUUGAAAAUGAGGCUAGCUGAUGCAAGUUUUCUUUUGGUUCUUGUGUUAUAGUGAGUUCUUGUGAAUUUUAGCUAUGAAUAAACUUGACUGUACUCCGCUAUUAGUUACUACUGAGUAACCGGGGAUCUGCACCUAAAAGUGUUGAUUCUCGCGUCAAAAGGUAGUAAUUCCUAUGAGUACGUGGUCACAUGGCGAUAAAAGCUGAGUAACCGGGCUCCUUCAUCUGGCCAAUGUUGGAGUUCGCGUCAAAAGGCUCUAAUGGCUAACGACUAAGUCUUUUGUUACUAUUUAGAAAAGAAAAAAAAAAGAGAAAAGUAGAAAAAUGUGAAAAAAAAAAAGUGAAUGUUGUGUUAGUGUACAAUAAAAGUCAGCUUGUCGAUUUAUGGAUUUAAUGUUGAGAUUUUGGUUAAUAGUUGGACCAUUUGCUGAUAAAUGUUGCGCGUCAUUCCUUUUUCUUAGAUUAGUUAACCUGGAAUUAGAGGAGUUUGUGGUUUAGAAGCUAACCGGAGUGAUGUUUCUUGGACUUGACCAUUGAUGUUUGAUUAUUAUUUUUCUUGGUAUCUUGGCAAUUUGUUGGAUAGAGCAAUAGUCAUUGUCAAAUAUUGGUGUUUGUUUACUGUUCUUAUGCUUGAGGGCAAGCAUGAUUUAGGUGUGGGGGGAAUUGAUAGGUUACAAUUUUAUCAUUUAUUUUAUUAUUAAUUUUCCCUAUUACCUGACCUGAUGUGAAUUAAUUAUUAGAUUCUACUCACUUUUCGUAAUUUACAUUUAUUUCAGGGAGUAGAACAAAAAUAUCACAAUCAAGACCAAUUUGACAGUUAUCGAAAAAGAGUUCAAAUAGCAGACAAUCAAGAGCAUUCUUGAAACAAGGAGAUGCGACCCUUUCUGGUAAUUUGUGAAAGACAGCAUAAAAGGAGAAGGAGGAACACAGGACUAGGCGUUCUUUCCCUUGGGGGGCUAGAGCCACCGCACAGAGCCAGGCAUUAGAAUAGGACUUUUGAUAGAGGGAGGAGUAGAGGAUUUUUCCUCCUGAAGCUUAGUUUUCCUUUGACUUUUCCAUCGUAGCUUUUGAGGGGUGUAUACACGUCUAUUGUGUCAGCACCUAAAUUGCAUGGCGUGUAUGGCACUAAAUUUCCAGUUCACCUUUCCUACUUAAUGCCUUGCUGAGGCCUCUACUCUGAUUGAGAAACCUUAUAACUGCUGGGGCCUUCUAUUGUGCAAAAAAUCUCAACAAAAUAAUGGUCUGACCCAAGAAGCACAAGAAAGUAUUGUCCUUAACAAUUAGAAUGUCAAAGAAAAAAAAGAGGGAAAUUGACAAUGAUGUUAUGAUUUUAGCUACAUUAUUCAUCUCAUUUUUCUAGUUCCGGAGAAACAAAAUAAAAAGAUUUCACUAAGUUUGCCUUUUGUAAUGUACCGCGCUGGGCUUUGUCCCCCCCCUUAAUAGAAGUUAGAAAUUCGGCUUUUAUAAAUCUAACUUCCAGAAAAAACUUCAAAAACCCGCAACUUUCUGGGGACUUAUAAACCCAAACCCAACGCUUCCCCAGAACCGAUGUGGGAUGGCAACCCCACAAGGGCAAGCCAGUCAAAUGCCCCAUUUUUUGCUAGAAUCUGGGGUUCGUUAAGUUGUCCAUUUCCCUGGAAUUACUUAUUUUGCUUCUCGUUUGGUUCUAUUAUACUAUACAGAAUUAUAUGUAUAUAACGUGGAUUGUCAUCUUAAGAAUCAAGAUUGCCAAUCUGAUCACGUAAAUUGGCCAGAAAUUGGUUGGAAUUCUUUGCAUUUUUCACUUGUGGAAAUAGUUAAAAGAACAGUCACUAAUAUACCUGCAAGUUUUCCAUCACCUCAAACUUUCAUAAAUUUAACAACUCACUAGAAAAAUGCACUAAUAGAUUAUACAAUAAAGAAGAUAGCGAAAGCGUGCCAGCAUAGAAAAGUAGAGCGCGAUUAAUAUUUUUCUAAAUUAUUAAUUAAUUUGAGUCUCUGGAUUUCAAGAAGUCUAAUAAUCAUAUUUAGUACAUUAGCAACAAAAGGAAGAUAAAUGAAAUUGGGCCAAAAACAGUCUGGGCCAACUAGUACAUUUUCCGUUUAUGGGCAAUCAGAUGAAAAGCUAGUGGAGCAUGUGUUUAAGAGUAAAAUGCAGUUUUGGUAUUCAAAUUUUGACUCUUGAACAAUUUUUUUAGUAUCUAAACUUUAAACUUUGAAUGAAAACAAAUUCGAUAUGCACUUGACGGAUUUUUUGUCCAAUUUUCACUAGAAAAAAAAAAUCCCAUGUUGUCAUGUGUCUGGCAACAAAAUUGUUAAAAGAAUUCCAAAAGAAUUGAUGAUGGCCAGGCUAAGGAAUACUAGAACAUGGGUCAUCAUUUUAAAAGAAAUAAAUUAAUCUAAACAAAUAAUUAAUCGAGCUAAUCAUAAUACGCUCAAAACUUCCCUCUUUUCUCCUCUCCUUUUUCAUACCUUUCAUAAACAAACACCUUAAAAAAUAACUAUUCAACUAUUUGUCACAGUAAAUAUAAAAAGUACUGGAGCAUAUAUCCGAGAUUUAUAAAACAUUUGUAUGUACUAUUUUUUUUUUUUUUUGGUCGACACAGGGGUGUCCGGAUCAAUCCUUACGGGGCCCGACUAAUCCAUUUGUCGACUACGUAUGUACUACAUAUGUAGAUUUUAGAACUUUGUCAUACCAUUGUAUGACGACUCAAGUGAUAUUAACAGCUGGGUCAAUUUGAAGUUGUCAACAAAAGCUACAAGUGAUUAAUGGACUAAUAAGUCUAAUUUUAAGCACAAGAACCACCUUCUAGAAACUUAUCUAUUUUCUUUAUUUAUUGAUAGAAAGAUAGGCAAAUUUUAUUAAUAGCAUACUAAAUCUGCUUCAAGAACAACAAAAACAAAAAUAAUAAAAUAAGGUGCAUUACACGUGUCGACAUUGAAGUAAAAUUUCUCCUUUCAAUUUUAAAAUAAUACUACUUAUCAUCUUACUUAUAACUUACAUACUAAUAUGUGAUGAAAAAGGAAAGGGAAAAUGGCAGUCAUAAUUGCAGCUCAGGCAACCUUUUUUUUUUUUUUUUUUUUUAAUCUAAUUUGCUAAUUCUUGGGACAUAAGGAUAGAACUGACUUCAUCUAAAUAAUAAUAAUUCCUUGACAAACUUGAAUGCUAUUAAUUGCCAUAGAAGAUGCUUGGCAAUUUCACUAUUUGGCCUUUCUUAAUCAAUCCAUGAGGCUUACAUCUUGGACAAAACUUGGACGCUUUCUCAAGAAUGACAGAUAGCUGCGUUCAACUGCCAAAAUGUAAAUGAGAAGGGAAAUGAUAAUCAUAGGUGGUGACAUGGGCAACAUCAAUCAUGUCAUCUGUUAAUCCAGAAAUAAAUUUGAAAAGAAUAAAAGAUAGGAGUUUAUUUGGAUGAUUUAUUUGAAAUAAUUACUGUAGCACUUUUUGUGAUGUGAUAUAUGUGAGAUAAAAAGGUGAUUGGAAAAAUAAAAAGGCAAUUGAAAUUUGUGAAGCAAAUUAUUUUAUCUGAAAUCAAGGCAAUCCAAACAAGACGAAUAAAUUGGCCUUACUAACUAUCCUUGGGAAUUAGACUAACAGCAUAACUGGAGUAAUAUUUGUUUGCUUAAAAACUUAUUUGGAUGUUUUGAAAUGGCUGUGGUUGUUUGACAAAUUUGGAUGCUUUUGUAUUGGCAUUUUUACUUAACUUUCUCAACUAUUUUGAUUGUGGACAAUAUCUCAAUGGUUGUUGUAUUUAUGAAGGAGAAUAAUUUAUGUCUAAGAUAAAAUUGAACUCGGAAUCCUUUACUUACAACACCUCCCACCUUAUCGCCCACACCCAAACCUCUCCAACUUGAAUCAUAAUUUGGUCUUAAUCACUUAUCCUCAAGAAUUAGAAUUAGAAUGCGCAUCUUAUUUUGUUUGGUUCCCUCAAGUGGCAGAGCAAGAAUUUUUAUCGGAUCAAUUAAUGGUCAGUUUUUGACUAAUGAAAAUAUUCUAAAUAAGAUUGUGAAAUCAAUUAAUUUCAUAUACAAUCCAAAUAAGAUUAUGAACUCCUUGUUUGUUUAAUUAAUUUCAUGUGCUAACGAUUGUACUUGCCAAAUAAUUGACGGUGACUUUAAUAAAAUUUCUUUGUUAGGGGUCAAAGUUCUUCCUUUCAGCACUAACUGUGUUACAUUCUGAUAUAUAGUCCAUGUUCUACCCAUCUCAAACUUUCUAUAUUAUUUCUAGGUCCGAGACAAAUAUUUUUUGUUUUUGAAAGAAAAAGUUUGAAUGAUUUCGACCCUAGUUAUCACCAUGGUAAAAUACGGUAUACUUUUAUAUUUAUUUAUUCAAAAAACAGAGGUCCGACUAAGAAUCCGGCUAACUGACAAGAAAAAAGCAGUGUCAAUCGAUUGAUUUUGGCCCAAGGAAAGUACUUAGCAGUUGAAUAUUCUCACUCAGUAAAAUGGUCAGAUCCUUGAGAAUCUCAAAGUAGAAGCAAUGAUUCUAUUCCUUAAACCUGAAACAAUUUUCCGUGCUUAGACAUACUUUGGAAUAAAGCAUCAUUUCUUUUAUGAAAAAAAAGACAAUCUUGUAUAUUUGGUUAUUUGACACAAGACGUCAAUACACUUCAAAUGAAACAGUGAAUCCAACAAAUAAGGCAUGACAAGCUGUGAUUAAUGCCAUACAAACGUGAGUUUAUCUUUACGAUUUAUUCAGGAAGUUGCUGUUAGUUUCAUUAAAUUAACAGAGAAGAUAGUGAAGAGUGAAGGGCAGAGCCAUUCCAAAAUGCCAAAGAGGCAGAGAGAUUAUAAAGAUGAUCAACUAACUAAUCAUAAUCAGCCACAUACCCUUCAAGAAGGGCAUCAUACAGGGAGGCUUGAAAACAACUUUUAGUCCAACAUAACGACAUUCAACACAAAUAGCCAAAUAUCUGAGGUUUGAGAAAUGACAGCAAUUGUUGCAGUCAAGCAAUAGCAAUGAAAGGGGGGACUACACAUCCAAAAGAAGGCACAACAAUAUGAUCAGUGUGGAACAAAAUUUGCAUUAUAAACUAAUUCAGAGCCAGCUACAAUGUCACAGAAGAACAGGCAAUAGGCAUGAAACUUCCAAUACAGGGAUAACAACACUUUUUCUGUGUCCUACUUGGUCCGACCAGGGACAAAAGAACAUCUGGCCAAAUUAAAACAGAGAGGUUGGAGCUACAAUCCUUGUGAUUUCAAGACUACUUCAUUAAAAGUAAUGUUCAUUACUACCGGAGAUAGGCUGGAAAAAUUCUUUCAAAUGCAGUUCAAGAACUAAGUAGAAACUGCUGAAACCAGUCACAUUGCUCGAAAAUUUAAAAAGAACAAAAAAAAAUGAGAAAGAAGAAGGGAAAAAGGAACUGCUUAGAAUCAGAGAGAGAAGAGGGACUUCUGAGAGCAGCACUAAUCGGCGGGGACAACUCUGGCAAGUGGAUGGCAAAGACAGCACUAAUCGGCGAGGACAGCACCAAUCCCUUCCCUUUUGUGUAGAAAUAAGUUCAUCUGAAAGUUUUUAUUAUUUUUAGGUAACUAAUUAUGAUUAUUACUACUACUACUACUUUCUGUACCGAUACAGACAUGAGAUGAUUUACUUAUAUUGGCCGUCAAAGUCUAGAGGCAUAGAAAAGUAGAAAUGCUUUCCUUGUAACAUAUCCUGAGCUAAUGAUAUGAGGCCAAGAUGUGUAAGAUCCAUGUCACAUUAGUGCUUCAUGGAACAAUAUUGACGUACAAGGAGACAAGUUCGCAUAGAAGUAAUUUUACAAAUAGAUGCUAUGUUAAAUGUCAGUUUGAUGAACUAAGGUUGACCUUAUAUGUUCCUAUAUAAUCCUGUUCAAUUGAUUUCCAUAAUUUCAUCUCUCCAACGUUCCCAUCCACCAAGUGGGAUCCUUUCUUGCAUAGAAAUGGGUACCUUAGCAAUUCAGUUUUCUAAAUUGCUCUCGAAUUAACAUAUAUAGAAGGGCUCAACCUGACUGAUUCUUUGUGCUCUGAGUCCUGUCUGAGCUUUACAGAUACAAGGAGCAAUGGAAAAGUAUCAUUGGACACAACCAUGUAGUCAACUGCAAAACACUGAGAAAAAAAUAUGUUGACUGUUGUAGAGCUAAGAUACAACUUCAAGAAGGAUGCAAGCAGCUAUCAGGGUUCAGCUAAUCCACAUCUUUCUGCUGCAAAAUACUGGCUACUUUGAACUACAAGCAGCACGGAAGAUAUGGCAAAUUGAGUUCCAAAAGAAGUAAAAGAGCACCUCAUUAACAUGUUUACAAAUUGCUGAAUCGGUUGGACAGUUUAAAAUCACCAGCCGACAAGGAAGAUCUCAGGCUUUGGCCGUCCAAGGCAGAGAGCAAAAGAGACUCCAUCCUGGAUGUUUUCAUUUGAUCUGAUUGAAACAGGAUCUGGUUCAGCAAAGGAUCAUCGGACUUUUAAUAAUGUACCAAGGAUAGUAAGUAAGAGCUAUGAAGGUUUUGAGCGUAAAAUCACUGCAAAACACAAGAACUCAAGAAACUGGAGACAACACAUAGUUGCAUGACAUUUUUAUUGUAUUUGAAACACUAAAAUAAGAACUUACCAUGACGAGAGGAGCAACCAACAAGUAUAGAAGGUGGGAUGAGCUUAAUAGCCUUCAUCACAGCGGAUGAAACAAUUGCAGCAAGUAGCAGCGGGCAGCAAGUAUGCUUGACAGUCUUGACUAACUGCGGCGAUAUGCUUCAAAACUUGCAGCUUAGACUUGAUUGUGUUAGAAGAUACUCUAACAAGUCCGUGCAGCUUUUUUGCAUGAACAGACAUCUUCUGUCGCUGCUCCAAAAAACAUCUACAUUAGGAGAAGAUUUCUCAAGUUUUAGUUGUAAUAUAAUCAGAAUCAAAGUAUUUAAAAGUAAAAAUUGAGUAGUAAAGAAGAGUAGUAUAUCUGACCUUACCGGACUCUUAGAACCAAAAAUCAGUUUGACAACCAACAGCUUUGGAAACUUCUGAAGUCUUUAUGGCUAGAAAAAGGAAAAGUGAGACAGAAACCCAUCAUCUACGAGAUUAUCGAACAAAUCACUAAUCAAUUGGUUCAAGAAGCUUGAUAAAUGCGCCUUCAAGAGGUGAUUAAACUUUGGAGCAACUAUUUACUCCCUCUGGAAUCAUAAGUUAGGGAGCUGAUCACUUUAGCAAUCACAUCUUACAUCAACAAAAGAAGAUAUAUAAAAUCAACAAAACGAAGCUCCUAGUGCUUAUUUCAUAUUGAUGGGUAACUUGUCGGAAAUGCAAACCAAAAAUUAAUUAAUACCAGCUAUAAAAAUCCAAUCUACGUUCAUCCAGGGGAGAGACCACAAAAAUCUGCUUGCUAAGUGUAGGAGAAAGACGUGCAGCAGAGAAUUGUUGGUUUAAAGUCUUGUAGAAAAGGUUUCUAGAAUUGCUGCAUGUGAUAUCGAAUCUAAAAUGUCCAAUGCAUUUUCAACAGGUGAAACUUCAGAGUGAGCAACCAUUUCAUCCUGGUGAAAUCAUGAGUUUAAAGAGAGUGCGCUGAUGUUAGCAAACACAACGUACAAAGGACAGUAACUGACAUACACGAUAAACAAAACUAAAUGCUCAAUUCCGCCCCACAUUAGUGCAUUUGUUUCAGUGUUAGUUCAUCCAAAACAUGAUUCAGUUAACCCAAGAAAAUCUCAUUCAUUUUCCAUGUUUGAUCUAGUACAGAAACAUGGUAUUGAAUUAAGCCUUCAUUUGCCAUGUUUGAUCUUUGCAUCAGCAGAUAAUAUGUGAUAGAACGUGAGCAAUACCAAUUUAACACUAGAAAUUAACCAAAAAGAUUGUUUAGUUCCAUUAAUUGACAUGAAGCCGUGCAUGGCUUAUUAGUGGUAAAGGUAAAAGAACCUACUCUGUUGUUACUUCAAUUAUCAGUUGAUAUACUCUCAAGGAAAGAGAGGAUUUUCAAAAGUGAAGGCAGUAAUUAAAGAACCUACUCUGUUGUUCCCCGACUGAGCUUUAAGCCUACAGUCACUGCAAAACAGAAAACUCAGAUUCAGGACUUCACAUAGCAAAUCAUAAGGCUAACUGGAAAUUGCAUGACAUUUUUUUUAGUCAAUUAUUCAGAAAGCCAAAUCAAUAUUUGUUUCUGUUGCGCUUUUCUAACCUAAAUCAGUAAGAAUAUAUCAAAUUUUUCUGCUCAGUCUACAAGUACCAGAAGUGCCAUAGAAACUAUAUUAGUUUUGGUUCAAAACACUGAAAAAAGAGUAGCACCUACAAGCGUGAAAGGCAGAGAGCUCCUGAAUUGCCAUGAAGGCAAACUCUUUGAGACAGCAAGAUGCAACGCGUAGAGCUAAUUAUAACUCUUUUGACUCUUAAAAUCUCAAAUCAUGGCAUUUGAACAUAAACUUCAGAAGGCGAUAGUCUACCAAGCCUCUGCUGCUUGAAGAAGGUCUUAAACAUAACAAUUUUUUAAAGGUUUUAAUUAAUUCAUUGGAUAUUAAACUUCUUAAAACCCAAUAUUAAGCAGUGGAAGAAGAUGAUUGGUAUUAAAAAUUAUCUGACAGUAAGUAAGUAAGAGCCAUGGAUGAGGUUCCCUGUUGAGUUUUGGGCCUAAAAUCGCUGCAAAGCACAAAAAUUCAAACUCAAGCCGGCGAAUAGCAUAGAAUAAAGCAAAUGGAAAUUUUCAGAUAAUUGCAGGUUUUCUGUCAUUGUAACUAAAGCCCCAAAAGGAGAAACUUACCAUUAAAAAAGGAAGCAACCAACAAUCAUAAAAGCAGAGAGAGCUUAAAAGCCUCUAUCAAGAUGGAUUCAUUAAGAGAAGCAAUUCACAACAAGCAAACUUGACUAACUACCAGAAUGCUUCAGAACAUUGCACAUAGAGUUGUUCAGUUGGAAGAUACUCCACCAAGUUUUGUGCAACUUCAUUGCUCAAACAGUACAAACCUUCCUUUGCUACCUCAAAAAUAUCUUCAUGACAACAAGAUUUCUUCUGUUUUAUAUGUAACAUAUUAGAUAUUAAAGUGGUUAAAAGUCAAAAUUGAGUAGUGAAAGAAGAGAAGCAUAACUAAAAUUACCAGAAUUUUUGAACCCAAACAUGAAAGUGAUGACCAACAGUUGCGAAAACUCCUCAAUAAUUGACCAUUGUCUUCAUGGAUCAAAAUCCAAAAUCAAGGAUAAGUGAGCCAGAAAACCAUCUUAUAUGACUCUGAUAGAGCAAUUACUAGCCAAAUAGUUCAGAUAAGUACGCAAGUUCAUUAUCAAGAGGUAAAAGUUCAGUCCCCUUAGAAUCACAAUUUUAAAUAGAGUGAGAUGACUUUAGCAUUAAUAACUUAAAAUCCACAGAAGCAGAUCACGUAAAAUAAACAAAACAAGACUUCUAGUUGUUCUAAACGUUGAUAGACUAUUUGUAGGAAAUGCAGGCCAAAAGUUAUUGAGUUCUAGCCAUAUAAACGGUGCUGAAGAAGCUUCAAAAUUCUAACCUCUGUUCGUGAAGCUAUUCUUCUAUCAAUCCUACAAAAACAAAGCAUAGAACAGAAUAUGAACAGAGAUACAGUAAAACAUCAAAGCACGAAAUAGAACAGGUGCUUGGGGUCAUUCUAAUUGAUAGUUACAAGAGCAUUACUAUUAUGUUGUAAGGAGUAAAUGAAGAGCACCAAUAUUUUGGACCUAAUAAGAAAUGCUAAUGCCGCAGCUUUGAAAGAUAAUAAAUAGGACGAUAAAAAGGGAGAAGAGAAAAUUGUGAAAAUAACCACGGAGACUUUUUAGGUUUUCUCACGAGAAGGUUAAUCAGAGGGGGAGGUGAAGAGAACGGGAGAUUGAUUGCAAAGCAAAUUAAGAAAGUGGUUAUUGAAGGCAAUCUUACGUGAUUGAAUUUGAUCUGAAGAUGAAAGUUGGUUAAUCAUCGGUUAUGUCUAGGUCUUGAAUGUGAGAAACUUUGGACCACUGGGAGUCGGGGCCGCUGCUCCCAGGAGUGCAUCUUUCUUUUAACAGAGGAGAACCAUGGACCUGCAGACGUUUUAGUUUGGUGAGACUUCUCAUGGCAUCCUCAGAGGGUAGAUGUCCAAGCCCUUUGAAACCAGUUAACCGCAGCGCUUCAAGAGUAGCGAAGUUUCCGAACCAAUCUGGCAGAGCUUUUAUACCUCCAAAGCCACGUAGCGUUAGUGACGUGAGAGUGGUCAAGUAUUGGAUCUGAGGUGGCAGUGACUCCAUGUGUGGCAACCCAUAUAAUACUAAUCGACGGAGUGCGCAUGACGAAGAGGAGGAGGAGGAGGAUAUCAAUCCAGACCAAUCAAACUCAUUGUAAAUUGAAGAAUUUUCAUGAUCAUCACCAUCAUCUGAGAAGGGACCAAUUUCAAGCUCCCUUAAGCUAGUUAGGAAACCAAAUCCUUUGGGCGUCAUGCUUGUUUUCAGUUUGGGACACCCCAAUAAUUUCAGCUCCGAGAGAGAAGGCGUUUGUUGCAAAUCAGGCGGAAAGGAGAUAAGAUUGUCGCACCCACUCACCUCAAGCUUCUGGAGAGAGGCACAAGAGUGUAGAAUGUCACCGGGCAGAUUCGUUAACCCAUCACACUUAUAAAUCUCCAGCUCUUUAAGAGACGUAAAGUUUUGUAGGGGAUGGAGUUCUCUGCAUCUGUUGCAGCAAUUAAAUUCCAAACGCGCUAACUUGGGGAGUGUUGUUGCUAACUUGGGGAUUGUUGUUGUUGUUGGCAAAUCCAUUAACCAUCGAGGAAAUUGAUCGCCCAUAAAAUUCCAAAUUACCAACUCCUCCAAAUUUGGGUGGGGUCGAAGGCUGUCUAACACAUCUUCGUCGUUGUAAUUGUCGCCUUCUCGAUCAUCUGCCCACUCAAGUUCCAGCCUAAAUAGAUUUGCCUUUUCAGAUAGUUUUGCUUCCUCAGCUCCUUUCUUAUCCGUUACUAGUUCCAGAUUGCGUAUCUCCAAUUUGCCUUUGAGGUUCUUCAAGCUUCCAAGCUCUCCAAUUCGCCGACCCUUCUCUCGACCCACGUUAAAGAACUCUAGCGUCCGAAGGCAAGUCAGCCGUCCCAUCUCUAGCGGCAUUUGAAAUGUUUCAUCAAAUGUGUAAUAGUGGAGAUGUCUCAAACUAAUCAAAUUGCACAUCCUCUCCGGAAGACGGUCAACAUCUGAGUGACUUAGCGUCAAUGUCUGCAGAUUAUAAAGCUUGCAAAGGGAGUCUGGCAAAAUACUGAUUGCAGACCACUUAAGGUUAAUGUACCGCAAAUGUAUCAGUUUGCCAAUUGAGACUGGUAGCUCUCGAGUUCUUGUAUGAGACAAAUUCAAAACAUACAAGUUCUUCAACUUCAUUAACAUAUCACCAGAUAAGUAACCUUUUACAAACAAUGUAUGAAGCGAAGUUGAUAGACUCUCCAAAAGUUUUUCUCUGUCUUCUCCACCACCAAAUAAGUCUGUUGCAAGGUAACGAAUCUGAUUACCAUUGCCUACUAUACUCGUAUCCCUAUCAAUAAUGACUUUGGUAGACUUUGACAUUAACUCGGCAAGGUCGUGCACCAGAUCAUGCAUCUUAUAAGAUGUUGAUGUUUCUGACUCAUCAAUUAUUUCUUCAAACAAUGAACUCUGCAAUAAAAUUCUCAGAUAAUUAAUUACAUUUUCCUCCAUCAUCAUUUGGCUGUUGAUGUCUGCUUGGAGGAAACCUUCUGCCAUCCAAAGCUCGAUUAGCAUAUCUCCUUCCAUCUCAGUAUCCUUAGGAAAUAUAGAACAAUAUGCAAAACAUUUCUUAAUGUAUGGAGAUGGCAAAUUAUCGAAACUCAACUUAAGUAUUUGCAUGACACGAUCUUCAUCUCCACUCAAACUUGAAAGCCUAUUCUCCAAAAUUGAUUGCCACUCCUCUUUUCUCUUUAAAGAUAAUAGACCUCCAAUUACACUUGCUGCCAAUGGUAGACCAUCACAUCUUUUGAUUACUCUCUCUUUAAUUGCUUUUAGUUCAUCAGGUACUUCUCCGCCUCCAACUACUUUUUCUUUUAGGAUAGACCAGCAAAGAUCAUCAGGUAGCCUUCCUAAGGCAUAGGCUUCAUCAUCCAUCCUCAGAACUUUCAACACAAUAUCUGCCAGUUGACCAAUACGAGUAGUGACAAGACACCAGCUUCCAUCAGUUGGAUUGAGCCCCUUCAAGGUGGUGAAAAAGUCAUCCCACAAUGCCUGAUUAUCAUCCCACACAUCAUCAAGGACAAGGAAAUAUCUUUUUCCCUCUAGUUGAUUCUGAAUUUUUCCAACGAUGACAUUCCUAUCAUCCACUUCAACCUUUUCUCCCGUCAAUUGCACUAGUAUGAGUUUGAAAAGUUCCACUACUGGAACUUUUUUUGAUACGCAAACCCACAACUUUUUCUGAAAGUGCCCAUCAAUUUGGUGAUUGUUGUAUAUCGAUUUAGCCAAAGUUGUUUUGCCUAGACCUCCCAUACCAGUUAUGGGAAGACAAGAGACAACCUUCUCAGAUGGGCUCAACAGCAUCUUCACUAUCUUUGAUUCAUCAUCGGCUCUUCCAGUCAUUGGAACAGCAACCGAGUCGGUCUGCCUAUUUCUUCUGUCUCCAGCAUCAGCAGCAGCAGGGAGGGCAGCUGUCAUGACUGCCCUGCCGAUCAGUCCCAAUCCAUCGGCUUCUUGAUUGAUCUCAUUCAACUUAAGCUUGAUGUCCCUGACCUUAGAAGCCAUUCUCCAACGGAAACCAACGGAGUUAGAGCAGGAGAAGAAGCAACAUACCUUGCUCUUGGGUUGGUUCCGGGACUCCACCUUGCAACGAAGAGAUUCGUAGUUGAGCUCAUCCAACACAUUGCCAGCAUCAUAAGCAACUUCCUCCAGACUCUUCAACCAUUCUUGGACUCCCCGGUCCUGGUUUUGUUGCCUUUCCUCAGCAUCAGCCAAGAGAGCAUUGAUAAAGGUAAGAGUUCGACUCAUGCUGGCCAGAUCCUUCUUGAACCCAACUAACAUACCAAUCCUAUCAGUGGCAAGAGAUACUGCCGUCUCCAAGGCAACCUGAAUAGUGGCACUAAUGACAGCGUCGGCCAUUUUCCUUUCCUUGUAUGGGGCUUAAUAGCUAGGAUGCUUUGUUCAUAUCAGAUUGGUGAUUUCGUUGUAUGUAGCUUGCUAGGAUGCUUUUUCCUAUCAGAUUAUAAAGAUGGGGAUGGACAGAAGGGUAGAGGCUUUCGUCAAAGUUUUGGUGAGAACCGAUUUAUUUAUUUAUUUUUCAAAUUUAGAAUGGGACCGUGGGUUCCGGUGGUAUGAACUGAAGUAUGGUGGAGCCACUAAGCGAGUUAUGUAAUUUACCCAAUUUAUAAAGGGUUAUAUGUAAUUUAUCCAAUUCAGAAUGGGCUUCUUCCCCGGUUUUAGUUAAUUAUAUUGUUGCAGCUAGUGCUUCAGUUCACGCUAAUGACAGGCGGACUCAGGGCCGGAACGGUUGCAGGUGCAACCGUUUCGGAAGCUCGUGUGCAUUUUGCACACGAUGUAACAUCAUUUGUACGCGAACAAUAUUUUAUGGAAUCUACACAUAUUAAAAUCUGGACCUUACAAUUUUUAUUGGUCAAAUCUUGACCAUUAACUGGCAGGAACGGUUACCCCUUCUUAUGCCAGGCCAGGCCCUUGGGUUGCUGAAAAUAUGUCUAAUCCUUGAUAUUUUUUAAAAAAGAAUACUGGAAAAAAUCGAACUGGAUAUUAAAAGUACAUUUCCAUCUAAAAUAUUCCAACAAUAAAACUACUAGAAAAGUAGUAUAUAGAACAGCUAACAUUUCCAGCUAAAAUAUUAACAAUAUACAAAACUAGCAGGAGAAACUAUAUAUAUAGAAAUGGAUGGGUCACGUUCGCGUCUCAAUUGUUAAUUUGUUAUUGUGUCAGCGCGGCGGCUUUGGCCAUCUCAAUUAUUACCGCUGCACCAACGACGAGUGUAUGCAGAAAAAUCCUAAACAAAUCAUCCAAUGAGGGUUUCUCAGCUUAGAAAGAAGAGCGCUGCUUCUUUUGACAAACUUGCAAAUGCAUUCUCCACAGAACCAACUAACAUUUCCAUCUAAAAUAUUACCAACAACAAAACUACUAGAAAAGUAGUAUAUAGAACGUACUCUCAAUUGUUCUUAUAUUAUAUUAGGGCGGCUUGGCUAUCUCAAUUAUUGCACCUGCACCAACUAGUUUGUCCAGAAAAAAAAAAUCUAAAGAAAUUAUCCAAUGAGAUCUGCCAUUUUUUGUCCCCGUGAAACGAUGAGAGCGAGUGUUCGGAUCAGGAUGAGUUUUGCAGCAUGGAAGGUAUUAGUAGCAUUGCAAGGGCUUGCUGUAUGGAAAAAAUCCUAAGGAUAUUUCGUCGUGCCAGCUACAAACAAAUAGCACCAGCAAGCGCUAACUGUUUGGAUUGCAUUUUUUUAGAUUUUUUGUAGAAAAAUUACUGUAGCAAUUUAAUAUAUGUGAGAUAAAAAGGUGAUAGGGAAAUGUGUUCACGAAAAACGUAACAAUUUUUUCUUGAAAAACUGUUGUCCAAACAGGGCCUACUCGGCAAUUUUGUGCUAGCGUAGUGAGAGCCUGCAGGGUCACGCUAAGCUGAGUCUACUGAGUGUAAAGAUACUCGGCUCGUCAAGACAGCUCCAUUUUAAAUAUUUUUAAUAAUUUUUAUUUCAUGCAUCUCUCUAAUAUUCUUUUGGAUUAAAAAUAAAAAAUCCCCUUGUGGUAUACCUAAUAUAUAGAAAAACCCUCCGUAAUUUCAAAAUAUACAAAACGACACUUCAUGUUUUGAACUAAAUUGUAAACUAACAGAAUUUAAUCACCAACUCUAAAUGUGUGACUUUUUUUUAACAACUUUGAGUGCCAUCCAAUUUUUAUUUGUCAACCUUUUUUUUUCAAUCAAAAGGAACACUAACUCAAAAAGAAAUGCUCAAAACUACUACCAAAAUAUGGUAAUUCCAUCAAUCUAAAAUGCAGUAUGAUGAUGAUAAUUUCUUCUCCAAUUUAGAAAGAAAAUGUAUCCCCUGUAAAGCACCAUUAAAAGCAUUCUAUCAUAAUGUGAAGCUAGUGGUCGUAAAUGCUGAUCAAACAAUAGAUUUGGUAAUGAAAACUUGACACUCUUUCCUUAUAUUUGUGCUAAGAAUUGCUUUGGAAAGUAAUUCAUCUUUAUAAUCUAAGGGUAUUUGCUGACAAAAUUUAAACCAAGCUAUUUAGAAGUUGGUAUGGUAGUUUUGGAAUUAGAUUUAUUAUAUAGUAACUAGAUUUAAAUUGAUAUCAAAGUUGGUUUAGAAAAUAGAGUUGAGUUAUAUUUUAGUGUUGGAAUUAGAAUAGAUUUAGUAAUAUAUGCAUCUUAUAUAAGGACUUGAAGGAUUCGUACAUUUAUAAUUGAGGAAAGUUAGCAUCAAGAGAAUAAAAUCCUAAAUCCUCGCCUGCCUAUUUGUUCGUUAUUCAUACUUCUUUUUUUUUUUUUUUUUGUAGUUGCUAACAUUAUUGACAGUUUGAAGGCCCCAUAUUCACAGCAACAAAUCCCAAGCUUAGGCCGGCGGAGACAGAGAGAGUCAAAGGAGAUUGCCAUGAUGUAUUAUUUCAACAAGGAAUCCAAGGAUUUUCAAAUGUGAAAAAAAAAAUACUGGAAAAAAUGGUAGGUACAAGUACAACUGGCAUUUCCACAUAGAAUAUUAGCAAUUACACCAGUUGAAAAAUUACAGAAGUGCAUGGCUAUAUCGAUUAUUGCACCUAAAACACAACAAGUGUGUACAGAAAAAAUGUAAAGAAAUUAUUGCUUCUCAGCGAAGAAGAAGAUUGCUUCUCUUCACAAACUCGAAUACAUUUUCCACCGAAGUUGGUUGGAGUUUUACUUGAACGUUUCUAAAUAAAUGCAGGGUAUUUCUUGUUCUUUAUUUUUUUUUUCGGCCAAAUUUUUGUUUGUUUUGUGCUUAAAUGCUGGGCCUUUUGUUCCUCGAAUCUUGCUUGGUUUUAGUUAAUUAUGGUUACAGAGACUACUUAGUUUACGCUAAUUCUGGGGCCUUGGGAUGCUCAAAAAGUCUAGUCCUUGGUAUUUAAAUAAAUAAAUAAAUAAAUAAAAAGCUGAAAACAAAGGUACCUACAGUACAAAUGUACAACUGGCAUUUCCACCUAAAAUAUUAGCAAUAACGAUAGUAGACAAAUUCUCAAUUGUAUAUUAGAGCGGCUUUGCUAUCUCAAUUAUUGCACCUAAAACAACAAGAAGUGGUCUUCUCAGCGUAGAAGAAGAGAGUGCUUCUUUUACUCUUAUGUUUCCAAAUCAAUGCUGGGUUUUUUUUUGUUCUUUAUUACUUUUUUUUUGGAAAAAUCAUUUAAAAUGUUCCACACAUUUCAUUAGAUAAAUUUUUUUCGUCUAUCAUUUUUAAAAGGACAAAUUCCACUUUAUCUCCUGUGAUUUAGUGUUUUUCUACAUAACCCCCCUAUGGUUUUAAAAACUAUACAUAACCCUCUCAUAAUUUGGAUGAAAGUGUCAAAGUAAUGGAAAUGGUCUUUCGUAAUAGAAUCAUUUAAAAUGUCAAAAUAGCCUUAUGUAAAGGUGAAAAUUUUUUAUUGAUCAAGGGGGGUUAUGUGUAUAUUCCUAAACCAUAAGGGGGUUAUAUGAUAAAAUAUUAAACCAUAAAGGAAUUAUAUAGUAAAAUAUAAAAAUCACACGGAAUUAGUGUGCCAUGUAUUUAUAAGGGUAAUUUCGAUAUUAUCAAAAGUUUCAUUAUGAAUGACUAUUUCCGUCAUUUUGACAUUUUAAUUCAAACCAUAAGGAGGUUAUGUACAACUUUUGAAAGCACCAUUAAAAGCAUUCUAUCAUAAUGUGAAGCUAUUGGUCGUAAAUGCUUAUCAAACAAUAGAUUUGGUAAUGAAAACUUGACACUCUUUCCUUAUAUUUGUGCUAAGAAUUGCUUUAGAAAGUAAUUAAUCUUUAUAAUCUAAGGGUAUUUGUUGAUAAAAUUUAAACCAAGCUAUUUAGAAGUUUGUAUAGCAGUUUUAGAAUUAGAUUUAUUAUACAGUAACUAGAUUAAAAUUGAUAUCAAAGUUGGUUUAGAAAAUAGAGUUGAGUUAUAUUUUAGUGUUAGAAUUAAAAUAGAUUUAGUUUUAGAGUUGAGUUAUAUAUGUUAUGUAGAAAAACACUAAACCAUAAGAAUUCUUUUGAAGUAUAAUUAUUACUAAUAUAUAGUUUCCAUUUCUCGUGGAUUGUUCUUAAUCUCUCCUAAAGAAUUGUUGCAAACUUUUUUGGUUUGUGCGUCACUUUGCAUCUAAGAGUUCUAAAUUUCACCACCAAUUAAAUAGUUUCCCUCGCAACUUUAGUUUCCUUUUCUCUUCUAUUUCCAAUUUCUCCUUACUUAUGUUUCCUUGUUGCAAGGCUUGCCAAACUAAAUAAGAUAUUUGUUAUCGAUUUCUUUGAUUCCUAAAACACAAGAAAAUUUUCAUUCCUAAUAUGUAUUCCUGUUUACUUGUUUAAUUGAUUUUUAAAAGAUAUUAGCAAAGAAUUUUGGGCAAAUUACAUUUUACUCUCCUGUGAUUUAGCAUUUUUUACAUAACCCCCUAUGAUUUUAAAAGCUAUAUAUAACCCCCUCAUAGUUGGAUUAAAGUGUCAAAAUGACGGAAAUAGUCAUUCGUAACGGAACUUCUAAAAAUGUCGAAAUUCCCUUAUAAAUACAUGACAGAUUAACCUCGUAUGAUUUUUAUAUUUUACCAUAUAACCCCCUUAUGGUUUAAUAUUUUAUCAUAUAACCUCCUUAUGGUUUUUAAAAUAUACGCAUAACCCCCCUUGGUUAAUAAAUAAGUUUCAACUUUAUAUAAGGGUAUUUUUGACAUUUUAGGUGACUCCAUUAGGUGACACUUUAAUUCAAACCAUGAGGGGGUUAUGUAUAACUUUUGAAACUAUAGGGGAGUUAUGUAAAAAAAUGCUAAACUAUAGGAGGGUAAAGUGGAAUUUGCCCAAGGAUUUUAGAUCCAAUUUGGUGCAGUGCUACUUUGACAAACUGAAUCGGAUGCUUUUGCAACGGAAGUCGAUUCGCAUUUUCAGUUCACCUUUCUUAAUGGCAUGGUCGUUGCUGGGAUUCUUCAUCUGCUUUUGAUCCGCACGCUUAAAGAAAAUGCCAAUCAUCAUUGAGACUCUUAAUAAAUCUCACGAUGAAUAAUUUGUUGGGACAUGAACGUAAGAUGAAUAAUUUCAUCUAAAUGGCUGAUCCUUGGUGGAUCAGAUUUCAAACAUAAUUUAAGUACGCCUUACUUUUUGUUUGCUUUCUGCAGGGGACUAUGCUAACAGUACUGUGGCAGUGUGGCUUAAAAUCCUCCAAUUUCUUUAAAAUCCAGAGACACCCGGAGUUCUCCAUUUCCUUUUGUGAUUUUGCAACAUUAAUUACCUCAUUCUCUAAUCCUUGGGAAAUAGGCUAAAAACUGAAAAAAAAAAAUCGCUAGGUUAGUUAUAAAAAACAUGAAGUGGAGUCAGUAAUCAGGCUUGACACGUAGCUACAUAAUUGGUCAGUGAUUGCGUGCUUUCCUAGCUUUUACAAUUGCGAAAAUUUCAAAAUAGUCUCUUGUAUUUCCAAAAGUUCUCUAGUGAUACGGUGCAAAAUUACUAUUCAAUUUAUGAUUAUUUCCCCUUGAUUGUAACCAAAUAUUAUUUUAAUUAAUGGAUUCUACUUAUAUUUUGUUAAUGGUGCUAAUCGCUAGGAUUGUUUCUUUGUUAGAGAAGUAGUUAAUGUGCAUACUUUAACUAUCGAGACACUAAAGAAAAACUGAUUGUUUAUCACGUAUAUGACAACUAUAACCUAUUUAUUAGCAAAUAAUUUAGAUAAUUAUUGCAUCGAUGAUCAGUUAUUUGAACCACUUCCGGAGUUAUGUCUUUGGCUAGAGCUUGUUUAUUCUUAAGUUGAAUUUAAUUUGCUUUAGUUUAAUUUUUUUCAAUCACAUUGAUUAUUUACUUUAGUUUUAAUUCUCCAAACCUCUCCCCUCCCCCCCCCCUCCCAACAACACCAAUUAGCUUUUACUUAGAAAGAAAUAGAUUUUUCCUCUAAUCCCUGUGGAGAUGACCCUACUUGUUAUUAUACUCAUUUAUAUCUUUUUGUGAGUAGAAAUUUAUUAUUGCACAGACACGACUCUUGUCAUCUAGCACUUUAAAACAUCGGACAUUUUGAAGCAAAUGUCUUGUUUAUGUACAAUAUACAAAAUUUAAGUGGUGAAAAUUUGAGGAGCUUGUUUAUUAUGAAAAAUUGGAGAUCCCUUGUUAUUUGUAUUCAUCUUUGUUCCUCCAUUUCACAAUUAGUUUGCAUGCAUUUUAAUGGUGAUCAAUUUGUCCACAAUUUAUAAUCAUUUAAUAAAACAUUUUGUAAUGACAUCGAAAAUACACUUUGAGGGUAAUUGAGGCAACCCUCUUUUAAAUAAAUCAAGAAAAAGAAAAUGCUACAGCUGAUUGACAGUUCGAACUUUGGAGGCACCAUAUUCACAGCAACAAAUCACAAGCUUUGCUUUAUCCAGCUGAGACAUGAAAAAAAAAAAAGAUAGCGCCGAGAUGUGAUCCAGCUAAGAAUCAAAUGAAUUUCAAAAGGAAAGGCAGUAAUGCCAAUUAGGGGCCAACAAGGUCUAUCCAAUAUGCUUUCUCGAUCGGCUUAGAAAAAAGAGUACUGCUUCUUUUGACAAACCUGCGCGCAAUUUCCUCCAAAGCUCCUACUGGGCGUUUCACUUGAAAGUUUCCAAGUCAGUGCUGGGCUUUUCUUACUGCUUCUUUUCCUUUUUCGAAUUGUUCGCUCCUUUUGCGCUCGAAUGCCGAGCCUUUGAUUUGUGGAAAAGUAAUUUAGUGAGUAAAUUCCAGCACUUGGUUUUCAAUGUCAAAGACCUCGAAUGUUCUGGUGAUUCUUGGAGUAGAAAUCAAAGAGGAAAACUAUUACUUCGAUCCUUAAUUAAUAAAGGAGUACAAUUAUCCUGUUUUGUGAGAAAUUUUAAGUGGCAUGGCACAAAUGUUAAAAUCCCAUAUUUCACCUCAACUUCUAAUUACUAGUAACAUGUCAUGUGUUUUGCACCGUGAUCAUAUUAACCUAACAUAUAACAUCAUUGAGAUACUAAAUUCUUUGUUAAAUUUUGACUUUAAGCAUCAAAAUAGAGCAAUUCUUUUGGUUUUCAGUUUCUUUAACUAGUUCUUUGAAAAAUACUAGUUUAGAUGUACAUAUAUUGCACGCCGCAUUUCUCCCCGGUUGCUAUGACUAAUAACUUAUUCAAAAUUCUUUACACAAUUGAACUUUAAGUAAAUGAAACAAACCUUCAACGAAGUACUCAAAUUCAUAUAUAUAAAUCAAAAUGCACUCUUCUAGUAACCACUCCAACACUAUAUAGCCUUGACAAAUAGAACAUAGAAUUCAAACAGAACAAUAAAAUGUAAUAAAAAAUAAAUGGGCUAAUUAAGGAGGUUCUGAUUUAAUGAUUAAAGUACUUCAAUAAUAAAAUGUCCUAGAUUCAAUUCUCUGAAUUUUUACUUCUCAUGUAUGAAAAUAAAGUAUGAACAUAAAAAUGAGCUAACCUAAUGUUUCAAAAAAAAAAUUAAAAAAAAGAAACCACCUAAAACUACAAAGGAUCUUUGUAUACUCUUAAAACUUAUGCCUAUAAUUUCUUCUUAUUAAUUUACAACCUAAACCUUUUAACUUUUUGAGUAUCUUUCAGUUUCAAAAAAUUGGAGAUCCUUGAUAUUUGUAGUUGUCUUGACCGAUUCGAUCUUCUUUCCUCCAUUUCAUAAUUAGUUUGCAUGCAAUUUAAUGGUGAGUUUAUCCCCAAUUUGUAUAGAAUACACUAGGGCUGUCAAUCUAUCUUUGAGCUUGGGGUUGCUUGAUUAAUUUUAAAAAAAUCUUAGGUCGAAUGAACUUUAGCAAAGAGUAAUUUGAAAUAUGCAUUUGCAAACCCGUUAAAAAUUUACCUUCAUACCUUUUGCAAGGUCAUUGAAAACACACUUUGAAGGUACUUGACGUUACCCUAUUUUUAAAUAAAAUUAUUAGACUUUAGAAAAUAUAGAAGCAAGAAUUAUUAAAGUGGAAAUUUAAGAGGUACUUUGAAGACAUAAAAAAUACGCUUUGAAGGUACUUGAGGUAAAUCAUUAUUAAAAAUAAAUCAUUAGCAUUAGAAAAUUAAGACGCAAGAAUUAUUAAAAAUAGAAAUAUUAAAAAAUCUAUCUAAUAUUUUUUUAGAAUAAAUUAUAUAUAUAUAGACAGUGUAUAUACAAGCGAAGCUGAAUGCACGCUACCUUUAUUGUGGAAGCAAUAAGUACAUCAGCCAUUCUUUUUGUUCCCCGGAUACUUUUUGCAGUGGAAGGUUUUAGCUCUUGGUAGAAGCAGCAAGGAACUAUUCUUUGCUUAGUAGAAGUAGGGCUGCAAACGAAUAGAGCCGCUCGCGAGCGGCUCGAGUCAAGUUCGAGUCGAGCUCGAGUUGGCUCGAGUCGAAAUCGAGCUCGAACUCGAGCUCAAAAUAUGAAGCUCGUUAGGCUCACGAGCUCGAGUAUAUAUAUAUAUAUAUAUAUAUAUAAUAUUUUUUAUUUUUUUAAUUUUAAGUAUAUAUAUAUUUUUUAAUUUUAAGUAUAUAUAUAUAUUUUUUUUUAUUUUCUUAUUUUAAUAGUAAAAUUACAUAUAUAUCCUUAAUAUUUUAUUAUUUAUUAAGAAAAAAAUUAUUUUAUUUAUUUUUUAAAAAAUAAAAUAAUUUUAAAAUUUUUUUUUUCGAGCUCGAGCUUUAAAUUGCCAGCUCAUCGAACUCGAGCUCGAGUUCGAGUUGGUAAAAUUUAAUCGAGACUCGACUCGAUUCGAUUAACCUAAAACUCGACUCGACUCGACUCGUUUGUAACCCUAUGUAGAAGCAACAAGACUUUGACAAAUUUGGAUGCUUUUGCAACAGGGAAGAAGCUGCUUAGAAUUUUCACUUGGAAGUCUUCAAUACUUGUCGUUGCUCGGGCCUUUCAUGACCUGGCAGGCACCUUUUUUUUUUUUUGGGUUAAAUACAAAAAACCUCCUUAUGAUUAAUCAAAUAUUCGAAUUAACUCCCUAUACUUUAGAAACCUUUAUAAAACCCCCUUAUACUUUUGAUUAAAAUAAAAUAUUAAGUUUUCAGUUGUAGCUAACAGUCAUAAAGGGUAACUUGGUUAGUUGAUUAUAAGGCAAUUUAUAUUAUAUAAAAUGGGAAAAUAGAAAAUUUUGUUCUCUUCUUUCCAUCCACACGCCUUAUAGUGUAUCUCUUUUUUGUAUUUUUUUUGUUAAAACAUUGUAUCUCUCCUUCUCACCACCAGACCUUCCCUUUUCUUCUUUUUUUUUUAAAAAAAUUUUGUUCCUAUUCACUUCUGAGUCACCCAUAAAUUAGUACUAUUCAAACCCGAAAUCUUAUGACCCAAAACGAUGGCGUCUUCAAAAUAUCAGAAAUGGAUGGAGUGGUUGAUCUACUUCUUCAUUUGUGGGUAUAUGGUAUUUGUGUCCAUGGUUCCAGCUUAUUUAUGUCAAGUAAUUCCGUCCGGUGGUUGCUUGCGGUGCAUAGGAGCGGUUGUCUGGAGAAGAUGAUCAGAGAAGAAGAAGCUUUUUUGUGAUAUUAUGUUUUUACCUUAAAGGCAACGUGAAAUAAUGAUUUGACCCAGUUUUUCCUAAUGAUCUGAUUGUAACCAUGUUUUAAAUGGUAACUUAGUAAUCUGAUUAUUAUUUCAUUUAAAAAACUAUUUUCCUUCGGCUGCUAAAUUUGAUGGAAAAAUUAACAGUUUCGAUUUUCUAAAAAUCAUGAGGAGGAAAAAUGUAGGUUUCUAAACAAUAGAGAAUUAAUGUAAGCACUUGCUUAACUCUUCACCAAAAGGAGUUAUUUCCUAUUUAAUCCCAUUUUUUUUUAUCUAAUUUGUUAAUUCUUACGACAUAAGGAUAGAAUUGACUUCAUGUAAAUUAAUAAUUGCUUGAGAAAAUUGGAUGCUAUAAAUUCCACGGAAGAUGCUUGGUAAUUUCACUACGGUCUUUCUUAAUUGAUGCGUGAGGCUUCUUACAUGUUUGACAAAUUUGAAAGCUAUCUCAGAGGCUCGUUGAAAUAGCGGUUUGACCCAAGAGCGGAAAUGGCAAUCAUAGUUGGUGACAUUGGCAACAUCAAUCAUGCCAUCUGUUAAUCCAGAAAUAAAUUGGAAAAAAAAAAUUUGUUCUUACUGACUGUCCUUGAGAAUUAGACUGAAUAAUUAUUAGGGUAAAUUAUCUUUUACCUUUCCUGUAGUUUGGUGUUUUAUCACGUAAUCUUUCAUAGUUUAAAUAUCUAUAGUUUAGCCAACUCCCUUAACCAACUCCCUCUAGAGGAGUUGGCCACCACAUUAUUUGUGGGGUGAGAGGUCAAUGAUUCAAACCUUGCUUCCCAUCAGUGUGUCUCUAUAUGAGAAUUGUUCUAAAUCCAUAAAAAUCAAACUAACAAAUAGAUAAAUUCACUUUUUCACUACUUUUUUUUUGCUUCUCUCUCUACCUCUCUCUUUUGGAAGAGAAGAGAUGAUUUGAAAAUCUAUCCUUUGACCUACAAAAUCUUAAUUUUCUCCAAAUAUAAAAAAAUUGAAGAGAAAUAAAAAAAUAAUUAAGAAACAAAAAAGAUGGAAGGAAAAUACAAAAAUAUAUAAAUAAGAAGCAAGAAAUAUGGAAGGGAAAUAUAAAACAAAUAAAUAAGAAACAAAAAAUACCAAAUCUUUGUUGACUAAAAAUAUCAUUUUAGGUUUUUAGACCAAAUCUUUAAUGUUAUUUUCUAUUUCUUAUUUAUUUAUUUUUACUUAUAUUUAUUUAUUUCCUUUUUGUAUUUGGAGGGAAAAAAAGAAGUAAUGAAAAACUAAAUUUGUUAAUUCAUUAGUUUGGCUUUGACUUUGAUUUUUUGCUAUUAAUUAUUAGUUUUAACGGAAAAAUAGAUGGUGACGCGUUAACUAAAAUCGUGAGGGGUUUAUAUGCAGGCUUUUCAACCAUAGGAGUGAAUCACAUCUAGUGAGUGCCACGUUUGGGCAGUGAAUUUGGUAAUCAAAUCUUAUAAUAAGAUAGUGAUAACUCUUUGAUAGAGGCCUGAAGAACCAUAAUAUGAUACGAAAAUAUAGUAGACCAUAGGAGAGAAGAAAAGAGAAGGUGAGUCUUUGUCUACUUCCUGUCUUGCAUGUACUUCUGCUGCAAUUCAUAGGCAAAAGUACAUGGUUUGCAAAAGUACAUGGUUUGGUACUCAUUUCAGUAGGUUUGAAGUAGCAAAAACAAGCAAUUUGUUUUUUUGACUAAAUGAAGUUGUCACAUGGAAGAGGGAUAUGGAUUUCUUGUAUCUUCUCAGGGAGAGGAUCAACAUCGACUUUUUCACAUGAUUUAGUUGUUUGUGUAGAAGUUUACUGAUUCAGUUGAUUUUUGUCCAGGCCUAGUUGACCAUAUUGAACAGGAAUUCUAAAAUAAGUAGGAUUUUUUGUUUUCUUCUGGUUGGCAGGAUGAGUGCCCUACGAAUGGGUUGUUUUCCUUACUAUCCACAUGCAUAACUUUUCAUGUUCACUUUGUUGCUUAGUAAACUAUGUUUUCCAGCGGUUAGUAAUGGAACCAAUCUUUACCUUCUAUAGGUUGCAUAGUUAUACAGAUAAUGCCGUUUGAACAAUGGAAACUGGAACGUCCAGUGUAAACUACAGCUUGGGCUGGAGCCUGGAGAUAUGGUUAAGAACUUUUGAUGCUGCCAUUUUGCUCAGUUAUUGGUCGAAGAUAAGCUGGUCAGAACUUUUGACCAAGCAACCUUGGGAAGUUUAAGAAACUUUUAUUGAUCAUAUUACUUACCUUGUUAAACCUUCUUUUUGUCACAUAAAAUGCUGGCAUGCUUUCUUGGAAAUAUGCUUUUGAGUUAUUAAUACAUGAGAGUCGAAGCAUGCCUUUGUAAAUGUAAUUCUUGCAAUAGUAUUACAUACAAUCAGAGGAAAAGAAAGAAUCAGGUGUUUCUACGUCCUACCAAAGUGCAUGCCUUUGUAAAUUUAAUUCUUGCAACAGUACUACGUACAGUCAGCGGAAAAGAAAGAAUCAGGUGUUUCUGCAUCCUACCAAAGUACACAAGGUUUUCUGGACACAUCAGAGGUUUGCCUGUUGAUUUUAUCAAAUGUAAACCCUGUCUUCUUUUCUUGUCUGCGCAGGUUUUUAACUGUUUUGGCCACCAAUUCUGCUUGCACUUUGAGGCGUUUCAUCUGGGAACAGCUCCGGUUUAUAUGGCAUUCCUGAGAUUCAUGGGCACUGAUGAAGAUGCAGAAAAUUUUGUUAUAGUUUAGAAGUUGGUGGAAAAGGUAGAAAGUUAACAUGGCAAGGUGUUUCUAGGACGAGAAAUGACAUUGUCCAUUGGGCUACAUCAAAAUCUGCAAUGCCAUCUUUUAACAGAUUUCAGGUUUAAUCAUCUGAAGAAAUUGUAUCAAUAUGUCAAAAACUACAUUGAUUUGUUAUUAAAGCAUCUUCAUUUACAUAUAUGCAUUAUAGGCAGCAAGAAGUUCAUCCUUCUAAUCUUUUAAAAUAAGGACUGGUCUCAGUAUUCCUCUGAAUCUGAAUCUGAAUGUAAACAUAAAGAAGUAUUCACAAUAUUCUUUGAUCUAAGACGAGGAUUUUCAGAUUAACAUUUCCCCAGUUCAUCUGUUCUUCCUUAAUCUCUUGAACCAAACUUCCAACAUGGCCUGGACACCGAUGCACCUGAAUCAAUUCAAGAGUUGGAAUUUCCCCCAAACAAGAAGGGAGCUCCUCCAAGUUCCAGCAGCUUUCCAAAACCAAUUUCUGAAGACAGGGGAGAUGAUCACCAGAGCACGUCCACCUGACAAUGCACAACAAUUCCAAUUUCAAGAAUUUGAGUUUAGGGAAUUCCCCUUCUUCCAUGUUCCAUAUUUUUUCCCCACCAGCUUUUGUACCGAGUAAUUUGAGAACCUCAAGAUUAGGUAGGCUUCCUAUUGAGGAAAUCAUACUCCAGGGAAAUGCUUCCAGGGUCAACUUUUUUAGAUUCAUGGGGAAGCUGAACUCAUAAUCCUUCUCUUUCACACGGUAAAAAGACAACUUCAGUGACUCCAGUCGUCUCAGAAAGUCCAUUGCCACAAUCUUGUUCCAAUCCCCAAAAGAUUCUUCUGUUUCACGGAGACUACAUUUCAGCUUGCGGAUAUUUGGAAACUUCUGCAUUAUCUUAUCCAUGCUUUGCCCAGGGGCGGAGGGAAGGGGGGGGGCCAGGGGGGGCAACCACGCCCCCUCCAAUUGUUAAAAAAAAAAAAUUUCUAAGUAAAAAUAUUUUUAUUAUAUUGUUUUGCCCCCCCAAAUAUUGAUAAAAAAUUUCACUUUGCCCCCUCUCUCAAGGACCCAAACAAUAAUAUUUGAAAGUUAUUUGGACUUGGUCCAAAUAACAGAGACUCGCCCCCCCCUAAUUGCAAUUCCUAGCUCCGCCACUGGCUUUGCCCCAAAUCAAGCUCAAGAGCUGAUAUAGUGUCUAGGUUACACAAAUCUGAGGAGCUGUCCAAGUUGUCUUUGGCCAAACUAAGAUCAAAAAACUUACCACUUAUGCAGAGACACCUCAAUGUCUGCAAAUUCCAUACGGUAUCUGGAAGAAAAAGAAUACCAUGCAAAGAUUUUAGAAUAAAAGUUUCCAAAUUCCAAAGGUUUGCUAUUGAUGAUGGGAUGUAAUUCAUGCUACCUGCAAACGCCAAGUAUCUCAACUGAACAAGUAACGUAAUUUCGCUGGGAAAAACAAAUCCCAGAUUAAUUUUUCCCAAAUCCAACACUCUCAGAAGUUUGAAGAUGCGAAAAAUGGAUGAGACAUUGUAUGGAGUUCCAUAUUCCUCACUCUGGGUGGAGACCACUAGAGAGCUUAGAAGAGGACAAAAUAGCCUUGACUUCUGAAAAUGCCUUGCUUUAGAGUAAAUAAACAAUCGACGUGUAUUACUUGGCUCAUCAAAAUUAGGAAUUCCUGCAUCAUCACGUCUCAACCUUAGAAGAUUUUCGUCUGUGGCUUUUCUCAAACAAAAUUCAUGCAACAAGUCAUGAAUGCGGCAAGUUUUGAUUCCACCUGUAGAUUUUUGUUUGUCAACCAUAACCAAGCUUCUCCCAAUUAGAUCCAUUAUGUAGUCCUCAGCUCUGUCCUCUAUUCUCUUCGCCUCUGUCUUUUGGACAAAGCCUUCAGCAGUCCACAACCGCAUCAAUGUCCAUAUAGGUAUCUCUUGGUCUUCUCGAAAUGGUCCAAAAUAAAGAAGGCAUGGCUUCAAAUAAUGAGCUAAAUGUUUGUAGCUCAGCUCUAAUAUACUUUUGCAAUGUUCUGUGCCACACACGGUGUCCGAACUUAGACGUUCUGCAAUUUCUUCCCAACCAUCUUGCUCUAAAUUUGCAAGAAUCCCAGCUGUGAUAACAACUGUUAGAGGUAAACCUUUACAACCUUUUGCUAUAUGCUUUCCAUGUAGAAACAGUGCUGGAGGAUUUCCACCUCUUUCUGCCAGCUUCUUUUGUAGUAAUUCUAAGUACUCAUCAUCAGUAAGUUGGCGAAGAUGAAGAGGUUUACUUGCAGGUUUAACUUCCAAAGCCAACUUAGAAAUUCGACUUGUUAAAAGAAUUCUGCUUCCAUUGGCAUCAUUUGGGAAUGAAACUUUUAACGCAUUCCAGGCCGCAAUGUCCCAAACAUCAUCCAAAACUAGGAGAUACCUGCCCCUUUAAACAAUGGUAGGUGCUAUAGCAAGAUCAUCAGCAUCCAUCCUAGGGUAUUCAUCAGAGUCCGAAGGAUCAAUGCAAGCCAAAAUCUGAAACAACACCUCUUUCUUUCCAUAUACUUGAGAAAUACGACACCAAGCACGAAUAUGGAAGUGGCAUAUAAUCAUAGGAUCUUGGUAAACUUUAUUACCUAAAGUAGUCUUACCCAGUCCAGGCAUGUCAACAAUAGAAACACCGUCCAACGCUCCUGAUCCUCCUGUCAGCUGAAAGAUUAUUUGUCCUGCCUCAUCAUGAAAUCCCACCACAACUUGAUUGGAUGUUGGCAUAGUCCAUUGCAACCAAGAAUGGGGUGGAGUCUGCGCUUUCUUUUGAGCUCCACAGGUGAAUUCAUCAUCACCAAUCCCCACAUAUUCCUUAUUAACAAGAUUUACCUUUCUCAUGUGUAGACACCAAAUUUUUGUAAAAAUUUUAACGUUUUCUUGAAUUUUUUCUAUUUAGUAAUUUAUUUAUUUUCUUACAUUUUAAUGUGCAUUUUUCUUAUUUUUACAAGUUUAUUUAAAAAAAAAACAAAAAAAAAAAGAAAAUCAAGAAAUCAAAUCAUCCUAAUCAGUUUUUUUCCACCAAAUACACUUAAUCCAUUCCUACACUCAAUUUUCUUGACCUUUCUUGUCAUUUGGUAAAAUCAUGAUUUUUGACCAACCUAACACUCAAACUCCACUUUGGGCUCAAAAAAAAAUACAUCUCUCGGCUCUCUCCCUCUCGGCAGAGAAGAAGAAAAAAAGGGAUCCCCUCAAUUGUCUCUCUCGGUUCUCUUUUUCUCCCCAAGACACAAGGACUCAACAGACAAGCAAAAACAAAACCAACACUCCAAUUUUUUCUUCCCAAAAAAUCCCUCUCGGCUCACUUGGGCAAAAAGGAAAAAAAAAAACACACAAGAGAAAAAAAGGGAGGCUCUCGGCUCUCUCUCUUGGCUCUCAACCGAAAAAAAUAAGGAAGAAAGGGCACUCUUCCUCCUCCCAGCUCCCUCUCAGCUUUUUCUUUGCUCACUUCACACAACACACUCACACACAACUUCAAACAUCAAAAGAGAGGCAGCAACCGGUUGGAUAAUUGGAGCUUUGCAUCAGAAACUUCAACCAAGGGAUUGCCAUCUACAUUGAGGUAAUUUUUUUUUAGUUUUGUUUAGCACAUUAAAUCCAUGCUUCAUUGUUUAAUUUUCUUUUGCUUUUGCUGGUUUCCUUGGUUGUUGGGUUGCUGAAUUUUUGGGACAAGUCAUGCACAGAAUUAAGGAAAAAGAAACGGGCCCAUGAAUGCAUGUCAAGUGCUUGUGAAAAUGCCAAAUUGGAAAAAACGAAUUUUAGGGGUUGUUUUGCUUUAUUCUAGCCUUUUUAUGUCGUUUUCUUGUCAAAUUAACAUCAUAGUUGUAAUGUAGAAGUUGCAAGGAGUGUUGUAGUAUAAAUUUUAUGUUUUUUAGUGAAGAUUUGAGGGUUUAAAAAUAAGUAAAACCGCGGCUGUUUUUGGGCAUUUUGGCCAACUUCGGGUUUUUUUUGUAAAAAGUAACUCCGGAAAUGAAAUCUACGCGAAAAAUGGAGUGAGAAGGUGUAUUUUGAGAAAUUUUGGCGACCGGAAAAUUCGCCGGUGCCGCCGGCAGCCGCUAUGGCCGCCAGCUGAAGCUUCUUCAGCUGGCCGAAGAAGAAGAGAAAGAAACGGCUGGAAGUGGAGGAAGAAGGAAGGAUGAAAAGAAAAGAAAGAAAGGAAGGAAAGAAAAAAAAAUGGAUUGGGCUAAUGUUUUUUUUUGGUGGGCUUGUAAUUGUUUUUUUAUUGGGUUUUGGAAAUGGGUUUUGGUUUAUAUCUUUUGGAUUUUGGUUUGGCUAGGAGGUUGGAGCCCAUGUGUUUUUUGAUCGGGCUUGAGUUAUAAAAGACUGGCUGGCCUGUGUGUUUUGACUUGGACUUUUGACUGGGCCUACGUAGGUUCGGCCCAAGUAAAAUAAAAAGGGAGGCCCGAUGCCUUUUUCUUGCCCAAAUCAGAAACCGAAAGUUUCACUUUAACACCUGAUCUUUGGAGUAGUUUCACUGUAGCCCAGAACAUUUUAAUUUGUUUCACUUAGGUCCUUAAAUUAAUUGCACUUUGGUCCUUUAAUUUUAUCUUUCAUUUAAUUUUGACCCCCAAACUUUGGAAAAAUAUAAUUUCUGUCCCCAAAAGUUUUUCCAAUUUUUGCAAUUCAGUCCCUGAUGAAUUUUGACUCUCUUUAUUAUAAUUGCUUCUUUUCUUUAAUAGCUAAUUAUGUUACUUUUGAGUAUAUUUAACUUGUAAUUUUUAGAUGUUCUUAAAUUUCUUUGCUUUUGACAUGUUAAGGAGAAUUUAGUAUUUCUAUCAUUAUUAUUAUUUUCAAUUAAAUUGGUGCCAUGAUCCUUUUGUUCAUUUUGAGUAUAAAUAGGGCAAUUUGACUCCAUUUAGUCACCACUUCAAAUGGGAGGUACCCCUAUUAUUAUUUCAAUAUCAAUUAUGUGCUCUUAUGUGCUCCUAUGUGUUCCUAUAUGUUUAUAUGUUUUUAUAUGCUUUAUUUAUUUGAUUUAAAUGUUCAUCCAAAUUUUCUUAUAUUUAUUUAGUUAGUUUUUAUAAUUAUUUGAGAGGCAUUUAAAUACCUCAAAAAUGUAAUAGAUAGAAUAAUUAUAUUUGUUUUAUUAUAUUUUUCCCUUUUAGAUUGUAGUUAGAUUCUCCACUGUAAUAGAUAGGUCUUUGCGUGUUUAUGUGGCUUAUGUGUUAUAUGUUUUACCCGCUUUCUUUAGGAUUUUUUCAUCUAGAUAUUAUGUUUACGUGUUAUGUGCUUCGUGCUUUUAUGUGUUUAUUUGUUUUAAUUUAUGCUUUAUUUGUUUUACUAUGAAUUAUUAAUGCAUGGCGUCACCACACUGGUCCAACGCUAGUUGUGAUUUCUCCCUUCGUUUACUUGCUAGUCCAACGCUAGUAAGGAUUUUUGAAAAUGAUCCAGUCCAACGCUAGACCCGUAGAUUGUUCGUGCGUUAGACUCAUUUUUGUGUGAUAUUCAUUACAUUUUCACGCAUAUUUUCAUUUUUAGGAUCUUUUUCCAUUUGCAUGAUAUUUCCUAUUAUAUUAUCCCCUAUCCUCUAUAUGUGUUAAUCAUGUCAUUUAGAAUUGCAUUUCAUUUAGGACAUUAUAUAAUAAGUUAGUUCAUUUGCUUGUGCAUAUUAGGAGAAUUUUUUUUCAAACAUGAGAAAUGGGUGAUUAUAACUUUUUAGUUUAAAUAUUCCAUUAAUCCCUGUAUAAGAAAAUUAUUGUCACGAGUUUUUGCCUCCCGUACCCUUUAUGUUGCAUUCCCUUUUUCUUUGAUCACUUAUAUCUAUGUAUAUAAUUUAAUUUAAUUUAAUUUCUUUUCUUUUAAUUUCAUCAUUCGCAUAUUCGUGACCCCUUCAAGGAAUUAUUUUGGCCUUUGCAAUUAAUGCGAUUGGUAUCAAUUAAACCCUUGAAUGGAUAUUUUGUCCCUCUCGAUAUUUUUAUUUGCAUCCAUGUAGGAAACAUCCAAAUGUGAUAAAUUUAAGGGUUAGAUUAAGAAAAUUUUGACUAAACCACGCAACUAGCUUAGACUAGGUUGAAAGGGUGCCUUAGGUUUAAGAUAAUUGAACCUUUGCCUUCCCUUUCUUCAACCGUGACUUUCGAACUCAUUUUCUCUGUUUUCAAAGACCUGGAGUUGUAGAAAAGGGUUUUAUUUUAUUUUAUUUAAAAACACUUUUUGGGUGACUUGGUACACCCAAAUUCGAUACCAAGUGGCGAUUUCUAAUUUUUCUUAAAAACCCUUUUAGACUAAAUUUUGAGCUCAAAUUGUCGCAUUUUUAAAGUCCCAUUUUAGGUCCCUUUUUUAUUUUUCAUUUAUAAAAUCAAGUCUUUUAUAAACCCUUUUAUUUUUUCAUUGCGAAAAAUGGGGCGCGACACCAUGAUGGUGCUUACAUAAUGUCUGUCUCCAUUUUCUGCCUUAAUAAGCUUAAUAUUUUUUUGAAAAAGCAAAGAACACAUGAUCCAUAUCCUUGGUUGAGUCCUCUUUCAAUUCAUGCAUAAAAAGUGAGUGGAUCACACUUUUAGCUUCACCAACAGCAUCUCCAAUAAUAUCCUUCACGUUUUCAGGUAGCUUAUCAAAGUUCUCAUGCUGGUUUUUAAGAAUUGUUCUCAAGAAUCUCAGUCCCUCAUAGACUAUAUGCAUUUGACUGGUUGUAGAAUCCAUUAAGCCGGUAUUGCAAUUAAGUAGCUCCCAAAAAUUAUCUAGGAGAGCAUCAACAAAAUUCCCCAAUCUAUGCUUAUUAGUCUCCUUUGACAUAAUGCAUGAUCCUGAUGAAUUAGAAGCUACUAGGACUUGGAUAUAAAUGUCACGGACUUAAGGAUCAAAGGGGUUGAUCUUCUGUAACGGUUUUGAAAUCUAUCUUGCACUUGGACACUUGUUCACAUUUUAUGUCAAACCAACAGAUGGAAAAGAGGUCUGCUGCAUUCAGAUCCACAGAAUUGAUGUGGGAUAAGGCAGCUCCCAGUUGCCUUUGCUCAACAACUCGCAACACAGCAAAGCGAAUCAAACUAUGGAAGAACCUCAGCUUCUCCUGGAGGUCUUUGCAUAGUUCCAGCAGGUCUUGGUCAUCAUAUCCAAAUAUGCAGAGAAGAACAUCCACCAGAUUCUCGAGCACAGAGUCGAUGAGUUCCAUCAACUCAUGUCCCGUCAGACAAUUACUGGUUUGCGACAAACUAUUCGAGAAAAUGAAGUAAAAAUGGUUGAUUGUUUGCUUAAAACUUUUGAUACUACUUUGAACCCUACGAGUCAAAAUAAACAGCCGUUUAUUGAAUACUCGGUCUGUUUUCUGCUCUAUUUGAAGUCUAAGUGCAAGUUUAUGGAUACCAGCUUCAAGUUUAGACAUGAAAGAUUCUAGAUAGCUUACAUGCUCGUUGUUGUCAGAAGUGCUCCAUAUUCUGGCGCAGAGAAGAAAUGUCCUCAUGAGUCUAUACUCCCGCUUCAGUUGCUCAGAUUGAUAAACAUUUAAAUCCCAAAGGCCAUCCAGAUUUUCCAAAGCAUUCAAGACUGAAUCUACACAGUUGGAGGAGGUGGAAGUGGAAGAGGCCAUCUCUUAGUGGGGUGUUGGAUUGCUAAGCAGCUAUGGAACAACAACGUUCAAAUCUUGAACAGCUAAACUAAUCGAUUGAUGCUAAACUCAAGAAUGAAGAAGAAUUCUUCUCUGCACCUCAGAAAAUCCUUUUGGCCAACCUCCUUGUUCAGCUAGAAAUGUAAUGGUUGAAAGUUUUCACUCAAGUUUGAACUUUGAAGCAAUGAAGUGGUUUUAGUCGAUUGGAGAUCUAGCAGCCUUGGUGAGACUGUUGACCGGUCAAAUUCAUGCGGCAUAGAGUUAGGGAUGGGCAAAAUUAUGCGCUAACCGAAAAAUCGUCAUAUCCAAUCCGAUCCAAUUUGAAAAUUAGUUCGAUUUUUAUUAUUUGAUCGGGUCAAAAGAGGAUCAGAUACCCGCUAAGAUGCAGGGCAGAUUAGGGUCACAUAAUUAAAAACAUGCGAGAACCCGAUCCGCCCCGCAUAUAUAUAUAUUUUUUAUUUAUACACACACUAUAAAAUAAUAAGUUAGAACUAAAUAAGUAAUUUUAUUGAACAAAUUGCAUUACAAAUAUGAGAGACUAUAGUUUAUUUACAAGAUUCAUUUGUAGAGACCAUGAUCUUAUAUUUUAUAGAAAAAAGUUUAAUUAAUGUGAAACAUAUAUAUUAAAAAUUGUGCUACUUAUUUCAAACUUUUAUUGAUUUUGAAUUCUUUUAAUUUUUUUCCUUUAUCUUAUAUUCUCUUCACAUGCUUGUUUCUUGGUAGGAAAUCUUUUUAUAGAAAUUUUUUUUUAUUAAAUCUUAGAUGAAUGUGUAACAUGUAAAAUUAAAUUGGUAUAAAUCAUUUUUUAAAAAAAAUUAAAUAAUAAAUGAGGCGGGUCGGAUACCCGCUGAUAUGCAGGGCGAGUAAAGGUCAGAAAAUAACUGACCCGUAAGGUGCGGGUUGGAUCAGUCAAAUGAUAAAUGAGACGGGUACCCGAUCCGUGCCCACCCCUACAUAGAGUGAUUGGUCAUUUGGUUUAGUUAGGCAAUUUGAUAAGCCACUUCAAAGUGGCUUGCCAUAUUUUGUGACCAAUAGUGGGAGGCAAGGUUUGAUCCCCUAACCUCCCACCCCACCAACUUUGGUGGUGGCUGGUAGUGGUGGCCACUGAGCUAAGGAACUAAUUUGGUUGGAUGAGUUGAUUCCUCAUUUCUGUGAUAGAAAAUUGCCAAACACCCAAUAAGUUUUCCUACUAUUUUAAUUAAUUUUUCAUCUCGCAUAAAGGUUUUUGGAAGUGGAAUCCUAACAUAAACUUUAGUGAAAAUAAAUCUAAAAAAAAUUCCAAUAAUAAAAAUGGAAGAUUUGCAUAGUCUAGUUCUCUAAAAACAUACUCUGUAUAACAAUUAUUGAGUAUAGUUAUUUGAGUAUAGUUAUGUCAUAUCGCCUCUAAUCACUUUCUCACAAACUUAUUCCCUCUUAAUAUGCGAUGCUUCGCUUUGUGCCUCAGCGUUUUAUCCUAUGUUUCAGCUACCCCGAAGUCCACCUCUAUCCAAAUUUUAAUACCAUUUUUGGCUUUGGCGAAGAGGAUUACCUGCUUUUGCGAGAAGCUGAAUGUCUCCACUGUAGUUUUCCCCAUGCCUAAUUGAAUACUCAUGCCCUGCCCCCUUGUAAUGGUCCAGUACCCCUAAUAGCAAGGACCCCCAUGUACCUUGUGACCAUGGCAUGACACUCUGCAAGUGUAAAAGAACACCAGUCCAUUUUAGGAUUUAAGGUUUAGAGUUUAGAGUUUAGAGCUCAGGGUUCUAGGUCAUGAUGUCUGGAUUCAUGGUAACACCAUGCCCUUGAAUCAUGGCAUCCAUAUCUGCCCGGGCAAACCAAAAGUUUAAUAACAAUUCUCAAUGCAUUAAGUAGAAUUAAGAGAAGAAUGAUGACACUUAGUCCAGUGACUAAAACUAAGAUAUCAGGAAUUAGAGGUUCUUUGUUCCAAUCCCCCUGUUCUCUCCUCCUUCUUAAAUACCCACCCCUCUCAUGCUAGAAUUGGAGGAAAAAAAUAGGGAGCAAAUGAUGAAAGCAUGAAACAGCCAUCAUAUUGAUUUGCCACCAUUUCAUAUCAUCUAUAUGUGCCAUCAUUUAUCCAAAACCAAGGAACUCAGUCACGAACUAAAAGCUACCAACAAAGAAGUCCAUCAAUACUGCAAACACGUAAGUUCAUGAGCACAAGUACUACUUCAGCUAACACUGGAGCAUAAACAGCUUUAGCAAAUCCAAUAUCCAACCAUACAUCAUGAUAUCUGAUAUCCAAACAUAAGCAAUAACAUAGCACGAUGACAUGGUGAAUGCAGACAAAAUGUCUACCUUGGACUAGGGCCACAGCGCUUGACAUCUAAUAUCCAAGCAUAGUACAAUAACAUGGCACAAUAACAUAGCACAAUGACAUCUUCCGUUUCAUCCUCUAACAAAUCCCCUUCAACUGCCGCUAGAUAUGCUUCGACCGCUUGCAAAGCUGUCCGACAAUGGAACAUGUCAUCGGUAGGGGCAGGAGGGGAAGGAAUACCAAUUGAUGGAGACAUGCAGGACUCUUUCCUCUUACUGAAGUGGGAGCUAAUACUGUCAAUUUCAAAUGACUGAGUAUUUACUUCCCCAGGGCUUGAAUUGCCAAACUUCCUCGUACGUUUAGGUAUUUUCAACUUCCCCUUAUUCAUAGCUUUUCCCCUCUUUGGAGCCACAACCUCAACAUGAUCAUCAGUUGAAUCUAACUGGAUUGCUCUCUUUCCUUUUUGAAGUUUUGCCAUCUUAUUUUCCAGCUCACGCUCAUCAUCAGUACAAAGAGGUGCCUGGCCAGAUUUCUGACUAUACUUCCCUGAUGCACCCUGAUCAUGGAACAACUUGGUCAGCACAUGAAAUUGCAAACAAACAUUAAGCUUCUUGUUCUGAUGAAGCAGACUUAACUUACUUUAGUCAACUCAUCUUUAAAGGUUUAAGUUUGGGGGAAAAAAAAGGACACAACACUAAUAAAUUGCAAGGCAAGGCCAGUGGGUGUUAACAUGAACCAAUUAACUCAUACAGAAACCAAUAGAUUUAUACCUUGAAGUAAUUUGUAAUGCAGAGUUUCAAGUCAUUUUCGCCCGAAAUGGACUGUACACUGUCACAGAGAACGCCAGCUUUUUGUCUGGCUACUGCAAGUAUAAAGAAGGCAUGAUAAGAACCUAUAAAUCGAUUUAACAGGCACAACUAAUCAUAGUCAGCGACAUACCCAUCAAGGAGGACCUUGUACAGGGAGGCAUGAAAAUACGUUACAACAAAACAACAUUCAACACGAAUAGCCAAAUAUCUGAGGAAAGGACACGAGGUGUCAGAAAAGAUAGCAAUCAUGAUACUUAUGCAAUAGCAAUGAAAUGGAGGCUACAUUUCCAAAAGACGGCAGUAAAUGCAACAGCACAAGUAUGAUCAGUCUGGAACAAAAUUUUCAUUAUAUGCUAAUUCAGAGCUAGCUACAAUGUCACACAGUAACAGGCAAUAGACAUGAAACUUCCAAUACAAGCCCUCACAUAAACUCCCAAUUACAAGGCUAAUUUCUAAGAAAUUCCUGGGGAAGUGUUACCAUAGAAAAAGGAAAAGAAAUUGUUAACUGAUUUAAUCCGUUUCUUUGGAUUAUAGGGAUAACAGCACAUUUUCUGUGUCCUAAUUGGUCCGAACAGAGACAAAAGAAAUCUGGGCAAAUUAAAACAGAGAUGUCGAAGCUACAAUCUUUGCAAUUUCAAGACCUAUACAUUUAAAAUAACGUUAAUGACUACCGAUGAUGAUCUUCUUUCAUUUAAAUAGGUUUUUGGAACCUUUUCAGUUCAAAUAUGUCUGAAAUUUUCUAUAUUUCUGUCUAAUUUCUUUCCAUAACUUUCCAGAGAAAAAAAAAGUGCAUAUAAAAAGUAGAAAACACAAAACAACAUUUUAGCAAAAAAAAAAAAAAGAAAUUUCAUAACGAAUCAGUGAUCAAAACUUGAACUUCAUAAACGUAUAUUUACUACAGUGUCUUGACCUAAUGUAAGUUUCCCGGUGUCAAGUGAAAAGAGCGAAUAAUCUACAACUCUAACCAUCAAAUGAUACCACCACGAGAUAGGCUAGAAAAUUUCUUCCAAACGCAGUUAAGAUCUAAGUAGAAAUUGCAGAAACCAGUUACAUUGCUCGGAAAUUUAAAAAGAACAAAAAAAAAGAAGGGAAAAAGGAAUUGCUUAGAAUCAGAGGGAGAGGAGGGACUUCCGAGACCAGCACUAAACGGCGGGGACAACUCCAGCAGGUGGAUGGCGAUUGCCGGCAAAUGGCAGCGGCAGCUGUGGAGGAGAAAAAGGAAUAGAGUUUCGAAGAAAUUCAAAUGGAAGAGGAGGAGGUCCAAAUCGCAUGUAUAAAUCUUCAAACGGUAUCGUUUCCUCUAUUUAUUUAUUUAUUUUGUAAAUUCACCUGAAAAAAAAGGCCCCUUAUUUUUUGUGCAGAAAUAAGUUCAUCUGAAAUUGUGAUGAUUCUAGUGAAUUAAACCAAAAAAAGAACAACUAGUUCAUUGCAUUUCAUCAAUAAUUAAUAAUGUCAAUUAUAUGCCAACAAUUAUAAGAACGAAAAACAUUCCCCUGAGUUAUAAUGAAUUAAAUCAAAAAAAGAAGAACAAAUUUUAUUUAUAAAUUAUAAAAAAUACACUCCUGUUUAUAUUAGUUUCUGUGAUACCAAAUACACUCCUGUUUAAUAAAUGGACAAAUUGUUGCAUUUCAUCAUUAAUAAAUAAUAUCAAACAUGCCAGUGGUUACAAAAUAUGAAAGAUUCCAUACUUUUUUAUUUACCAAAAGAAAGAAGAACAAAUUUUAUUUACAAAAUCCAAGUUUAAAGAGUACUUCAAACAUGAAACAAAACAUAAUAAAUUGGUACUAUAAAUCUCUUAAAAAGUACCACGAAUCUUUUUAUUUCUUAGAUACAAAUAAAUUAAGCCUUAAGAGCACCUUUUUAAUAUGCGUAUAUUUGUAUUAAGUAAAAAAAAUUAAUACAAAAUAUAAUACGAAAUGGAAUACUAAGGUAGGCAAAGAGUUUGAUGUUGGGAAUUUAUUUAUUUAAAUUGCAAUAUAGAUUAUAUUUAAUGAACUUUAUCAAUCAUAUUCUUGUAUCAACUAAUAGUAUUAAACUACAAUUAAUGAAUAUUAUAUUCAUCAAUGCCAAUCAUAAUAAUAAUUACAAAGGUGAAGCAUCCUUUGAAUUAUGGUAAUAAAAAUAGAUCCAAGUUAGUUUGAAUAUUGUAUAAUAAAUAAUCUUAACAUCUUACAAUUUUUAAUGAUAUUAACUCUAUAAUCAUAAAGCAUGCCAUCAUGGAGAAAUACAAAUAAGUUUCACCAAAUCAAAUCAUUUCUCUUCAAAGUUAAGCUAUUUAAAUUUGAACAAUGGAAUUUCAAUAUAUUCAGAUAUUACUAUAAUUACAAUAACAUUAUAGAUCAUUUUACAAUCCACUGUUAGCAAAAUAAUAAUAAUAAUAAUAAUAAUAAUAAGAAAAUUUCACUAAAACUAAUAAACAAUUCAUAGAAUGACUUGAAAGGGAGCAACAAAUUAUUCAAAAAUUAAAAGUUUAAACUCAAAUGGCAUAAAAAUGAACAUUUAGGUCAUCUAAAUUUAACCAAAACACAAAAGUAUUGAUACUAUUACAAAAUAAAAGUACUCUUGGAACAAAGAAUGAUUUAUUGUUUGUGCAUUUGUAUUGAUUGGGGCAAACUAAGUUCAGAAAAAGUAUAAAAUAACAUAAAUAUUAAAUAUCACAUUUUUUUGUCUCAAUUACAUUUAUUCCUUCAAAAUAAUAUAAAUUUACAAAUCUCCCUUGAGAUUUUUAACAAUUACAAAGAGCUCUCUUUAAGUUUUAAAAAUUACAUAUACCUCCCCUAUUUUUACUAUUUAGUAACAAUGUAGGUCUAACCAACUAAAUUUUCUCUUAAAAAUUCUAAAUUGCCCUUUUGUACAAAAUUAAUAAAGAAAAAUAUACUGUACUCAAUCAUUUUCUUCCACACUUUGCACAAAUCAACAAGUCUAAUUCCUAACAACCAUCCAAACAUAAGUUCUAAAAUCAAGUAACUGUUCAAAAGAUUCCAAAUUGCAUAUACAAUAUCAAUACUUAUCACGCAAAAAAAAAAAAAGAGAAAAAAAGACAAGCCCCGUUGAUAACCAAUUUUAUACCCCCAAAAUUAAAUAUCAAAUCUCAAAUACCUUUUCAGUACAAGCUAAUUUGAUCUAGAACCACUAUUACAACCCCUCCUAUGGCCUUAAAAAUAUUAAAAUCUUAAAAUAGAGAUAAAUUCUACCUCGACAAUAAAAUCAUAAUAACAAAUUCUAAUUCAAUGAAAGAGAUCCUUAUGUAACUAUUGACAUUUUAUCAAAGUUUUUUGACAACAAGCAAAAUAUGACUAAUUUCACAUAUUUAGUUUUUCUUCCUAUUUCAAUCAUCAAUUUCAUUAUUUAUUUCUCUAUCAUUGCGAGUCUCUUCAUUUCUUUCUAAUUUGACACAUAAUCUGCUCCCUUGGUGAUUUUAUAAUUUUAAUUUGCUAAUAUUAACAAAAAUGAAGAUAAUAAAAAUAGGUUAUAUUAACUAGAAAAUAAAGGAGCGAAAAUAGACAAGAGACAAAAAAAAUAGAAUAUUUCUUUUGGGUUUUGUAAAUGUAUUGCCUUAAAUUUAAAAUUGUCUGUCAAGUGGAGGGCAUUAUAGGUAUUUUACUAUGUCAAGGGAGGUAAGUGUAAUUUCUUAAACUUAAGGGGAUUUGAGAGCAAUUGUUAGAAACCUCAAGGGAGGUUUCUGAAAUUAUCCCAAAUAAUUGAUUUUCUAAAAAUUUUAAAUCAGGUUUGAUAGGGCAUAAUUUGUUGUUAAUUUUAUGAUUAAUUUUCCUCUUUGUCCUUGUCAAAUAUUGUUUUAAUUGUUGAAAUGUACUUAUAUUUGGUAUUUGGCCUUAAUUACAGGAAGUGGAGCAAACAAGUGCUAAAAAGGAGACUUUAUUAAGAAAAACACUCCACACAUGGGAAGUUCUAAAAGGAAAUACAAGCCGGGCUCCACAGGAUGCUACAAAAAGGGAUUUCCUAUCUUUAUGCUGAAAAGGGUGGACUUGUACUAGGAGUCUUACGGGUAAAGAGGAAACUAAAAACAAGGACUUUGGCAAAGCUCCAAUUCUUUGGCCCUUGGACUCUCAAUUCAGUGGGGACCACUAGAGAUAGCAUUAGACUUUCUUUUGGCUUUAAAAAGGGAGAAACGUACAGGAGGUUUUGUUAUCAAUAGUUUUAGCUUAGCCUUUAGCAUAGUUUUAGUUUUCUUUUCUUUCUUGGCUCUUUUGAUGGCCUGGACCUCAGUUAAAUUACUUGGAGAUUUUCUCAUGAGGCGUGGCUAAGUUUUUCUAGUCGAGGAACAACGGAGGACUUGGUUCUACUAAAUUUGUGAGAUCGAAUUAGUUUUUAUUUAUUUCCAUUAUUCACUGGUAUUCGUCUAUCUUCUGCUUUAUGUUCAUAUGGUUGUUUUAUUAUUCGAUUAUCCUGGGCCCGGAUUCUAGAUUAAUUCAAUAACCUGAAGCCAAUUAGGGUAGUUAAAUCCGUAAUUGUUUAAUUAUUCUAAACUGGUGGCAACUGGCAUGAUUGGGUUUGUGUCAGGGAGAUAGACAUGCUAACUUAAAGAGACCCUCGUAGCGUGUUGAUUGGUUAGAAUUAGGCUCUUCUAAUUAUUCAUGCAAUUAGGGAAUUGAACUUCUAUGGUCGUACCUAGGGUUGUUUCCUGAUUAGAGAAAUAGUCAACGGUGGUACCUUGGCUAUCGACAAAUUGAGGAAGAGUUGGUUGUUUAUCGCGUGUAUGACAACUAUAACUAAUUUAUCAGAUAGUAACUGGAAUAAUCCUUGCAUCUGUGAUUGAAUUAAGUGAACCAACUCCGAAAUUGUCUCUUGGCUAGAGUUCGUCCAUUAUUAUUUUUAUUGUGAUAAUUAGUUAUUUGAGUUGUAGUUAUUUUAUUUUAUUUUAAUUUAUUCCAAGUAAUUUAGUUACUCUCAUUUUCAAAAACCCGCCAUAUCUGGAAUUUGAGAAGAAAUUAAAUUAUCCCCAGUCCCUGUGGAUUCGACCCUGCUUACCGCUAUAUACAGAAUUUUUAUUUUAUUUGAGCAGGUAUUUAUUAUUGCACAGGCUUGACACCUGUCAAUUUUUGGCGCCGUUGCCGGGGACUGGUCCCAGAUUAAUUUGUUUCUUUUUGAGUUUAUUUUUUUUAUUUUUUUUUAUUUUUCUCUUAUUUUUUUUUAUAUAGUUUAUGGCUUCUAACACUCCGUAUUUUAGUGAUAUACUAAAUUUUAUUUCCGGGGAAGGCGAUGAGACUAGUUUUUUUGCUAAGUCUGCAUAUUCAGAGACACUAAACUCUAUUAGAGAAAGAAUGGCUGCUGCAACCUGUAAAAUUUGUUAUGCCAGGGAUCAUUCAACCGGUAUGUGCCCCGAAUAUCAAGAUAAUCUGAGUGUCCCACUCAAUAAUUAUGGAGAUUUUUCACCCUGGUCUCAAACGUGGUAUAACCCUAAUCCAAACGGGUAUGAUCAAGAAUGGUGGGAUAACUCCGAUUAUAAUUAUACAACGGGGCCAAUGAAUUUUCAGCAGUAUGAGUCUCAAGAAUCGUCAUCUAUGUCAGGUAUGUCUCUUGAAGAAAUAGUUGAACCAAUAGCUACUAAUACAUACCAAUUCCAACAGGAGACACAAAUGAGGAAUGAGAUGAUGAAGGAUGCAAUGAGUUAUCUGGCAGAUCAACUAUGUCUAUUGACAUCCAGAAUAAAUCGAUUGGCUUCUCAAAUGGAAGAAUUGCCCUCGAAAACCAUUGUUGAUCUAGAAGAAAAUGAGAGUGCAAUUUGCUUGACUAGUGAUGAGGAGAUACAAGAGUGUCAAAAUGAGAAAUCUACAGAUGCAGUUGAAAAAGAAGCCGAAAAGGAAGAAAUAGAACCCCAACCGCAACCCAUUCAAGUGAAAGAAUCCAGUGAAGAAUCAUCAAAUGUGGUGACACCACCUCCAUUCCCUAACCCGCAUUUUCUUAACUCUUACUCCAUGAUUUCUAUUAAUGAGAUUGAUUUUGUUAUACCAGAAGUUUUUGAGUCUCAUGGCAGAAAUAAGUUAAGAAUAGCGAUGGUCAAAUAUCUUGAACCGUUGUGUGCUCUUGAUGGAGGAGUGGAUGAAGAAUUGAGAUCACUGCUUGAUUAUUUGACGCCAUCAACUAGUCCAUGGAAGACCGUAGCUCGUGUGUUCAAAGAUUACUCCAUCUAUGAGGGUUACCAGGAUCACAUUGAAGAUGAAGCAUUGAAGCGAGCCACAAGAUUUUAUCCUCCAUGAGCAAAACAUGAUAAUGUCUAGCCAAAGACAUUAAAGAAAUGCGCUUUUUGGGAGGCAACCCAAUUGUUAAUUUUAUUGUUUUAGUGCUUAAUUAUUUAAUUAUGUCGUUUUUCACGUGGGUACUAGUCACUCUUGAUGUUUUCUAACUCUGAUCAGGAUAGGUAAUCUUAGCGUGCCCACGCGAGGAGGGCACGCGUUAAAGUGCGUAAAGUAACUCUCGAAGUCAGUGGAUGCUCUCUAAUCUUGGCGUGCCCACGCCAUGUUUGACGACCCAAAAACAAAGGAAAUAAUUUUUCACUUUAAAAAAAAAAUAAUAAAUUUUUUUUUUAAAAAUAAAAGUAAUUUCGUUUUUCAUUUUCAGUUUUGGUAUUCAAAAAUCGAAUUUUCCAAUCUCAAUUCAAUUUAAAAAAAAAAAAAUUCCAAAAAAUUUUUUUUUUUCUUUCUUCUUCUUUUCUUUCUUCUUUUUCUUUCUUUCUUCCUUCUUCCCCGCUGCUUUCCCUUUCCCCCUGUCCUUUUCUACUUCAGUCGCAGCCUCCAUGCUCCACCGUGCCUCCACGCCAUCAGAUCGCGGCCUCACCUCACGGUCGCCACCAGCUCUGCCAAGCCGCGCCUCUCCUCCACUCUCACCUUCCAAGAGCGCCGCCUCCUUAGCUUCGCUCGCCGCACCCCACCCACGGCCUGCUCCAGUACCAGCUCUCCACCAGCUCGCGCGCCUCUCUCCGCCUCACGGUCCACCACCACGCGAGCACCGCCAGCUCUCAAGCUCGCCGUGGCCUCCUCUCUCCACCACCAGCUUGCAACCCUCUGCUUCAACCCGCCGCCACUCUCUUCGCCACUGUCUCCACGCAGCCCGCCGCCACCUCACCUCGCUCACCACCAGCCUCAAAGGCCUUCCCCCCAUCGCGAGCCAUCUGCCCAACGCGCACGCUGCCACUCUCCCCUCCCGACUGCCCCAGCGCGCCUCCUCCUUAGCUCAGCCCGCCGCCUGGUGCUGACCACCACGCCGCGCGCCGCCAGCGCUGGAGCCGCCUGCGCGCUACCACUUCACCUACUGCGCGCCUCCACCUCAGCUUGUCCGCCAAUGUCGCGCGGCUGUCACCACCUGUCCUAUUUAGACAGGUGGAGGUAUUGUGAAUUCUGCCCCAAUUAGUUUCACUCUCUGAAAUUUGUGGUUGGAUUUCUUGAUUGAUAAAAGAAGGUGAUAAUUUGGGCAUUUUCUAGGGUCAAUUUUGGACAGAAUUGGGUUUAAUUGCUGCCAUAGUGGGGGUAUCUUCUGCUAUUUAUUGAAUUGUUGGCCUUUUGAUUACUCUUUCCCUGCGACUCACCAGGUACUGGUUGAGAUCUUUUGCCUAUCGUUGUGGCUUAUAUUUGAAGAUACUUGCUUAUUUUGCCGUUUCAGUUCUUGUGGUUGAGUUGCUGCCGUUGAAUUUAAUUCUUUCCUGUUUGUGCACCAGUGGUACUGGUUGCGGUGUUGCUUACAAUUCUUAAAUUUUCUCGAAUUCUAAUCGGUAGUUGCUGGAAUUGCUUGUUUGCUGGGAUUCUUAAAAUUCUUAAGGCUUGGUAUCUUGAAGUGGGUACUUGAAUGUCCACUUGGUGACAUUUGUUGAGUUUCACUUGCUCCAAUUGGUUGAAUUCAUUGCUCUGUUGGGGUCCCUACUGGUAUCACUUGACUUCUGCUUUGUUAGUUUCUGUAUCGUGCCCCUUGAUCUUAUUUUGACUGAAUUGGAAACCCAGUGCAUAUUCAUUCAAUUUGCUGUAUUGUUAGGGUACUUUUCUAGCCUUUGGGGUGCCUCAGUUGUGCUUUUUAUUAAUUGGGUUGGCCAUGUGGUUCCCUCCUUUCCUGUGUAUACACCAGUGGUACUGGUUGUGCUAAUUUGCUUACAAUUUCUUAUUUCGAUAUGAUUGAGCAUCUGUGACUGAGUAUCCUUCGAUCUUGUUGCUUUGUUGGGAUCGUUUUUGGUGUCAAUUGAGUAUCAUUUGGUACUUUCUGCCUGGAGUCUAUUGAGCUGCCUUUGGUUGGGGUGUAUUGCAUUUAAUUGGUGCAUUGGACGGCUCCUGUGCCAUUUCCGUUGCUUAUUGAAGUAGGUUGCCUCUAUUUGCCUUGUGUGGGAGUAUUUUGUCCUUUUCAUUUCAAUUGCUAAAUUCAUUGGAGCACUUGUUGCGGUUUUGGGAUGCAUUGUUAUUGCAUUUGGCUAAGCAGGGGACCACCCAGGGGCUAACGACUGGGUCCAACUCCGAAUGCAAGUUGCAUAACAUGGCGCAGAAUUUGGCAGCACUCCGCCCGACCCACUCCUGUUUUGACAACUUCAGGGAAGUACCGUUACCCUUCCCCUUCCUUUUGCUGUUAGUUUAUCACAUUGAGGGCAAUGUGAGAAUUAGGUGUGGGGGGGAUCAGUUUGGGUGCUAGUAUUUCCAGUUUUCGAUUUUUAGGUAUCUUUCCUUUGUUUUUAGUUUGAUAUUUAUCUCCUUUUCGUUUAUUUCUUUUAUUCGUGAUCAGGUCUUAUUGAAUACCAAGUUUAAUGUUGGAUUGUUGUCUCUAAUUCUGAUAUUGCCAAGUUUUAGUAAUAAAAAGGUAUCAAGUUGAUGUGGUUGAGUUCAGGAACAUCUCUUUGGUGAAUAUCAGUAAUUGCUUGACUUUUCUAAUUUUUAGUUAACUUUUCUAGGCAUAGAGAAUGAUUGUUGGCAUUUUUCAUGUGAAUUGGUCCAAUUAUUAAUUUUAGUUCUCCAUAUUUGGAAAUUUGAGGCUGGCUGCUGUUAUUUUGUGUCAUUUUUAGUUAUUGUGCUAUAUGGUUGUAAAUAAGAGUUGACUGUACUCCGCUAGUGGUUACUACUGAGUAACCGGGGAUCUUCACCUAAAGUGUUGAUUUUCGCGUCAAAAGGUAGUAGUUGCUAUAAGUGCGUGGUCCCGUAGCGAUUGGAGCUGAGUAACCGGGCUCCUCCAUCUGGCAAAUGUUGGAGUUCGCGUCAAAAGGCUCUAAGGGCUAUAGACUAAGUCUUUUGUUACUUCAAAAAAAAAAAUAAAAAAAAAAUAAAAAAAAGAAGGAAAAAAGUAAAGUAAAGAUUGUGUUAGUAUGUGAAUAAGUCAGCUUGCCGGUUUGUGAUCUUAAUGUCGAUAUUUUAGUUAAUAGUUGGACCAUUUGCUAAUAAAUGUGAGCAACUAUUCCUUUUUCUUAGAUUAGUUUGCUUUAAAUUGGAGGAGUUGGUGGUUGGGAAGCUAACCGGAGUGGUCUUUCUUGGAUCUUAACUGUGAUGCUUGAUAUAUGUUUUUCUGGGCAUCUUGGCAAUAUGAUAGUUAGAGCAAUAGCCAUUGUCGAAUUUUUGGUGUUCAAUUGCUGUUCUUAUGCUUGAGGGCAAGCAUGAUUUAGGUGUGGGGGGAAUUGAUAGGGCAUAAUUUGUUGUUAAUUUUAUGAUUAAUUUUCCUCUUUGUCCUUGCCAAAUAUUGUUUUAAUUGUUGAAAUGUACUUAUAUUUGGUAUUUGGCCCUAAUUACAGGAAGUGGAGCAAACAAGUGCUAAAAAGGAGACUUUAUUGAGAAAAACACUCCACACAUGGGAAGUUCUAAAAGGAAAUACAAGCUGGGCUCCACAGGAUGCUACAAAAAGGGAUUUCCUAUCUUUAUGCUGAAAAGGGUGGACUUGUACUAGGAGUCUUACGGGUAAAGAGGAAACUAAAAACAAAGACUUUGGCAAAGCUCCAAUUCUUUGGCCCUUGGACUCUCAAUUCAGUGGGGACCACUAGAGAUAGCAUUAGACUUUCUUUUGGCUUUAAAAAGGGAGAAACGUACAGGAGGUUUUGUUAUCAAUAGUUUUAGCUUAGCCUUUAGCAUAGUUUUAGUUUUCUUUUCUUUCUUGGCUCUUUUGAUGGCCUGGACCUCAAUUAAAUUACUUGGAGAUUUUCUCAUGAGGCGUGGCUAAGUUUUUCUAGUCGAGGAACAACGGAGGACUUGGUUCUACUAAAUUUGUGAGAUCAAAUUAGUUUUUAUUUAUUUCCAUUAUUCACUGGUAUUCGUCUAUCUUCUGCUUUAUGUUCAUAUGGUUGUUUUAUUAUUCGAUUAUCCUGGGCCCGGAUUCUAGAUUAAUUCAAUAACCUGAAGCCAAUUAGGGUAGUUAAAUCCGUAAUUGUUUAAUUAUUCUAAACUGGUAGCAACUGGCAUGAUUGGGUUUGUGUCAGGGAGAUAGACAUGCUAACUUAAAGAGACCCUCGUAGCGUGUUGAUUGGUUAGAAUUAGGCUCUUCUAAUUAUUCAUGCAAUUAGGGAAUUGAACUUCUAUGGUCGUACCUAGGGUUGUUUCCUGAUUAGAGAAAUAAUCAACGGUCGUACCUUGGCUAUCGACAAAUUGAGGAAGAGUUGGUUGUUUAUCGCGUGUAUGACAACUAUAACUAAUUUAUCAGAUAGUAACUGGAAUAAUCCUUGAAUCUGUGAUCGAAUUAAGUGAACCAUCUCCGAAGUUGUCUCUUGGCUAGAGUUCGUCCAUUAUUAUUUUUAUUGUGAUAAUUAGUUAUUUGAGUUGUAGUUAUUUUAUUUUAUUUUAAUUUAUUCCAAGUAAUUUAGUUACUCUCAUUUUCAAAAACCCCCCAUAUCUGGAAUUUGAGAAGAAAUUAAAUUAUCCCCAAUCCCUGUGGAUUCGACCCUGCUUACCGCUAUAUACAGAAUUUGUAUUUUAUUUGAGCAGGUAUUUAUUAUUGCACAGGCUUGACACCUGUCAAGGUUCACGUGCAAAGCACGUGCUCCAUUACUAGUGAGAUAAUAAAAAUAUGCUCAGAAAAUGUGAUCAUAAAAAAUAUAGAAACUUUAAUCCAGACAAAUAUUUAGACAAUCACUAAUUAGUUAUUGCUAUUAUUAGUACUACUUUUUAUACUGUUAUAGAUAUAAAAGGAUUUACUUAUAUUGGCCUUCGAAGUUUUAUAGGCAUGGAAAUGUAGAAAUGCUUUUCUUGUAACAUAUCGCUGAGCUAUCAAGGAAAAAGAUUUGAAGCCAAGAUGUGUAAGAUCGAUGUCACAUUGCUGCUUCGUGGAACAACAUUGAUGCAUAAGGACCAGUUCGCAUGAAAGCAAUUUUGCAACUAGACACCAUGUAAAAUGUCACUUUGAUGAACUAAGGUUGACCCUAUAUGUUCCCAUUUAAUUCUUGUAAAAUUGAUUUCCAUAAUUUUAUCUUUCCAACGUUCCCAUCCACCAACUGGGAUCCUUUUUUGAAUACAAAAUUGUGCCUUAGCAAUUCAGUUUUCUAAAUUGCUCUCUGAUUAACAUAAAGUAGAAGGGCUCAAGCUGACUGAUUCUUGUGCUCUGAGUCCUGUCCUGAGCUUUACAGAUACAACGAGCAAUGGAAAAGAAUCACUGGACACAACCUGCAGUCAACUGCAGAACAUUGAGAAAAAAUACGUUGCCUGUUACAAAGCUAAGAUACAACUUCAAGAAGGAUGCAAGCACCUAUCAGGGUUCAGCUAAUCCACAUCUUUCUGCGACAAAAUACCGGCUACUUUGAACUACAAGUAAUAAGGAAGAUAUGGCAAAUGAGUUCCAAAAGAAGUAAAAAGCCACCUCAUUAACAUGCCUACAAAUUGCUGAAUCGGUUGGACAGUUUAAAAGAACCACGCCAACAGGGAAGAUCUUAGGCUUUGGCCAUCCGAGGCAGGGAGCAAAAGGGAUUUCCAUCCUGGAUGUUUUCAUUUGAUCUGACUGAAACAGGAUCUUGUUCAGCAAGGGAUCAUAUUAAAAGUACCAAGGAUAGUAAGUAAGAGCUAUCAGGGUUAAUGUUGAUCUUUGAGUGCAAAACACAAAAACUCAAACUUAAGAAACUCGAGACAGCAUGUAGGUGGCAGAAUGAGCUUAAUAGCCUUCAUCACAGCGGAUGAAAUAAUUGCAGCAAGUAGCAGCAGCCAACCAGGAUGCUUGGCAGUCUCGACUAACCAUAGCAAUAUGCUUAGACGUGCUAGUGCAUAAUCAGGAUGUUUCGUUUUGCAGGUUAGACUUGAUUGUGUUAGAAGAUACUCUAACAAGUCUGUGCAGCUUCGCUGCAUGAACAGUACAUCUUCCGUGGCUGCUCCCAAAAACAUUUUCAUUAUGAGAAGAUUUCUCAAGUUUUGGUUGCAAUAUGUUCAGAAUCAAAGUAGUCAAAAGUCAAAUUUGAGUAGUAAAAGAAGAGUAGUAUAUCUGAACUUACCAGACUCUUAGAACCAGACACCAAUUUGAUGACCAACUGCUCUGAAAACUCCUCAAAUCUUUACUACUAGAAAAUCAUAACCAAGGAAAAGUGAGACAGAAACCCAUUAUCUACGAGACUUAUCGAACAAAUCACUAAUCAAAUGGUUCAAGAAGCUUGAUAAAUGCGCCAUCAAGAGGUGAUUAAACUUUGGAGCAACUAUUUACUCCCACUAGAAUCAUAAGUUAGGGAGCUGAUCACUUUAGCAAUCACAUCUUACGUCCACAAAAGCAGAUAUAUAAAAUCAACAAAACGAAACUCCUAGUGCUUAUUUCAUAUUGAUGGGUAACUUGGAGGAAAUGCAAACCAAAAAUUAAUUAAUACCAACUAUAAAAAUCUAAUCUAAGUUCAUCUGCUUGUUAAGUGCAGGAGGAAGGAGUGCAGUAGAGAAUUGCGGGUUUAAAGUCUUAUAGAAAAGGUUUGUAGAAUUGCUGCUUGUGGUAUCAAAUCUAAAAUGUCCAAUGCAUUUUCAAAGGGUGAAACUUCAGAGAGAACAAUCAUUUCAUCCUGGUGAAAUCACAAGUUUAAGUGCACCGAUGUUAGCAAUCACGACGUACAAAGGACAGUAACUGACAUACAUCAUAAACAAAACUAAAUUCUAAAUUCCACCCACAUUAACGGAUUUGUUUAGUGCUGGUUCAUCCAAAACGUUAUUCAGUUAACCCAAGAAAAUCUCGUUCAUUUUGGUCACUGAAAAAAAUAUGCAACUGAAGCUUGAAAUGUAGUCUUGAAACAUGGAUGGUAUUGAAUUGGACCACCAUUUGCCAUGUUUCAUCUUUGCAACAGCAAAUGAGAUGUGAUACAACGGGAGAAAUACCAAUUUGACAUUUUAAAUUAACCAAAAUGAUUGUUUAAUUCCGUUAGUUUAGAUUGGUAUGGAACCAUGCAUGGCUUAUUAGUGGUGAAGGUUAUGAAAUAUUGCGCUUAUUCAUGAUAAGAGUUACCUGGAAGUUUCAAUCGUAAUGAAGAGAGAGAAAGGACCGUGUAACGACCCCAUUUUCCCCUUAGGCGAACCAGAGAGGUCAACGGGCCGCCUGCCCAGCUCUCGCCAGGACUCAGUCGUUCACUACAAUCCUCAAAUAAAUUACAAGAAUAAACCUCAAAUAUUACAAUAUAAAUCUCCAAUAUUUAAUUACAUGGUCCACAAAUAUACAUCCAAGUCUCCAAUAAUUACAUGUCACAAAUGCAGCGGAAACAAUUCCUAACUAUACAUAAAAUGAUUCCAAAUCAAAACUGUACAAAACAUAGGCCAUCCAAUCACGUGCACAAGUACUAUAAGUCCUUCCUUCGCCUUGAGCCCUGUGGAGGGGAAUAAAAUAGUUUUUUGGGGUGAGCUAAAAGCUCAGCGAGUAACCAGCAAAAUCAUUAAGCACAUAUAUUUCACAAUGUUGCAUUUCGAUGAUUUCGAUGAUGUCAUGAUUCCAAGAUCACAUGUACGUUUAUUGCUCUCGUGAGCCAGUGAAAUCAUUGCACUUGAACACCCAACGCUCAAAUAUAUCAUUUAACAUUAACUCACGAACUCACGAAAGUGGGAGCAACAUUGGUGCUCCAGAUAACCAUGAACAUGAACCAUAAACAAGGUGGAGACGUUGGUGUCCAGCACAAGACUUUCCCAGAACUCAUUGAAGCCAAAUCAUGUCAUGAAUUCACAUGCAAGCACGCAUGAUAUGCAAUCGAAUAAUUAAUGCAAGAAACAUUUCACAAAUAACUUUGGAAAUAGUUUAGGGUCACUCACCUCCACGCCUCAGAACCCAUCCGUCAUAUACCAUUAUCUUGUCCGAAUCCAAGCCCUAAAACCCAAAACAGAUUUGAUGUCCUUUUGCGGUAAUGGUACCAAAAGCAGUACGAUGGUCGGAUGAAGGUGCAAGACCCACCGUUUCGAAGCUAAGAGACAGGGCUACAACAAUGUAGAAGGCCUCUCAGUCCAAAUCCUAGCACAACUAGGUCAAAAGUGCCAAAUACCAAACCAGAAUUACCAAAACAGGUUUGCAAAACGCAGAAAACUGUAAUCGAUAUAACUCAGUCCAUACAAGUCCAAAUGCCGAAAUUCCAAAGGCAUAAGUUAUUUAAGACAUCCAGCUACAUUUCAUCAGAAGACACCAACUUUAAAAUCCAAACCAAUACCAGUCCAAACAGGCAAUUACUAUCGCAGUUCGGACAUUCUGUGCACCAAAAACAGCAACAGUAAAGACGGCAUAACUCACUCUACGCAGGUCCAAUUGCCCUGAAAUUUUGCAGGCACACUAAACUCAUCAAUACCUACAACUUUCAUGUUUUGAGAAAAGUCCAAUUCGGCCUCUAGCUAUGACCUAAAAUUUCGGACAGAAUAGGGGUUCAAGAACCCUAACUUUUCACAUUUCAUUCCAAAUCCAAAAUUGAUUGCAUUUAACAACAAUUCACACCUACUAGAGCCAAAGCCCCUUAUUACCAACCAUCAUACUAGUCCAAAACAUCAAAAUCAUAUGAAACCAGAAAAUUCAUCAUAAAAUGGAAAACUUCACCAAAUCAAGCCAAACCAAGAAAUAAAUCAUAUAAUCCAACACUCAAGCCUCUGCUAAGCAUAAUAUAACCAUAAUUAGGUGUAGUAGGGUGUUCAAGCAUCACUUACCAAGAAAUUAAGAGAGAUAGAGAGGUUGGCCACCUUAGAGCUUCAAAACAACUUCACCAAGUCACUUACUAGCACCUAAUGGAGUGAUUUUAUGGAGCAAAUCUAAGUUUAAUUGGUUGGAAUGGAAGAUUGAGAUAGUUUGAAGCUUGUAAAUUGAAGAAGUUUUUCUUCCUUGUCCAAGAGAGAGAAUCGGCCAACAAGAGGUAAGAAAGAAUGAAUUUUUAGUCAAUUUUUGAGAUAUUUAAUCCAUGAUAAGAAAAGUCAAAAAUGUCCACCAAGUGGACCAAUCACAUAGUGCCACUUGGCACUUCAUUUAAUGCCUUCCUAUCACUUGGUUCCUCUCACAUCAAUGCCAUGUCACCCUCUACUUAUCUCUUAACACCCGAUAAAUUUCCACCAGUAUCCGAAACUUAACCUUAUUGGCCGAAUUUUGCCGUACUUUUCGCACUAGUGGGUCCCACGUCCAAAAUAUAUUCUUAAUUUUCUAAAAACUCACCAAUACUAGAAAAAUCAUUUGAAAAUGAUAUUUGCUCAUAAACUUUAUCUGGGGAAUUUUUCUAAUCAAGAAAAUGUAGAAAAUGCGGGCGUUUAAAAAAAUAAACCCUAGAAAAUUAGAAAAUUUCCGGGUUCUCAAACUCAUUUUUUUUCGGGGCGUCACAAUCUCCCCUCCUUAAAAGAAUGUCGUCCUCGACAUUCCCUCUUGUACCAAUCAAGUCAAGACAUCCCACAAAAAUCUCUCAAGAGUCAAAUCAAACCCACAGUCCGGCAUCCUAAACUUCAAGCCUAGGAUACACUACAGAGAUCUAAAGCCUAAGCUCUGAUACCAACUGUAACGACCCCAUUUUCCCCUUAGGCGAACCAGAGAGGUCAACGGGCCGCCUGCCCAGCUCUCGCCAGGACUCAGUCGUUCACUACAAUCCUCAAAUAAAUUACAAGAAUAAACCUCAAAUAUUACAAUAUAAAUCUCCAAUAUUUAAUUACAUGGUCCACAAAUAUACAUCCAAGUCUCCAAUAAUUACAUGUCACAAAUGCAGCGGAAACAAUUCCUAACUAUACAUAAAAUGAUUCCAAAUCAAAACUGUACAAAACAUAGGCCAUCCAAUCACGUGCACAAGUACUAUAAGUCCUUCCUUCGCCUUGAGCCCUGUGGAGGGGAAUAAAAUAGUUUUUUGGGGUGAGCUAAAAGCUCAGCGAGUAACCAGCAAAAUCAUUAAGCACAUAUAUUUCACAAUGUUGCAUUUCGAUGAUUUCGAUGAUGUCAUGAUUCCAAGAUCACAUGUACGUUUAUUGCUCUCGUGAGCCAGUGAAAUCAUUGCACUUGAACACCCAACGCUCAAAUAUAUCAUUUAACAUUAACUCACGAACUCACGAAAGUGGGAGCAACAUUGGUGCUCCAGAUAACCAUGAACAUGAACCAUAAACAAGGUGGAGACGUUGGUGUCCAGCACAAGACUUUCCCAGAACUCAUUGAAGCCAAAUCAUGUCAUGAAUUCACAUGCAAGCACGCAUGAUAUGCAAUCGAAUAAUUAAUGCAAGAAACAUUUCACAAAUAACUUUGGAAAUAGUUUAGGGUCACUCACCUCCACGCCUCAGAACCCAUCCGUCAUAUACCAUUAUCUUGUCCGAAUCCAAGCCCUAAAACCCAAAACAGAUUUGAUGUCCUUUUGCGGUAAUGGUACCAAAAGCAGUACGAUGGUCGGAUGAAGGUGCAAGACCCACCGUUUCGAAGCUAAGAGACAGGGCUACAACAAUGUAGAAGGCCUCUCAGUCCAAAUCCUAGCACAACUAGGUCAAAAGUGCCAAAUACCAAACCAGAAUUACCAAAACAGGUUUGCAAAACGCAGAAAACUGUAAUCGAUAUAACUCAGUCCAUACAAGUCCAAAUGCCGAAAUUCCAAAGGCAUAAGUUAUUUAAGACAUCCAGCUACAUUUCAUCAGAAGACACCAACUUCAAAAUCCAAACCAAUACCAGUCCAAACAGGCAAUUACUAUCGCAGUUCGGACAUUCUGUGCACCAAAAACAGCAACAGUAAAGACGGCAUAACUCACUCUACACUAGUCCAAUUGCCCUGAAAUUUUGCAGGCACACUAAACUCAUCAAUACCUACAACUUUCAUGUUUUGAGCAAAGUCCAAUUCGGCCUCUAGCUAUGACCUAAAAUUUCGGACAGAAUAGGGGUUCAAGAACCCUAACUUUUCACAUUUCAUUCCAAAUCCAAAAUUGAUUGCAUUACAACAAUUCCACCUACUAGAGGCCAAAGCCCCUUAUUACCAACAUGCAUACUAGUCCAAAACAUCCAAAUCAUAUGAAACCAGAAAAUUCAUCAUAAAAUGGAAAACUUCACAAAAUGAAGCAAACCAAGGAAAUAAAUGAUAAUAAUCCAACCUCAAGCGCACUUUUUCUAAGUAAUAUAGACCCAUACUAAGGUGUAGUAGGGUGUUCACGGCAUCACUUACCAAGAAUUAGAGAGAUAGAGAGGUUUGGCCACCUUAGAGCUUCAAAACAAAUUCAGCCAGUACUUACUAGCACUAAUGGAGUGAUUUUUAUGGAGCAAAUCUAAGUUUAAUUGGUUGGAAUGGAAGAUUGAGAUUAGUUUGAAGCUUGUAAUUGAGAAGUUUUUCUUCCUUGUCCAAGAGAGAGAUCGGCACAAGAAAGUAAGAAAGAAUGAAUUUUUAGUCAUUUUUGAGAUAUUUUAAUCCAUGAUAGAAAAAGUCAAAAAUGUCCACAAGUGGACCAAUCACAUUAGUGCCACUUGGCAACUUCAUUUAAUGCCUUCUAUAAUUGGUUCCUCUCACAUCAAUGCCAUGUCACCCUCUACUUAUCUCUUAACACCCGAUAAAUUUCCACCAGUAUCCGAAACUUAACCUUAUUGGCCGAAUUUUGCCGUACUUUUCGCACUAGUGGGUCCCACGUCCAAAAUAUAUUCUUAAUUUUCUAAAAACUCACCAAUACUAGAAAAAUCAUUUGAAAAUGAUAUUUGCUCAUAAACUUUAUCUGGGGAAUUUUUCUAAUCAAGAAAAUGUAGAAAAUGCGGGCGUUUAAAAAAAUAAACCCUAGAAAAUUAGAAAAUUUCCGGGUUCUCAAACUCAUUUUUUUUCGGGGCGUGACUGGGCCUAAUGGGACUUGGACUGGGCCCUGGUUCAUGCACACAUCACCGAAACUCUGAAAGAUGACCAGUUGAGUAAUUUAGAAAAAGAGAUGCGGCAGCCAACAAGUAUGACAGGCAGAGAAAGCUAAAGAAUCUUCAUGAAGUGAAUUCCUAGAACAGCAACCAAUUAUUACCAUUUGAUGCUUCAAAGUUCAAAUCAUCACAGUUAGACUUAAACUUCAGUAAAGGAUAAUCUGCCAAGUCUUUGCAGCUUCAUUGCUAGAACAAUACUAUUUUCCCUUGCAACCUCAAAAAAUGACUUGAACAUGUCCUUUUUUUUUUGAAAGGGGGGAGGGGCGAGGGGUUAGUUAACAAAUUGAGAAUCAAACUGCUUAAAACUCAAUAUUACAUAGUUGAAGAAGAAAGUUUAUCAUGGAUUAGGAGCAUUUCUUAAAAAAAAAAAAUUGGUAUUGUAGAUUACCAGUCCAUUUGGCAUGAUGAUAAGAAUAAGAUAAUAACAUUUUCUAGAGGUGAAAGUUCAGAGUAACCAUUUUUUCCUCAUAGAAUCUCAGGUUUAGGAAUCAAUGUACAGCUUGCAGUAGCAGACAUAUGUGAUGAGCAAAUAUAAACUGCUACUCUUUAUUGAAAGAUAGCGCAGGCAUAAAUCUGAGGGCAAAUGGUCUUUAACUAUCAUAUUAUGUUUGACUGUCCGCAACAAAUAAUUUGUUUGUAAAUAUCUGCAUUCUAUGAUUGAGGAAGGAAAGGAUAGAAGUGAAGUGGGACUAUUUGCCAGAAGCAAAAUACAAAAUGCUCAUCAAAUGGAUCCUUUACAUUUGGACAAGGCACCUAAACCACAAUUAUACCAAAAAGGAUAGAUUGGAUGAUGAGGUCAGUCUCUCAAGGAGUGCUAUGUGUGAGCCGUGAUGCGUAUUCUGUGUGUGUGAGUGUGCAGUUUGUGUGUCGAGAUGCUAUAGUAAGUGAUAGUGUUUACUUUGAUGACUGCAGUUGAACCUUUUCAGACCGCCUAAGACAAGAGAAGUUCAUCAAAGCAGACCUCUGCCUUCAACAAAGUGAAGUUGAGCAGUUACAUCAUUUCCAAGACUGGCAAUUUACUUCCAUGAUUAAAAUAGCUUACAAGAUAGUACAAUCAACAAUUGAGAUCUCUAAUUCCAAUCUAUUAUCAAUUUGAACGUGCACAGCAGAAUCCUCUCAAAUCCUUGCUAUUACAUGGCCAAACAACAUUCCUGGAAGCAGACCCUCGAAAACUUUCAAACUCUGUUACUAAUAAUCAUUUUAGUCACAAUACAUAUAUCACCUCACCUCAGGCAAUAAAUAAAAAUCUUCUUAAGAGUUUCACUGGAGUAUGUUCUCCUACAGAAAAAAAAAAGGAGAAAAAAUCCUAUAAGUUAAAUAGUUUGAAAUCUUUCUGUGUUAGAAAAUCCACAAAUUUCUGUGCUGGGACGUACUUUCAUUUGACACUUUAUUCCAUGAAUGCAAAACAAUAAGUAAAUUUUGGUGAAUUUUUCCAUUUUAUGAUGAAUUUUCUGGUUUCAUAUGAUUUUGAUGUUUUGGACUAGUAUGAUGGUUGGUAAUAAGGGGCUUUGGCUCUAGUAGGUGUGAAUUGUUGUUAAAUGCAAUCAAUUUUGGAUUUGGAAUGAAAUGUGAAAAGUUAGGGUUCUUGAACCCCUAUUCUGUCCGAAAUUUUAGGUCAUAGCUAGAGGCCGAAUUGGACUUUGCUCAAAACAUGAAAGUUGUAGGUAUUGAUGAGUUUAGUGUGCCUGCAAAAUUUUAGGGCAAUUCGCCAAGUGUAGAGUGAGUUAUGCCGUUUUUACUGUUGCUGUUUUUGGUGCACAGAAGGUCCGAACUGCGAUAGUAAUUGCCUGUUUUGACUGGAAUUGGUUUGGAUUGUGGAGUUGGUGUCUUCUGAUGAAAUGUAGCUGGAUGUCUUAAAUUACUUAUUCCUUUGGAAUUUCGGCAUUUGGACUUGUAUGGACUGAGAUAUACCGAUUACAGUUUUCUGUGUUUUGCAAACCUGUUUUGGUGAUUCUGGUUUAGUGUUUGGCAUUUUUGACCUAGUUGGGUCAGGAACUGGAUUGAGUGACCUUCUACAUUGUUAUAGCCCUGUCCCAUAGCUUCGAAACGGUGGGUCUUACACCCCCAUCCGAUAAUUGUAGUGAGAGUUGUGCCAUUACCGCAUUAGGACGUCAAAACCGGUUUUCAUAUCAAGGCCUUAGUUAAAGCCCUUUCUUAAUUUCUGGUUUCCUUUAAUGUUUGUAAAUGCUUAUGGAACCUUAUUGGGGUCAUGUUUGGCCUUGGUUUAUGACUCGUUAGCGAGUCUUAUUGUAUUUGUUUACAUGUUUUUAGGUCGUGACGGUGGUGCAACGUUCUUUUGACUAAAGUGCUUGAAACUACAUUUGCUAGCUUGGUGAGUGUACUACUCACUUAUGUGCUAUUAUAUGGCUUUGAUAUUUGAACUUGAGAUGUUGAAUGUUAAUUAAUUGAAGUGAGAGUGUACUUUAUCAUUCUCACUUAUUGUAUCGCAUGUUAUUGAAAAGUUAUUGGAAUUUUACAUGAAAUGUUAUAUGAAAUGAAAUACAUGACUUCAAAUGUUAUCCAUGAGCUCAACCCCAUUGGUAGUUGAUUGAAUCGAGCCAGCAAGGGCUUGGUCGUGACAAUUAAUGAGCCUUGGGUAAGGUUAUAUGGAAUCGUGUAGUAUGAGAGACUCUCGAUUCCGGUAUACUCGAGUAAUACCACAAUGCAUGCGUUUGGAUUUCGGGCCCGGUUGAGGAAUGUUAGGAGGAAGGGAAUGGAAGUUAAGUGGGUCUACAGUUGGUUACUUUUCAAACAUUGACGGAGAGUCAAUGAGACCGAUCAAGAAUUCAAACGAGGAAAAGGGCUCUUGAGAGCCACCCGUAUCCUUUUAUCCUCAUUAUUAAUGUGUGGCUUUAUUUAUUUUGGUAAAUUGGACUGUUAAGCUUGAUGUAUCCAUGAACUUGGUUGCUUGAGUUGUAUUCUCACUGGGCAAUUAGCUCACCCCGUUCCUUUUGUUUUCCUUACAGGAAUAUGACUCUUUUGGAAUGAAUUUUGAUAAAUGGUUGCCAAAUGAACUAGAUGAAUGACUCUUUUCUAUUGUAUAUAAAAUGGGACCCUAAAUGUAUCAUUAGGGCCGUUUUCACUUUUGUUUUGGCAAACCAUAUAAGUAGUGACUUUUGUAUCACUUUUAAAUGUCAUUUUGGUUUGUAAAGGCUAAAUGUUAUGGGGUAUAUGUAAUUCGAUGUUUGGUUGGGUUCGGACGAGUCGGUUACUAUUCAUGGCCGACUCCGGGUUUCAUUUUCUUUUAUUUUGGGUUAUUUUGCCCUUUUGCCUUAUUUGCGCGCGUUAUAAGUUCCGGAACGUGAAAGAUCGCUCUAUACUGUACCGUUAGUCCUGGCGAGAGCUGGGCAGGCAGUCCGCUAACCUCUUUGGUUCGCCUUAGGGGAAGGUGGGGCUGUCACAGGUGGUAUCAGAGCCACGUCGCGUGGUCUCUGCGCGAAGUGAGACUGGGCCAAGUGGUGUUGUGGUCCUAAUUUCAUGAAUAUGUGUAAGUGCUCGUUUGAGCAUAAGUUAUGAAUCUUGAAGUGUUAUAGGUCUUUAAUCUUUCUCAUGGUAUUUAAGGACCCUAGAUAAGUAUGUCGGACAGGAAUUUUGAUUUGUAGAUGGUUUACUCUUGGGACUGGCCAGCUCGAGAUGUGAACUAUCUUAUUUCGGAUUCUCGUGCCCGAGUACCCCAGAAUUGAGGUGAUGCAAGCUACUAGGUAUUUGAACCCUGUGUUUUGGAAACAAGCCUUGUAUUUUGGAAACGUGAACAGGCUUUGUCUGACUAAGAUGAGCACAAGAGAUCAAUGGACAUCUAGUUUGGAUAGUUAGUGACGUGAGAGACCAGACGGGCUGGUACUGGGAUGACUUUUCGACUGUAUAUGACUAAGUCUAUAUUUGCUUACCUGCUUAUCCGUCUUUUAAUAUAACGUGUUAUAUGCGAUAUGUUAUUGGUAUGAUAGAUUUUGUUAUGUUAGUCAAUUUAUUGCAUUCAUGCAUGGAAGUACCCUUUUGGAAAAAAAAAACCCGCGGACAUGGUCAUAGCAGUGACACAAAACGAGACCAAGAGUCAAAGAGAAGAAAGGGAGGAAACAACACCUGAACCGAACAUGGACCAAGAGUGCUACUUGUAAUCAAGACUUUCUUAUGACCCAUUGUUUUGCCGACAGGCUACCAUCUGAGGUCCAGCAACUCUGUAAAAUGGCACGUAGGGUUGAGAUGUAUAAUGAAAUCGGGGGUCUUCGAGACGAAAUAAAAGUCCAAAAGAACCUAGUCGCAUACUGGGAAGGGCGCUGGAAGCACGAGUAUACAGAGAAAAUUGAGCUCCUGCACAAAAACUUAGAGCUAAAAAGGAAAUAUGAAGGGAUUUCCGAGGAGGCCCUGGAAAAGGCUCAAUGCAUCAAGAAUGCAAAGGUGCAAGUGAAAGCUUCCCAAAUACGGAAAAGGGGUGCAGUGGGUAGCGUGAGUGAGGAACCUUCUAAAGUACAGAAAGUGAACCAGUUAUUCGGGCCGCCAUGGACAAUGGGGGCGGUAGAUAAAAGAUUUGUCAAUGAAAGCCAAACCAGACAGGGGGAGAUUUCUCCGAAAAGCAAAAAGAUGACUUUCCACUUGACUUGUGACUAUUGCGGAAAGGCCAAUCACACUGAGAAUGAUUGCUGGAGAAAGGGGAGUAGAUGUCUGCGCUGUGGGAGCAUCGAGCAUCGAAUUGCAUAUUGCCCGAUUAAAGUGCGGAAAAAGAAAAGAACUCAACAACCAACCCAGACCGACCCUGCACCGUCAAGUGGAGAAGGGACUGGAAUGAAGAACCUCGUUUCUUCUGACUCUGAAGACGGAGAAGGUACAGGCCAUUGGAUACUUUAAAUUUGAAGGAAAAUUUCGAGGACGAAAUUCUUUUAAGGGGGGGAGAGUGUGAGAACCCGUAAAACCCUAAUUAUUUUCCUAGGGUUUAUUUCCCCUUAAUUGCAUGUUUUCUGCAUUUUCGGGCCUAGGAAUAUUUUUCUGGUAGAUUUUAUGAGUAAUUAUAGUUUUUAGAUGAUUUUUUCUAGUAUUGGUGAGUUUUUAGAAAAUUAAGAUAUAUUUUGGACGUGGACCACUAGUGCGAAAAGUACGGCAAAAUUCGGCCAAUAAGGUUUAAGUUUCGCGAUUUACUGGUGGAAUUAUCUGGUGUUAAGAGAUAAGUAGCAGGGUGACAUGGCAUUGAUGUGGAGAGGAACCAAAGUGAUAGGAAGGCAUUAAUGAAGUGCCCAAGUGGCACUAUGUGAUUGGUCCACUUGUUGGACAUUUUUGACUUUUCUUAUCAUGGAUUAAAUUAUCUCAAAAUGACUUAAAAAUUCAUUCUUUCUUACCUCUUGUUGGCCGUUCUCUCUUUGGACAGGAAAAAACUUCUUCAAUUUACAAGCCUUCAAACUAAUCUCAAUCUUCCAUUCCAACCAAUUAAACUUUAGAUUUGCUCCAUAAAAUCACUCCAUUAGGUGCCUAGUAAGUGACUUGGUGAAGUUGUUUUUGAAGCUUCUAAGGUGGCCAACCUCUCUAUCUCUCUUAAUUUCUUGGUAAGUGAUGCCUUGAACACCCUACUACACCUAAAUGAUGGUUAUAUUAUGCUUAGAAGAGGCUUGAGUGUUGGAUUAUAUGAUUUAUUUCUUGGUUUGGCUUGAUUUGGUGAAGUUUUCCAUUUAUAUGAGAAUUUUCUGGUUUCAUAUGAUUUUUGAUGUUUUGGACUAGUAUGAUGGUUGGUAAUUAAGGCGGCUUUGGCUCUAGUAGUGUGAAUUGUUGUUAAAUGCCAAUCAAUUUUGGAUUUGGAAUGAAAUGUGAAAAGUUAGGGUUCUUGAACCCCUAUUCUGUCCGAAAUUUUAGGUCAUAGCUAGAGGCCGAAUUGGACUUUGCUCAAAACAUGAAAGUUGUAGGUAUUGAUGAGUUUAGUGUGCCUGCAAAAUUUUAGGGCAAUUCGCCAAGUGUAGAGUGAGUUAUGCCGUUUUUACUGUUGCUGUUUUUGGUGCACAGAAGGUCCGAACUGCGAUAGUAAUUGCCUGUUUUGACUGGAAUUGGUUUGGAUUGUGGAGUUGGUGUCUUCUGAUGAAAUGUAGCUGGAUGUCUUAAAUUACUUAUUCCUUUGGAAUUUCGGCAUUUGGACUUGUAUGGACUGAGAUAUACCGAUUACAGUUUUCUGUGUUUUGCAAACCUGUUUUGGUGAUUCUGGUUUAGUGUUUGGCAUUUUUGACCUAGUUGGGUCAGGAACUGGAUUGAGUGACCUUCUACAUUGUUAUAGCCCUGUCCCAUAGCUUCGAAACGGUGGGUCUUACACCCCCAUCCGAUAAUUGUAGUGAGAGUUGUGCCAUUACCGCAUUAGGACGUCAAAACCGGUUUUCAUAUCAAGGCCUUAGUUAAAGCCCUUUCUUAAUUUCUGGUUUCCUUUAAUGUUUGUAAAUGCUUAUGGAACCUUAUUGGGGUCAUGUUUGGCCUUGGUUUAUGACUCGUUAGCGAGUCUUAUUGUAUUUGUUUACAUGUUUUUAGGUCGUGACGGUGGUGCAACGUUCUUUUGACUAAAGUGCUUGAAACUACAUUUGCUAGCUUGGUGAGUGUACUACUCACUUAUGUGCUAUUAUAUGGCUUUGAUAUUUGAACUUGAGAUGUUGAAUGUUAAUUAAUUGAAGUGAGAGUGUACUUUAUCAUUCUCACUUAUUGUAUCGCAUGUUAUUGAAAAGUUAUUGGAAUUUUACAUGAAAUGUUAUAUGAAAUGAAAUACAUGACUUCAAAUGUUAUCCAUGCGCUCAACCCCAUUGGUAGUUGAUUGAAUCGAGCCAGCAAGGGCUUGGUCGUGACAAUUAAUGAGCCUUGGGUAAGGUUAUAUGGAAUCGUGUAGUAUGAGAGACUCUCGAUUCCGGUAUACUCGAGUAAUACCACAAUGCAUGCGUUUGGAUUUCGGGCCCGGUUGAGGAAUGUUAGGAGGAAGGGAAUGGAAGUUAAGUGGGUCUACAGUUGGUUACUUUUCAAACAUUGACGGAGAGUCAAUGAGACCGAUCAAGAAUUCAAACGAGGAAAAGGGCUCUUGAGAGCCACCCGUAUCCUUUUAUCCUCAUUAUUAAUGUGUGGCUUUAUUUAUUUUGGUAAAGUGGACUGUUAAGCUUGAUGUAUCCAUGAACUUGGUUGCUUGAGUUGUAUUCUCACUGGGCAAUUAGCUCACCCCGUUCCUUUUGUUUUCCUUACAGGAAUAUGACUCUUUUGGAAUGAAUUUUGAUAAAUGGUUGCCAAAUGAACUAGAUGAAUGACUCUUUUGUAUUGUAUAUAAAAUGGGACCCUAAAUGUAUCAUUAGGGCCGUUUUCACUUUUGUCUUGGCAAACCAUAUAUGUAGCGACUUUUGUAUCACUUUUAAAUGUCAUUUUUGGUUUGUAAAGGCUAAAUGUUAUGGGGUAUAUGUAAUUCGAUGUUUGGUUGGGUUCGGACGAGUCGGUUACUAUUCAUGGCCGACUCCGGGUUUCAUUUUCUUUUAUUUUGGGUUAUUUUGCCCUUUUGCCUUAUUUGCGCGCGUUAUAAGUUCCGGAACGUGAAAGAUCGCUCUAUACUGCACCGUUAGUCCUGGCGAGAGCUGGGCAGGCAGUCCGCUAACCUCUUUGGUUCGCCUUAGGGGAAAGUGGGGCUGUCACACAGAACCCAUCCGUCAUAUACCAUUAUCUUGUCCGAAUCCAAGCCCUAAAACCCAAAACAGAUUUGAUGUCCUUUUGCGGUAAUGGUACCAAAAGCAGUACGAUGGUCGGAUGAAGGUGCAAGACCCACCGUUUCGAAGCUAAGAGACAGGGCUACAACAAUGUAGAAGGCCUCUCAGUCCAAAUCCUAGCACAACUAGGUCAAAAGUGCCAAAUACCAAACCAGAAGUACCAAAACAGGUUUGCAAAACGCAGAAAACUGUAAUCGAUAUAACUCAGUCCAUACAAGUCCAAAUGCCGAAAUUCCAAAGGCAUAAGUUAUUUAAGACAUCCAGCUACAUUUCAUCAGAAGACACCAACUUCAAAAUCCAAACCAAUACCAGUCCAAACAGGCAAUUACUAUCGCAGUUCGGACAUUCUGUGCACCAAAAAUAGCAAUAGUAAAGACGGCAUAACUCACUCUACACUAGUCCAAUUGCCCUGAAAUUUUUCAGGCACACUAAACUCAUCAAUACCUACAACUUUCAUGUUUUGAGCAAAGUCCAAUUCGGCCUCUAGCUAUGACCUAAAAUUUCGGACAGAAUAGGGGUUCAAGAACCCUAACUUUUCACAUUUCAUUCCAAAUCCAAAAUUGAUUGCAUUUAACAACAAUUCACACCUACUAGAGCCAAAGCCCCUUAUUACCAACCAUCAUACUAGUCCAAAACAUCAAAAUCAUAUGAAACCAGAAAAUUCAUCAUAAAAUGGAAAACUUCACCAAAUCAAGCCAAACCAAGAAAUAAAUCAUAUAAUCCAACACUCAAGCCACUUCUAAGCAUAAUAUAACCAUCACUAGGUGUAGUAGGGUGUUCAAGCAUCACUUACCAAGAAAUUAAGAGAGAUAGAGAGGUUGGCCACCUUAGAGCUUCAAAACAACUUCACCAAGUCACUUACUAGCACCUAAUGGAGUGAUUUUAUGGAGCAAAUCUAAGUUUAAUUGGUUGGAAUGGAAGAUUGAGAUAGUUUGAAGCUUGUAAAUUGAAGAAGUUUUUCUUCCUUGUCCAAGAGAGAGAAUCGGCCAACAAAAGGUAAGAAAGAAUGAAUUUUUAGUCAAUUUUUGAGAUAUUUAAUCCAUGAUAAGAAAAGUCAAAAAUGUCCAACAAGUGGACCAAUCACAUAGUGCCACUUGGCACUUCAUUUAAUGCCUUCCUAUCACUUGGUUCCUCUCACAUCAAUGCCAUGUCACCCUCUACUUAUCUCUUAACACCCGAUAAAUUUCCACCAGUAUCCGAAACUUAACCUUAUUGGCCGAAUUUUGCCGUACUUUUCGCACUAGUGGGUCCCACGUCCAAAAUAUAUUCUUAAUUUUCUAAAAACUCACCAAUACUAGAAAAAUCAUUUGAAAACGAUAUUUGCUCAUAAACUUUAUCUGGGGAAUUUUUCUAAUCAAGAAAAUGUAGAAAAUGCGGGCGUUUAAAAAAAUAAACCCUAGAAAAUUAGAAAAUUUCCGGUUUCUCAAACUCAUUUUUUUUCGGGGCGUCACAGACCGACUCUGCAUCCUACUCUGUUGUUGCUCCAAUUAUCACUUGAUAUACUUUAAAGGAAGGAAAGGACUUUGAAAAGUAAAGGUGGUGAUUAGGAGCCAUCUAUAAACCUACAGUCACUGCAAAACAGAAAACUCAGACUCAGGACUUCACAUAGCAAAUCAUGAGGCUAACUUGAAAUUGCAUGACAUUUUUGUUUAGACAAUUAUUCAGAAAGCUAAAUCAAUAUUUUUUUUUUGUUCCUCUUUUCCAACGUAAAUCAGUAAGCAGAUAUCAAAUCUUUCUGUUCAUUCCACAAGUACCAGAAGCAUCACAAAAACUAUAUAGCUUUUGUUCAAAACACUGAUAAAAGAAAAGUUCUAUAGCAAUAAUGAGAGGCAGAGGUCCCAGAAUUGCCAUAAAAGCAAACUAUUUGAGACUGCAAGAUGCAACAAGAAGAGCUAAUUACAACUAUUUUACUCUUAAAAUCUCAAAUCAUUGCAUUUGAACUUAAACUUCAGAAGAGGAUAGUCUACCAAGUCUCUGCUGCUUGAAAAUGUCUUAAACAUGACAAUUUUUUUUAAGGUCUUAGUUAAUGCAUCGGUUAUUAAACUGCUUAAAACCCAAUGUUAAGUAGUGAAAGAAGAUGGUUGGUAUUAUAAAUUAUCAGACUACCAAUCUCACAACCAAGGGCAGUCAGAGUAACUCGAUUGACCAUUGGAUUUAUGUAAAGAGAUCACAGCUGAAGAAAGUAGAAUCCCAUCAUUUAAGAGACAUAAUAAGAAUACCAAUAAUCAGAUAAUUUGGAGAAAGAUGAUAAAUACAUUCCUAAGAGGUGGAAGUUCAGAGUAAGCAUUUAAAUCCUCGUAGAAUCUCAAGUUUAAAGAGAAUUAGCUCCUUUCAGCAAUCAUGAUAUACAACUGGAGGUAGUAGACAUAUGAGCUGAGCAAAAGUAAUCUGCUAGUUCUUAUUUAACACAAAGAAUUUUGUACCGUAGAUGUAAAGUUUUCAGCUUUGACUUUGCUUAACUGUCCACAUCAAAUAAUCUGCUCUUGAACACGUAUUCCAUAAUUGAAUUUAAUACAUGGUUAGCGACAUUGUUUUCUUCCCGAAACAGCACUUGUUAAGUUUCUCUGAAUCAGACUGAAAAAGCCAAGAGAAGUUCAACAAAGCAGACUACUAACCUUCAACAAACUAAAGCUCCAAAAUUGCCAAUUUACUUCUAUAAUUCGCAGCCUAUAAGGUAGUACAAUUAACAAUUGAGAUCUCUAAGUGCAACCUGCAAUCAACUUGCUAAAUGAUAAUUCUUCAGUCCUUACUGUUACAUUACUAGACAACAUCUUGGAAGCAGACGUUUUAAAACUUCAGAUAUUUUGCAACUAAAUCAUCUUGCUGUACAAUUUUUAUCACCUGAUAUUGGAUGGAUUUAAAAAAAUUUAGUAAUGUUUUCACUGGAGUAUGUUGUUCUGAAGAGACAAAAAAACUAGAAAUUGACUCUUAAAAUCUUUGUCCAUCAUUGCCUACUUAUAAUUUUCUAUGUUCCGUCAAACUUUGAUUUAACAAUCUAUUUCAUAAAUGUAAACACAUUAUCAUUCUUUCCUAGCAAAUUGAUAACCAAAUGAACUUUUAGAGUACUUAGUUGGAUGAGGAGCUUUUAGAUUGAAAAUCUCAGGAAGGCAUGUUUGCCUGCAUUACAAUAAAGAUAGAAGAGCAAAUUCCAUGUCAUUUUUGAGCUAGGAAUCUUACAGAAAGAAAGGGUUUCUUUUUGUUACCUUUGUUCUAAGACUAAUGAGCAGGAAAUAAGACUUGAUACUUAGUACAUCUACUAAUCCAUUUAAAACAAAUUUGCUAACCUUACAGUACUUCUUGAAAAUUUUCAAGCUCCUCAUUGUCAAUCUGUUUCUCUAAUAGAAGCUCUAUCACCAACCAAACCCCCCAUGAUCAUUAGCAGAAAUUCAUGUUAAUGAUCGCUCUUGAUGUUGAAAGACAUUACAUAAGCUGGGUAAAGAAAUUCAGGUGGGUAGUUUGUAGAGGCCAGCUGACAAAGAUAGAGCAUUUUAUCGGGUUUUAGACACCAGGAAGAAAGAAAAGUGUGCCUGUAGUGUGCCAUCCUAAUCAUUUCUGUCCAAUUGAAACAGAAUUUGAUUCAACAAAGUUUUCAAAAGUUACAAGCUAUGUAAUUCAAUCAAUAAGUAAGUGCAAUUGUAGAUUCUAGUCCACAUUUGAGCCUGAGAUCAUUGCAGAACAGAAAACUCAAGUUGAGACAAUAUGUGAACAAGAAAGCUAAUCAGAAAGUUCAGAAAGUUCAACAAUAAUUUUGUUCUGUCAUUCCUACAAAAGGCUAAAAUAUGUCUUGUUUGUUAUCAAAAUAAAUAGAUAAGCAAGUACUAAGUCGUGUUUACAAUUACAGUAUUUUGGUUCCAACCACAAAGCAAGUAAUUACAACUCAUAAAAAGAAAAUAAUAAUGGACAAUUUGUAGUGCAGGCAAAGCAUUUCACAUUGAGGCAUUGAGAAACAAUAGAGGUGUGGGCCACUGAGGCACAAUAGAGAUCCACAUUUAAUUGCUACCAAAACACCAGUUAGUUCUAACUUCUAACUCUGAGCAGUAUGCCGGAGAUGACAAAUUGAGUUCUAAAACAUGUAAAUCAGCACCUCAUUAUCAUGACUACACAUCACUGAAUUGUUUCGAUAGUUUAAAAGAACCAUACCCCAAUGGAUAUCUCAGACUUUGACCAUCUGAGGCACAGAGAAAGAGAGAAUGCCAUCCUAGAUGUUGUUAUUCAGCCGAAGCAGGCUCUUGUUCAGCAACGAAUUGUAGGACUCUCAAAAAGUAAAGACAGUAGGUAAGAGCCAUCGAUGAGGUUCCCUGUUUGUGCUCAAAAUCACUGCAAAGCACAAAAACUCAAACUGAAGGCGGCGAAUAGCAUAGAAUAAAACUAAUGGAAAUUUUCAGAUAAUUGUAGCUUUUCUGUCAUUGUAACUGAAGCCCCAAAAGGAGAAACUUACCUUAAAAAAAGAAGCAACCAACAAUCAUAAAAGCAGAGAGAGCUUAAAAGCCUUUAUCAGUAGCAAUGCUUGUCGCAACAAGCAGGUGGAUUCAUUAACAGUAGCAAGUCGCAACAAGCAGACUUGACCAACUACCAGAAUGCUUCAAAACUUUGCGCUUAGAGUUAAAUGUUGGAAGAUACUCCACCAAGUUUUGUGCAACUUCAUUGCUCAAACAGUACACACCUUCCUUGGCUACCUCAAAAAUAUGAAAGUUCAUUUAUGACUCUGAUAAAGCAAUUACUAGUCAAAUAGUUCAGAUAAAUAUGCAGAGCACGUAAAAGUUCAUUAUCAAGAGGUAAAAGUUCAGUCCCCUUAGAAUUACAAUUUUAAACAGAGUGAGAUGACUUUAGCAAUAAUAACUUGAAAUCCACAGAAGCAGAGCACGUAAAAUAAACAAAAAUAGACUAUUUGUAGGCUAUGCAGGCCAAAAGUUGAUAGCCUAUGCUAGUUGUUCUAAACGUUGAUAGGCUAUUGCGGUCUAGCCAUAUAGACGGUGCUGAAGAAGCUUCAAAAUUCUAACCAGUUCGUGAAGCUAUUCUUCUAUCAAUCCUACAAAAACAAAGCAUAGAACAGAAUAUGAACAAAGAUACAGUAAAACAUCAAAGCACGAAACAGAACAGAGUAUUACUAUUAUGUUGUAAGGAGUAAAUGAAGAGCACCAAUAUUUUGGACCUAAUAAGAAAUGCUAAUGCCGCAGCUUUGAAAGAUAAUAAAUAGGACGAUAAAAAGGGAGAAGAGAAAACUGUACAAAUAACCACGGAGACUUUUUAGGUUUUCUCACGAGAAGGUUAAUCAGAGAGGGAGGUGAAGAGAAGGGGAGAUUGAUUGUAAAGCAAAUUAAGAAAGUUGGACAUAAUCGAGAACUUGAUUAGCGGUUAUGUAUAGGUCUUGAAUGUGAGAAACUUUGGACCACUGGGAGUCGGGGCCGCUGCUCUCAGGAGUGCAUCUUUCUUUUAACAGAGGAGAACCAUAAACCUCCAGACGUUUUAGUUUGGUGAGACUUCUCAUGGCAUCCUCAGAGGGUAGAUGUCCAAGCUCCGUGAAAUGCCGUAAAUGCAGGAAUUCAAGAGCAGCGAAGUUUCCGAACCAAUCUGGCAGAGCUUUUAUACCUCCAAAGUCGCGUAGCCAUAGUGACGUCAGAGUGGUCAAGUAUUGGAUCCGAUGUGGCAGGGACUCCAUGUGUGGCAACCCAAUUAAUGCUAAUUCAUGGAGUGCAGAUUACGAAGAGGAUAUCAAUCCAGACCAAUCAAACUCAUUGUAAAUUGAAGAAUUUUCAUGAUCAUCACCAUCAUCUGAGAAGGGACCAAUUACAAGCUUCCUUAAGCUGGUUAGGAAACCAAAUCCUUUGGGUGUCAUGCUUGUUUUCAGUUUGGGACAGCAGUAUAAUCCCAGCUCCAAGAGAGAAGGCGUUUGUUGCAAAUCAAGCGGAAAGGAGACAAGAUUGUCGCACCAACUCACCUGAAGCUUCUGGAGAGAGGCACAAGAGUGCAGCAAGUCACCGGGCAGAUUCGUCAACCCAUCGCACUCAUCAAUCACCAGCUCUUUAAGAGACGUAAAGUUUUGCAGGGGAAGGAGUUCUCUGCAUCUGUUGCAGAAAUUAAAUGCCAAACGCGCUAACUUGGGUGGUGGUGUUGUUGUUGACUCGGGGAGUGUUGUUGUUGUUGGCAAAUUCAUUAACCAUCGAGGAAAUUGAUUGCCCAUAAAAUUCCAAAUUAUCAACUCCUCCAAAUUUGGGUGGGGUAGAAGGCCAUCUAACACAUCUUCAUCGUUGUAGUUGUCACCUUCUCGAUCAGGGGCCCACUUAAGUUCCAGCCUAAAUAGAUUUGCCUUUUCAGAUAGUUUUGCUUCCUUAGCUCCUUCCUUAUCCUUUACUAGUUCCAGAUUGCGUAUCUCCAAUUUGCCUUUGAGGUUCUUCAAGCAUCCAAGCUCUCCAAUUUGUCGACCCUUCUCUCGACCCACGCUAAAGAACUCUAGAGUUUGAAGGCAAGUCAGCCUUCCCAUCUCUCGCAGCAUUUGAAAUUCUUCAUCAUAAUCUAUGUAAUAGUGGAGAUGUCUCAAGCUAAUCAAAUUGCACAUUCCCUUCGGAAGAUCUUUAACAUUUGAGCCACUUAGCGUCAAUGUCUGCAGAUUAUAAAGCUUGCAAAGGGAGUCUGGCAAAAUACUGAUUGAAGACCAUGAAAGGUUAACAUACCGCAAAUGUAUCAGUUUGCCAAUUGAGACUGGUAGCUCUUGAGUUCUUCUUGCACGAGACAAAUUCAAAACAUACAAGUUCUUCAACUUCAUUAACAUAUCACCAGAUAAGUCACCAUUUACGAUGAAUAAUGUAUGAAACGAAGUUGAUAGACUCUCCAAAAGUUUUUCUCUGUCUUCUCUGGCACCAGAUGAGUCUAUUGCAAGGUAACGAAUCUGAUCACCAUUGUCUACUAUAUGCGUAUUCCAAUCAUUAAUGACUUUGGUAGACUUUGACAUUGACUCUGCAAGGUCGUGCACCAGAUCAUGCAUCUUAUAAUAUGUUAUCCCAUAGCUUCCUGUUUCUUCAAACAAUGAACUCUGCAAUAAAAUUCUCAGAUAAUUAAUUCCAAUUUCCUCCAUCAUCGUUUGGCUGUUGACGUCUGCUUGGAGGAAGCCUUCAGCCAUCCAAAGUUCGAUCAGCAUAUUUCUUUCCAUCUGAGUAUCCUUAGGAAAUAUAGAACAAUAUGCAAAACAUUUCUUAAUGUAUGGAGAUGGCAAAUUAUCAAAACUCAACUUAAGUAUUUGCAUCACACGAUCUCCACCUACACUCAACCUCAGAAGCCUAUUGUCCAAAAUUGAUUACCACUCCUCUUUUCUCUUUAAACGUAACAGACCUCCCAUUACACUUGCAGCCAAUGGUAGACCGUCACAUCUUUUGAUUACUCUCUUUUUAAUUGCUUUUAGUUCAUCAGGUUCUCCUUCCCCUCCAACUACUUUUUCUUUUACGAUAGACCAACAAUGAUCAUCAGGUAGUUUUCUUAAUGGAUAGGCUUCAUUUUCCAUCAUCAAAACUCUAGACACACACUGCGCCACUGGACCUGGACGAGUAGUGACCAGACACCAGCUUCCAUUAGUUGGAUUGAGCCCCUUCAAGGUGUUGAAAAAGUCCUCCCACAAUGCUUGAUCAUCAUCCCACACAUCAUCAAGGAC
rnacentral:lncRNA from 1 species